AACAAAGUGAAUGUAGUAGUAAUAACCACUGGAGGAUUGAAGUAGAGAGGGGCCUCAUAAAUCAAAGUGUAUAAGUUGUAGGGGUUGAGUGUAAAUAGUUUCAGAAGAAGAAAAAUGAAGUUUGUGAAUCUCGCCAUAACAAUAAGCUGAGCAAAAAGAAAACUGCAUUUUAUUAGGAACAGAAAUAUUGUAGUUAGACAUAACAGACUUUACAAUUUUAAGAGAUGAAUGUCCAAGUCUGUGGUCUAUGAUGCCAUAGAUCUAAAGUAUUCAAAGAACCAAUAGAAUCCUUAGUUGCAAUACAAGAUUUAGGAUUAUAUUGAAACGGGCUAGAAACAUGAUUCUGAAAUGAAGAGGUAAAGGACUCACAAGAGGCUAUAGAAGAUGGAACUGACAGUGGCUUUGCUGAAGGCAGAAACUCACAAGAGGAUGUAGAAUAUGGAACUGACAAUGGCUUUACUGAAUGUAGAAGUGUGAAAUCAUCAAAUACAUAAAGUCCAUUCUUAACUCUCCCUUCCAUAAGAAUUUCCUUGGAAACCUGAUCUUUAACAUAACAGAAGUUAGGAAAGAACUCAAAAUACACAACAUUAUCUUUGGCAAAUUUAGAGACAUUGGGCAAAUUUUUGGUAAUAGAAGGAAUAUGAAGAAGAUGAUUUAAAGAGAGCGAUUUUGAAGAAAAUUGAGACUGAAAAGAUGAUUGUCCAAUAUGUUUAAUGUUCAAACCUGUUCCAUUGCCCAUCAUGAUCUUAUCUUUCCCAGCAAAUUCAACUUUAUUCAUCAAAUUAUGAAUGUCUGGUGUGAUAUGAUUUGUAGCUCCAGAAUUUGGGUACUAGCUAGGUCGUAGGCAAAUUCAGGAGUAGUAGCAACCAUGGCAGUCAUUUGUGAUGAAUCUUGAGAAUAAGGAAAUCCAUUAUGAAAUGAAGAUGGGCCUUGAAAUGAUGGAUCAAAUCUGUAGUACCAUUGUUGCACCAAAUGACCAACACGACCACACAAUUGGCAUUGAGGCUUAUUGAAAUUCUAAUAAUUUCGACCACCAUUGAAGCCUCCAUGACCUCUUCUACUAGAACCUCUAAAUUUAUUGAAUCCACGACUACCAGAACCUUCUCUACUAGGAAAAUUAUUGAAACCACGAAAAUUGCCUUGAUCAAAAGUAGAAAAAGGCAUUUUCGAAAGAAUUAUCAGAUCUUUUCUUGUCUUUGUUAUUCUGGCUCUGAGUUGCUAAGUUAGCACUCAAAUUAGAAUCUAAAAAUUUUGUAGCCUUCUCAAUGUGCCUUUCUUGAGCCAAAAAAUAGACUCUAUUUCAUCAAUAGUAUAUGAAUCUAUGCAUGUGGUAACAACAGUAAUCAAAGUGUUAAACUCUGAGGGUAAUCCUUCAAAAAUUGUGUCAAUACGAUCUGAAGUAGAGAUAGAAUAGCCAACUAAUAGGCUAUCAACAAUGCUUUUGAUUCGUAAGAGAUAAUCAUUCAUGGAUGAUGAACCUUUCUAAGAGCUCUUGAGUUGCGUAUUCCCUCACCCCCACCUUUUCGUUCUCAUCCCAAUUUGUUCUGAUUUCCUUCAAUCACUUAAUCUCCAUAAAACUUGAUCAGAAUAAUUUUUUGAUUUGGCGUCAACAAGUUGAAGCUGCAAUCAAAGGUUACAAGCUUUCAAAGUUCAUCAAUGGAAUCGAUACUGCUCUUCCAAAAUUUAUUUCUUCCAUGGAUGAAACAAGUGGUAAAAUCAAUCAAGAUUUCUCUUAUUGGGAAAAAUAGGACCAAUUACUAGUCUCUUAGCUCCUUUCAUUGAUGUUCGAAGGGCUUUUAAUGAGAAUGGUUGGAUGUGUAACUUCUUUUGAGAUUUGGAAGAAAUUAGAGGUUUUCUUUGCUGCUCAAACUUGUGCCAAGAUUGAUCAGUUCAAGAUGCAACUCAAGAGCUCUGAUACCAUGUAAAGAAAGUAAAUAGAGAUGAGAAAGGAAGGUAACAGAACAGAGAAUGGUAAAGUGAUUUUCUGUUUUUUAUUUUUCUCUCUAUAUUCUAUUGUUUACAGGGUAAUAUAUAUAGUAGACCUAACUAACAAAUUCUCUAACAAUAAUAGAAUAAAACCAAUGAGCAUAUGACACAUGUACAUCUUGUAACCAUAUGAAACUAUCUCUUAACAAUCUACACAUGAGGGAGGACCUCCAAAUGUGUGUUUAUUUAUUCCUGUAAUCACAAGGGACAUUUGUAAUAUCUUAGUCAAUUCCUAGAACCAUAUUAAAGGGAGCGAUAUUCACAUAGAGGGAUUUAUAAUAUCCCACUUAGGUUGUAACAUUAUAUUAAAACAAAUAAUAUCAAUAUAAAAGGGAUUUGUGAUAUCCUUUAUCAAUUCUUAGCAUUAUAUUAAAGCAGACAAUAUCCAUAUAGGGGCAAUGUUAUAUUUAAAGCAAACAAUCUCCAUAUGGGAGAGUCAAAUCAUUAUAUAAUACCCUACAUCCAUGCAUGAAAGAGAACUAAAAGGAAUGGGAGAACUAAAGAAAAAAAAAAUAUAUAUUGGAACUAAAAAUGGUAAAAGAGUAAUAACUUGCUUGGUUGAGAAGACCUAAACUCGACACUUUAAUGCCUCUUUCCUCUGCAUCCAAUAUGGCUUCUUCAAUCAAGAUAUUGAUGCGUUCAUUUUGCCAUUUCAAGGAGUACUACACAACUCAAAAAUUGAUUCAAUAAAUAAUAACGAACUAAUAAUAAGUCAUUCUUAAAUAAUAAAAAACAAGGGUUAGAGUUAGUGGGUGUUUGGUAAACUGACUUAUUAAUUAAAAGUGACUUAAUAAUUUAAUUUAAGUCAUUAAAUAAAUUAAGUAUGUUUGAAAAAACAAUUUAAUGGUAUGAUUUAAAGUAAAAAAAAACAUUAAAUAAUAAAUAAAAAUAAUUGAUUUAUUUUUAAAUCCACAUCUUUAUUUUACUUUUUUACCAUCAUUUGCUCUAGUUACCUCUACAAUCUCUUUUGCUAUUCCAUGACCUCCAUUGUUACUUUGACCCCCUUUACCCUAAUUAUAAUUUAUAAGAACAAAUAUGUCAAUUUGAUGAUUAAAAAUAAAUUUUAAAUUCAUUUUAUUAAACAACAUUAAUAUUUAAAGUAAAAAUUAAGGAAUGAGUUUUAAAUUAAUAACUUAUGUAUAAUUUAAUUUAAAGUCAACUUAAGUCAUUAUGUAAUAAGUAUUAAAUUUUACCAAACGCCCCCUAACUAUUAGUUUGGAUAUAAUAAUAAAUUUUUAUUUUUUUAUGUAUAAAAUGGGAACUCCUUGUAUAAAAAAAUAUAGAUUUAUCUUAUAUUUUUUAAAAAUUACUUUAAAAAACUUUUAAAUUUUUAAAUGAUUUUUAAAACAAUUUUUUUUUUUUAGUGUAAGUCCCUAAGAGUUUUGAAUCUUACAAAACUUAUUAUUUUUAUUUUAAGAAUAGAAAACAAGAACAUGAAAUAUAUCCAAAUGGAAAACAAACUAAUAGGAAAAGAUAAUUCUUACUUGAAUCUUAUAUUUUGGAAUGACCCAUGUUUGUAACUUGAGUUUGUUGAAAUAGUUCCUUUCGAGAACAAAUAUGCAAGAACAAAUCCAAAUCAACAUCAUAUACAAUAUACUAGAGGCCACAUUAGUCUCAAGUACCAUUUGGAGAUGUAUGGCUGGGAGGCCAAAGAUGCAAAACCUAGCCUUAGAUGAUAAAUAGAGUCUGGCGUUGUGAGAUGGGUGAGAUGCACUACAUCAAGCAAUUUUUCAGCCCUUGUAAGUGAUUUUUCAUAUAAUACAUUUGAAUAUUUGUCCAUAGUAUCAUACAUGUAGUCAUAGAAUGGCAUGAAGAGUGAGUAAUUGGUUUGGAGUUGGGUAUGGUGCAGAGACUGAAACCUGAAACUUGAAGGAGCUAAAAUCAUUUAUCAUCAUAAAUGAAUAUAUAAUUUUUCAAACAUGAAAAAUAUAACAAACUAAUAUUAGUACUCUUUUUUAUUGGUUCUUUCUUUUAUAAAACACACCUCCUAAUUAAUUUUUAUUUUAUAGACAUUAUACCUCUACAACUUUGUUAUUCAAAUACUAAUUUGAGCACUUAUAUUUUGGUGAUCAAUUUGUCAAAUUUUCAAUUCUAAUUUUUUUUCUUCUUUUUCUUUUAAAUAAAAGUAGUAAAUAUUGGUUAAUUUGGUUCUUGCGUUUAUUUUAUAGCUUCUACAUCAAUUUGAUGCAUCAAAUCUUAUUUUAUUUUAAAAUCAUAAGUAAAAUGCUCAACAAUUGUUCUACAAUCCAAUUUUGAAGAUAUAGUUGGUCCCCAUGAUAUGGAUUUUGGUAUAAUUUAGUAUUUAACCUUUUUAUAAAAGCAAGAAAGCAAAAAUGUCCCUUUUGUCGCAUACAAACAUGUGCAUCUUUGUGUACAUUGAGUGCGUUUGAUAGUGAUUCUAUGAAGUGUUUCUAGCAUUUUUAAUACUUGAAAAUUUUUAUCUUUCAAGUACUAGAAAGGUUAAAAACACUUCUUAAAAUCAUUGUCAAAUACACUCUUCAUCAUGGUUAUAGGAAAUUUUAGUUUUAAUAUUAUUGAAUCUAUCUAUAUUUAAUAAUCUUUAUCAGAUCUUCCCAUAUCAAGCAAUCUAAAUAGUAAGGGACUAGAGAUGUGCAAAAAAAUAAAUUUAUAAUUGAAAAAAAAAACAUAUAAGUGAUCGUAUAACAAAGAAAGAGAAAAAUUAAUAAAAUAAUCUUGCUAAUUAAAAACUUUUUGUUGUAAAUGUUUCUUAAUUUCCUCAUGAACAACCAUUUAUAACUACAAAAAGAAUCUUAUUCUUAAUAAUUAAAAGGAAUCAUAGGAUAGAUUUUUCUUCCAAAAUAGUUAUCAUACCAAUUAAUGUUACAUUAAAUAUGCUGUCACCUACGAGUGCCAAACAUGUGGUAGUGGUACCAAUUUAUAUUUCUUCCUUGUAUGUAGAUAAUACUAUGUUUUCAAAUGUUUUAUGCAACUCUAAUGUGAGACAUUUGAACAAGGUAAAUUAAUUUUGAAUAUAAGGUAGUGUCACUACUUUUGAUUUUUUUUUUAAUUUUCUUAUAUAUAACUUUAACAUAGGUAUUUUUAUUCAUUUCAUCAUUUUUAAAAGUUUUUUUCAAAUUUUUUUUAUAAAUUUUGAACAAUUUUUAUCUCAUCGAUAUUUUUGUCAAAAUAUUCAUUAAUAUUUUAUAAAUAUUUCUUAUAUAUCUAUAAAAUCUAAGUAUCGAUAUAUCGUUAUUUAUCAAAAAAAUUAUCUUUUUAAUAAGCAUGUGACUUCAAAUUACCCUUUUUUUCUUUUUUAAUUGAUUGUCUCCAAACACAUGAGACUAAUUUAAUACUACUAGUUUCUAUAUUACAUUGUAAAACAAGAGAUAUUAAAUUAAAGAGAAGCAUUGAGUGAUGGUAGGUAGGACUUACGUAUACAUAAGAUACUUGAGGAAAGGAUAUUUAUUUUCCAUUUUUUUAAAACUCUGCAUAAAAUUUAACAUAAUUUUGCCUUCUAAAAAUGGAAGAAAUAUAUAAUUUUUUUUAGUAAAAUAAAAAAUUGAAUGCACUAGGAGUAAUAUUUAAAGCCAAUUUAUAACUUUCAAAUUUCCAAGAGAUCAAAGAAAGGCAAUUGGAGAAAACUCUGAGACAAUAGAUGAAUGGUGAUGAGAAUGGUAACGUGAGUAGAGAUAAUGAUGGUGUAGAGCCCUAUUGUAGGGACCACCCCUAAACGCACACGUGGCAACCUUGCAGAGCACUCUUCCAUUAGGCACGUGGCACAUCUAACUUUCUAUCCGGAUUCCCUCAAGGGGGCACACGACACUCUCAAACUCUUCACCCGGAUGACCCCCACUCUCUUGUCCCGACGUCUUGUCCAGACCCAAUGCUAGCGUCUUAGAAAAAAGUCUUGGCCGUGUUUCACGGGCCAUCAUUAUUUAUAAAAAGCAUGCUUGAUGGGACCCUCUUGAGUCACUUCAGGCAACCUGUUACGACCUGCACCCCGCCGCCUAUAGAGCGAAAAGACAGAGAUGACGGCAAGUCAUCCCUCCCAUAAUUUCUAACAGCCGCCUAUAGGACAAUGAUGGCUCUGCCACCAUCUUAGCACCAUCAUGACAAGCUAAAAAGUCUUCCCACCAUUAAAGGGGACAAAGCUCCUGACACUAUAAAAGAUCCUCACACAGUAAAAAAAGGUAAGUGUUCUUGCCCAAAAAUGGAGGACCCAAGAGAGAAUAGAGAAAUGUUAGAGAUAAAGGCUAACAAAACCAUCGGAGGGUGUGUCCGGACCCCCUGUCCGGACAUCUUUUGUAGGUUGAAUGAAGCGGGUACCAUCUUCAGUUGAGGAGACGUGUCCAUCUAGCAUCUGUAGUGGCCCUGGUGAUGCGAGGCCUCAACAUUGGCGCCAUCUGUGGGAAUCGUAGCAUCGACAAAGAUGUCCACACCUUCUAGGAGUCGUUCAUCAGCCAGAGGAGAUGAAGGCUAUUUUGAAUGGCGUGAAACCAUGGAAAGGCGACAGUUGGAGAGCGAGUGACAAAUGCAAGCCCUGCUCAAACUAUCAACACCCUGCAAAACAUAAAAAUGCAAGAGAAUGAGUCAUUGAGGGAAUUCGUAAAACGAUUUGGUUAGGUUAUAUUGCAAGUAGAGGCCUGCAACAUGGACGUUGUCCUCCAAUCUUCAAACGAAGCAUAUGCCCGGGUAAGCCAUUCUUUGAAUCACUAGCUAAAAAGCCCCCCACAAUUAUGGAUGACCUGUUCCAGCGCACAAGCAAAUACUCAAUGCUGGAAGAUGAUGUGCACGCAACCACCCAGCAAAUUCUGGUUACCAGACCAUCAGCCAGAAAUGAUGUGAAAAAAAGUUCCAAACCUCCAAACCAGCAAAGGUUGUCUAGCGGCAAACAAGGAGAGCAAAGUCACUCAGAGCUGUCACCACUCACACCCCUUACCGUGUUAUAUGAGAAGCUUCUUCCCAUGAUCCGUGAGCUAUCCGACUUUAGGUGGCCCGGACCCAUCAGAGCUGACCCAACUAAGAGGGAUCAUAGCAAGAAGUGUGCUUAUCAUAAAGAACAUAGGCAUACUACGGAGCAAUGUAGGAGUCUCCAUUACUUGGUAGAAAGGCUCAUAAAAGAGGGGCACCUGAAGCAGUACAUCCCCUCAGAAGUCGGAGUUGGGAAUACUUCCCGGAGUCAAAACUCCGAGACCCCCAAGGCCCCAAUCGCCUCUAGAGCCGUAAUCAACUACAUCCACGAGGGACUCCUGGAUGAGGAGUACGACUCCAAAUGAAAGAGGCAAAGGCUGCUGCGAGCAGCAUCGAUAUGUGAACGUGUCAAUUCCAUCCAGCCCGGAUUAACUGGCGGGAGCGCCCAUCCAAUAGAUGGGACAAUCAUUUUCCCCCCAGUGGAUCCCACACGAAUAUUACAACCACACCGUGAUGCUCUCAUCCUAUUUCUUAGGAUUGGAGACUUCGACGUGAGAUGGAUCCUAAUUGACCCGGGCAGCUCGGCCGACCUCUUACAGGCAUCACUAAUCAAACAAAUGGGACUCAAGAUCUCUGGCUUAGAAAACCCUAGGCGGAUUUUGUCAGGAUUCAAUGGAGCGGCAACUACCUCCCUUGGAGACGUUGUGUUACCAGUCCAAGCAGGCUUGGUCAUCUGUAACGUAAAAUUUUCAGUAGUAGAAGAUUUGUCCCCCUUUAAUGCCAUCUUAGGACGUACCUGGUUGUAUUACAUGAAAGUCAUCCCUUCCACGUACCAUCAGAUGGUAAGCUUCCUCAACGAAGACGGACAAAUCGAUCUAUACGGUAGCCAACUAGCCUCCCGCUAAUGCUAUCAGAUAGCACGAGAAGCUGAACCUAGCAAAGAUAGUGAGCUACUCCCCGAACCCGCCAACGCACCUGGCUAAUAGCAAUUACUGACCCAGCGGAUAAGGAUCCCCCGGUGGCAGACCCCUUGCGGACAAUCCAAAUCUUGGAGGGAAGCACUCAUCUCACCCAUAUUAGUUCCUUCUUGACACUCGAAGAGGGUCGAAGUAUCGAGGAUGUGCUCCGACAGAACCAUGAUGUUUUUGCGUGGGCGCAUUCCGACAUGACAGGAAUCCAUCAUUCAGUUGCCUUCCACUGGCUUAACACCUUGCCUUCAUCAAGACCUGUCCGACAAUAGAUUAGACGAUUUCACCCGGACAUGCAAAAGAUUAUUCGGGACGAGGUUGACAAAUUGUUGGAAGCCGGAUUUAUCAGAGAAGUUGAGUAUCCAGAUUGGAUGGCAAAUGUGGUGGUGGUCCCCAAAAAGGAAGGGAAGUGGCGAGUGUGCGUCGAUUACACCAAUUUCAACAAUGCAUGCCCAAAAGACGGCUUCCCUCUGCCACAGAUAGAUCAAAUUGUGGACUCAACUGUCGGGCAUGGAAUGCUCUCCUUCAUAAAUGCCUUCUCCGGAUACCACCAGAUCCCCAUGGCCCCCGCGGAUGAAGAAAAAACAGCCUUUAUAACGCCGCAUGGGCUUUAUUGUUACAAAGUCAUGCCAUUCAGACUCAAAAAUGCCAGCGGCACCUAUCAAAGACUGAUGACAAAGAUCUUUAGACCCCUGGUUGGCUGCACAGUGGAAGUAUACAUUGAUGAUAUAGUGGUCAAAAGUAAAACCAGAGAAGAUCAUGCACACCACUUGAAAUAAGUUUUCCACCUACUAAGGAGGUACGACAUGAAGCUGAAUCCAUCCAAAUGCGCCUUUGGUGUAAGUGCAAGGAAAUUCUUAGGGUUCAUGUCACCCAAAGAGGGAUAGAAGUCAGCCCUAACCAAAUUAAGGCAGUCAUGGAGGUACCUGCCCCCAGGAACAAAAAGGAGUUGCAGCGCCUCACGGGUAAACUCGUCGCACUGGGACGGUUCAUAGCCCGAUUCACUGACAAAUUACGACCCUUCUUCCUGGUGCUACGAAAAGCUGGCACGAUUGGAUGGACGGAUAAUUGUCAAAGCGCCUUCGAGAAGAUUAAGCAUUACCUCACACAAGCACCCAUCCUGAGCAGCCCCCAGCCCGAAGAGAAGUUGUACAUGUAUUUGGUUGUGUUAGAUUGGGCAGUUAGCGCUGUUUUGUUUUGUUGCCCAACAUGUAAGGAGCAGAAACCUAUUUAUUAUGUCAGCAUAACAAUGGAUGAUGCAGAAACGAGGUAUUCAAAGAUAGAGCAAACUGUCUUAGCCUUAUGAAGUGCCACCCAUAAACUUCGUUCAUACUUCCAAGCUCACCCGGUAGUCAUACUUACCGACCGGCCCCUUCGCAACAUCCUACACAAGCCAAAUAUGUCCGGAAGAAUGCUCCAAUGGGCCAUAGAAUUAAGUGAGUAUGGGAUCGAAUACCGACUAAGAUUGUCCAUGAAAGGGCAGGUAAUGGCUAACUUUGUGGUAAAAUCUCUCCAACGACCUGCUCGAGACGGGGAACCGCACAAGGAGAAGUGGUGGACUUUACGAGUUGACGGAGCCUCUCGAUUGUCAAGAUCCGAAGUGGGACUUCUACUGCAAUCCCCAAGUAGUGAACAACUGGAAUAAGCCAUCCGGUUGGGGUUCCUCGCAUCAAACAAUGAAGCUGAGUACGGAGCCAUUCUGUCCGGAUUGGACCUCACACUCGCACUAUCCGUCUCUAAGCUCUGAAUCUACAGUGAUUCUCAACUCGUUGUGAGAUACAUACAGGAGGAAUACGAAGCCAAGGACGAGCUCAUGACACGAUAUCUAACAAAAGUGAUAGACACCCUACAACGGUUGGGUGAGUGGACUAUCAAAAAAAUCCCCCAGGCUGACAACGUACGUGUCGACACCCUAACAGGAAUAACUGCCUCGCUUCCCAUAAAAAUGCCAUACUAUUGCCCAUAUAUGUGCAGACUAGUCCCUCCAUCAUAGAAACGUUCACUUGCAAUACUAUUGAAGGGAGCCAAGAAGAGGGCCAAGAGUGGACAAAAGUCAUAAUAGAGUACCUCCGGACAGGCGCUCUACCUGAUGAACCGAAGUAGGCGCAUAAGAUCCGAGUGUAGGCUGCCCAUUUCGCCUUGAUCGGAGAAUGCCUUUACAAGCGAUCUUUCACAGGCCCCUACCUUAGGUGCCUAUACUGCUCAAAAGCCCAAUACGUAUUAGCAGAGUUACACGAGGGUGUAUGUGGAAAUCAUUCCAAAGGACGAUCUUUGGCACAUCGGGCACACUCACAAGGGUACUAUUGGCCCACUAUGAAGAAUGACGCGAUGGCUUAUGUCAAGAAGUGUGACAAAUGCCAAAGGCGUGCACCUAUACCACACGUGCCAUCUGAAACAUUGAAGCCGAUAUCCAGCCCUUGGCCAUUUGCACAGUGGGGAAUGGACACAGUGGGACCCUUACCCAUUGCAACUGCCUAGAAGAAAUUCCUGCUCGUUGCCACAGAUUACUUCAGUAAAUGGGUAAAAGUAGAAGCGUAUGCUAACAUCAAGGAAAAAGAUGUCACAAAAUUCAUUUAGAAGAACAUCAUUUGUCGGUUUGGAAUCUCUCAAGCAAUCAUAACCGACAAUGGUCCGCAGUUUGACAGUAUUGCCUUAUGGAAUUUCUACUCGAAACUCAAAAUCCAAAAUUUGUACUCCACACCACCCUAUCCCCAAAGCAAUGGGCAGGCAUAAGCGACAAACAAAACCUUACUGACUGCCUUAAAGAAGAGGUUGGAGUGAGCCAAAGGAAAGUGGGUAGAGGAACUGCCCAGCAUUUUAUGGGCCUAUCAGACCACGCUUGGGCAACCCACAUGAAACACUCCCUUCGUCCUUGCAUACGGCAUGGACGCAGUCAUCCCCAUGGAAAUAGGCUUGCCCACGAUUCGGACUGUCGUACGAGGACAAAAUGAUGAAAAUAUGAAACUAGGAAAAAACCUAGACUGGGUGGAUGAAAUAAGAGAAAAUGCAUCCAUCCGGAUGGCCGACUACCAACAAAGAGCGGCUGCUCAUUACAAUCGCAAGGCACGACCCCGAGUCUUCAAGAUUGGAACACUUGUCCUCAGGAAAGUUUUUUAAAACACCGCCAAAAAAGGAGCCAGGAAGUUCCAAGCAAAUUGGGAGGGCCCUUAUAUCAUCUUUAAAGUAGGUGAAAGCGGGGCUUAUCAUCUACAAAAGUUAGACGGAACCCCGUUACUCCGUUCAUGGAAUGUAUCUAACCUUAAGCAAUAUUAUCAGUAAAGAGAAAAAUGGAUGAAGAAAAAUAGAGGAGUGUAAAUAUUUAUAAAUGACUGUAAAAAUUGUCUUUACAAAAUUGGUCGUACCGCAUACGACAAAAAGAGAAAAGCUAUAAGGAGGGCUAAAUGCAAAGAAAUCUCAUCGCGGAGGGCCUUCGAGUAUCGCAUCCUCAUCAUCAGAAGGGAGAGAAGGAGUAUCAUGCAUGAUGCCAUUCUUCUUCAUACAGCAACGGUAGCUGAAGAAGUACAUCUCGUCUACCUGCCUCUGAUAUUCCGUUUCCAACUCCUUCUUCUGAGCGGCAAAUCCGACCUCCAUCUCCUUCCUUUGAGCAACUAAGCCCACUUGUAGCCCCUCCGUCUCCUUCUUCUGAGCCCCGAGACUAGCCCGGAGUUCAUCCAUCUCCUUUUUUAGUUGAGAAUUCUCCUGCUCCACCCCAUUGACUUGACCCUCUAAGGCUUCCUUUUCCCCCUUCAGCUGGUCCGCUUCAACCCGAAUAGCCCCCUUCUCCUCCUCAGCAAGCUUUAUCAUCUCUGCCCCAUCCGCUACAGCCUUCUGAGCAGUGGCCAAGUCAGCCUCCACCCUCUCUAAUCGCGAGCGCAUUUCCUCAAUGCCGCCCGGGGUGGUAGGAGAUGAAGGCCCGCAUAGCCUCUGCUACUUCCAGCCACUUGAAAAGUUGUUCGCGUGUAUGCAUCAUAUAGCAUAUGCCGGCCACAACCUAGACAAUGCAACAACAAUCGAAGAUAAUACCAGGCGAUGGAGAAAGCAUUGCUAAAGAAGAAGGAAAAGGCAGCACAAAAGGGAUUACCACUUCUGCAAUCUCUGGAAUCGUCCAUUCCUGCAGAUGCUGAAUGCAAGAUACGGUAGACUCAGGGGUGCUAAAAUGAAGCCGAGCCUUAACAAAGGUAGAAGGAUUACCACCCAUGUUUACAAAAACCCAUUUGGUGAGCAGGAAGAAGUCGGACAUCUUUGUGGAGGGAGCCUCCGCAUCCGUGAAGCACGACACUCCCUUCAGCAUCUCCAUCAUUUCCUCCCAACUUGGAGGAACCAUAGGAGCUGGACUACUCUUCUCGUCCUAGGCCUCCUCGAUGACCAGGGCAUCCAGACCCCCCUCCGUCCCACGAACCUCUUCUACAAUCGGGGCGUUGCUGGGGGCAACUAUGUCCGGCUGAACCAUGGCCGCUGCACUAGGCCCCGCAACGUCUGGCUGAGUCGCUGUCACUACGCUAGGACCCACCUCGUCCGGUUGGGGCAUAGUUGAUGGAGGGGCCUCCAUCACCAGAUCCUCCUCAACCCUCUCCGGGCAAACCUUCUUGGCUGGAGGAGGAACAAUGUCAAUAGCCUCAUGUAGUCUCUUACGAUGCCUCUUUAGGAACCCGGUUCUGAGAUCGUUCAUAUCUCUUUCUUCCUCCGGCUCAUUCACGACUCUUAAGCCAACAAAAUCUUAUUGAGACUGGGAAGGGCCAGUCCCCGAAUGGAAAGCGUCAAGUUGCAGGGAGCUAGAAGUGUCCUCAGGCACCUGUGCAGGGCUGUCUGGUCGACUGGAUGUGGAGUUUGAGGAUGAAGACGAAAGAUCAGGAGUCGGGGACACGAUCUUGAGAGCUUGUGUAAUUGUUUUCUUUUUCUUCUUUACAGCCAGAGGAUGGACUGCACGAGAAGAACCGUGCCCUUUCUCGCCAACCCUUUUUCACCAGGCGCUUUCCUUAACGUCCCCUCUUGCCUCUUCUCCUCCCGCUGGUCAAGACGCUCCUGGUCUGCCUUUGUGUCAGUCUAGUGGGCUCUUUCGUAAAAGGGGAGGUCCUUCAACACAAAAUGUUCCCCGGAACAACAACCUUAGGUAGCCGCCUGGGAAGGAUGUUGAGAACGUAUGGCUGAGGUUCCCAAACGACCGCCAAGAGGUUCCGGGCUAUAAGGAGCAUCUGGUAGUGUCUCUCGACGACAAUAAUCUCAAGCAACUUGUUUAAGCGGUCGAAGGAAGCCUUCUCCACCCACUCGACCAAGCGACCCCUCUUAUGUGUACCUGCAUUAGCCAGAACAAAAGAGCUUAGUCAUCUGAUAAAAUUAACUCAAGAGUCAAUAACCAACACGAGAUAAACACUAAGAGCUACCCCUACCCGGAAGCUUCAGCGAAUAGUUGGGGGAAAAGUCCCUCUCCGGAUGCUCCGACAAACCGGCCCAUGGUCCCCUGACCAAUGCGUGCCCUUUGGCUCCCCCUUUGUUUGAAUCCGAAAGGUUGGUCACCAAUUGAAGAGACGGGAUCUGGGCAAACAUGCUAAAGAUGUCUUUUUUCCCCUUCUUGAUGGUGUAAGAAAAAAGGACCUCUAACAGGGAGAGAUCCAAGUUGAACUGCAUAUUUAGGAUGCUGCACCCCAUCAACACCCGAACGAUAUUGGGAUGGAUGUAAGCUGGAGGAAUUCUUUGAAAAGAGACGGAAGAGGAAAACGGAGCCCCGCAUUGAAAUGCUCCUUGGAGAAGUAAAUAGUGUUGUGCGCGACUUUCUCUGUGUUCAUAGCAUCCCCGUCCACUAGCCGAACUGAGAUGCCGUUCAGGAAGUAGAAGCGCUCACGGAACUCCCUCUCGUUCAACUUGUCAAUAGGCUUCCCUGAGUAGGAUUGUCCGAAUGCACUUUUCACGUUUGGCCCAGCCGCGUUGGACGAAGCUACAUAUUUUUUUGCAAGCAUGGUGGAGCGUGGGGCUAAGACAAAACCUGCAUGGCGAAAUGCCAAUAGUCAAAACAGAGUUACCUAGCCCCACAGCGCUGAGAACAACAUCCCAGAAGGCCUAAAAUAACCAAACUCCCCAAGCCCAACCCCUAACUCUACCCAAAAGAUGAUUCAGCCACUCACAAAGGCAACAAGGGGGCAACAGAAGCUAUAGUGGGCUCAAAACAAAGCAAAUCCCCUAACCCCCCGAAAACCCCCAAACAUCACCCCUAACCCUCAAUCGCAAGCAAACACCCAACAAGCCAAAGAAAAUCAAAGAAAUAGGAAGCUGUAGAUGAAAGGAUAGAAACAGAAAACAUACCUGGCACAAGCUUGCAAUUGAAACGAAAGUCGAGACGAAAUUGCCCAAAUGCACCUAUUGAGAAGUCGCGAGAGGAACAUCGCUAACGGAAACCCUAGGAAGCAAUGCUCAGUCACUGACCAGAUGAACAAGAAGUAGAAGGAAAAAUGCAGUCGCGGGGGUUGGAUUCCCUAUUUAUGGGAUAAGACUCCUCGGAACUCCAAACGACCAGGUGUCUAACCGCACUGCUAUCAAAACAACAUGCAGCAUGGUAACCAUCCCAAGGACGGCGGCUCGCCAUAAAUGUCUCUCCUCUUUCAGCACCACGUGUCACGCAGACCCCAAAAAAGAAACGAAUGGGCUAAAGGCAUCAUUUUUAACCCGUCUUUUCUGCCCGACCAAAAUAGCUGGGUUAAAAGGGGGGCAUUAUAGGGACCACCCCUAAAUGCACACGUGGCAACCUCAUAAAGCACUCCUCCAUUGGGCACGUGGCACGUCCAACUUUCUGUCCAGAUUCCCUCAGGGGGGCACACGACACUCUCGAACUCUUCACCUGAAUGAGCCCCACUCUCUUGUCCAAAUGUCUUAUCCGGACCCAGUGCUAGCAUCUUAGACAAAAGUCUUGGCCGCAUUUCGCGGGCCAUCAUUAUUUAUAAAAGCAUGCUCGACGGGACCUUCCCAAGUCACUUCAGGCAACCUAUCAUGACCUGCACCCCGCCGCCUGUAGAGCGAAAAGACAGAGAUGACGACAAGUCAUCCCUUCCAUAAUUUCUGACAGCCGCCUGUAGGACAAUGAUGGCUCUGCCACCAUCUUAGCACCAUCAUGACAAGCCAAAAAGUCUUCCCACCAUUAAAGGGGACAAAGCUCCCGACACUAUAAAAUGCCCUCACACGAUAAAAAAAGGUAAGCGUUCUUGCCCAAAAGAGGAGGACCCAAGAGAGAAUAGAGAAAUGUUAGAGAUAAAGGCUAACAAAACCAUCAGAGGGUGUGUCCGGACAUCUUUUGCAAGUUGAAUGAAGCGGGUACCAUAUUCAGUUGAGGAGACGCAUCCAUCUUGCAUUUGCAGUGGCCCCAGUGACGCGAGGCCUCAACACUUGUGAAACCAGUAAUACAGAAACUCCACACCAUCUGCUCUCCAUAAGGGCAUGUGAGUAACCCUUAGAGCUGUGAAAUAAGCAUAUGAUCCCAUUGAAAAUAAUUUGGUCAUCCCUACAAAACCAAAAUACCAUCAGAAAAUUUGGACUAAGACCUCCCACAAGGAUUGAUUUGAGGUGUCAAAUUUUUUAAUUUCUAUCUUGCUUCAAUUGAUAUGAUGUGUUUACCAAUGUCUUUCUCUAUCAACUUGCUCAAAUUCAAUGCCCUUGUCAACAAUCCCGUUGUUGCCUUCGCCUGUUCGAUGGCAAGAAUGUGAAAUCUAAAGCUAGUUGUGGAGCAUCCUCCAUAACAUAAAUGGGAAUAUUAGAAAGUGAGCAACAUCUCUCCUUUUCAUCUUUAACUAGGAACGAGUAUAUGGCAUGAAUCACCCAUGGUGCCAAGAUCACGUACUUCAUCCACAUCAAACAACAGAGUAAUACAAGUGAAUAACUAAAUAAAAUGAAAUGAGUAUGCAAGAAAUAUGCAUACUCAUUUAAAAGGUUUUUUUUUUUUAAAUGAGUAUGCAUAUUAACGAAUAUUCCCAUUUUAAUCUAGAUCUUCCAAAAAAAUAUUCAAGGUAUUUAAAACUAAUUAAUGAAAAUAAAAUAUUAAUUUAAAGAUUAAAAAUCUUAUUUAAAAAAUUGAUCUUCAACCCUAAAUCUCCAAUUCUUCAUCCCUAAGCUCUGAUAUUUCUGAUCUUCAUGUAAAAAUGUUUUUUUUUUUUUUAGUAGAGAAGAUAGAAAAAAUUUAAUUUAUACAUAGGGGUUUUAAAUACCAAAAGACUUUUUUACUUUUAUUAAAUUAUUUUAAUUAAUUAUUAAUUUUUAAAUUAUGAUUUUACCCAAAAUUGGGUUUUGGGCAUUACAUAUCCUCUUCUAUGCUGCUUAACCUUCCCUUCUCCUAAGCCUCUAAACCAUUGAUAUUUUAUAUCAGUUUUGAAAAGGCUUAUUGCAUUUAAUUUCCUUGGAAUAUUAAAUUAAAAUCCCAAGACGUUGCACUAGAUGGGUAGAAGUAAUAAUUGAGUGCCUGUUCGUAUUGAAUGCUAAGAUAUGAACAUGUGCUCUCAAAUUAAUGCUAUGCACACAAUUAAUUUUUUUAUCAUCAAAUUAGUUGAAAAUGAAUAAUCUUUAAUUAAAUGCAAAAUCCAAUUCGAUAUGAUUAAUCAUUUUACAAACAUAAUUUAACUAAAAGGAUGUUUGAGAAAUCAAUUUAAUAAUUUAAUAUGACUUAAUAACUUAAUUUAAAUCAUUAAAUAUAUUAAAUAUAUCUAAUAAAAUAACUUAUUAAUUAUUACAGCUUAAAGUUAUUUUUAACUUUAAGUAUUAAGUUGAAAUAGUUAACUUGUUCUUAAUCUCAAUUCUUUUUACCUUAUUUGUCCACACAAGUGAGAAUGUUUUAAAAUUAUAAAGUUAUCUUGUACAUGUAAAAUACUUUAAAUAUAUAUGUUUUACAAAUAAAUUUAUAUGUCACUUAAAAGUGGUGAAAAUAAAUUGAGUUAAAAUCAAUGACAAGAAACACUUGUUAAGAUUAACGAGGGUAGAUAUGUCAAUUGGAUGAUUUAAAAUAAAUUUUAAAUUAACAUUAUCAAACAACCUCAAUACUUCAAAAUAAAAAUGUGUUUUAAGUUAAUAACUUAAAAAUAAUUUAAUUUAAAAUCAAUUUAACUUAUCUACCAAUCAAUAUUAAGUUUUACCAAACACUCUUUUAUUAACAUUAUAUUAAACAUGAUAGACAUUAAAUCCAAAGCUGGUUGUGGAGCAUCCUCCAUAACAGAAAUGGGAAUAUUAGAAAGUGAGCAACGUCUCUGUACUUUUCAUCUUUCACUAGGAACGAGUAUAUGGUAUAUGGCAUGAAUCGCCCAUGGGGCCAAGAUCACAUCAAACAACAGAGGAAUACAAGUGAAGAACUAAAUAAAAUGAAAUGAGUAUGCAUGCAGGAAAUAUGCUAAGCCUUGGUGUUUCCAAAAUUAUGACAGUUCAAACAGGAAAAAAUCUUAUGCAUGGAGACCUCUCUUUAGUGAACAGACAGCGAAAGAGAGGAGAUUUGAGAUUGCCGAGAGGUAUCCAUGGCCAAUCAGUGAGUAAUAUUCCAGGUUUAGAAGCCAUAUUUUGAUUUUGGGACUUCUCUUGAAGCAAUGCAUAUCCGGAGGACUGGACUAUAUAGGGUCUUUUUCACUUUGUUUAAUAAGAAAUUUAAGAUUGUCCUAAUUUAAACCGGUGUUCUAUGUCCAAAUUCAUGCCUAUACCAGUAAACAAGCAAAUUAAAGUUUUCAUUGAUGGUUGUUGAAGAAGUUGCACCAAGAGGUUUUUCUUAGAUAUCAUAUUCAAUUUGAUUUGUUUUUUAUGGGUUUUUUUUUCCAUGUUUUCCUUUUGUUUUAAAAAAUUGAUAAAAACAACUUCCUAUUUAUUUUCUAAAGUUGUUCUCUAUUUCAUUUUUGUUUUUAAAAUCUGUUUUAAGAAAACAAUGAUCAACAAUGUUAGUAAUUUUUAAAAACAAUUCUCUAAUUUUAAAAAAUAAAAAACUGUUUUUAAAUCACAUCACAAAUGCUCUUAACUUUUGUUUCUCAUUUAUUUGAUUUUGGCAAAUCUAUUAACUAAAUCAUUCCGAAGACGGGUUCCUGAAAGUAUAUAAUCCAAUUUUGCACAAGCACAUGUAUAGACUAUAUGCUGAUGAUGAAAGUUCAGAGUUUGUUGGUCCGCAUUGGCUGUAAAUCAUUACACAUUUUGAAAGGACAAACUCAUGGUUCAAGAAUAUUGUGACAUUUCUUAGCUGGUCUCCAUGAGCACCGUACUUCAAAUGGGGUCAAGAGAGCAGCUUUACAGAUAACCCGAUGGAUGACCUAUAAUUUGCCAAAAGUGGAAUGGCAGAAUUCUAAUAAUUUGAAUGUAUUUGGUUCAUUGAAGCAUGUUGGGUCCAUUCCAGCUUUGCAGUAGGGAAUCUAUAUAUGAAUUUUUUCAGCCGCAUCUGUUUAUAUGUAUAUAAAAAGGGGAACCUUGCACAGAGGCACUUACGAGUUACGAGUGACGGCAUGAUCUACUUCUAGCUUGGUCCAAAGUUAGUGUGAUAACAUCACAGACAUGAUAAUAUUAUGAUGUUACAUCUCUGUUUUCUUUCUCUUAUUUUCUUGCUUCCUUAACCAUACGUGGAGGAUGGAGAGAUCACAUUAAUCGAUGGUUGUGCUUAAAUAAAUAAUUGCUUCCUAUACCAGUAAACAAGCAAAUUAAAGUUUUCAUUGAUGGUUGUUGAAGAAGUUGCACCAAGAGGGUAUCAAAGCCUUUUUAUUUGUAGCCACCGGCCCUUUUUAUCAAAACAUUUUUAUAUAUAUAACAUCAAAAACUUUUUCUCAUAUCCAAUAUGCAAUAUUACAUUUACAUUCAAAAAUUGUCAAAACAAGAAAUUUGAGAUGGUUGUGCCUUAAAAUUUUAAACCAUAUAAUAAGAAUAAUUUUAUUUAUCUCUCAUACUUGAGUUAAAUUUUGAUCUGUAUAAUGACUGAAAACAAUAGCAUCAAUCUAGGGUAGUAGACAAAGGGUGUAUCCAAUCACAUCAUAACUAGUAACAUGUUAUGUUCGGUUUAUCUUCCAAAUAAUUAAUGACUGUUUGUCGCGUUCGUCUGUUUUAUCUUUCUGGUUUCAAUUAGGUUUCGUUAGUAAGCUGAUCACUACUUCCCACCAAAUUCAUGCACUUAAUUUGAAGAGAUUGAUGUAACAAAGCACUAUGGAGGCCUCGUCCACUUGGGCGGCAUCCAGCCUUUUCUUUGGAGGUUUAUUUCUCUCUCCGUUACCUACCCAAUGGUCCAAAUUAAAGACCAAUUAAUGUAGUAGCUAAGGUGACGUGUGGGGAGAUCUUUGACACGUUUGUAUACUUUCCCAUCUUUGACACGUAUCUUCCAUUAGUGUGUAAAGCUCUCAUAUUAUGUUUGAUUUAUUUAUAAAAAGAGAAAAAAAAGAAAAAAUAAAAUUUGAAAUUAAUAAAUUAUUUUUAUAUAUUAUUUUAAAUUUAUUUCGGCUAUUUAAUAUAAAAAUUAAAUAAUUUAAAAAUAUAUAAGUUAUUAAUUAAUUUUAAUUAUAUUUGUUUUUUAUUAAUAUUUUUCAUGAUAAAAUUAGAUAAAAAAAAUUGAUUACUCUUAAUUUUAUUUUUUCUUAAUACUUUUUAAAAACCAAUGAAGUUAGCUUUCGGUUAUCGACAAGAAAAAAAGAUGACACGUGCAUUUCCAUUUCCAUUCUUUAUUCUUUCAAUUCCAAAAGUUUCCCUUGCUACGGUGGAGUCAGGAGUGAACGCAAGAGGGGCAAGUGCACUGAUGACAAAUGGAACAAAAUAUUUUGACUAAAAAUUAUACAAGAAUUUUUUUUUUUAAAUUUCAAAUUAUAAUUUCAUUACAAUUAAUGAACCAUUUAAAUAUAGUUAUGAAAUGUUAAACAUAUAAAUAUAUAAACAGUUUUGGCACAUAAAUUGCAAAUAAACAAAAUAUCUCAAUUUUUCAAUAAAAUAAUUAUAAAUUUUAUCAAAAGCCAUAUGAGAACAAAAACUAGAAAAUAGAUCUUAUGAAUUUUGGUAAUUUUUAAAUAAAAUAAAAUAAAAAUCAGUGAGACAAAAAAUUUUAAAAGGGCUUUUAAAGAUAUUACCAAUAAUUUUAUUCAAAAAAUCAUUAAUAUAAGUAACAAAAUUACAAAUAGGUUUUAUUAUUUUUAUAAUUAAAAUAUAGAUUAAGAAAGUUUUAUUAAAAAAAUCAUUAAUUUCAAUGAUAAAAUUUAUAAAUAUAAUUCUUAUUAUUUUUUGUUGCGGCCUCCUUCAACUUGGGUUGAACUAUGCAUCCUCUCCCUCCUCCAAAUUAAUACAAAUAGGGAUGUGAAAAUAUAGGCUAGUUAGGUUGACCCUUCUCCAAUGGUUGAGUUAGCCAUAGAGUGAAUCGAGAAGACAACAGAUAAGCAUGAAUUAUUUUUUGUACCUUGUUUGAAAACUUAGGCCUCAAUUUAUAGUUUCCUUUAGGUGGAUUGUAAAUAGGAAAAUAAUAAACUGAGACAUAAAUUAUGCAUUGGUUUGAAUUAUUUUGGUUCCACUAUGUUGAAUGUUCUGGCCAUAUGUGAUUAAUGUGUUAGAAUUCUUGGAAAACACCAUUCCAAGCCCUAGAUUAUUAGGGUGCAUGCAUUUAUAAUGAUAAGGAUGCUAAAUCUAGGUAAAGAAAGCAUUUUAAAAUAAAACUCUAGAUCUAGGUGCUCAAAAUCAUUACCCUUGUCCUUAAUGUUCUCAAAUUAAUUCUAAUCAAUAAAGUAGAUGAUGUAGAUCUUGAAUGCAACGCGAUCUUCCAUUGAUGACUCUCUUCUAGACUUUGGCACUAAAGAAUGAUGAAAUGCUCUUUGUGGAGAUGGAGGUUAACGUUCUCUCUCUCUUUCUCUCUCGUGCUUAGCUUACUUUAUCUGCCUCAUUAGUUCCUAAUCAAUUAAUUAAUCAUAUUGGGAUCUAAUUAAUUAAUUAUCCUAAUCUAGAGAGACCAUUCAUGAGCUCUUAUGGAACUUUUCAUAUUUACCAAAACACCCUUAUGCAUAUAUAUGAAUAAAGAACUCUAAUAUCCCUAAAACAAUGUACCACUAAGGAAGCUGAGCUCAAGCGAAGACCAUUAGAACCCAUAGGAAAAUACUGGCUCCCCUAAAAUCCAAUUCCAAAGUUUACUCAACAUCUUACUAUAGAGAGACAACCGCACUCCAAUAUCCCAUUAUAUUAAAUUGAGAUAUAAAACUCAAGUCUAUGAUCUACUAACCACUACAUGUAAGCAUAAACUGGUAUCCAUAAUUUAAUAAGGUAGAUGCAAUUAACUUUUUAAGAUUAUCUUUAUCAUAUCCUUGAGUCUCAAAUUCUUUUAUUAUGUAAUCUACUGACAUACUUUACCUUAACAAUAACAUAUGUCAAAUUCCAUUAAAGGUAUUAGUACUAUCAUAGAUUCAUGAUCACACAUCUUUAAGAUCAUUGAACGGGACUAUGAAAUAUCAUAGUGAUUAUCUUAAGAAUACCUAUUGUCAUUUGUGUUAAUCAAUAGUGAUUUAAUAUAUAAGGAAUGUAUAACCACCUUAGGGUCUCACUUGUAGGUCAAAGUCAUUAAAAAUUUCAACUCUACCUUGAUAUUCUCUCAAGGUUGAGAGCUCAUGUAGAAUAGUAACCUAGUGAAGUUAUGACUUCCUAAUAGCCAAUGUUGACUUAUCGUAGGUUAUCCAAUGUAUAACCAUACACGCUUGUGCACUCAUAUAGGGAAACUCAUUUCGAUAACCCAAACAAGUCAUCCUUCCAAUUAGAAGGUAAUGCACUACAACUGAUUUGUGCAUAGAUCAUACAAUUUUGUAAAGCUUAAAUGUUAAUAUUCUUAAGAUAUUUUCACUUAAACUAAUAAGUUACUUUAACAAAUAUUUAUGCUAAGUGUCUCUUUUAGAAUUAAUAUUGGAAGAUAGGAAGUUUUUGUGCAUAAUUAAAGUAUUUUAUAACUUUCACAUUAAUUCAAAAGACAACAAACAAGAUUGAAGCACAAUUGUAAGUUGUUGAAGAGGAAAAUUAAUAAAUUGAUCAUUAAUUUGAUAUCAAAAGUGUAUUUUGAUACAUGAUAAUAGUGUUGGGAUUGAGCCCUUAACAACAGGAUAUGGUGUAAUGAAGUUAAACUUUACUCUUCUUUGUUAUCCAUUUUAUGCAUUGACAUUGCUUUAAGCAUUCAACUCAUAUUACUUGCAUUGUACAUGAUUCAGGUUCAUUAUGAGUUGUAAAAAAAAUACAAGUCAUGGGUUCCUUGCAAGAUGAUAAGUUGUUCACAAUUUGUUCAUAGAUUUGAGAAAUCCUAUAAAGGUUGUAGUGCACUACAUCCUAAUUAGAAGGAUGAUUUGUCUUGGCCGUCGGGAUGGGGUUCUCAUGGUGAGUGUAGUAGUGUGUAUGGUUACACAUUGAACAUGACCUACAAUGAAUCAUGAUAAAAGACUAUUGAAUAGUUAUGAUUCAUUAAGCUACUAUGUUGCAUGGACUCUCAACCUUAAAAGGAUGUUGAGCAUGUUUUGAAAUCAAAAAGAUGUUUUGACCAAUGAGUGAGACCCUAAUAUGGUCAUAUAUCCCUAUGGAUUAAGUCACUAUUGAUGGAGACUAGUGACAAUAGGUAUUCUCAGUAAAGGCACCAUGAUAUCUCAUGGGAUUGAGACAACGUAUCCCCUUGGGUUAUCUAAGUACAUGAGCAUGAGAUCAUGAAAUUUGUGGUCAUAGUAAUUCCUUUAGUGGAAUUUUAUAUAUGCUCCUUGAAAGUAUGUCAAUUGAUCACAUAAUAGGAGGAUCUAUAACUUAAGGAUUGGAAAGACAAUAGCUUGAUGCAUUGAUAGUACUACCUUGUUAGAUUACAAACAAAAGUUCAUGGGGAGUCUUAUGCAUGAAUAAUAGUUCACAAAAUUGAGCUUUGCUCAUUAUAAUUUCAUAAGAUAUUGGAGUGCAAUUGACUCUCUUUAAUGGAAUGUUAAGUUAACUUUAGAAUUAGGUUUUAACAAAGCUACUAUUUUCCUAUGGGUUCUAGUGGUCCCCACUCGAGCUCCUAGUUUAUUGUGGCACACGGUUUAAGGGUAUUUUGAGUAUAUAAUUCAUAAGUAUGUAUAAGGGUGUUUUGGUAAAAACACAAGGUUACACUAGAUCUUAUGAAUGGUCUUCCUAAAUUGGGUUAGUUAAUUAAUUAUAGCCCAUAAGGGCUAAUUAAUUAAUUAGAACCAAGUAGGCUAGAUUAGGUAACACAAACCUAAUUUGGCCUUAAGUCACUUAAGCCCGUAGGGAAGUUUAUAUAAUUUGGGGGGAGGAGGGAAGGGGAGGGCUUCAGUAUUGCAAUUUAGUUUUCUAAAAUUCUAGAGAGAGGAACCUUAGCCAUCCUCUAGAGAUAAAGAAGUUCACCCUUCUCUUGUGCCAAGACCUAUGGUGUGAGGAUUCGAUGGAAGAUCGUUGGGUAGAGGAGUUCCAUGAUGAUCACUAUGAUUUCAGAGCCUUCUUUGAAUUAGAUUUGAUUUGGUAACAUCCAAAUCAUAGGUUUGCACUUUUUAACUCUAUAUCUAUAUUUGUUUUGGUUUUUAAGGCCAUAUUAUUUUGUUGUGUUAGAUCUAGAGAACCGUAGGGAUGGAUGCAUGCACCCUAUAUGAUCCAAGACCAGUGAAUGGAGCAGUCUGGGUUUCCCAGUAGAUAGAACAUGAAUGAUUUUUUCAUAUAUAUGGAAAUGGAUAUGAGAAGUUGUAUCAAAUUUGUGAAACUGAGAGAUUUCGAUACCUCAGUGUUAUCAAUUACAAGAUUUUGACACCAGAGUUAUUGGGUAGUUAUAGUCAUUAUAUUGGAUCUAUAUUUCAAUAUAAAUUAAUACAAGAAGGAAGUAUUGACCAUUAUCGAUGUAUGUCGAAUAUGAAUUCGAUAAAGUAAAAAACUAAUAAGAAGUAAAUGCACAAUAAACCAAUAUGAGUAAUCCAAAUUUAAUAUCCAAAAUUUUGUAUCACUUAUUAUCUCUUGAUAUCAAAUUCACUUCUAAAACUAUUGGUAGGUUUGAUGAUCAACUUCAAUAUUAGGAUUCUUAUACCAAGAUGUAUUGGAAUGUAUCAUAUUCACUAUUUCAACAAAGGUAGCUAAAUAGAGUUUAAAUGCUAUAUUGGAUUAGUAUUGAUUUGCUAAAGAGGUAUCAAAAUAGUUCAUGAAAUGUAAUAAGAAAAAGUAGAAUUGAAGAUUUAGUUUUUUAUACUUCCUUGUGGUUCAAAUGUGUAUGUGGCAAGUUAUAAUUGGUUUGGAAACAAAUCUCCUUGCCUAUAAAUAUCUUUUUGUCUAGUCAUUUUGAGAUAUAGAUGGCUUGAUAGAGAUAGAGAGAUUCAAAUGCUUAGAGUUUGAAGAGUUGGGUUCUAGAUGUUAGAAAUUAGAGAGAGUUUCAUUUGUACUUUUCUUAAGUGAUUUUCUUUGAUUUUCUUAAUUGCAAGACAAGAUCUAGUUUUUGAAUCUUAUCAUAGAGAGUAAGGAUUAUGUUGAUUUUUUAAGAAGCUUUUUAUGAUUCAAUAAAAAAGAAUUAAAAGAUGCAUUUCUCUGUAAUGUUCUUAAUUGUAAUAUUUUAUUUUAUUUUAUUUUAUUUUAUAAAUCUUAAUCUUGAAUUCUUAUGAUUUCCCAUUAUAAAACUUGUCCUUUUCAUGCUAAAAAAAAUCCAUUGGAUAUGAUGCAUUGCAUUUGUGAUAUCUCGUAUCGGAUAGAGGAGAAAGUUACUAGGGCUAUAUAUGUAUGGGCUCCUCUUAAUCUUGUAGACGUGUUUUAAAGAUGUGAGGGCCCCUUUGGGCUUAGAACAAACAAUAUCUACAUGGUUGGGUGUAGGUUCUUACAAAUGGUAUCAAAGUCAAUCCUCGACCUUGGUGUGGAGGUCUAUUUGACCAUAUAGGGGGUGUUUAUCAAUUUGGCCCCACAAUCCUAUGGGGUACAACAAGGAUGUUGUGUCUGCAUGGGGUGUGGGGGAGGGUUGUUUGUAAUAUCUCACAUCAGAUAGAGGAGAAAGUUACUAGGGCUAUAUAUGUAUAGACUCCUCUUAAUCUUGUAGAUGCAUUUUAAAGCUACAAGGGUCUUUUUGGGCUUAAAGCGGAUAAUAUUUACAUGAUUAGGUGCGAGUUGUUACAACAUUGAUCUAUUAUUUUCUAUCAAAUUUGUUAAGUGAAGUUUUAUGAAUCAAAAUAAGAUAGAUUUGAUCAUAAAUGUUUAAGAACUUCAAUUUCUAAAGGAUAAUCUCAAAUCUAGGAUAAGAAACUGUAAAUCCUAUCAUAAGGGCAUUAAGAAAGAUAAUUUAUUUUGUGAUAAGACUUUCCUAAAUUGAUGUAUUAAAAUUGUUAGAUUUGUGUAAAUUAUCAUUGUUCAUUGCCCAACUGCUACAACUGAUCAUUGUGUUUUUAUGUUAUCCAAAUUCUUUCCUUCAUUAUUUUUUUGUAGAAGUAAUCUCAAUUUAAAUUCAUUUGAUUGGUAUUAAUAAUAUGUUCUUUUGAUGUAAAUCCUUAUGAAGAUGACUUAGUUGUUAGGAUUGAGCCCCAAAAAGUAAGACAUGAUGUAACAAAGUUAGACUUAACUAUCCUAUUGCUAUCCUUUUUGUAUAUUGACAUUGAUUUAAGCAUUCAAUCCAUGUCUCUUACUUUGUACAUAACUUGGGUGCAUUAGCAAUUGCACAAAAAAUACAAGUCAUGGGUUCCUUGUAAGUAGAUAAGUUGUCCAUAGUAAGUUCAUGGAUUUGGACAAUCUAGUAGAGACUAUAGUGCACCACCUCCUAAUUUUAGGGAUGGCUUGUCUUGGCCAUCGGGAUGGGUUUCCCAUAGUGAGUGUACCAGUGUAUGUGAUGCACAUUAAACAGGACCUACAGUGAAUCAUGAUGCAAGGUUAUUAAUUGUCAUGAUUCAUCAAGCUAUUGUAUUGAAUUGACUCUCAACCUUAAGAGGAUAUUGAGUUUGUGCCAAAAUCAAUAGGAAACUUUAACCUAUGAAUGAGACCCUAAAGUGGUCAUAUAUCUCUAUGGAUUAGGUCACUGUUGAUAGAGGUUGGUGGCAACAGGUAUUCUCAAUAGAAGCACCAUGAUAUCUCAUGAAAUUGAGACAGUGUGUUCCCUUGGGUGAUUCAAAAGACAUGUGAUCAUGAAAUCUGCGCCCACAAUAAUGCCUUUAGAGAAAUUUGACAUAUGCUCCUUGGAGUUAGAGUAUGUCAUUUGAUCACAUAAUAAGUAGGAUUUGUAACUCAAGAAUUUGAUAGGUGAUAGCAUUACCUUGUUAGAUUACAGACACUAGUCAUGGAGAGUCUGAAAAUAAUGGAUAGUAAGUCACAAACUUAAGCACUUAGUGUCUUGAUGUUAAUUAUAUAGGAAAUUGGAGUUCAGUUGAUUCUCUGUAGUGGGAUUUUGAAUCAACUUCAAAAUUAGAUUCCGAGGAAGCCAAUACUCUUAUGGGUCCCAAUGGUCCCUGCUCUUAGCACAUAUGCCUUAUUGGCAUGGAUUAUGAGGGUUAGAUUGGCUUUAAGUUCACUUUUGUGCAUAAGGGAAUUUUGAUAAUUAUGCAAGGUUGCACAGGGGUAAGUGAACAAGGUCUCUGGAUUAGGUUAAUUGAUUAAUUAGUAAGCCCUAUUGGGUUGAUUUCAGAAUUUGAUUAUAAGCGAACCAGUACUUUUAUGGGUCUCAGUGGCCCCCGCUUUGAACUCAUAUUCCUUGUUGGCACGACUUAUGAGGGUUGAAUAGGUUUGUGGUUCACUUUUGUGCAUGAGGGUGUUUUAGUAAUUACACAAUAUUACACAAGGAUAAGUGAGUGGUAUCUAUAGACUAGGCUAAUCGAUUAAUUAGGCCUUGUAUGGUUAAUUAAUCAAUUAACCUUUUUGAGCUAGAUUAAGUGACCCAAGCCCAUGAGGGCUUAAGUCACUUAAGCCUAAUAGGAAGCUUAUAAAUACCCCUUUAAGGGUUAGGGUUUUGAAGUCUUGCUAUUCUCCUCUUCAGUCUGGAGAGAGAACCCUAGCCUCCACCCUUGAGAUCUCCAUCAUCUCAGUUCCUAGACACAAGGAAGAGUCAUCGAGCAGAAGAUCAUGGUUUUUAUGAGAUCCAUUUGGAGUUAUCUACAUCAAUUAGAAUUGAUCCGAGAACAUUUGGAUCAAAGGUAUGUGAUUUUAUUCUCUAGAUCUAUGUUUUUUUAUGGUAGCCAUAUUGUUUUUUAAUACCUAAUUGUGAUAGAUUUAGAGAGCCUAGGAUAGAUUUGCAUGCACGCUACACAAUCUAGGGCAUGGGAAUGAAGUAAUCUAGGGUUCCCAACAUUAGUUGCUAUGCUAACCUUUAUGUUUCUUUUAAUUUCAAAGAAUGAAGUUGUUUUGGUUUAUAAACAAGAGAUUUCAAUGACAAAUCUAGUGAAAUACAAUAACUUCAUUAUUUAUAUUUUUCCUUAGUAAUUAAAUUGUACCAACAAAAGCCAAACCAAAAAUAGUGUCAUUGCUAAGGAUUUACUAACGAAUUGUUGAUAUGAUCAAACUAGUUUAGAAAUAAAUUAUGCGUCGCUUGCUGUGUAAUUUAUCAUUGACUUUUUUACACAAAAAAUACUUUAUUUCUAGACUAACAAUGAUGUAGGAAGGUUAUAUGAGGUUUGAUCUUGAGUAUGAGAGGCAAUUGGAAGAGGAGUAUAGGUAGAUUGGAGAAAAGAAUUCAACUACUUGAGGUGAUAGUCAUGGAAGAACAAAUAAGUUAGAAUUUGCCUAUUUAAGAUCAAAUGUAAAUAUUUUGUUUGAUGUGAGGUUACUUAAAUCCACUAAGAGUAGAUUCUCCAUCAUGCUUCAUCCCUCAGACCGAGUAUGUCACCAUUAGAUCAUAACUAGUAUCACUAUUGCCAAUAUUCAGAGAAUGUGAAAGAGAGAAUCCAUAGACACACAUUAAAGAAAUAUUUGAAGAAAUCUAUUUGAUAUUCCAAGACCAAAAUAUCUCCAUGGAUAUUAUGAAAAUGAAGUUGUUUAGCUAAAGUGUGGUUCAACAUGCUACAUCUAAGGAGCAUUCAAUCUUGGAAUCAGCUCUAGGCUGUCUUUCUCAAGAAGUUUUUCUCUAUACACCACACACUAGUAUGUUGAAGAGAAUAAUAUCUAGCUUCACUACAAAAUAAAGGAAAAACUUUUAUGUAUGAUGGGAGCAAUUCAAGGAGAUAAUAUAGGAUUGUCCACAUCAUAGUUUUGACGGUUGGUUGAUCGUUUCUUACUUCUAUGAGGGAAUGCUUCCUUAAAAGAUAUUAAUUGAGUCCAUGUAUGAAGGGGACUUUGUGAAAAAAAAUAAUCCAUAUGAAGCAAUCCAAUUCUUGGAAUACAUAGCUAACCUAUUCAAAGGAUGGCAAGACCUAAUGUAAAAAACUACUAAAAAAUAGAAGAAAUUUCAAUUCUACUCAAGCCUCCAACAGAGGAGGAAUGCAUAUGAUGAAUCAGGAUAUGAAGUUCAAAUCUAAAGUAUCUACUUUAGCAAGGAAAUUGGAAAAACUAGAAAUAAAGGACAAAAAGGUUUAUGAAGUGAUUAAAGUUUUGGAAACCUAUGCCAUAUGUGAAUCAAAGGAGCACAUUACAAUAGAGUACCCUACUAUCCCUACUAUUAAAGAAAUUUUUAGUGAGCAAGCUGCAAUAUUAGGUAUGGUUGGGGGGUAUAAUCAGAAGAUAUUCUGUCUUCAAUAGAAGCAUUCUCCAUUUUUGAAUGCGUAUAAUCCUGGUUGGAGGAACCAUCCCUACCUGUUGUAGAGUAAUCCUAUAAACUUUCAAAAUACUUAAGUAUUAGCAAAGAGAAAAUCAAUAUGAACAAAAUAUGCAACAUUAGUACCAACAACAAUAGUAGGUUCCAAUAUAGCAACAACCACAAAAAGCACUCCUAUCAUCACUAAAAGCGAUGAUGCAAACCGUCAUCAUAGAACAAGUGAAAGCAAAUGAUGAGUUCAAAAGGUCCAUCAAUGAUGAAAAAAUAAAUAAAUAAAUAAAAUAAAAUGGGAAGUAAAGAGAAUUCAAUGCCACUACUUCUCUAAGCGUCACAAAUAUCCAGACUAUGUGAACUAAGAUUAACCUAUAACCCAAUGGUGAGACGGGGAAAUUUCUAGCAUAACCAUAACAAAAUCCAAAAUCUGUAUAUGAAGCCAAAAAGUCCACAACCUCCAUCAGUGAGCAUCAAGCGUUGAAAGUAGUUGUUGCUUUGAGAAGUGGUAGAGCAUUAAUUAAGGGAUAAAAGAAAUGGAGAAAUAAAGAAGAAGAAUAAAUAAAUAAAUAAAUAAAAAAGACAAAAAACAAAGAAUGUAUGCAAAAUCAGCAGAAACGUAAAACGCUUAAACUCAUGAAAGAACCUGAACUAGUGAAGACAAUAACCCCAUUUCCUAAAGCUAUAGGAUGAAAGGGAGGAUGACCAAUAUGCUAAAUUGUUUAAUGUUCCACGUCAAGAUAAAGUUGUUAAGAUAGAGCCUUAAAAAGCAUGACAUGAUAUAAUAGAUUUUAAAUUUAUUAUUUAUUUAAUAUUAUUCCAAUUUCACUUUUAUCUAUUCUUCUUCCAUGUAUUAUAACUUAUGAUCAUUUUUGUUGGGCAUCUCUUACAUUGUACAUGAAUUGGGUGCAUUAGGAGUAGCAUGGAAGGUCCAAGUUACGGGUUCCUUGCAAGUUGAUGAUUCGUUCACAACUAGUUUCUUAGUUCAAUAAGGAGAAUUAAAUCCUUGGAGUUAUUACAUAUAUAUAUAUAUAUAGUCAUACAUGCAUAAAAAAAAUCAAUUAAUAAUUAAACUCAUUGAAUUUAAUAAUUAAGUUUACUUUCUUCCAAAAAUUAGGUACUUUAUGUUAGGAUAGAGCCCACAAAAAGAUAACAUAAUGUAACAAUAAAUAAAUUUCAUCAAUACUUAUAUUAUGAUUCCACUUUUCCUUUUCACUAUCUUGUUUAUGCAUUAUAUAUGUUGAGUAUUCAAGUUUAUAUCACUUACAUUGUAUAUGACUUGUGCAUAAAGAAUUGCAUGAAAGAUCCAAGUCAUAGGUUCCUUGUAAAUUGAUGAUUCAUUUAUAGUUGGUCCAUGGAUUUAGGCAAUUCAUUUGAUGUUGUAGUCACUAUCUCUUAAUUGGAGGUAUGAUUGAUCUUAGUAAUCGAGAUGGGGUUCACAUGGUGAUUACACUAGUGUGUAUGGUUAGACAUUAAAAAAGACUUACGGUAUCAUAACAUUGGCUAUCAGGUAAUCAUUACUUUACCAAGCUACUAUGUUGCAUGAGCUCUUAAUCUUAAGAGAAUAUUGAGCUAGUGCCAAGGUCUUUAGUAGCUUUGGCCUAAAAAUCAAACCUUAAGGUGGUCAUAUAUUCCUUAUGUAUUAGGUCACUAUUGAUAAGGGCAUAUGACAACAAAUAUUCUCAAAAUAGGCACCAUGAUAUCUCAUAGGUUUGAGACAGUGUGUCCCCUUGAGUGAUCCUAAAGACAUAUAUAAUCAUGAAAUUUGUUGUCAUAAUAAUUCUUUAAGUGGAAUUUGACAUAUGUUUUGAAGAGUUAAAGUAUGUUAGGUGAUCACAUAAUAGGAGGAUUUGACACUCAAGGAUGGUAGAGGUAAUCUUGAGAGGUUAAUAACAUUCACCUUGUUAGAUUACAAACAUGGGAAAGCUUACAUGUAGUCAUUACUAGGUCACAAACUUGAGUUUUCUAUCUUAAGUUGAUAUCAUAAGGAUAUUAGAGUGUAGUUCACUCUCUAUAAUGAAAAGUUGAGUCAACUUCAGAAUUAGAUUUUGAGGGAGUCAGUACUUUCUUAUGAGUUCCAAUGGUCCCUAUUCAAACUUACAUUCGUAGGUAGCACAUUAUUAGAGUGAUAUUUAGGUUUUUUAUUCAUAUGGCUGCAUAAGGCAUUUUGGUAAAUAAGUAAGGUUGUAUAAGAUCUUACAAAUGGUCUUUCUAGAAGAAGCUAAUUAAUUAAUUAAUUAGAACCCAAUAGGAUUAAUUAAUUAAUUAAGAACCAAUGGGGCUAGAUUAAGUUACCUAAGCUUAAGAUGGAUUCAAGUCACUUAAUCUCAUAAGGCAAGCCUAUAUAAACCCUCUUAAUCGAUUAGGACUUGCACAUUCUUGGCAUUCAAUCUUUCAUAGAGAGGAACCCUAGCCUCUAUCCCCACAAAGAGAAUUUCACCAUCUUCACUUGUCAAAGUUCAUGAGAGAGCCAUCUAACGGAAGAUGAUGAGCUAUUUGAGAUUUGCAUUUCUCUUUUCACUGACUAGAAUUGAUCUAAGAACAUCAAAUCACAUAAAUUAAUUGUUUUCUAAAUAACUAAAUCUCUAACUCAUAGUUUUAAAAAAUUUUCGUUCCCUAGAUCUAGUGUCCCGAGGAAGUUAUUUACAUGUACACCCAAAUGAUCUAAGGCUUGGAAUGGAGUAAUAUAGAUAUUCCAACACUUUAAGUUUAAAAAUUACUGACAUAACACAUUUAGCAUAAUUAGUUCAUAUUCAACAUAAUUUUAUUUUAAAAAAAAAAAAUACAUCCAUCCACUAAUAAUAAGACUGUGCCUAAAUAGCGAGACCUAUGCUAGGUGGCUAAGAUUGCACUAGAUCACAACUUUUACCAAGGGGAAUGAAAGUCAACAACUCAACCAUUUUCUUUAUUAGGUUUACUAAUAAUUAGAGUUUCAAAAUCAUUAUAAUAAAUUAAAAGGUGAAAUUCAUUUCUCAAGUAAUUAAACAAAUCAUAUGAUAUUCUCAAUUCAUUUUACAAAUUAAAAACAAACCAUAACAUAUUUUUUUUAAAAAAAUAUUAUUUGAUUCACUUUAGGAAAUUCAAACAUUUUGAUACCUUAACAAUAAAUAAAAACGUAUAAAGAAUUAUAAAAUUAUUUGCCACACUAUUUAACCUUACCUAAAAAAGUUACUUAAACUCCUAAAAGACUAAUAGUGUUAAGUAUUAGGUUUUUUAAAAAAAUAUUUUCUUUCUAUUAAAUAUUAAAAAGUAAUAAAAAAUCAAUAUAUUAUUUUUUCCAUUUAGAAAAAGUUAAAUAUUUUGACUUUUUCUAUUUAGCAAAAAGUUUAUAAUUAGUUAUGAAAAAGUAGAAAAACAAACAAUUUAAAGUCUAAAAGCAAAUUAUUUUUAAUAAAAACGGCUUCUUAAUCUACACCUAACAUAAAUAAUAAUAAUAAUAAUUACCAAAUUAUCUAAAAUUAACAAAUUCCUAAAUCUUUGUAGAACUUGUGUUUGUUCAAACUUUCUUCUAAGAAUUUAUUUUUAUAUCAAUAAAAUCUUUCAUUAACGAUACUGUUAUUAUUUUCAUUUUGUAUAAUUACAUUAAUGAUAUUUAUUAUAAUUAUUAUUAUUAUUAUAUUAUUAUUAUUUUUAUUAUUAUUUAUUUAUUUCAUGAAAAGAACAAGCAUAGUUAUUUUUAUUAAUUUAUUAUUAUUACUUUUCCCUACCGUUGUCCCAACAACCAAAGAUCUAGGUACACUGAAUCUUAUAACAAAAUAUAAUUAUAGCUUAUUUGGAGAUGGAAUUUAAAAACAAUUUUUGGUUUUUAAAAAUUAGAAUAUUGUUUUUAAAAAUUUAUAACACUGUUCGGUCAUCAUUUUUUGUUUCCAGUUUUUAAAAACAAAAUGAAAUAGAAAACAUUUUUUUUUAAAAAAAAGAUGUAAAAAUUGUUUUCAUUUAUUUUUAAAAACAAAAAAAAAAACAUAGAGAAGUUUUAAAAACUUAAAAAGAAAAUAAAAUUAAAUAUAAUAUCUUUCUUCUUCUCUCUAUUGGGAAUAAAUCAUCUGUGAACCAAUUGUAAACAAAUCAUGUACUUAUAAGAAACCUUUAACUUGAAUUUUUCGUAUAAUUUAUAAUGCACCUAAAUCAUAUACAAUGUAAGAAAUGUCAUACUUGAAUGCUCAAAAAAUAUAAAGCAUAAAUAAGAUAGAUGAAGUAAGAAAUUAGAAUCAUAUUAUGAAAAAAAUAAAUUAUAUUAUUAUUACAUUAUGUUAUACUUUUAAGAACACUAUCCUAACAUUCUCUCCAUGACCUAAUGCCGAUAUAAAAAAUCAUAUUUUAUAAUUUUUUGCAUAAAUUCAAUAAUUAAUACAAAUUUUUUAAACUAGUCAAUUUCUGGACUUGACUAGUUUCUUCUUUGCAUAUAAUCAUAUUUUUAUAAUUUUUUUCACUAGGCAAUAACUAUAAAUGAAGCAACUUAAUGUGUUAGAUUCAUUAAUGAGUCUAAUCAUUUAAAAAAUAACUUGAAACUCAAUAGUGACCAAAUUAAAUCCAGAAAUUUAUGAUUAAAAAUUGGUCCACAGUAACUAUUAUUUCUUUUCUAUAUACAAUUAUAUUUUUAUAGAUUUUUUUCAUUAGAGAAAUGAACUUGAAUUCAAGUGACAUUUUCUAUUAAUUUAUUGAUGAGUUUAAUAAUUUUUAAAAAUAAUUUGAAACCAAAAAAAUAAUUGAUUCAAUUAAUUGCAAAUUAAAUCAAGACAUUCUAAAAUAACAUGUCCUUAAUUAAGUAUUAAAUAUGUGCAAGUAAUCUUAACUUAUUUAUGUCUUAAAAAAAGUUAAACUUUAUUUGUUUAAAAUUACUUUUAAAUAAAAUAUUAUUAAUAAUUAUUAUUUUUGAAUUACUAUUAUCCAUUUGUAACAAAAAAAAUCAAUUAUGUUUUCACGAAGAUGUUAACAUCAAUAUUUUUAUAACAUGUAUUAAAAUAUUAUUUUUUAUAAUAAAAAUAUGAUUUAUGAUUUUAUUAUAAUAUUACAAUUCAUAUUUUACUAAUAUUUUUCAGAAAUGAUAAAAACAUUUUUCAGAAUUACUUCCAAACGGACUUAUACUUAAAUUUUAAUUUAUUGCAUAACACGACAGAGUAGAAUCCCAAAUAUCUGAUGGAUUCAGGUACAUAGCUUCGUAAGGCCAUUAACGCAAUUAAGUAACCCUUGGACAAGUAUAAAAUUUAACACCAAGAGGUAUCAUCAUCACGGAUAAACCUCAAUGAGGGACCUGAAACCUAACACUGCGCUUAUCUUAUAGUGAGUGAAGCCUGCAGUCACAAAGAGCUUCUUCCAUUCGUUCUCAUUUCUCUGUUUACCUGUGAGCACAGUCAUCAUAAGCAUGUCCCAAAAUAGCUGGGUUUCGACUGCUUGGUCGUCUCCUUUGUUGUUCUCCAUUACCAUGUCGAUGAUCAUCAGCUUCCCUCCCUUGUCCUUAGUUGGAAUUGCUUCUUUGCAUUUCUUCAGUAUCUUCACACAUUCCUCAUCGCUCCAGUUAUGUAGGAUCCACUGCUUGUCAUUUUACAGUAUUGAAAGCGAAAACAUCGAAAGGGGAAAAGUAAAUAAAUACACAAAGGAAUAAGAUUAUGUACACACCUUGAGUAUGACUGCAUUCGCAGAAGGAAUUGUCUCAAACAUAUCCCCUCCUACAACCUCCAAGUUUCCACCUCCCUGUAAAUCAGCGACUACGUGUGGUUGAUCAAAUACAAUGCACUUCAAAUGAGGGAAUGCUUUGGCAAUGGCUUUGGUCAUUGUUCCAGUGCCUGCCCCAACAUCGACCAACGAGAACAGCCCUUUGAACUGCUCCUUACACUUGGUAAUCAGCACGCUUGCAAUAAUCCGGGAGUCGCUUGCCAUGGCCUCAUUAAAGAGAUCAUUAAAGUCUGGUUCUUGGGCUGUAUAAUCCCAAUAUGGCUUGCCGUGUGCAGUAUAAAAUGGGGUUGGAUCACCAUUCCGGAACCAACCACUCAAGAAAUGCCAUGGAGCUGUAAGUACUGGAUUAAGAUGAAGAAGUGAUAGUGGCAGUCCGGUCAGGGGCUCAUCUUUUAGUAGGAACCGAGAGGCAGAAGUCAGGGAAUACCCUUCUUCUUGCUCAUUGUUAUGGAUUACUUGUUGCUGAGAAAAGAAGCCAGAAUGAACAAGAAGCCGCAUGAGGCGGUGGAGGCAUGGUGCUUUAGAUGGUUGGACAGACAGGGCAGUGACCAGUUGAGAAAGAAGCAUGGGCUGGCCAUGGCUGUGGAUGACAUCUGGUAUGGCUAGGUCUAUUGCACAUUUCAGAGCCAUGGAGUUCAUGAAGUUGAACACGUGGUUCACUACCUGAGCUUGGGCUUGAAGUAGCUCAUCAGCUCUCUCCGCACUGCCCAAAUCCAUCCUAUCCCUAUAUCCUCUUCUAUGCUGCUUUACUUUCUCCCCUCCUAAGCCUCUAAACCAUUGAUAUUUAUAUCAGUUUUGAAAAGGCUUAAUGUAUUUAAUUUCCUUGGAAUAUUAAAUUAAAAUCCCAAGACGCUGCACUAGAUGGGUAGAAGUAAUAAUUGAGCGCGGAACAUGGGCCACAUUGUUUAUGAAUCCAGCUGUUCGUAUCGAAUGCUAAGAUAUGAUCAUGUGCUCUCAAAUUAUUGCUCUGCACACAAUUAAUUUUUUUAUCAUCAAAUUAGCUGAAAAUGAAUAAUCUUUAAUUAAAUGCAAAAUCCAAUUCAGUAUGAUUAAUCAUUUUACCAACAUAAUUUAACUAAAAGGGUGUUUGGGAAAUCAAUUUAAUAAUUUAAUAUGAUUUAAUAAUAAAUUAGAAUCAUAUUAUGAAAAAAAUAAAUCAUAUUAUUAUUACAUUAUAUCAUACUUUUAAAAACUCUAUCCUAACAUUCUCUCCGUGACCUAAUAUUGAUAUAAAAAAUCUUCAAAUAUAAUUCUCCUUUAAAUUACACAUUUUUUUUUUAGAAUAAUUUUUUUUUUUUUUUACUUUUCAAUUCAUUUUCAAUUUUUCUUCCCUUUGUUAUUCUUUUUUGCUUUUUUUUUAAAUGGUCAAAAAUAAUUUUUGAUAUCAACAUGCCCACAGGGAUAGGGCAUUUGCUAAGGUGGGUGGGAUAUGAAUGUUAGAUAUUCAUUCCCUAUUUGGUGACAUUUUUAAAAAUAAUUUAAAAGUAAAAAAAAAUAAUUUUUUAUGACAAUUUCUAAAAGAAACAUGAACAUAGACCUUAUUCCUCGAUACAAAUACAAUACACUUUUUACAAAUAGACAGAUCCAUAAUGAGAUCAAAGUUAUUAUAUUUCUAACAACUUGCAUCCUCUCAUAUAAAUAUUAUUUGAUUUAGAUUUGAUGGGUUCUCAAUCCCCUAUCUAUUAUGAAAUAUUAAAACUUAAAAAAAAAAAAAAUUCAAUAAAAUGUUCUAAAAAAUAUUGUUAAAAUAUUCUUUAUAUAUAUGUUAAUUACUUUUUAGAAUUAUCUAUAAAAAAAAUAUAUAUCUUAAAUUUAUACUAAAAAAUAACAUAUUUUUAAAAGAAGUUAUGUUCAAUAAAAUAAUUUUGUUAAACAAAAUAAAUAAUUUUGUUUUAUUUUAAUUUUUAAAUUAAUUUUAUUAUAUAAAUUUUUAAAUUAAAAAUAUUAAUCUUUAAUUUAAAAUUUAACUAUAAAAGGAAUGAAAUAUAGAAAAAUAAAUUAAUUUAUUAUCCAAUAAAUUAAUUUUCAAUAAAAUUUUCAUCAUUAAGAGAUAUGAUUUUUUAAGUAUUAAUCAAUUUAAAAAGAAAUAAUAAUCAUUUGUAUAUUAAAAUAUUUUAUUUAAUAAUUAUAAAUGCUAAACAACAAAAGUAAUUUGAAAAAAUAAUAAAAUAUUUCUUUAAAAAUAAUUUAAUACACUUAAAAUUAGAAAUGAUUAAUUAUUUUUUAUUAAGAAAAAAUUGAGGAAACAUUUUGUUCUAUAAAUUUUUUCUUUUAUCUGUUUCCAAUUUUUAAUGUUAUAUGUUUCAAGAAAAUCGAUCAAAUAAAAAUUAAGAAAUCAUUUUUAAAAAAAAUUAUAUAUCCAAAUAAAACCUUAAAAUUCAAAUACACAAUAUCAUAAAUAUAAAUACCAAGUCCAUCCUUAAUUAUCAAAUGUUUUUAAUAUUAAAGAAUUUAAGUCACCUACCAUCAUGACAUGUAGGGCAGUGACCAGUUGAGAAAGAAGCAUGGGCUGGCCAUGGCUGUGGAUGACAUCUGGUAUGGCUAGGUCUACUGCACAUUUCAGAGAGCCAUGGAGUUCUUGAUAUUUAUAUCCUCUUCUAUGCUGCUUUACUUUCUCCCCUCCUAAGCCUCUAAACCAUUGAUAUUUAUAUCAGUUUUGAAAAGGCUUAAUGUAUUUAAUUUCCUUGGAAUAUCAAAUUAAAAUCCCAAGACGCUGCACUAGAUGGGUAGAAGUAAUAAUUGAGCGCGGAACAUGGGCCACAUUGUUUAUGAAUCCACCUGUUCGUAUUGAAUGCUAAGAUAUGAUCACGUGCUCUCAAAUUAAUGCUCUGCACACAUUUAAUUUUUUUAUCAUCAAAUUAGUUGAAAAUGAAUAAUCUUUAAUUAAAUGCAAAAUCCAAUUCAGUAUGAUUAAUCAUUUUACCAACAUAAUUUAACUAAAAGGGUGUUUGGGAAAUUAAUUUAAUAAUUUAAUAUGAUUUAAUAAUUUAAUUUAAAUAAUUAAAUAUAUUAAACAUAUAUAUAAUAAAAUAACUUAUUAUUACAACUUAAAGUUAUUUUUAACUUUAAGUAUUAAGUUAAAAAGUUAAUUUAUUCUUAAUCUCAAUUUUUUUUUUUUCCUCAUUUGUCCACACAGUGAGAAUAUAUUUUAAAAUUAUAAAAUUAUCUUGUAUAUGUAAAAUACUUUAAAUAUAUAUAUAUGUUUUACAAAUAAAUUUAUAUGUCACUUAAAAUUAAUGAAAAUAAAUUGAGUUAAAAUCAAUAACAAUAAACACUUAUUAAGAUUAAUGAGGGCAGACAUGUCAAUUGGAUAAUUUAAAAUAAAUUUUAAAUUAACUUUAUCAAACAACCAAGAUGAAAAUAUCGGUAAUUAUGGAUAUAUCAAUACUUCGAUUUUAAGGAUAUAUCAAAAAUAUUGGAGAAAUAUCGGUGGAUAUUUUUUCACAAAUAUCGGUGGAGUAAAAAUUAUUUAAAAUUCAUAGGAAUGCUUGGAAAAACACAAAAAAAAAUGAUAAAAUAAGUAAGAAUACACAUUUUAAAGUUAUUUUGUAAGUGUAAUUAACAUAGAUAUGAUCAAGAAGAAAAAUAUCGGUAGACAGAGAUAUAUCGGUAGAUUCGAUAUUUGAAUUUUAAAAAUAGUAAAUAUGAAUUUUGGAAGUGUAUAAAGUUAGAAUUGAGUUAAGAAAUAUUUUAUUUUAUUAAAUAAAAACAAUUUAAACAUAAAUAUAAUACAUAUGUGUAGACCCCCAUUGAGGCAUGGGUCACUUUUUUUCUUUAUUUGUUUUUGCAGAUCACAUUUUUAGCCAGGUGUCACUAUCCCAACGGGCCACGUGUCACAUCCUUAAUGGCCAUAAGGAAUCAACCUCACUUUUUGAAGUUGCAGUAGGACUUUGACACGUGGAGGAACUUUCUGGAAUGGGGUCUCGUAGGCCGUUGGGGGGCGCGGAUGAGAGAGAAGAAAAGGUGGCUGCAGAAGGAGUGGGACAGAAAAGGUGGCAGAAAAGGUGGCUGCAGCAAAGAUCGUUGGAAAGGCGAAUCCGGGAUACAGAAAGAAAAUGAGGGAACAAAAAAAAGGGCGAGGGUUGAGCUUGAGAGGACGAAGGGGAAAGAGGGAUUCCUUGGCUUGUGGCUUGAGAGGAAGGAUAGCUGUUCGAUUUCUUGCCCACCUAGCUGGAGAGAGUUAUUUUCAAGGUACGUUUAUUGCGUAUUCUUCGUCAGCUUCUAAUGGUGUGCUUUUCUACUUUGUUUUUAUUGAUUCUCGGAUGAUGAGUGUUGAUUGGGAGUGAAUACGUUCAUAUUUUUGCUAAUGGUUUUAUAGUGGUUUAGUUUGCUCUGGUUUUGAUUUCUCCAUGAGAUAUUUUUGUAACCACGUUUUACCUUUCAUUUGAUACUCAUUUAAUCUUACCCACCAUCAUCUAAGCCUGUUGGUAUGAUGUGAAACAUAGCUUGUCGGGCUCGUUUUCUUGUAUCUACUCUUUGUGCUCUGUUUUGUUAUCCUCCUCUGCUCUUGAUAUCCGUCCAUGGUACGCAUCCAUUUUCUCAUCCCUGCUUGAAGGAGAUCCUAGGAAAUCUGGAGUAGUUGUCUUGGCAGCCAAGCUCACCUCAUCAACAUCCCCAUACCCAUUCUCGUUUAUUAUUCAUCGUUUUAUCCAACAUGCCCUCACCCCCAUCCAUCACUCCAUUCCUAUCCCCGUUUAUCUUCGUCAUGCGUAAACCCCCACGCAUCUCAUACCAGGAGGUGAUGUCUCAAGAUGAUGUAGGAAGCUAGUAUUUGAAUUUGUGGAAAGAAGGGGAAUUAAUCACUACCAUAUUCUCACCUUUCAUGCCCGUUUAACUCAUCGUCAAUACCCAUGUGUAUGUGUGAGCCUCCCUAAAAAUUGCCGCGUGGUUCCCUCUCCCUUGGACACACAGACGGCCCCCUUGCGACGCGUGGCAUAGCUCAUUCCACCCGGAUGUCUCACAUCCGGAAUUCUUCUCCGCCGACAUUCCAUCCGGAUGUCUCGCAUCCGGAAUUCUCCCCACCGACAUUCCACCCGGAUAUCUCACAUCCGAAAUUGUUCUCUGCCGACAUUCCAUCCGGAUGUCUCGCAUCCGGAAUUCUCUCCACCGACAUUCCAUCCGGAUGUCUCGCAUCUGGAAUUCUCUCUGCUGACAUUCCGUCUAGGUGUCUCGCAUCCGGAAUUCUCCCCUGCCGACAUUCCACUCGGAUAUCUCAUAUCCGGAAUUCUUCUCCUCCGACAUUCCAUCCGGAUGUCUCGCAUCCGGAAUCUCUCCGCCAACAUUCCAUCCGGAUGUCUCGCAUCUGGAAUUCUUCUCCGCCGACAUUCCACCCGGAUAUCUCACAUCCGGAAUUCUUCUCCGCCGACAUUCCACCCGGACAUCUCACAUCCGGAAUUCUUCUCUGCCAACGUUCCACCUUCUCCGGAUAUCUCGCAUCCGGAAUUCCGUCUGGCUGACGUUCCACCUUUUUCUUCAUCCUUAGAGCAUUUUCUUGAGGUUCCCAAAAUCCCAUUUUUGAUAAAUUUGGCCGCCAUUUUCUUUUUGGCGAGCAACUUCCGAAUUUUUCAUGAUUUUACAAUAAUUUAAAAUAAGCAUGAAGUCAAAUUCUGUAAUUCCAAAUGAUGGAAUUUAUGGAAUUAGUUCAUGCAAAAUAAAUGGGUUAUGGUGGGGGCCCGACAUCAAAUAAAUUUCUUCAAAAUAAAACGAAUUUGAACGAAAUGCCAUGCGUGCUAUUGGUGGAUUCUUUCUUUUCGGUAAUAUGAAUGAUAUACUUUAUGCUCAUUACUAUGCACUAACCCUAAUUUGUGUAGCGCGUUGCCGUUUGCUGAUCAAGUACGCAUCCACUUCCACUUUGAUUAUUCUCUAUGUAUGUUUUGAUUCUCAUGUGUGCACGAUAGUUUUGGGUAUUCAUUAUUUUCCUUAUUAGAUGCCACGACUACUUCAUUUUAUUAGUAGAGACCCGACUUUAGGGACUUAGAGGGGUGUUACGGUCUUUACCGUACCUUCCCCGAUAAGUAACCUGACCCCCGAACCCGAUCCGGUUUUUCGCAGAUCACCUUUUCCAAAUAAGGAGUCACACUUAGGGUUUUGUUUCUUAUUUUGUUUACCCUUUAAAAAAUAAAACAAAAAUAAGUGGCGACUCCAAGUCAUUUUCUUAAUCAAUGAAAAUCAAUUUCUUUUUAUUCAAAACCAAAAUCGAGCUCACCAUUGAGUGGGGAACGCAUUGAGCCGAAAUGCGGGGUCCACAAUAUGACAUUGCAAUAGUCCUUAGUAUCAAAAUGAAGAUCGAUGUGGUUUGAUCAUAUUGUUAGAUGAAGGGAACCCAUCUUGUUGAAGACAAUAUUUAUUUUAAAAUUUUCAAAAUACUUUUAUUAAAACAUGUUUUAUUACAUUUUAAAUAAAAAAUUAAAUUAAUUUAUAUAAAAUAUUUUAUUUGAGAUUUAAUUUCUAAAAUUUUAUUAAAAAUAUGUGGUAACAACUUUUUCUAUUAACAUUAAUUUAUUUAAAUAAUUAAAAUUAUUAAUAAUUUAUCUUAUUAAAUUAAUUAUAAUUUAUAAAAUAUUAGAACUUUCUUAAAUUUUUAUAUUAUAGCAAUUUUUUUUGGGUAAAAUUAUAUUUUUAAUAUUUUAAAAUAAAAACAUUUAAAAUUAAAUAAAAUUGAAAGGAUAAAUAUGAAAAAAAAAUUAAGAGUGAAGUGAUAAUAAUUUUUAAAAAUAGGAUUAAUGAGAUAAAUAUGAAAAGUGUUAAAAAUAAAAUGAUAAUAUAAAAACACGGAUGAAAUUUGGGCCAUUGGAUCGUCAAAAAUUAAAAUAUGGGAAAUUUCAAAAUUUUCAAAAAAAAGUGGAAGAAAAAAUCAACGAUUUUUCGACGAUUUUUUUAUGUUCUCCCCGGUUACUUCGCGUGUCGCUCCACUCGCAAUUUUAUCACCAAUUUAUCAAUUCCAAAUCGAUAUUUCGGCAAUUUAUUGAUGUUUUCCCGAUAUUCCUCCUGUUCGAUAAUCGGUGCUCAAAAUUGUUUCGAAGUUGUCUGAUAUUCGAUAUAUCGACGAAAUAUUGUCGAUAAAAACCAAAAUUUUAAUCCAUGCAAACAACCUCAACAUUUCGAAAUAAAAAUAUGUUUUAAGUUAAUAACUUAAAAAUAAUUUAAUUUAAAGUCAACUUAACUUGAUCAAUAUUAAGUUUUACCAAACACUCUUUUAUUAACAUUUUAUUAAACAUGAUAGACAUUAAGUCAAAUUUAUCAAUUCAUGGUUUUUUUAUUUCUAAUGUAGGGUUCUUUGAAUGACUUGGAACCAUUAGGCAUGCCAAAAAAUGGCUUCCUUAAGCCUUAUAUAUAUAUAUAGACAUAUAGGAUACUAAAAUUAGAGUGUUGAAAUUUAAUAAAGGCAACUAGAAUUGUAGUUUAAAAAGGCGCAAGGUGCACGUAAUGUGCCAAAGUUUCGUAUAGUUUAAGCACAAGGUGCAACACAAGGUACAUACAUGCCUAAGUGAAGUGAAAUGCAAUUUAGGAUAUACAUCAAUUUUGUAAAAUAUAAUUCAAAAUAUAAUCCAAUCAAUAAAAAAAUAAUGAGAUUAUAUAAAUUUCAAUAUAUAAUUAGAAAUUUCAAGAAUAAAAGUGUUUAAAAAUCAAAAUUAAAAUCGAUAAGACACAUUGUAGACCCCAAAAUUUGUCCCAAUUUUAUUUUUACAUUAAUUUUGAGUCCAAUUUUGUCCUUAGAUUUUAAAUCCCAAUUACAUGUGAUAUUUUUGACCCACUCACCAUUUAAUUCUUAGUUUUUUUUUUUAUCUUAUAUAUUGCUUUAUUAUUAUUAUUAUUAUAUUUAUUAUAUUUUAUUUUAUUUUUCUCUCUCCUCUCUCCUCCAUCUAUCCCCAUACCUCUGCCCAUACCCCCAUAUCUAAGCCAUACCCCUAUUUCCUCACUUUCUUUACUUUAUUAUAUUUUUUUCCUUUUUUUUUAUUAAUUUUCUCUCCAUCAUUUCUUUUUCUAGCUCUUUUCUAGCAGCACAAACACUCCAUGACCCACACACCAGACGACUAGCCCAUUUUCUCUUCCAUUUUUUUUCUUCUCUCUGUUUACUCUUUUUCACUUACAUUCUGCAACUCCACCCAAUCUUCAUUCAUUUUAUUAUUAUUAUUAUUAUUAUUAUUAUUUUGUCUCUUUUUCUUUUCUUCUCCAUACCACUUCCCAUCUUCAGCAGUCUCCAUUGCCACUAUCGGUGGCGUGACGUCGGCGUCCCUCCAUCCUCUUUUUCUCCCAUUUUCUUCCUCCCAUUUUUUAUUAUUUUCAUUUCUUUUAUUAUUAUUAUUAUUAUUAUUAUUAUUAUUUUAUUUUGUUUUUGUUUUUGUUUUUCAAAAAGCCAUCAACCCUCAUUAUUGUCGGCGAGACCACCGACCAGUUGUUGCUGGCAAGCCACUGCCAAUCGGUGACCCCUUCCUAUUUUCUCUCAUUCUCUCAUUCCUUCACUUUCCCAUCACACACAUUUUCCAUUAUUAUUAUUAUUAUUGUUAUUAUUAUUAUUAUUAUUAUUAUUAUUAUUAUUAUUAUUAUUAUUAUUAUUAUUAUUAUUAUUAUUAUUAUUAUUCAUUUUUCUUGAUUUGAUUUUAAUAGUAAUUGUUGUUUGUGAGAUUUAAAUUAUUGAAUUAAUAUGAAAUUUGAGUUUUGUUAAUUAAUAUGGAAUUUGAGUUAAUUUGUUAUUGGAAAAUUAAUAUUAAAUUUGGGCCUAAUGAGAUUUAUUUUAAUUUAUCAUGUUUUGGGUUUCAUUAAUUGAGCUUAUAUUUUGGCUAUUAAUUCAGAAAUUUUAUAUUAGAGUCUAUGACAUAUGAGAUAUUUUUGUUGGGUUAUAUUUGUUAAUUUGGGCCCAUUUUUAAUUGAUGUUAUUGAACUAAUUUGAAGUUUGAAUUUGGGUUUGAAUAAUUAUUUUGGGCUUGACAUAUUUUUGGAUAUUUACACUUUGGAUUAUUUUUGUUUUUUCAUGGAUCCAUUCUGUAAAUUUGUUAGCUGAGUUUGAAUUUAUGACACAUGGUUCACGAAAUUUCAUGGAAGAAAGUGAGACUCCAAAAGUCGUAGGAAGACAUUGAACUUGUUGUAAGCUUGUUUGGUUACACGUUUUUCCCACUUUUAUUCGGUUUUAUUUUUAUUAGUUCUUAUAAAUAUUUGUUUAUAUAUAUUUAUUGAGUGUGUAUAGAAUUGAAUAUUAUGUUUUAAUAAAAUAAUAAUUUUAAAAUAUUCUUCUUAAUAAAAGAAAGUUUUUUUAUUAAUAAAAAUUCAGAAAAAUGCUUUUAGAAAAAAAAAAUUAAUAGAAUUUGAAAAAUUGUUUUUAAUAAAAAUUGUCCAAAAAUUUCUUUGUUUAAUAAAAAUUGUCCAAAAAUUGUUUUGUAAAUAAAGUUUUCCCAAAAAUUAAUUUUUAAUUAAAAAUUCUUUUGCAAAUAAAGUUUUAUAUAUAUAUAUAUAUAUAUAUAUAUAUAUAUAUAUUUGUAUAAGUCACUUUUCUUAAAUGAAAACAAAUUGAAACACUUUUGUAAAUAAAAUUGUAAAAAUUCAUUCUUUUCUAGUAAAAGCAAGUAAAAAUAAUUUUUGUGCCCAAAUUGAAAUUUUGUAAUAAAUUCUUUUGAUAAAAUAAGUGUAAAUAACUUCUUCUUUUUUUUUAAAAAAAAAAUUAAAUACAAAUGAAUUGAAUUAAAUCAUUAAUUAAAAAUAAAUUGAAACUUUUUUUUUUUUUGUAAAUAAAUAAAUUGAAAGCACUAAUUCAAAUUUGUUUUUAAUAAAAUCAUUUGAAAUUUAUUGAAAACUAAUUCUUUCAAAUAUCUUUUUUUCUAAUUGGUCAAUAAAUCAAUUUGCAUAAUUCUAUAGUCAUUUGUUUUGUAUAUUCUUGUAAUUUAAUUUUGUCAUCAUCUUUGUGUAUAUUGUUUCAUUCCUUAAAUCUUGGUGUCCAUGAUUAAUUAAUUAAUUGCCACAAUUUUCUUAAUUCGUUUAGUAGAGAUCGUAUGUAUACGGGCUUAGAUGGGUGCUACGGCUCACCACAGUACCUUCCCAAUAGGUAACUUGACCCCCGGAUCCAGAUUUGGUUUUUGCAGAUAUGUUUUUUCCAAAUAAGGAGUCACAUAGGAUUUUAUUUGUUAUUUUGUUUUCCCUUUAAAAAAUAAAACAUAAAUAAGUGGCAACUCCAAGUCUUUUUUAAAAAAAAUCAAAUUUUCACUUAAUAAAAACGAGUCGCACCAUUGAGUGGGAACAUGUCGAGUAAAAUGCGAGGUCCACAAAAUGGUGACUCCAUUGGGGAUAUUUAGAGUGUCAAACUUGAACUUGAGUUGAGGGAAAUGUGGCGUUUGAUUAGUCGAUUAGUGGAUACCCUUCUCUAUGUGUUUUUGUAUGAUUAGGUGUUGAUUACACGUUGAGAGCUUUGAUAUGUUUAUUUGUGAUGCAUGUUUAGUUAUUAUUGUUCAUUGGAGAUGUUGACAUGUUAACUACAUCGAUCGAUUCUCUUGCUUGCUUUAACAUAAGACUCUUCUUGUUGUAUGAUUAUCUUGCUCUCCUUGAUGUGUAUAUUCUCAUUUUUGUAUAUCUCAUUCAUAUUGGUGUGAUUGAUUCUCUCUAUUGUAUAUUAUCUUGUUUAUCUCAACAUAUUAUUUAUCCUUGUUAUAUACUUAUCUUAUUUAUCUUGUUUCCUGCUUAGCUUGUGUGGAUAUAUAAAUGAUAUACCUGUUAUUUGCAUGACUGGUUGGUGCAUGACUGCUCUUCUUCUAUGUGAUGCAUGUAUUUCUUGUUUGUGUGGGAUACACAUCUAUCCCCUUACCUUCAAUUCCCUAGUCUCGAUCGACUUUGUUUCCCUUAAUCUUGUAUUUGAUAUGAGACUUGUUACUUUGUUUGCUCUUCGACCGAGCUAGUGAUUUGGAGUAGGGUUUAGUGAUGGGCUAUAUCUAUGUUUGGGAGCAUUUUAGAGGAGGUCGACACAUUGAUGCUGAUUAGAGUCUGAUCUUUGAAGACUUGUAUAGCCUAGAGCUAGAUUUCAGGAUAUUUGUGUGACUAGUGUGUUUUCUUUCCACUUAGUUUGAUAGGAUUUUCAAAUGCACACACAUUGUUCAUUGUACACCUUAGAUUACCACUAAGUGUUGAGAGAUAUGAGAGUCUUCAUCAUUAGGAAACCUUUUAGGAUGCAAAAUAGUGCAUGUGUGGAGGUGAUGACCACUUUGCAUGGAAACACCCUCGUCUCUUCGGAGGUGUACAAGAGAUUACAUACCAUCAAAGGGUAUGAUUGCUUCUGCUAGAGUUCUUUUAAAGUCCACUCAUUUUUCAUUUUAGAGCCAUUUUGACCUUGUAGGUUGAGCCUUAGAUCUUUUGAUUAGGAUUUCCUUUCCUACAUGUGGGUGCAUCUAAGAGCCUUUGAGGCCACUUUAGUCAUUGUUUGGAUCUAAUACUCCAUCUUUUGGUCUCCAAUCGAGAGUGCUUAGAUAUCAGUGCGAGUUUGAGUAUCAGUUGGACUAUCCUUUGUUGUAUGGUUUUGGUUUCUUUUUAUCGCUCGUUGAGUCUAGCAAACUUUCUCCUUAGGGUUUCAAGUAGUCUUUUUUUCUUGAGUUGACACAUUCUUUCGGUUUAUUGUCACUUCUUACUUGAUAUUUUGGGAUAUGCUCAUUAAUCAUGCUCACCUUUUUACAUUCUUCACCUGUCAUGGGCUUGGUACUUCAUUCUUUGGUCGAUUUGCCUAUUUCAAUUUUCAACUUAUAUUUUUAUUACAGGAAAGUGAAAUGCAUGUUUUCACAUUCACACCCUUUUUGAGAGAUCUGCCUUGAUCACCUUAUCAUUUUUCUUUAUGGAGCUCAGGUUGAAAAUUACGGAUAUUUUGUUAUAAUGGAAUAUUGAUCUCAUGACAGUGUUUUUUUUCACACCUCAUUCUUUUCUGGAUUAUUGAUAAAGAUUCUUUAGUCACAUUUGUAGCCAUCUCAUAGUGGACACCUUUAUGACCUUAGAGUUUAUGUCAUUUUUCCAGUUUUAGAUUGCCAUCGUAGGACGCUAUAUCAUAUGAUAUGUUGUACUUUUGACUUGAGGCAUCUAUUCACUUGUACAUUGUGGUCUUGAGGCUUGACCUAUCAUGGAAAAUAUUGAGAUUGGAGAUCUGACCUAGGGAGUUUAAGACUGUGACCCAUCCUCUUAUGAUCAAAGCAGUACCUUACCCACUCUCACACCUUAACUUUGUUUUGACCUUCAUCCAUCCAUUGUGAGCUUUACAUAGCAUCACCCUUGACACCAUUAUAUGACCUUUCCAUCCCUAGUUGUUCUAGCUUUGCAUAUCCCAUCUUUGAUCUGACUAGGUAGAGUGUGAGGAGUUUGAGCCUAGGGUUGAUCUUGCAUGGUGAAUGAUGGCUUAUAAUCUUCAAGUGGCUUAUGAUGUGAGGAUUGGUCGAUUGCCUGAUGGGAUUGUCACUUAUUCUGCCAUGAGUAUAGAGGUUGAUCUGACAUGAUGAGAGUUGGCUUGUGAUGAGCACUUGUGCUUGAUGAGAUCAUCGUCGAUUUUGCUUUGAGGGGAUCAUCUUUGAGAUUAUUACAAAGCAUUUGGAGUAGGGUUUGGCGCAUGAUUUCAGAGGGUUGACGUGGUUAUAUAAGAUGGACAUUGAUAUUUAGUAUUGAUCAUUUUAGGGCUUGAGAGCACGAUGUUUGAGACCAUGGUCAUAGGAUGGGUGGCCUUCAUUUCAGUUAGGUCACACCUUAUUACCUUUAUUGACAUCUAAAUCGUUGCUAGCCCUUUGAGCCUCGUGUCAACAUCAUAGACUUUUCAUUCUUAUAACCUUGCUCACCUUUUACAUCGAGAUUGGGGCCCUUUGGUGUAUAUAUGCUUUAUUUAGGAGUUUCAUGAAUCAUGUACUUAUUGACUCACUUUCUUCACUGUUUUUUUAUUGUCCUAAUAUCAUUUUUCAUCAUACCUCAUUGUUUAUAUCAUUCGUUCCAUUUUUUUGUCUUUGUUAUCACUUUUUUUUUUUUUAUGUCAUGAGUGAUGAUUUUUCAUAUUUCAGUGCAUGAAGGACAAUCACAUCAUUUUCUACUCCUAUCUCAUGGACAUUGGUUCAGAGAUCCUUAGUUGAGAAGGUCAUUUUGUCAGAGAGAGUUUGUAUAUGUUAUUGUUUGAGAGUAUAUCCAUUUCAUUAUGUGUUCUCAAUGGAGUUCAUUUGUUGAUAUUCAGAGUAUGCGCCAAAAAAAAAAGGUAAUAAAUGCAUGUAUAUAGUGUCAUUCUCCAUUGAGUGUAUAUAUUGGUCAUUGAGGUUACUUUAUUGAGUUAGUUGCUUAUGAAAGUUCAUAUGUGAACUUUCAGGAGGCUCUCAUCUCUUUGUGCCUAUCUUGUUAUGUAUUUUAUGUGUGAGAGACAAGUGACCUUUUCCUAGGGACUCCGAAUCAUUGUCUUCUCCAUCAUUACAUACAUUGGUGAUUUGACUGUUCUCCAUGACUUGAUUUAAGUAUAUUAGCACUCAUUCAUUUUCCUUUAAUCUAUUUGUUCCUCUCAUGGAAUUUCAUUCACCUCGCCUAAAUUGUUCUUUGUUCAUAUCGAUGUACAUUCCGUGUUCGAUAUUUUCCACACAUCAUUCUUAUACAUCCCAUCGACAGUUCGAUAUUCUUCAUUUCUUCUCUUUCAGCAUUGAUAUAUUCAUCUUGGAUUCUUUCUUCCUCACUGAUAUAUUCAUAUUGGACAUCCUUAGGUCCAUGAUUUAUGAGACUCUCUGUACAUAUUGCAUUUUAUACACGAGGGUAUGGGGUUUUAUCUUUGGGAUUGUUGAGCCUAGUUUCCAUUCAUUUCUUCACCUUAUUACCCUAGCCUAUGUUAUGUCCCUAGUCUUAAGACCACCUUAAGACCAUAAUAUCACGCAUUGUGUUUUGAUAGCUCUCACACGAGCGAUACUUGGGAUCAGUUGGAGAGCAUUUUGAUUAUGAUGGUUCAGGAGUUGUGGAAUGACCCCACACUAGGGCAUAGCCACCUCAGAGAGUUUGUUGGAUAUAUGGUCUUUUUAUUUGAUGUAUUGCACUGAGGUAUACCCUUUUCAGCUAGUUAUGGCUUCUUGAGAUGACAAAAUCACAUCGAGACAUGCUCAUUCUUUAAAGGAGAUCAGAUGUCCUUUUUCACAUUGGAGCAUGAGACAUAAUUGGCAUAUUUCAUUUGGUGUAAUUUACACAAGGGCAUAUUUCUCAAUCGAUGAUGGUUUUUGAGGCAUAGCUAUUCCUUGGAGGUGAUUAGAUUCCUUUCAUAUUGGAGUAUGAGAUAUGGUUGGGUGAUUUAAUUGGAUGUGUUUAUACGGGAGCAUAACCCUCUCAUUGGUAUCGAUAGAUUUUUUUAGAUGAUUAGAUCAUGACACAGACACUUGUGAGAGCUUGCAGCGGAGUUUAGUCAUUUUAGAGGUUGCCUUAUACUGGGGCAUAACCCUUUCAUUGGUGAUUGAUCUUAGAGGUACCAACUUACAUUUGGGAAUGAUCAUGUCAAAGUGCAUUUUUGUUAAGGCAUACCACUUUGCUUGAUCUUUUUCACAUUGGGACAUGCUCUUUCUUUAGGGGAGGUCAGAUACUCUCUUCACAUUACCAAAAUGACAUUGAGGAGCAUAGAUUCAUUUUGAUCAAAUUAUGUAUGAUUGGUUGUACUUCUCCUAUGAUGCUUGAUUUGGAGAUGCUUAUACUAGGGCAUAGUGAUUUGACUCAUGGUAGCUUAGCUUUAAAGGCGUAUCAACAAAAUUUAUACCUUGAAUACUAUUACUAAAGUAGCCAAGCUACUAUAGCAUAGUGGUUCUAGGAUCGUUCACUGGGAAGGGUUUUCGCAAACACAAGUGAUAUUCAAAUUAGGAAAAUAGGUGAUUUUCUUAUGGAUGUUAGCUUUAAAAGAAGAUGUAAAUGUUUUAGAAAGAUUUAAACUAAUCUAAGCUAACAUUAAAGACUAAAAUGAAAGGGUGUAAAAACAAGUUUCUCAAAGAUAGGAUAGCUAUGCUCUGGCUCUUAUGCAAAUUGGAAAUCUCAGGAUAGGCUCCUCGCGUUGGGGUUGCAACUAUGGUGAUGCUUGCUUCCCGAACCGGUAUGGAUUUAGCAAAUCAAGUUUUAAUCCUUUAAAAUGGCAAAACAGAUGGUAGUGAAUUUCAUCAUGGUUAUUCACCUUAGACUUCCUUUGAAUGGCUCGUAGAGAUAACUAAUGGUCUAAAGCCAAAAGCUUANNNNNNNNNNNNNNNNNNNNNNNNNNNNNNNNNNNNNNNNNNNNNNNNNNNNNNNNNNNNNNNNNNNNNNNNNNNNNNNNNNNNNNNNNNNNNNNNNNNNAGCCAAAAGCUUACCAAAUAUUGGCAACUCAAAGUCAUUCCAGGUGAUAAACUCACCUUUCAAUGGCCAUUGAAAUUGGUUCUAACGGAUUAAUGCAAAACUUGGAAUUGAAAACCUCACCUUCCAAUAGCUCGUAGGAGAUAACUAAUGGAUAGAAAUCCAAAAGCUUAUCAAGUAUUGGCCGUUGGAAGUUGUCAAAAGGAAAUAAAAACCAAACUUUGCAUUAAUGAACCAUUAAUGAAAAACGACUACCUUACCUUCCAGGUGCGAGAAAUUUCCAUGGGAUUGCAUCCAAGCCAUCACAUAACAUCCAUACUUUGAGAGACUUAAAAGGUUUUAGCCAAUCAUCCUCUGAGGAAAAACCCUCAGAGGCUGUUUGGCUACUAAGAAAAUAGAAACGGGAGAAGAACAGGAGAAGAAUGAAAAACAGAGCAAGGCUCUGUAUAUUCUAUAUAUUGAUCGAUAAUAAAUUACAACGGAUGCAAGGGAAUAUAUAUAGAGAAGUUUUUCCAAUCCUUCCUAGCUAAGAAAUCUUAUGAUUCGUGGAUUACAAGGAGAAGAAUGGAAAUUUAUACAAAAAUAUCUAAAAGAAAAGAUCUCGUGUGGAGUCGGCAGAAACAGGGGAAAAUUCGCACGUUGGAGUUCCAAUUUCGCACGUUGAUUUGAGGUGUGCGAAAUUCUCGCACAGUGGACUGAGGAAUUCGCACCUUGAACAGUGGUGUGCGAAAUUGUCCCUCAGCUNNNNNNNNNNNNNNNNNNNNNNNNNNNNNNNNNNNNNNNNNNNNNNNNNNNNNNNNNNNNNNNNNNNNNNNNNNNNNNNNNNNNNNNNNNNNNNNNNNNNGCUUUAACUUGUCCAAGAAGCUCCUCCAUCAUUUGGCAUGCUUGAAUUGAUUCAUAAGCUGAUAUAAAACAUGUAAACUUGCCACAAAAUGGUUAAAACCAAUUACUAAGGACCUUAAUAAAUUAAUUGGGUUAAAUGAAUAUGAUUACUACCCAAAGGUGCUUAAAACCAUUAUAAUUAGGUCUACAAAAUAGCACUUUUUGGUAGUAAUCACACCCCCCAACUGACUCAUUGCUAGUCCCUUAGCAAUGGAGGAGAUAAAAACUAUGUAAACUAUAAUAAUAUACAUAAAAGGGAUCAUGCAAAUCACUCCAAAAAAUGAUAUGAGUGGCAUGACUGAUCAAACUCUCACAUGGAAAAAGAAAUAAAACUCAAACUUCAAUAGGAGCUAUCAAAUAAAUUGCCUAGUCACAAUUCAUAAAGAGUAGGCAUUAUGCAAAUUUAAGCUUCAAAAUAAUUUCCACUCCCAAAGGUCCAAUCCUUACUCUUCCACAAAAAUCUAUGUGUUAUUUAUUAGUUUCCGGAUAUAGUAUGUCAAACUAAUCUCUCCCCUCAACCUAGUUCUUUUCAAAGCUUAGCAAACUAAUCAACCUCCAAUAGGCUAAGAACACACCUCUUUUCUUUCACAAUUUUUUUCAUGUAGGAGUGCAAAGCUUAAAGGCAUUCUUUUCUAAAUUGUCCAUGUAACGGGGGUCCAUCGAUGACUCCCAACCAAUCAAGGUUUAAGGCAUCAAGCUUUAAGGAUUUUUCAACCACUAACUCCUCGGAUUUCACCCCGGACUUUUGAGAAUGAAUUUUUAAUACCCAAGCACCUACAGUAUGCUAAACUCCACCUAUUCACCCAUGUAACGAGCAUUGAGGUCAGUGACUCCCAACCAUUGAAGGCUUAGGGCACCAGGUUUUAAAGAUUUUCACCAUAUACCCCUCAGACCUUGCUCGGGUUUCAAGGCAAGUAAAACAUUUUUCUUUUUCUUUCUUUUUCCAAAGGCUCAUUGGCCUUUUAUAAGGUGUCUCAACACUAUUAAAAUGAGGUCAAAGGUACCAAGUCUAAAUUUUCCUAAGUCAGGAGGGAAAUAGUUUUUCAUCNNNNNNNNNNNNNNNNNNNNNNNNNNNNNNNNNNNNNNNNNNNNNNNNNNNNNNNNNNNNNNNNNNNNNNNNNNNNNNNNNNNNNNNNNNNNNNNNNNNNNNNNNNNNNNNNNNNNNNNNNNNNNNNNNNNNNNNNNNNNNNNNNNNNNNNNNNNNNNNNNNNNNNNNNNNNNNNNNNNNNNNNNNNNNNNNNNNNNNNNNNNNNNNNNNNNNNNNNNNNNNNNNGGAUAUAGUAUGUCAAACUAAUCUCUCCCUCAACUAGUUCUUUCAAAGCUUAGCAAACUAAUCAACCUCCAAUAGGCUAAGAACACACCUCUUUUCUUUCACAAUUUUUUUCAUGUAGGAGUGCAAAGCUUAAAGGCAUUCUUUUCUAAAUUGUCCAUGUAACGGGGGUCCAUCGAUGACUCCCAACCAAUCAAGGUUUAAGGCAUCAAGCUUUAAGGAUUUUUCAACCACUAACUCCUCGGAUUUCACCCCGGACUUUUGAGAAUGAAUUUUUAAUACCCAAGCACCUACAGUAUGCUAAACUCCACCUAUUCACCCAUGUAACGAGCAUUGAGGUCAGUGACUCCCAACCAUUGAAGGCUUAGGGCACCAGGUUUUAAAGAUUUUCACCAUAUACCCCUCAGACCUUGCUCGGGUUUCAAGGCAAGUAAAACAUUUUUCUUUUUCUUUCUUUUUCCAAAGGCUCAUUGGCCUUUUAUAAGGUGUCUCAACACUAUUAAAAUGAGGUCAAAGGUACCAAGUCUAAAUUUUCCUAAGUCAAGAGGGAAAUAGUUUUUCAUCUUAUAAUCGGAACCUAGUGUGCACGGUAUGUGAUAAGCUUAAAGUGGAAGAAAUAAGGUUGAGAAAAUAGGAGUUCAAUAAUUCAUCAACUUUAAUAAACAUAAUACAAACUCUAAGUUUCAAGUAAAAAGACAAAAAUUUAAUUUCUCCCAUUUCAUUUUGAAAUUUUUUCCUUAAUAACCAUGGAGAGUAGAAUAAAAAACUUAAAAAAUUUUAAAAUUAAGCAAAAAGCAACUAAAUUACCAAAAUAACUUAGCAUUAAUAACAAAACUUCCUUCCUCAACUCUCCCCCCAACCAAGCUGAACAUUGUCCUCAAUGUUUCAAGAGCGAUUAAAAAAUAAAGGGAGGAAGUGGUACCUCCUGAGUGACAUGGAGUCUGAGUCAUGUAGGAGAAACCACAUGUUUAAAAAAAAAACAAAAGUUUCAGUGAGUAGAGGAAAUAGAAAAAUGCCAAGUUUAAUACAAAAUUAUGUCUAUAUAUUAAUCUGAGAAAAUAGAAUAUAAUAUAUGAUCAUGCAAUACAUCCAAUCCCAGAAUAUAGAACAUCAAAACAUGGAAUUAUCUAUACUAAUAUAAUAAGUAAAUACAAAAAAUAAAGAGAUGAUCAAGUAAUAGAAGGGUCCUGUGGAGAUAUGGUGGCCUUCUGAAUGGGUUGGGUCAGGACAUUGAGACCUCUGUUCUGGUAGUCUCCUUAGGUGGCAUAGUCUCCUCUGCUGGAGCUCUCAGCUGGAGCUAUGAGCUUUGAUGGUUUUAGGAGGUAAGAAAUGGAAUGAGAGGCUUGGUGUGUGAUCCCAGGGUGCAUGGGGGUGUUCUCUCCUCUAAUGCAUGUUCUUGAGGCUUCAAAUAGAGAGGGAGGGGCGGAAUUUGGAUGGUCACAUGUUUAAAAACUCUUUUUGGAAGUCAAAAAUGGCUUUUAGGAAUGAAAAACAGAGUCUUGGGUGUUUAAAAAUUGGUUUAAAAGACAUUUGGACAUUUUCGCACUUUUGCGCAGUCUAUCUUCAAACAGCCAUAACUUCUUUGUUUCAAAUCCAAAUCAUUCACCGUUUAAAGCACUGGAUUCCUGACUUCCUAAGCUUUAAAAUGAUAUAUAUUAUGCAUAAUUUGAGCUCCAAGAAGUGCUCCAAAAACGUGUCUAACAGUAGUGAAAUUUGGUGCGGCUGCAACAUUUCCUUUCAGCUUUGCAUAGUUGUCUUCAAACGACCAUAACUUUUUCAUUUCAAAUCCAAAUCAUUUACCGUUUGAAGUGCUGGAUUCCUGACUUCCCAAGAUUUAAAAUGACAUAUCAUAUGUAUAAUUUGAGCUCCAGGAAGUGCUUCAAAAUUGUGUCCAACAGUAGCGAAAUUUUCGCACCUUAAAAUGAGAAUUUCGCACCUUGAAUUGCAUCGUGCGAAAUUUCCAUACUUUGGACUGAGGAAUUCGCACCUUGUUUCACACCGUGCGAAAAUGGGCUUGAGGUGUGCGAAAUGGCACUCGUGUGCCAGGAGGUGGUUUCGCACGGUGCGAAAAUUUUUCGCACCUUGGAUUGAGGUGUGCGAAAUUGAUGCACCUUGAACUGAGAUUUUCGCACCUUGGAAUGAAUUUCGCACCUUGAAUAGUGGUGUGCGAAAUUUUCACACCUUGUUUCGCAUGGUGCGAAAAUGGGCUUGAGGUGUGCGAAAUGGCACUCGUGUGCCAGGAGGUGUUUCGCACGGUGCGAAAUUUUUCGCACCUUGGAUUGAGGUGUGCGAAAUUCCCGCUCAGCUCGGUCCAGUUUUCUUGCAAUGACCAUAACUUUUUUGUUUCAACUCCGAUUUGGACACCGUUUGAAGCGUUGGACUCCUGACUUCCCGAGCUUCGAAACGGUAUAUAGUAUGUAUAAAAUGGACUCAAGAAAGUGCUCCAAAAUAUGUCCCAAAUUGGCAAUAGAAGCAAUGGCCAGAAUUCUCUCAUUUCUUCCUUUUCUUUCAUCAUAACUUCGAUUUUUGCAAGCAUCAUACCUACAUGAACACUUCAAAACUCAUCUUAAAAACAUAUUAAAACUAAAUUAAAGCUAAGAAUUCAAACUAAAACAUGCAUAAUUUUAAAGAAAGCAUAGAAUUUAAAUGAAGCUGAUAGCAUGUACCCCAAAAAGAAGAUGAACUAUUUAGCUCAUCCUGACUCACACACCCACUUCAUGCUGAAUUCCCCCUGGAUCCCAAACAAAAUUGGCAUCCUUCCCAUUUGGUCCAAGGGAAUUCGUUUCUCUUCUCUUCCCUAGAGAAGUGGAUGCUUUAAAGGGUUCAGGUAACCCCUUAUCAUCUUGAACCUUAUGAUUUUCAAUGGAAGGUUGGUCCAUAGAGUUGUCAUAGCAAUCCCCCACCAAAGUGUCAAUCUUCAACACUUUCCUUGAUCUUUUUGCAUUGGUUCCUUGAAGGUUAUGGUGGGGUUGAGGAGGAAGCUUCCUUUUCCCCCUUGCUAUGUCGAGAUUGGUGAGCUUCUCAAUGGAGUCUUGAACUUUUUCUAUCCUUAGUGAUAGAUCAUUAUAAACCCCCUCCAUUCUUACAUUUAUUGAACUCUCCAUAUUAUCAAUCUUUUCAUUAAGAUGAGAGUUGAUCUUUUGUUGCUCACCUACAAAGUCCUCCAUGACUUUGCUUAUCUUCAAAAUGGCUUGCUCCAAUGAAGAUGUACUCAUUGAUGGUUGAGGUUGAGGUUGAGGUUGGGUUGUAAGGUUGGGAUGGUUUAUAUACUCAAAUGAAGUUGGCAUGGCUUGUGGUUGUGCUUCAGUAUGCACAUUCCUCAAUUCAAACUCUUCUAUCCUUCUAGCCAUAGAUGCUAGCUUUGCCUUCAUGCUCAUGUCUUCAUUCAAAGCAUACUUACUACCCCAUUGGCUUUGUUGAACUUGCCUUUUCCCUAAUUCAAUCCGAUCCCUCAUGGAUAAGUAUGCAAAUUUGUCCUUCUCAUGAUCAUAAUGAGAGCUUUGAUCUUCAUGUGGAAUGUCCAUUUCUAAAAAAAAAAAUGAUAUUCAACUAAGGCUCUUUUCUUCAACUUGUACCAGGGUUCCCUCUUGGUCUCGAAUCCAACAAGGAAUGCACAAAUUGAAAUUAAAACAAAAAUAAAAGAAAAGAGAAUAAAAAAAAAUUAACUAAAUAAAACUAAACUAAAAAAAAAUUACAAGAAAACUCACCAAACUUGUGAUGAAGAUCACAAGUUACCCUUAAUGGUUGCUUCACUGUGCUUGUGGCACCUUCCCCGGCAACGGCGCCAUUUGAUUGUACUCAUGGUCAAUCCCCGGCAACGGCGCCAUUUGAUUCGACUCAUGGUAGCUUAGCUUUAAAGGCGUAUCAACAAAAUUUAUACCUUGAAUACUAUUACUAAAGUAGCCAAGCUACUAUAGCAUAGUGGUUCUAGGAUCGUUCACUGGGAAGGGUUUUCGCAAACACAAGUGAUAUUCAAAUUAGGAAAAUAGGUGAUUUUCUUAUGGAUGUUAGCUUUAAAAGAAGAUGUAAAUGUUUUAGAAAGAUUUAAACUAAUCUAAGCUAACAUUAAAGACUAAAAUGAAAGGGUGUAAAAACAAGUUUCUCAAAGAUAGGAUAGCUAUGCUCUGGCUCUUAUGCAAAUUGGAAAUCUCAGGAUAGGCUCCUCGCGUUGGGGUUGCAACUAUGGUGAUGCUUGCUUCCCGAACCGGUAUGGAUUUAGCAAAUCAAGUUUUAAUCCUUUAAAAUGGCAAAACAGAUGGUAGUGAAUUUCAUCAAUGGUUAUUCACCUUAGACUUCCUUUGAAUGGCUCGUAAGAGAUAACUAAUGGUCUAAAGCCAAAAGCUUACCAAAUAUUGGCAACUCAAAGUCAUUCCAGGUGAUAAACUCACCUUUCAAUGGCCAUUGAAAUUGGUUCUAACGGAUUAAUGCAAAACUUGGAAUUGAAAACCUCACCUUCCAAUAGCUCGUAGGAGAUAACUAAUGGAUAGAAAUCCAAAAGCUUAUCAAGUAUUGGCCGUUGGAAGUUGUCAAAAGGAAAUAAAAACCAAACUUUGCAUUAAUGAACCAUUAAUGAAAAACGACUACCUUACCUUCCAGGUGCGAGAAAUUUCCAUGGGAUUGCAUCCAAGCCAUCACAUAACAUCCAUACUUUGAGAGACUUAAAAGGUUUUAGCCAAUCAUCCUCUGAGGAAAAACCCUCAGAGGCUGUUUGGCUACUAAGAAAAUAGAAACGGGAGAAGAACAGGAGAAGAAUGAAAAACAGAGCAAGGCUCUGUAUAUUCUAUAUAUUGAUCGAUAAUAAAUUACAACGGAUGCAAGGGAAUAUAUAUAGAGAAGUUUUUCCAAUCCUUCCUAGCUAAGAAAUCUUAUGAUUCGUGGAUUACAAGGAGAAGAAUGGAAAUUUAUACAAAAAUAUCUAAAAGAAAAGAUCUCGUGUGGAGUCGGCAGAAACAGGGGAAAAUUCGCACGUUGGAGUUCCAAUUUCGCACGUUGAUUUGAGGUGUGCGAAAUUCUCGCACAGUGGACUGAGGAAUUCGCACCUUGAACAGUGGUGUGCGAAAUUGUCCCUCAGCUUGAUGCAGUUGUCUUCCGAAGGCCAUAUCUUUCUCAAUUCAGCUCCAAAUCGUACAUGGUUUGAACCGUUGGAUUUUUGACUUUCUGAGCUUUGAAAUGGUAUAUAGCAUGUAGAAAAUGGACUUCGGGAAGUGCUCCAAAAGUGCCAAAGAAGACUGCAGCUGCUGUCCUCUGUUUUCCUCUUUGCUUCUUUUAGCUUCUCUUUGCUUUUCUCCUUUUGUUGGCUUGCUUUGGUGUAGCUAAAAGCUUGCUUUAACUUGUCCAAGAAGCUCCUCCAUCAUUUGGCAUGCUUGAAUUGAUUCAUAAGCUGAUAUAAACAUGUAAACUUGCCACAAAAUGGUUAAAACCAAUUACUAAGGACCUUAAUAAAUUAAUUGGGUUAAAUGAAUAUGAUUACUACCCAAAGGUGCUUAAAACCAUUAUAAUUAGGUCUACAAAAUAGCACUUUUUGGUAGUAAUCACAUAGCCUACUCAUUAGUGAUAGGUUUUGUGAGAUGAUAGUUUAUGCCAGACACAUACUUUCCAGAGAUUAUCUUGCAUUGAGGGCUUACUCAUAUUGAGAGAAUGCGUUCAUACUGGGGCAUAGCCAUUUUGCUAAUUUUGACAUUGAGAAUCCAUCUCCUGUUUAUGAUUGUUGCUUUCGAUGGAUCAUAGAGUUAUUGACACCCUGGGUUCAGUCUUCUCAACAUACUUGGUUUGACUUGGAUACCCAUUUUCCUUUGUUAUACACCCAUACAUCCUACAUUUGGCACCAUUAGACCUGCAUCCAUCUUGUUAGAGCCUCACAUCUUUUGAGCCCACAUAUUUCAUCAUCUUACAUGACCUUAUCCCAUUCUUUUGAUCAGAGGAGGAUACAAACUAGUCUUGAGUUUUCUGGUUGGGUUUUCACAUGCCUUUGAACUUUAGGUUUAACAUCUUCCAUGAUGAUAAGGCCUAUUAGAUUGUUGAUGUAUUUGUGAUGAUGUUUUCAUGUUGAUAGUUGACAUGUUGUGUCUUGACUUGCUUACAUUUUAGACUUAGAGUCUUCGUCUACAUUUGUUUGGUCUAUUGUUUUAGUUUUGCUUUGUCAACAUAGUUUCAAUGUUGCAUUGGUCUUGUUUAAGCAUUUGUUCAUUGAGGCUAUGUAUAUGUUUUUCAUUGCAUUGUCAUUCAGCAUAUCCUAGAGUGUGUUGUAUGGUGACAUUAUGUGUCUUAUGUUAGUUGUUAUCUUACACUAGGGCAUACCCUCAUCUUUGAGUUCAUUAGAUCUUUUGUAGAUUUCCUCACUACUUGAUUUGUUUUCUGAUACUUGCAAUUCAUUACUCUGGGGCAUGCCCCCUCUCUAGGUUCAUCAUAUCUCAUGUUGAUUUCAUGGUCGUUUCACCCAUUUACUGAUCCUUACAAGUUAUCACUUAGGGCAUCCCUCAUUUCAAAGCUCUUUUACUAGGGCAUACCCCAUUUUCGUUGAGUUCAUUAUCUCGGUUGCUCUUUCUGUUGAUUCCUUUAGGCAUUCAAAGCCACUUUCCACAGUUAGGCGUUCAGAGCCAUCUAUUCCAAUUUAGGUGUUCAGAGCUUUCUCUUUCGAUUUUAGGCGUUUAGAGCUAUCUAUUUCAGUUUAAGCGUUCAGAGCCAUUUCUUUAAGUUUAAGCGUUCAGAGCCAUCUCUUUUGAUUUUAGGCGUUUAGAGCCAUCUUUUUCAAUUUUAGGCAAUCAGAGCCAUCUCUUCUAGUUUAGUCAUUCAAAGCCAUCUCUUCCAGUUUAGGCAUUCAGAGCCAUCUCUUUUAGUUUAGGUGUUUAGAGCCAUAGUUUUAGGUGUUUAAAGCCAUCUCUUUCGAUUUUAGGCGUUUAGAGCCAUCUCUUCUAGUUUAGGCGUUCAGAGCCAUUUCUUACAAUUUAGGCGUUUAAAGCCAUCUUUUCCCAUUUAGUCUUCAGAGCCAUUUCUUUCAAUUUAGGAGUUCAGAGCCGUAGUUUUAAGCAUUCAGAGCCACCAUCACUCUCACAUUGGUGUUCAAAGGCACCUUGCUUAGCUUAGGCGUUCAGAGCCACUUCUCUAACUUAGGCAUUCAUAGCCACCAUCUCCUAUAAGCGUUCAGAGCCACCUCGCUCAAUUAGGCAUUUAGAGCCACUUUCCACAAUUUAGGCGUUCAGAGCCGCCUUGCUCAUUUUUGGCAUUCAAAGCCACCUUGCUUAGUUUAGGCAUUCAGAGCCACCUUCCUCAGUUUAGGCAUUUAGAACCAUCUUGCUCAGUUUGGGUGAUUAGAGCCACUUUCCUCGUAUUCGGUGUUCAGAUCCACUUUCUCAAUUUAGGCGUUCAGAGCCACCUUGCUCAGUUUAGGUGAUUAGAGUCACUUUUCUUUUAUUAGGCGUUUAGAGCCACUUCCUCAGUUUAGGCGUUCAGAGCCACUUUCCACAGUUUAGGCAUUCAGAGCCACUUUCUCUCACUUAGGCGUUUAGAGCCACUUCUUCAGCUUAGGUGUUCAAAGCCACCUUGCUCAGUUUAGGCAUUCAGAGCCACUUCUCCAACUUAAGUGUUCAGAGCCACUUAUCCAGCUUAGGCAUUCAAAGCCACUUCUCCAAUUUAGGCGUUCAAAGUCAGUAUUUUCCUCUAUAGGCGUUCAGAGCCACCACUUUCUCACAUUGGCGUUUAGAGCCACCUUAUCUAGUUUAGGCGUUCAGAGCAACUUCCUUAGAUUAGGCGUUCAGAGCCAUCUAUUCCAAUUUAGGCGUUCAGAGCCAUUUCUUUAAGUUUAGGCGUUUAAAGCCAUAAUUUUAGGCAUUCAGAGCCACCUUUCACAAUUUAGGCGUUCAGAGCUACCUUGCUCAUUUUAAGCGUUCAAAGCCACUUUGCUUAGUUUAGGCAUUUACAGCCACCUUCCUCAGUUUAGGCAAUUAGAGCCACUUUCCUUGUAUUAGGCGUUCAAAGCCAUUUUCUUAGUUUAGGCAUUCAGAGCUAUCUUGCUCAAUUUAGGUGAUCAAAGCCACUUUCCUCGUAUUAGGCGUUCAGAGCCACUUCCUUAGUUUAGGCAUUCAGAGCCACUUCUCCAGCUUAGGUGUUCGGAGCCACUUCUACAAUUUUAGGCGUUCAGAGCCACCAUUUUCAUAGGCCUUCAGAGUCAUUCCCCCUAUAGGCGUUCAAAGCCACUACUUUUUUUCAUAGGCAUCUAGAGCCAUUUUCACCCUUUAGGCAUUCAAAGCCACCACUUUCUUUCAUAGGCGUGCAGAGCCAUAGGCAUUCAAAUCCAUUUCUCCCAUUGGCAUUCAAAGCCACAGUUUUAGGCAUUUAAAGCCACCAUUUCCAUAGGCCUUCAGAGCCAUUCCUCCCACAGGCCUUUAGAGCCAUUCCCCCAUAAGCGUUCAGAGCCACCACUUUCUCAGCUUAGGUGUUCAAAGCCAUCUUGCUCAAUUUAGGCGUUCAGAGCCACUUCUCCAGCUUAGGCAUUCAAAGCCACUUCUCCAAUUUAGGCGUUUAGAGCCACCAUUUUCCUCCAUAGGCGUUCAGAGCCACCUUCUCUAGUUUAGGCGUUUAGAGCCACUUCCUCAUAUUAGGUGUUCAGAGCCACAGUUUUAGGCGUUUAAUGCCAUUUAUUUCAGUUUAGGCAUUUAGAGCCAUUUCUUUAUGUUUAGGUGUUUAGAGCCAUUUCUUCCGAUUUUAGGUGUUCAGAGCCAUCUCUUCCAAUUUAGGUGUUCAAAGCCAUCUCUUUCAGUUUUUAGGUGUUCAGAGCCAUCUAUUCCAGUUUAGGCGUUCAAAGCCAUCUCUUCCAGUUUAGGUGUUUAGAGUCACAUUUUCCAGUUUAGGCGCUCAAAGCCACAAUUUUAGGCAUUUAGAGCCACCUUUUUUCAACUUAGGUGUUUAGAGCCAUUUCCUUAGAUUAGGCAUUCAGAGCCACCUCUUUCAAGUUAGGCAUUCAAAGUCAUCUCUUCCAAUGCAAGCAUUUAGAGCCAUUUAUUUCAGUUUAGGUGUUUAGAGCCACAUUCUUUAAUUAGGCAUUCAGAGCCAAUUUUUAUUUAUUUUUAUUUUUUAUUUAUUUAUUUUAGUUUAGGCGUUCAGAGUCACUUUCUCAAUUAGGCAUUCAAAGCCACUACUCUAGCUCAAAUGUUCAAAUCCACUUCUCUAGUUUAGGCAUUCAGAGCCACUUUCUCAUAUUGGGCAUUCAAAGCCACUUUCUUAGUUAGGCGUUGAGAGCCACUUCUCUAGCUCAAGUGUUCAAAGCCACUUCUCUAGUUUAGGUGUUUAGAGCCAUCUUUUCCAUUUUAGGCUCAAUUUAGGCGUUCAAAGCCACCACUUUCUCUCAUAUGCAUUCAGAGCUGCAGUUUUAGGCAUUCAAAGUCAUCUCUUCCAAUUUUAGGCGUUCAAAGCCAUCUCUUCCUAUUUAGGCGUUCAAAGCCAUUUCUUUCAGUGUAGGCACUUAAAGCCACCACUUUCUCAACUUAGGUGUCUGGAGCCACUUCUCCAAUUUUAGGCGUUCAGAGCUACUUUUUUCAACUUAGGCAUUCAGAGCCACAUUCCUCAGUUAGGCGUUCAAAGCCACCCACUUUCGCAGUUUAGGCAUUUAGAGCCACGGUUUAGGCAUUUAGAGCCACUUUCCUCACUUAGGUAUUUAGAGCCACUUUGCUUAGUUCCACCUUGCUCAGUUUAGGUGCUCAGAGCCACCUUUUUUAGCUUAGGUGUUUAGAGUCACCUUCUUCAAUCAAGUGUUUAGAGCCAUUUCUCAACUUAGGCGUUCAAAGUCACUUUCUCAAUUUAAGCGUUCAAAGCCACCUUGCUUAGUUUAGGCGUUUAGAGCCACAUUUCUCAGUUAGGCGUUUAGAGCCACCUUUAUCAGUUUAGGAGUUUAGAGCCACUUUGCUCAGUUCCACAUUCCUUGAUUUAGGCGUUCAGAGCCACCUUGCUCAGUUUAGGCAUUCAAAGCCACUUUUAUCAAUUUAGGCGUUCAAAGCCACUUUGCUCAGUUCCACCUUGCUUAUUUUAGGCAUUUAGAGCCACCUUGCCCAGUUUAAGCGUUCAGAGCCACAUUUAUCAGUUCAGGAAUUUAGAGCCAUAGUUUUCUAGAGUCUCUCAUCCUCCAUUGUUGUGUGAUAUAGUCCGUUGAGCUUAUAGAGCACGUGUAGUUUUCCUUCUGUAUGUGUUUGUUCCUAUGCUCCUUGGUGGUUUAGCUACUACUCGACUUCGACAUCGAUUUUUGAGUCACUUUUGGAGACUUUUCUGAGGGAGUUUGGAUCUCUAGUGUAUCUUUAGAGGCACCUUAGGAGUUUUCAUUCUUGCCAUUUUUGUAGGGUUUAAGAGCCUCUUUGUUUUUAUUUUGGUUUAAGAGAGCCCAUGUUAUACUAGGACAAAUUUGGUGGUCUUUCUUGUUCUUCGGUAGAGCUCACUUCGUUUCUCUUGUGUAUGCACUCACUUUACUCGUGAACUCUAUUGAAUAGGGGCAUAUUUGUAGACCCCAAAAUUUGUCCCAGUUUUAUUUUUACAUUGAUUUUGAGUUCAAUUUUGUCCUUAGAUUUUAAAUCCCAAUUACAUUAAUAAUAAUAAUAAUAAUAAUAAUAAUAAUUACUAUUAUUAUUAUUAUUAUUAUUAUUAUUUUCUCUCUCCUCUCUCCUCCACCUACCCCCCCCCCAUACCCCUAUCUUUUUUUUUUUUUUUUACUUUAUUAUAUUUUUUUUUCAUUUUUUUAUUCUUCUUCCUUCCAUCAUUUCUUUUUCUGGCUUCCUUCCAACAGCACAAACACUCGACAACCCACACACUAGAUGGCCAACCUAUUUUCUCUUCCAUUUUUUUUCUUCUCUACUUGCUAUUCCUCCCGCACACUCCACAACUCCACCCAAUCUUCAUUCAUUUUAGUAUUAUUUUAUUUAUUUAUUUAUUUUCUCUUUUCAUUUUCUUCUCCCGUGCCACUUCCCAUUUUUAGCAAUCUCCAUCGCCACUGCUGGUGGCGUCACGUCGGCGCCCCUCCAUCCAUUUUUUUUCCCAUUGGCAAGGGUACCGACCAGUCGUCGUCGGCGAGCCACUAUCGAUAAGUGACCCUUUCCUCUUUUCUCUCAUUCUCUCAUUUUCCCAUCACACACAUUUUCCAUUAUUAUUAUUAUUAUUCAUUUUUCUUGAUUUGAUUUUAAUAGUAAUUGUUGUUUGUAAGAUUUGAAUUAUUGAAUUAAUAUGAAAUUUGAGUUCUGUUAAUUAAUAUGGAAUUUGGGUUAAUUUUUUAUUGGAAAAUUAACAUGAAAUUUGGGCUAAUUUAUUGUUGGUGAAUUAAUUUGGAAUUUGUUAAUUUGGGCUAAAUUAGUUGAUAAUUUAUAUGGUUGUUCUCAUUUGAAUUAUUUAAUUUGGAUAUGAUAUGAUAUUGUGGUAUAUUUUGGAUGUGGGUUUGCAUUUUAAAUUGGGUUGAUUUUGGUUGUGGAUUUAAGUUUGCAUAUUAAAUUGAGCUUGGAUUAUGUGAUAUUAAAUUUAGGCCUAAUGUGAUUUAUUUUAAUUUAUCAUGUUUUGGGUUUGAUUAAUUGAGUUUAUAUUUUGGCUAUUCAUUCAAAAAUUUUAGAUUAGGGUCUAUAACAUGUGAGAUAUUUUUGUUGGGUUAUAUUUGUUAAUUUGUGAAAUUUAUUGGACUAAUUUGAAGUUUGAAUUGGGCUUGAAUAAUUAUUUUGAACUCUACAUAUUUUUGGAUAUUUAUACUUUGGGUUAUUUUUGUGUUUGCCUGGAUCCAUUCUGCAAAUUUGUUGGUUGAGUACGAAUUUAUGACACGUGGUGCACGAAAUUUCAUAGAAGAAAAUGAGACUCGAAUUGAAUAUCAAACAAAUAAAUUUUUUUGUUUAAAUAAGAAGAAUAAUUCAGUAAAUAUGUUUUAAUAAAAUAAUAAUUUUGAAAUAUUGUUCUUAAUAAAAAAAAAAAUUUAUUAAUAAAAAUUAAAAAAAAUGCUUUUACAAAAAUCCAAAAAAUUGUUUUUAAUAGAAUUUGAAAAAUUGUUUUUGAUAAUAAUUGUCCAAAAAUUUCUUUGUUUAAUAAAAAUUUUCCAAAAAUUGUUUUGUAAAUAAAGUUGUCCCAAAAAUUAAUUUUUAAUUAAAAUUCUUUUUGCAAAUAAAGUCUAUGACUAUGGUUUUAAGGAUAUUUCUUAAACUUUUAAAACCACAGUCACCAACAGUGGUUUUUUACACUAAAAAAAUCCAUAUGGAUGCUUACGUGGAUACAAAAGAUUACUUUGACAAAAGAUUACCAUUUUUUUCUACCAAUGGAUUAUUUUGGACUUCAACUCAAUAAAGUGCCCAUGAAACUCAUGCUACAAAGUUUGUGAGGCAGUCAUUGGCUAAAUUCAAUGUUACAUCUCAGACAGAUAAGACAUUUCAACCAAAUGAAGAAUGGACUGAUAGUUGGCAAUUUGUAUUUUAUAAAAUUUUUAAAAUCAUAUUUAGGAUAAACUUGAGAAAAAAAAAAGAGAAGAAAAAAAUGUGAAAUAUUUAGUCUAGUGUUUUUUAAAAUAAUUUUAAAAAAUAGAUUUUGAGAAUAGUUUUUAAAAAUUAUUUUUUGUAAAACAAAAGUAUUUGAAACCUAAAAUGUUUUUAACUUAUUUUUAAUAUUUUAAAAAUAAUUUUUAUAUCUAGUGUUUUAUUUUUAAUCAUUUUACAUGUUUGUAUAAUUAUUUUUUAAAACAAUCAUAAAAAAUCAAAUGAAAACAAUAUAAAACAAUUAAAAAAUGUUCUUUGAAAACAUUAUAUAUGUUUUCUAUUCUUAAGAACAGAAAACAAAAAAUAGUUUUUUGGUUACUAAACAUGUUUUUUAUUUUGGAGAACAAAAAAUUAUUAUAACAAAUAAUUCCCAAACAGAUCCUAAUAUUUCCAUUGUUGAAUGAAAAAUGUGAUUUGUAAUCAAUCUCCUCAUUAGAGAGUAAAAUUUAUUCAUUCAUAGUUUACUUAUGUAACAAAUCAAUCUUGGUUGAACUUUGAUAUCAGUAUAUUAUAACAAUAUAAUUUAUAUUUUAUUAAAAUUAAAAAUAUAUAAGAUUUAUAUAUUCUAAUCAUUUGUGACAUUUGUAACUUCUCCCAUGGCACAUAAACCACUUUUGAAAGCAGUAAGUUUUAUCAUGUGGGUUAAUAAAUCAAUAAAGCAAUUUACGCUCAGUACUAAAAAUCUAUUUUAUAAUGAUUCUAGGAAGUAUUUUUGAACUAAAAGGUACUUUUUUUAUAUAAAAAAAAGAAGAUAUUUAAUAAAAUUUACGAAACAAUUUUAAUUUUUUUUAAAAUCACUUAUAAUAUUAAAAAGUUAUUUAUAAUAUUUUAUGAAGAAACACUUUAUAAGCAGUCCUUCGAUUUGAUAGGUAAAUACUUCAUCUAAUAACAGCAGGCUGCACCAUGAACACAAAUGAAUGCUAUUGCUCUUAGCAUAUUAGUCUGAAAUAAAUGUCACAAGUGCAUUUAUUACAAAGGGGCAUAUUAAUUUGGUCUUCUUUAAAGGCAACUCCCUUAAGAAAAAAGGACUUUUCUUUAUUUUCUUCAUGGUAAUAUAAUGUAAUAGGAGAUGCUUGAGAUCUGUAGAUCAAAAGCAAGAUUUUUAAAUCAAAGAGCAUGGUGACUCAUUAAUGCAACAUUUGAUAACUGAGCAUGGAAUAUUAAUUGUUUAUGUAUAAAAAAACAAUGUGACAAUUCAUAAACUAAACUUCAAAUAUUUUAAAAAUGAUGCCCAAACGUAGUGUUGUUUACUUGUCAAAAGGGAUCAAUUAGUCCAAUAGUAAUAAAUUUGAAAACAUAUUUCAUCUUCAAGAUAGAGUACGAUUGAGAACAUGGAAAGGUGCAUGCCACUUCAUGCACUCGUUGAGGGUGUUAUACCUCAAGGAUUCCACAAUUAACUACUUGUAGAGAUGCACUCAUUGGCAAAGCCAAGGUAAUUGCUUUCACCUCAGGUUCCUCCAUGAACUCAAGAAGAAUGGUAGAAGAUGAUACUAGUAGCCAUAACACAAUCACUGAAUACGAGUUGGAAGAUUAAUGAUUAAAAUAACUCAUGACACAAAAGGAAAAGAAGAGAUCAGCGAAGCUCUAAGAUUGAUGAACAAAGAACUCCUAAAUUUAUAGAAACUCUAGGAUAACUCAAUUAAAUAGGAAGGUGAUGGAAGGCAUGACCAAAGCAAUCAAUUUGCUAAUUGAUUAAAUUGAAAAUUUUCAAACAACUAGUUAAGUAAACUUGUUAAGGUAUUGAAUUCAAAUAUUUAAACUAAUUAGAGGAUUAAUCGUUUCUCAAAUAUUUUUAAUUAAACAUGUACAUAAAUGGGAGAAGAGGGUUCCCUAUGUUGUGAUAAAUGUUAAUUUAUAAUCUUAACUUGAUUUUUACUACUAUAAGUCCAUUAUGUGUCUUGUUAGUGUAGUUAAGGGGUUGUUAUGUCUCUUUUAGUUUUUCUAUAAAUAGGUUUAUUUAAAUUUGAUAUAAUUGUAAGUGUAUCCUUUAUUUCUUCUAUUCUCUCUCUCUCUCUUCUCUCUCUCUCUCUAACAACCAAAGAUGCUCCUUAAGAGCAAAUCUCCACUAAUGUAUAGCUCAUCUCAAUUGAUCUCUAGAAAUAAGGAGUAAGGAAGAUGGAGAAUUCACUUGAGGGAGUAUAGUUUAGUGGUAGAAUCCCAAACAAACACUAUGUUUUGAGUUUUAGAUGUGAUGAUUAAAUUCUUUACGUAGUUUGUCCCAAUUGAGAUACAAUCAAUGUUUAACUUGGUUUCACUGAUGACUAUUAAUAACUUGAUAAUUGGAGAACUCACUUUGAUUUAUGGUAUCAAAAUUGAGAAGAUGUUAAAAUGGUGAAGCAAAACAUGAAGGAUUAAGUUAAUUCAAAUAGACUUUUGAGAUCUGAAGUUUAAUUUCUAAAUUCAAUUUCCAUAUAUAUCCUAAUCAUUUUUUAGAUCUUACUUAAUUUUGGAUUGACUUUUAAUCAUUAAAGAAAAGAAAAUAUCUACCUUCUAUUAGUGAAUUUAAAGUCCAAUUGUGAAUUGAUCUAGACCUUUCUCUUCUAGUUGUUAUUUUCAUUUGUGAAACUAUUUUUUUUUUAAACCAAUAUUUGUUCAAAACUGUUUUGAUUUAAAAUCCCUAAUAAACAGGCUGAGCUUUUGUAGAAAAUUGGUAGGCAAUUAAUCACUUAAUCUAAUUAAACAACUUAACAUAUUAGUACUGCUUCGAUGACAAUAUGUCUCACUAUGUAACAUAAUAUCCUUCUUUCUUAUUAUUAUUGUUUUUUUGGACCAAUAAUGUUAUAAAUAACUACAAUUUCACUUUUAUUUUUAACCUAAAGAGAGUAAGUUCAUGCACCAUCUUCAUCUUAGAGAUGGACUUCUACGUAUAAAUAGCUUAUAGCACGUAUGUCUCAUUGUUACCAAUAUGAAUCUAAUUUUUAGGAUCUCUACUAAUGUAGGUUUGGUUACUUCACACUUCACUUUUGUAAUAGGUGUAAGUCCCAUGCAUCCUCCUCGAUGUUUUUUCAACUAGUUUCGUAUUUACUUAUUUAGUAAGAGGAUCAACCAUAAUUUGACUUUGACUUCACAAAAGAAAAUAAUAUGACCUUUGUCUCAAGCAACUAUUGAAAAUGUUGUGCCUUAGGCAUAAUAUGCAUAUUCUUUGGUAAAUAUUUUACAUGUAGCCUUAAAUAUUGCAACUUAGCUAUUACAAUACAUACACAGUCUUAGCCUUGUCCAUAAUGAUAACUGCCAAAUGGUUUCUAAGCUACAUAAACUCAAAACUUACCUUAUCUCGUUUAAAUUAUAGAUCUAGUUGGCACCAUUUUGUCUUUCAAGUACAUUUGGAAAUCCAUUAUAUAACACAAACUAUGGUCAAUGGUGCCCCUCCAGCUAGCAAUCAGAGUAUAACAUUGCUUUCACCAUAAUAUACAUGUAUAUUGAUUCAUGUAUUACAUGAUAUUAUUUAUUUUUGAACAAGCCUAGCAAGCUUUUGAGUUCAUGUAGUUUGUUAUACUACUACUCCUGAUCAAGAGCUACUUGAUCACUUCUAUUAUGGUGUGUUGUUUAUUUAUUGGAAAAAUGUGUGAGAUAAAAAAGAAACAGGAAGAAUAACCCACAAAAUUUAUAUGCUUUAGAUACCAAUAUGAAACCUACAUAAAUAAGACAACAUACAGGAUUUGAUUGAUCACUGUGAAGGGAAUAUUCCAACUUCCUCUUCUCGAACCACCAAAUCAAUAUUUUACCUCUUCGCUAUGGGGGUUCGAACUCCCGCCAAAAGGUUUGCAACACGUUGAGCCAACCACUAAGGCAAGUUUGCCUCUUGUUAUAUAAGUUGCACCAAAUAAAUAUACACUCAAAUUCAACAUAUAAACAUAAUUUUAAAAAAAUUAAAGAACAAAUUAAUUAUAAGUAUUUUAUAAUUAAAUGAAAAAUUUUCAUCUGUUUGAAUAUCAAAAAUAUAAAAAUUAUCAUGAUAAUUUUCUUCAUAGUGUUUUUAAUAUCAUUAAUAUAUUAAUUAAGUAUUAAAAAUUAUACAUAUAUUAUCAUUUAUUUUAUAUCAUUUAAUACAAUUGAAUUAAAUGAAUUUUAAUUAUAAUAUUAAAUAUAUUUUAAAAUUAGACAUUUUAUAAUCAAAUAUAACAAUAUUAUUAUUGAAUAAUAUUUGGUAUAAUUUAAUAAUAAAUGUAUACUUAUGAAAUUCAUAUUUUUUUUAUUAGCACAUACAAUAUUAUUAUCAAAUAUAAUAAAUUAUAUUAUAUAUAUAUAUAUAUAUAUAUAUAUCAAUUACAAUUCUAUUAUACUUUUAAUUUGAUUUUUAAGAGUUUUUUCUUACAUUUUUAUAAUUUUUGAUCAAUUUUAGGUUCAUCGAUAUUUUAUGUCAAAAUAUUCGUCGAUAUAUCUCUGAUAUAUCUGAUAUACUUGUAAAAUAGAAGUACCAAUAUUUUCAUCAUUGUCUUCGAGUUGGUGUAAAAUAUCGAUGGAGCCUAACUGCAAUAGAAGACUUAAAUAGAGUUACAUGGAUAAUUGGGAAUUGUGUAUAGUACAACUAGUAAUCACUUGAUUUUUGUAAACGAAUGGUUUUUCUUAACUCUAUUUACUUAUUUUUAUUUCUUUUAUUUUAAUUAUUGUAAAUGAAUUUUUUUAAUCUAUUUAUAAAAAUGUCAUUAUAAAAGAUAAAUAUAUGUUUUAAUUAUAGUUUUUUAAUAUCCUUUUAUUUUUUAUAAUGAUGUGGUAUUUUUAAUUGCUAAGUUAUGUAAAAAAAACAAUUAAUUUUUUUAAAGAUAAUAUGUUUAAAUUUUUAUAGGGUAUUAAGACAAUAAAUAAAUGAUAUUUAAUAAUUAAAAUACCGAUCAUAUUUAUUUUGACAUAUUAGAAUGUAUACUGUCUUUCUUAUUAUGCAAUAUUGGAACUAAAACCUCUAAUUUUAUAAAUUUUUAAUUGAAUAAUAAUAAUAAUAAUAAUAAUAAUAAUAAUAAUAAUUAAAAAAAAAACCAUUAAAGUAGGCCAUAAUACCAAUAUAUUAUAUUUUGAUGUAUUGAAAGAACAUCACUUAGAUAUUUUAUAGUUAAUUAAUAAAAGUAAUCAUUAAAUAUUUUAUGUUUAAAUUAUUAAAUAUUAGAUAAUACAACAAUGUUAAUUUCUUUACCAAUAACAUAAAAAUACAAAAAUAACAAUACUCCAAUUGACAUCUACAAUACAAAAAAUAAGUAAUUAAUAAAGCACUAUAAAGACUUGAAAAUCUAAUUAAGAGUUCAUUUGAGAAUGAUUUUAAAAAGUGUUUUUUUUGCCUAAAAAGUAUUUUUGAAAAAAAAAAAAAGUGUUUAGCAAAAUUUGAAAAACACCUUUAAAAAUUUGUAAAUUUACUUAUAAUGUUGAAAAAUCACUUAUAAUGAUUUUUGGAAAAAUAAUUUAUAGUUGAUUAUCCUAAAAGCACUUUUAGAUCAAACAUUUUUAUUAAAAACAGUUUAAAUAGAAAUACUUUCAAUCACACUCUAAAUAAACAUAAUCAAUUAUUUAUGAACGAAACAUAAGGAGAAGUUUUGUUUCAAAUUAUAAGAUAUCCAAGAUAAAAAAAACACACCAAAUAAUUAGAUAGGGAUAUUGUUUUAUAUUUUUUUGAUUGGCUGAAAAUGUGGCAGCUUUGUGAGGCUUGCAUCAAGCCAAGUAUCGUUUUUUUAUGGACAGAAUUAACAGCAAGUUUGCUUACAAAUAGAGUUGCAAAUUUCAGUUUGAGAGAAGAGAUGAUGAGAAGGCUCUUAGCUUAAUUUCUUACUCUCAAAUACCUCAACUACCACUGGUGGACGUUAUUUGUAAUAUUAUAUUCAAUGAAACUCUCAACUUGAGGGAAGUCCAAUUUUGUUGAGAUUCCAAAUUUGGUAGUAUGGCGUGACUCCAAUUUGAAGACCAAGGUUGGUGUGACUUCAAGGCUUGGCAACCGGUUGAGAAAGGUUACAAAAAGGGAUAACACAAUUGGAGUUGGUCAUGAGGAGUAAAAAAUUUGUAAUAUUUGAUAUGACUGUACUUUGCAAUAAUUUUUUGUCAUGGUGAAAUUAUGUGCUAAUUGUGCUUUUCACCUCACGAGAAAGUUUUCUAUAUAAACUCGAUGUCUCAAUUCUUUAUGUGUGCUUAAUUCAUUUUUGUGCACAUCUUUAGCUAUGAUAAAUUAUAUAUAAGUUAAUCAAUCUUAGUAAACUGAGUUCAACCUCGAAGAAGCAAAUUAAUUUUGUGUACAACACUUGAACAAGAUCCUGAAAUAUUUAAAAGUUAUAUCCCACACUACUCACUCUAGUAAAUGUAUAUGAUAUGGUUCUAUUAGAGUAAGCCCUCGAAAGCAUGACAUGAUGUAAUAUAAUAAAAUAUUAAUAAUAUAUUUUAUUUUUUAUGAUUUUUGUUUCUCAUCUAUAUCCUUAAUUGCAUUAUUUAUCAUCUGAGCCUUUACUCUUGUAUCACUUGUAUUGUACAUUUGUACAUGACUUGGGUGCAUUAGGAGUUACAUAAAAGGUCUAUGUCAUGGGUUCCUUGAAAGAUGAUAAGUUGUUCCUAGUUGAUUCAUGAAAUUAAGUAAUCCAUUAAAGAUUGUGGCGUACUACCUCUUAAUUUGAGAGAACUUUCUUGGUUAUUGGGAUGAGUUUUCCAUGAUGAGUGUGCUAGUGUGUAUGAUUACAUUGGAAAGAAUUUAUGGUGAGUCAUGACAUUGAUUAUUAGGUAGUCAUGAUUUAUCAAUCUACUAUGCUACGUAGGCUCUCAAUCUUGAAAUAAUAUUAAGGUAGUGCUGAGGUCUUUAGUGACUUUGACCUAUAAGUGAGAUCCCAAGGUAUUCAUAUAUUCUUUAUGAAUUUGGUCAUUGUUGAUUACAAUAAGUGGCAAUAAGUAUUCUCCGGAUUGAAACAAUAAUAUUGUAUUCUCUUAGGUAGUGCUAAAGACUUGUGAUCACAUAAUAUAUGAUGACAUAUGCUUUUUUUGAGGUAGAGUAUGUUAAUUCAUAAAAAAUAGGAGGAUUGGAGACUCAAGGAUUGUAGAGGUAAGAUCUCAUGGUGCAUGAGUGACAACCCUUUUUUAAUGGUGGAGAUGACGGUUGUUUCUCAAUGAAAUUAUACAACUCCAAAAAAUUGUUGUUUUGUCUUGCAUCUCAACCUUGGAAGUGUUAGAGAUCAAAUGGAAAUUAGAAUGUGAACACCCACCUCUUCCUCCUCCAAUCCCCCCCCCCCCCCCCCCCCCAAAAGUUGCAAUUGUGGGGAUGCCCUCCAAACUAAUGGUGAAUCCCUCUCAAAGAAACGUAAAAUGACCCUCUCAAAACCUAUUGAAAGUCAUAUAAAAUCCUGCUCUCUAAAAUCUCNNNNNNNNNNNNNNNNNNNNNNNNNNNNNNNNNNNNNNNNNNNNNNNNNNNNNNNNNNNNNNNNNNNNNNNNNNNNNNNNNNNNNNNNNNNNNNNNNNNNAACUAAUGGUGAAUCCCUCUAAAGAAACGUAGAAUGACCCUCUCAAAACCUAUUGAAUGUCCUAUAAAAUCGUGCUCUCUAAAAUCUCUAAAUCCCAGCCUAAACAUUCCCCAAAAAAAUUAAAAAAAAAAAACCUAUAGACCCCUUAAAAAUCAAGAAACACAUCCUCCAUAACAUAGACUGAUUUGUUUUUUUUUUUUUUUAUAAAUGGCCUAAAAACUCCCAAAAUGCAACUACUUCUUCUCUUAAAAACCUCUAAGGCUUCCUUAAAACUUGAUGAUUCUUCCUUAAUUCUCCCCCUAAAAGCUCCCUAUUGGAAAUUCUUUCAAAACCACACUUAAAACCCCUCAUUCGGACAUUGCUAAAAAUUUUUUAAAAGGUUCUCCUAAUCCUCUAUUCGAAUACUGCUCAAAAUUCUUCCUUUCCUAUCAAAAACACUACUCAAAAUCCUUCAUUUCCUAUAAAAAAACGCUACUCAAAAUCCUUCAUUUCCCAUAAAAACAAAAUGCUGCUAAAACUUUCCUUCAUUUCCUUUCAAAUCUAAAUAUGUUUUUCUCUAGAAGGUUCCUCUCUUCUUCCCAAAAUACAACCUCUUUCUUUUACAAAACAUGUUAAAUCCUCAGACCAACCUGAUUCCUAUCCAAAAAUGCAUUGAAAAUAUCCUCAAACUGUAUUCUGAAUAUCACCAAAAAAAACGUGGCCUAAAUCAUUCUAAAAAAAAAUUGUAAUUUUUUUGUCUCCUAAAAGUGUCCAUAUACACUCUCUUAACCAGCAUAAUUCCUUUCCAUGAUCAUUCCAUUUCCACAAAAAAAAAAAAAAAAAAAAAAAAAAAGUAGACAAAGAAAAAAAGAAAAAGAAAAAGAAAGGCAUUUUAGACAAAGAGGUAAAAAUCAUGCACAUGUCAUGCAAUUACGACAUGUCAUGCACAUGAUAUGCAAUGCCAUUGAUCGGUCUUCUCUGUUGUCCAAAAUACUAAGCCUUUUUAUGUAGCAACUCUGGUCAAGAAAAACCAAAGAAAGAGUCACUACGACUUUUGUAGUACUUCGGGUAUCAUUCUCAAGGAUUGGAUUAUGGAAUUUGUCAAUACUAUGAUAAAUUAAUCACUUUUAUUUGAAUCCUAAAUUGAAAAAUAAUAUGUGAAUGAAGUGAAACUAAGUAAGAGAAUUAAAUUAAUAACAAAAUGAAUAUUGGUUUUUAAUUCAAUUGAUUCAAAUAUGGUCAGGGCUUUCCACAAUCCAACUUAAGGUAUAAAAAUAGAGAGACCAAGGGUUUCUUAAGUAUAGUGAUCUUAAGGUUUUGGUAUCUUUGGUCACUUGCAAUCAACUUGAGUUCUAUAACUCAAAAUUGCAUCUAAAACCUAAAUUUUCCCUUUUAAAAAAAUUCCUAAAAUCAUCAAAUUAAUAAGAUUGAUUAUUGGUUUAAGGUUUGACCUUUUAACCCUUCUUAUUCCAUAUAGCUUUGUUUUGGAGCAAAUAAUGAUAAGAAAGACCAGGAUAACUAAUGAUCAAGAGUUAUUAAGAAUUACUAGUAUUGGGUGAUAACUUACCAUAUCAUUCCCUAAGCUAAACACAAUGAUGGGAUAAAAAAAAUUGAUAAAUUGUAACCCAACUAAUAAUUGAUCUCAUUGUUAUAACAAUUUACCCAUUGUUCCUAUGAGUUUCUAGCUCUUAAGUUUUCAUGCUUAAAGCCCCAGAGUUGGCUUUUUAGCCUUUCAUGGGGGUGAUGUCACAUUCACAAUCCAUAAUAAGAUAAAAAUCCAUAAUUUAAAUCAAAAGAAAUUAAAAACAAUAUAUUCAAUAAAGAAGAAAAGAAACAAACCAAAGUUCUCAUCUUCUUCCCCACAAAAAUGUCAAACUCUUCGGAAGAUGGUCCAAGAUGACUAAACACUAGAACUAGAAGAGUUUAUAUAGUAUCAUCAAUGACCUAACACAUGGUACACUCUCAUUAGCCACUUAUUACAAGGAAAAGUCAUAAACAACCUAAAAAACUUCAAAAAUAAGGAGUUCUAAACGAGUACAAGGCAUUUCGAAUUAGGUGGAGGCAUUUGGAACUUGUUUCAACAUAUCUUGGGGCUCAAACUCGAUCACCGGUGGCUGAGUUAGAAAUUGGGGUGAGUCUCAAGUCAAUUUUGAACUCAUAAGUGGAAGGAAUCCCAAUUCGAAAUGUAGGGGCUGAGUUCAAAAUGCAUAGUGAAUUUCAAACUCAGCAUCCUUCUCUGACCAAUUUGCUUCAAACGUGCAUAACUUCCUCAUUUUAGCUCUGAUUUGCACACCGUAUGAUGCAUUGGAUUCCUAACUUCUAGAUAUUUGAAACGAUAUUGUCGAUAAUAGACUUUAAGAAGUACUUUAAAUUUUUCAAAGUCAGAGCAUUGCCACUAGAUUUUGAGUUCUAAAUUUCCAUGUAACUUGAUGAAUUUGCUUCAUACCUCAUUUUCCAUGUUUUUCUGCCUUCUUUCUUACUUUAUAAUGGUCAUUACUCAAUUCCUAAACUCAUAACAUCCUCGUCUUGCAUUUCCUCAAAUGCUAUGGGUCUUGACUCACUCAAUUCCCCAUUUAACCCCUUGAUAUUUCAAAAUCUAAAAUGUUUUCAACUUGUACCCUUUUAUUCCCUUAAACCUAAGACAUAUCUCCAAAAUAACAUUUAAACUCAUGGCUAGGGCCUUAGCAACGAUUUGGUCAAUUCAAAUGAUUUGAGUGUCUUAUAGUGCAUAAAUCAUAUCGAAUAUAUGCUAUUAAAGCACAUAUUUUGGCUCCAAUCAACCAUGCAAAAACCAUGGAAACCAUGCAAAUGAAAAUUCCAUGCAAGUCAUGCAAACUAUGCAAAUACCAAACAAGAAAAACCUAAAGAAGACUUAGGUGGCUCAGAUAAGCCUAGAUGGGCCAGGAUGUGCCUAGAUUGACCAAGGCAUACCUAAGAGGGCCAACACAUACCCAAGAAGGUCAAGGUAUGCCUAAGUGGGCCAGGGUAUGCCUAUAUGGACCAAGGUGUACCUAAGAGGGCCAAGGUAUGACUAAAUGGACCAAUGUGUGCCUAAAUGAACCAAAUGUGCCUAGAUGGGCCAAAGUGUGCCUAAGAGGGCCAAGGUAUGCCUAAAUGGACUAGGGUGUGCCUAAAUGGGCUAAAUGUGCCUAGAUGGGCCAAAAUAUGUCUAAAUGGACCAUUGUGUGCCUAAAUGGGCCAGAUGUGUCUAAAUGGGCUCAAUGUGCCUAGAUGGGCCAAAUGUGCCUAGAUGGGCCAAAGUUAGACAUAAUAGUCUCAUUGCUAUCCUUUUAGUGUAUUGAUAUUGAUUUGAGUGUUCGAUACAUGUCUCUUACAUUAUACAUGACUUGAGUGUAUUAAAAGUUGCAUAGAAAAUACAAGUCAUGGAUUCCUUAUAAGUAGAUAAGUUGUCCACAAUUGGUUCACGGAUUUGGGCAAUCCAGUAGAGACUAUAGUGCACUACCUCCUAAUUGGAGGGAUGACUUGUCUUGGUUGUCAGGAUGCAUUUCUUAUGGUGAGUGCAUUAGUGUAUAUGAUGCACAUUGAAUAAGACCUAUGGUGAAUCAUGACAUAAGGUUAUUAAUUGUAAUGAUUCACUAAGCUACUAUACUGUGUGCACUCUCAAUCUUGAGAGGAUAUUAAGUUUAUGCCAAAAUCAAUAGGAGACUUUGACUUAUGGGUGAGACCCUAAAAUAGUCAUAUAUCUUUAUGGAUUGGGUCCCUGUUGAUGAAGGUUGUUGAUGACAUGUAUUCUCAAUAAAGGCACCAUGAUAUCUCAUGGGAUUGAGAUAGUGUGCCUCCUUGGAUGAUGUAAAGGACAUGUGAUCAUGAAAUUUGUGGCCAUAAUAAUUCCUUUAACAGAAUUUAACAUAUGCUCUUUUGAGUUAGGAUAUGCCAAUUGAUCACAUAAUAAGUGAGAUCUAUAACUCAAGGAUUUGAGAGGUGAUCUUGAUAGGUGAUAGUACUAGCUUGUUAGAUUACGAACACUAGUUCAUGAGGAGUUUGCAUGCAAUGGAUAAUAGGUCACAGACUCAAGCUUUGUCUCGUUGUUAUUUACAUAAGGUACUGGAGUGCAAUUGAUUAUCUUUAGUGGAACGUUGAAUCAACUUUAGAAUUGGAUUAUGAGGGAGCAAGUACUCUCAUAGAUCCCAAUGGUCCCUACUUUGAGCUCAUAUACCAUGAUAGCACGGUUUAUGAGGGUUAGAUUGGCUCUAGGUUCUUUCUUAUGCAUAAGAGUGUUUUGGUAAUUACACAAAGUUGCAUAGGGGAUAAUUAACAAGGUCUCUAGAUUGAGCUAAUUGAUUAUUUAUAUGACCCUAUGUGGUUAAUUGAUCAAUUAGGACCCAUUUUAGGCCAGAUUAAGUGACCCAAGCGUUGAUGGGCUUAAGUCACUUAAGCCUAAUGGGCAACCCUAUAAAUACCCAUUAUGGGUUAGGGUUUCUUAAUUACUUUAGCUGGUCAUUUUCCACAUUUAAAAGAGAGAGAGAGAGAGAGAGAGAGUCAAGGUUUUCACUCUUCUAAAGCCCACACUUUGGAGUGCCAAGAUCGUGGUUCAAGUCAUUGAGAGGAAGAUCAUGAGUGUACGAGACCUUCAAACUAUUUAGACAUGUUCUUCACCACAAUGAAUUUAAUUAGGAACAUCCAUAUCUAGGUAUGUGGUUCAUAUCUCUAGAUCUAUAGUUAAUAAUAUUUUUUAUUGUCAUUUUAUUCUGUUGUGAUAGAUUUAGAGAUGCUUACAGAUAGAUGCAUGCUCCCUACGAGAUUCAAGGUAUGGAAUGGAGUAAUUCAGGGUUCCCAACAACUAGGGUGUGCCUAGAUCGGCUAGGACAUGUCUAGAUGGGUCAGGGCGUGCCUAGAUGGGCUGGAUUUGCCAAGAUGGGUUAGGGUGUAUCUAAAUAGGCUAAGUAUGCCUAAAUGGGUUAGAGUGUGCCUAGAUGGGUUAGGGUGUGUCUAAAGGGGUCAAAGUAUGCCUAGAUGGGCCAAGGUGUGCCUAGGAGGGCUAAGGUAUGCCUAAAUAGACUAGGGUGUGCCUAAAUGGAUUAGGUUGUGCCUAAAUGGUCCAAAUAUGCCUAGAUGGGGCAAAGUAUAUCUAAAUGGACCAAGGCGUGCCUAUAUGGGUUGGAUGCCUUUAAAUGGGUAAGGGUGUGCCUAGAUGUCUCUAGAUGGGUUAGAGUGUGUCUAAAUGGGUAAAAUGUGCCUAAAUGGGUCAGGGCAUGCCUAGAGGAGGUAGUGUGUGUCUAAAUGGGUUAGGACUUGCUUAGAUGGGCCAAAGUGUGAUUAAAAGGAUCAAGGUAUGCCUAAAUAGGCCAAAUGUGCCUAGAUGGGUCAAGUGUGUCUAAGUGAUCUAGGGUGAUAAAAAAUAUGCCUAAGUGAUCUAGGGUGGUUAGAAAAUUGCCUAAGUGACUUAAGGUGAUUAGAAAAGUGUCUAAGUGACCUAGGGUGAUCAGAAAGGUGUUUUAGUAACCUAAGGUGAUAAAAAAUAAAAAAUAAAAAAUAAAAAGUGCUUAAGUGACUUAGGGUGAUCAAAAUAGUUUUUAAGUGUGUUGUCCUAAAGGUUUAAAUGAGUUAUCCUAAAAAAAAAUGAAAAUCCUAAAUCUAACUUUGGGUUGCCAAGAGUCACAAUGAGAGGCCAGAUAAAUAUCCCUUAACCAGACUCUCCAAGGUGGCUAAAAAAGGUAAGUUGAAUGAGUAGCAGUAGUGUAGACCUUCAAUUUUGUCUUCAUAGCACAUGUCUUAUUAGAUACUUGUUCGAUACUUUACAGUUAGCUCCUUGGUGGCCCAUAUCUACUCACGCUACUUACCUUUCUUGAACCACCUCGGAGACUCUGAUUGAGGGAUUGCCUAACCCCUUAUUAUGACCUUGGCAGCCCUAAUUUAGACUUAGGCACUUUCCUAAACACCUUAGGCCCACUUGGACACUUCAUUGGGCUUAGUUCACUUAGGCCCACUUAAGCACUUUUAAACCCACUUUUUAUAUGACUUGCAUGAUUGCAUGACCUGCAUGACUUGUGUGACUUAUAUGGAUUUCUUUAUUAUUUUAAUUUUAUUUUAUCUUAUUACAAGUUUUCUAAAUCAUAUUUUUUGGCUUUUUGGGCAUGAGGAAACGGGCCGCCAUCUAUUUGGAAGGAGAAUCAACAGAAUUUUGAAAAAGAGGAGAUUUUGUUUUUAGAAGGAUAGCACGUAUAUUAUUUCCAUGAGGGAAUCGGUUACAAAAGGGAAGAAAAUAAGAAAGGAAAGUGGAUUUCUUUUUUUGGAUCAGAGAAGGUUUCUUUUUGGAGGGAGAUUUUUUUAUUAUUUUUGUAGAGAGACACAAAAGAAAGAAAAAUGAAGGGAUUCUCCUCCAGCAGAUUUGGGGGGUUCUUUGGGAAGGCUGAUAUAUAUAUGUGAGAGAGGAAUUUUUUGGGAUGGGUUUUUUCGGGAGAUAGUCUUGAGGAAAAGCACAGAGAAGAGGGAAAGGAGCAAGAGUAGCCGAGUUCAUCCGGGUAUGUUUCUUGUUACUCUUGAAAUUCUUACCCAUAUUCGAUUUCUCCAUAUAUUUGUUUUUGGAAUAUUUAAUAUAUUGUUCGUUGGUGUGGUCGUUAAGGGCCACAAGUUGUUCUGCUGAGCUUGGUUGUUUACCUCUUUAUUCAAUUCUGAUUUUGAUUAUUUUAGGUGUCAUGAAUGUCUUCAGAAAUAUACAACUCCAUGCUUGAAUGUGAUCAUGCUCUUUUUUUUUUUAUUUGAAUCCUAUCUUGUAUUGUUCCCUCUGUUAUGCUCUUAGCCCAUGGAUUAAUACUUGAAGUGGGGGCUAUUUUUGUUUAUUGAUCAACAUCUUCUGCUCUUUCCUCCUCUGAGUUUUACUUCAUUUUUAUUUCAUUUUAUUUCUCCUCUAUCCCUUUUCCUGUAUGCUGCCCAAAUCCUUCUCAUUACCUUUGGGUGUACAUUGAGGAAUGAUGGAAGUGUUAAUAUGAGAUGAAGUAUGCAACAAUCUCACUCAAAUAUUAGAUAGUUGAUUUCGAGGUUCUUUUAGUGAACUACAGAAAUCUGGAAUAUGCAUCACUGAAAUUCGGAUCUAUCCCACACUACCAACCUUGGGAAAAAGGGGAGAAAUUCUAGGAGUUUGAUUUUCGAUUAUGUUAGAAAAAUGGAGUUCACGCUACAAUCGAUGAUUCUCAUGGAAGCAACCUUGUUGCCAUUCUCUGUUGAUCUUAUCAUCAUAUGGAGAGGGAUCACCGACCUUGAGGAGAUAUUUGGGUUUCUCUGGAAUUGGAAAACUGAAGAAGUUCUAGAUUCAUCUGAUUAGAAGAUUAUUACCACGCGUGGUUCCUGGAGGGGUGAUCCAAAGAGAGGAUUGGUUAGAGGGAACCGUGGAUAACCGGAAAGUAGAAGAAACUGAAGGGAUCACGGCUGAAUGGAGGAUGGAAACUCGCACUUUCUCUUAGAAGCCAUUGAAAGCGAGGGAAAAGCCUUUGAAUAUUCACAUCUCUGUCAUCUGAUCAAUGAUUCUCUUCCUCCUUACAUCGAAUCAGAGCUAAUUUCAGUGACCAAACAAAAUGAGAAAAAUCUUUUGGUUGCUCUUUCCCAGGAUUCAAGAAAAAUUCAAUUCUGGAUAUAUGAGCUUGAUUCCGAUUCCCGUGACGACAUAGCGGCCUAACCUACUUAUAUUGAGAAAUCAGAAAAUUAUGAAGAGCAUUGUCAUUUGACUAGAAUCAUAACCAACUUGUUGAAAGUCAAUAUGUUCAAUAUUUGGCAAGCAAGGUUCUUGUGGUCCUUUCUGAGUUUGUUGUUGUUUCUGGAAGUAAUGGGGAGGGAUUUGUGCAUUUUUUGUGUGUUUGCUUUGAUGCAGCAAUUGGCAACUCUCUUUCAUCGUCUUUCACACUCCAAACUGAUGGGAACGAAAUCUUUACUGAGAAGUCAAGUUUUGUUGUUUUUUUGUAAAAUCCAGACUGAAAAAUGUAAAUUGGUUUGCAGUGGCUGGUAUUAUUCGAGUUUUGAGUAAUAUAUUGAAAUACUUGAAGCAAGAAUAUGAUGAUCAACUUGGGAAAAUGCUUGGAUUCUAUCAAUUCUUGUUUGUCAAAUGUGCCUUGGGAUUCAUUGAAUGAUGUUUGUGUUGGUCAGAAUGGUGACACUUAGAGACGCUCGAACACUUUUAGUCUGAGGAAUGGUCAGCUACUAGAGUCAAAGGUUUUAUUUCUAAGAAAUCUUGUUCAGUUCUUCUGUUUAUUGGUUGAGCAAAAUGGUCCUUUGGGAAUCCCAGGUGUUUCUCUAGGUAAGUAUCCUGUUCUUUAUAACAUCAGCAACCUUCUCCUAAGUUUCUAUAUUGGUGCCUUGGCAAGCAAGGGAAUUGUUACAGCUUGUGCAUCUCUAUACUUUAAACACAAGUUGUUGAUGCUAAUGUGUAGGCUCAAUUUCUAUAUCCAUCUACAAUAUUCAAUUCUUGCUUCUUUGCUGCAAGUUCUCCAUGAAUACUUUCAAGAUCUUUUGCUCCAACCAAUACGUCAAGUCAACCCUGAUGAGAGUGGUUGUCUUGAAGGCUCUCCAUUUUUUUUUUAUUCAGUAUUCUUGAUGGAAAAGUAUAUAGCAUGUCUUUAUACCAUUUACAGAGACAGGUUGUUUUCCUUUUUCUAAGGUGUUCCUUCAGUUUGAUCAGUCUGAGGGAAGAAAUAAGAGAGCAAUGUGCAUAUGCAGCUACCAAUUCAUGCGUGACAUUUCACCUAAAUUCAAAUUUGGAAUGUUGUAGUCAAAAGAAAGUCUAUAAGAGCUUUAUGAGCGGCUUCAAGGACAUAUUCCUAAGUGUUUAGUUGUGGACCGUGAAAUGUAUUAGACAGUUAUUUCUUAGAUAUGCUGAAGCUCUGUUUUCUUCGCUCCAACUUCUUUGUCAGCAUCAUGUGACACGCUUGGUUCAGGGUUUUGAUGUUAAUCUACGACAAGAAUUAGUUCAAUUAACACUCCACCCAGUUUGUUCCGAGGAAGGUGAUCGGCUUGCUACUAGGUUAAUAUCUUCCCUAAUGGGGUAUUACACUGGUCCUAAUGACAAGGUAACAGUUGAUGAUAUUAGCGCAAGAUUGCAAGAGGGUUGGCUAGGCUAUUACAAGGGGACUGAUCACAAACUUUACUUAGCUGUGGAGUUUCUUGAGAGAGCUGUUGUAACUUCUGACACCGAAGAGAAGGAAAACCUUGCUAGAGGGGCCUUCAAUCUCUUGAAUAAAGUUCCAGAACCUGUAGAUUUGUGAGUAGUUUGCAAAAGGUUGGAGGACUGGAGAUUUCAUGAAGUUGUGGUUCGUUUACCACUACAAAAAGGUACAAGCCCUUGUCCCUGAAGGUGAUGCUUCCAAUGAGCGACUUGAUGCAGAAAUUUGAGAACAUACACCUGCUUAGCUUGAAUAGUGUUAUGAGAUUAUCACCAGUGUUUUGUGUUCUUUAAAAAAGGUGAGGCUUUUCUAGAAGGAACUUGGAUCUCCCGUGAGUCCCGCUGCCUGAUCCACCCUUGAUCAAGCUUCCCGAGACAUAUACAUACGCCAAACUGUCCAACUCACUGUUAAAUCAUCCGACACAGUCUUUCAGAUAUUGUUUCAGUAGAGAUCCAAAAUAUGUUAGGCCCCUUGCAAUUCUUGCCCUUGAUGAUCUCUCCCAGCAUGAAGGACUUGCUAGAGCUAGUGAUUCUGUAUCAGCAUGUCGCAUACUGAUAAGCUUGCUUGAAGAUUAACCAACAUAUGCUACUGCCACUACUUGCAGCUGGAAUAGGAAUUACCUUAGUUGAUUCAGUAGUAAUGCCUCGACCUAGCACGUAGCAGCAUCAAAGAGCAGCCAGGACCCACCAAUGGGUUUUGCAUUGAUAAGAUCUUCAGGUCAUCACGAUAUUUCAAAAUAUCCUAUGGACUUUCGUGUUUUGGAAAUGUGGCCAUUGCAGCUUGUUAUGCCCAGCGCGUGCAUGAAUUAAAGCGUGUGUUUAUCAUUGAUUUUGAUGUUCAUCAUGGGAAUGGAACAAAUGUGAUUCUAUGAUGGCUCAGAUAUAUUCUUCCUUUCCACUCAUCAAGAUGGAAGCUACCCUGGUACUGGUGAAAUUGAUGAGGUAAGGUCAUGGCAGUGGCGAAGGACGACGACACCAAUUAUUAAAUGAGAUAUGCAGUGAAAGAGGUAACAAUGGGGAUGGUGAUCUUUGUCAAGAAAAGGGCUACUGAUGCUCUGGACGAAGCUGCAAUCAGAGAAUAAUUAAGCCUUACAAGAGAAAGACUUCCCAUGAUGACCCUUACUCCCUGAACACUGUCAUCGAUAAUUUUGGUGCAUGAACUACUCAUGAAAAUGAAAAAUAUUUGAGGAUGACUUCCAAUCGAAAAAGGGAAUGAUCAACUUGUAGUAGAGUUUGAAUUAUCUGGAAAUGGUUGGGUUUCAGGAUUGAUCAUCAGCUUGUUCUUGAUAAACAAAUAGAAUCACAUACAGAUUCUUUUCUUUCCUUCAGAUGAGAAUGGAAUGCAUCACACCAUCGCACAGUUGAAAUCUUUGAGCCGGAACAGAGAAGGAAACAGAACAGAGAAAGCAAGGUCUGAAGGGAAUCAUUCAAAAUGGACCAGUUGAGAAAGCCUAAAAGUCCCAUUCUAGAUUUUCUUCUGAAACUAUGGAAGGAAAUGCAGUAGGAUCUGUACCUGACUCAACUUGAGAGCAUGCUUCUUUGUUCAUCCCACCAGUUGCAGAAAACAAGUUGGCUUCUGAUGCCCAUGAGAAGGAACCUGAUUCCACCAUUGAAAAAAUAUCAGGCAAAUCUACUGGUUAUUUGACAACUGAAGAGUCGUAGCGUAUUGUUAGUUGCUUGUGAAUUGUUGAAACAACAGUAUCAUGACUGGAGGAUCAAAUAUCUGAUACCGGAAAUGAAGCUGAGAUCAGAGAAUCUACUCUUUCUGCUCACACCUGUUUUCUCAUAAAGAAUAUGUCUCAAAAGGAGGAACACAUUCGAGAUAUCCUUGUCAACUUGUUGGGUCAACCUAGAGAAAGGUUUCCUCAGGUUCUAUGGAAUUCCUCCUGUCUGCAUUCCCUACUAUUUUCAGUUGAUGAUGAGUCGCCUUUUACUCUUUCCAAUGAUCCUGCUUAGUAGCAACCACAUGUUCUUCAUAUCAAAAGGUUGUUCAAGAAUGGAUCAUAAAUUCACUUUCAUAUGCUCCAUGAACCAACCAGGGUCUUCUUCAGGAAAAGCUUUUUAAAGCAAACACAUGGCAGAGAGCUCAGCACACGCCUGAUGCGGCCUCUUUUCUAUCUGAGAUACGGAUUGACACUGGGAAGAAUGAUAAUUGGAUAAGUAUACGAGCAGCAAAUGUCCUUGCAGUUAUUGCUGCAGCCGCUGCAGCAUUAGGAACAAACUUUAAAUUGAUAGACGCCUUCAACUUGGAGGUUCUAAAUACAAGAAUAGUCAGUAUAACAGUUUGUUUCCUUGAGAUGAAUAAGGGUACUAAUUUCAACCUUUGGAAGCAUUUGGAAAGAACGAGAUUUAUCAAGAAAUGGCAUAGGAGGCGGAUGUGACUAAGUUCUCUGGAACACUUAAGAGAUGUAAUUCAGAAUUUCAGUCUUACUGCAAUUUAUGAUGUCGAAGCUGCCAACAUUCCUGCCAGCUUAUAAAAAAAUUUCAAUGUCUGAUUUGAAUGUUGAUGAAAAACACAUUACUUUUGCAAAGUUCUCAGAGAAGCACCGAUUAUUCCUACUAUUGGACAUGUGCGACAUGAAGUUCAAUGAUAGAUUGCUCCUCGAAGAUGCCAUGAUUGAAAUGAAGAUAAAUCAACUAGGUAAAAGUUUGAUUAAUCUUGCUAUGUUCGAGACAACUUCCAAUGCUAAUAGCAUGCAUCAGGAUAAACCUUUCUCCUCAGAGUCCAUUGGGUUGGUGGAUUUUGAAAAAGAUUUUACUACUUAUAGUAAAUCGAAGCAAGUCAAAUCCAGCAGUAGUGCUAUUGAGACAGAGUGUAAAUCAAUUAGUUCUUCGAAUUUAAACAGCAAAGCUGUAAUAAACGCUCAAAUGUCCACUCCUCCUAAUCCUUUACCAGCAGUUAAUGGAAUGUUCAGAACGCAAAAGACAAUCCUCUUCCCGAAAAUGCAAGUUUCAAGAAAUGAGAAACUGCCAACAGAAUUAUGCAAGAAUCGAGGCUUGCCACUGCCAGUGACUCUAAUGACGCUGCUAAUUCUGAAUUCAGGUUAAAAGAUUUAAAUUUGAGAGUAAAUAUAGUGUUGCUCAGUUCAACAGAACACACCAACAGGCUCGCUUAGUUUGACAGAAUACACCAGCAAGUUAGCAUCUGACCAACAUGAAUACGAAUCAGUUGGCUCACUUUACCUUGAUUGUCCUCUUGUUGAUCUCCAAGCAAAUCAGAGGUGGCAGGUCCAAGUAUCAGAGAAUGGGGUAACUCAGCGAAGAGAGCAAGUGAAGAACCUACAGAUUGCCCAAUUGUUUCCAAGAUUACUCACAGAUAUGUUCCAGAUUCUCAAGAAUUCCUUCAACACUGUUGAGCUUGUCAGGAAGUGGGAAGGAUUGCAACAACUUUAGACCCUUGCACAUAAUGAACACCUGCAAUUUUUUCGAAAUGAGAUGACUCCCCAGAACUUGCAUAACUCGUACUCUCAAUUGCAGUAGGAACAUAAAGUUCUACCUUCAGAUAUGGAAUUGGACCUCAAAGAUUGAAAUAAGUGGUGGUGUCCAAGCUUGACUUAGAGAAUGAAGCAAAGGAGUUAGAGAAUUAUAAAAUAAAACUGCAGUUGGAAAAUUCUGAAUUGGCAGAAAGAUUAGAAUUUGCUCAAUCCUUGCAAGUUCUGUUCUGGGAUAUCCAGAAAAAGAAUAAAUAAAGAAACUGAACCACAACCUCAGACACAAAGAAAUGAAGACUUGUCAAAGAAAAUUGAAAUGUUACAAGUAGAUCAGUGCACUAACAUAGAAGAGCUAUUUUUACCUAUGAUGACUCAAUGCUCGCUAAUGACAUAAACUGAGGCAUUAACAGCCCAGUGUUGUUUCAUCUAUUGCAAAGGACCCAAGCAUCCUCAAUCCUUCCUUAAGCAGUAAGAUCCAGAUUUUAACAAACUCGUUGAUGCCAUUUUUCCUCUUGGCAUGCACUUUCACUAUUUUCCUUAACUUUCAACCAUUUUCUUGAUUUUAUUGAUUUUCCUCAAGCACGAAUAAACUUCAUGGUUCUAAAUAAUAGGAUUGAUUGAAUCAAUUCUUGAUAUCUUCUCUAAUAUUGAUUCAAAUGAGGGGAAUGUUCAAUAUUUGGCUUAUUUUAAUUAUUCUUAAUGAUAUAUAUAUGAGAAAUGUUUAUACCUGUUAUUGAGCUAACCUUGUUUUCCAUAGACGUGUGGAUGCUCGCUAAUCAGGUAUGCUCUUUCUACCCCCAACUCUAAAAUUCUAUGAAUGUGUAUAUUAUCAUGAGCCAUGUCCAUGUUUGAUGUCAUACUUGAUUGCUUUGAUGCUUGUUCAAUUAUCUAUGAUAAAAUGCAUGUUGGGUGAUAUAUUAUCUAAACUAACCUUUAAUGUUUUAUGAUAGCGCUUAAGAAGUGGUUCAGGUAUGCACCCUAACUCCCAUUUAUUAUGAUUUGAUCUUGUUUGGCAUGUUAUCUUAUGUAAUCGCCUAGUCUAUCUAGGUAUCCUCAAUUAAUCAAUUAAUUGCCACAUUACCCCCAAUUUAGUCAGUAGAGACCUCUUUAGGGCUUAGAGGGGUGCUACCUCCUAGAGGUACCUUCCCAAUAAGUAACCUGAUCCCCGGACUUAGAUUCGGGUUUUUCAAAGACACGCUUUUCCAAAAAUUAUGGAGUCAUUUUUUUUUAGGGUUUUAUUUCUUGUUUUAUUUUCCCUUUAAAAUAAAAAUAAAAUAAGUGGCGACUCCGACUUUUCCAAAAAUUACUUUUUCACAAAUAAAAAGCGAGUCUCGCCGAUCGAGUGGGGGCGCACAUGAAAAAUGCAGGUCCACAAGUAGGCUAUCGGGAAACUAUUGUGGAGUAUUGAAAGAAUACUUAGUAUGACAUGUGCUAAAGGAUAAAAUGGAGGGUCUACACUUUUUCCUUUGUUUGAUUGUUUUGCUUUGAGUUUGGUUUUUGGUUUUUCGAUGCAUAUGGCCUAUAUAUUCAUUAUCGAUUUAUUACUUUUAUUAAUAUGUCUUGUUUUUUUAUUUUUGUUUUGAUCUCUUAGUAUCCAUAAUCUGUUAGUUAAUUACCUUAGUUCCCUCCACUUGUUUAGUAUGGACUUCUUUAGAAUUUAAAGGGGUACUACCCUAUGAUACCUUCCUAAUAAGUAACCUAACUCCCAUCUCUAGACUUGGUUUUUACACACUUUUCUUUUCCUUAAAAUGUAUGUUUGUAUAAUCUAUUUUUCCUUUUAUUUUAUCAGUUUUAAGAAUAUUGUGAGAUUUAAAUAUGUAAUAAUAUCUUGUACCAUUACUAGAAAAAGAAAAACUAAGAGAUUUAUAAAGUUACUGAAAUCAAUUUCUCAUUUUGUAGAAAAUGCUUUUAUAUUAAAAUGGGAAGAAGGGACUUAUUUAAAAUUUGUUCAUCUAAAAUAACAUUAGUUAAUUCUUAAUUUUUAAUAAAAUGUAUGAAGCUCAUUAAACUAUAAAAUACAAGAAUACAUAAUGUAUACUUGAGAAGAUGUAAUGGAGAAUUAAUGGGAGGAGAAGAGUAUGAGGCAACCAAGAAGGAAUAUAUUGAAUGUCUUAAAGCUGUUGAAAGGAGGGCUUGAAGAUAAAUCUUACUUUGGUGCUAAAACUUUUGGGUUUAUGUGUCUCUUUUGCUACUUAAUUUAUGGUUUGUUUUAUGCAUAUGAAAUGCAAGUACAUAUACAAUCUUGGGAUGCUUAACAAUUAAACAUCAUUUUUUUUUCUUGUGAGUUCGAUCUUCUUUUUCAAUUUUGGUGGGUUUGAUGUGCUAGGUGUGUUAUUUUAAUUUUUUGGUGAAUAUUCAAUGCUAUUUUAAUAACAUAUUUGGGAUUAUGGAUACAAUAUAUCAUAGAUUAAUCCAUAAGCAUUAAAAUUAUUAAGUUAAAUGCAAUAUAAUUGUUAUAUUUUUAGAUGAAAUGUUACUAUAGGUUAGUCCUAGAUGUUAAUUAAUAAGUAUUAUAAAAAUACUUAAAUUAAACACUCAUAAGCAACCAUAUCUUCUAUAAUCAUUUGGAAUAAUGUGAUAUCAUAACUCAAAGGUGAUCCAUGCAUUUUAUGCAACUUCUAAUUAUAUUUAUCCCUUAUAGCUCAUUAGCCAAAUAAGUGUCAACAAAAUGACAAUAUUGUCUCUUUUCAAAGUGUCACUAGAAAUAUAUAAUGUCAUUGGUGGCACUGUAUGUUUAUGGUGACACAUUGUAAAGGUCACAAUAUCUCUUCUCCUUAAAGUAAGCAUCUAUAAUAAUUACAAAUAUUUGUAUUGAGAAAACCUAUAUGAAUGGGAGAAUUGUUGGAGAAUUGUAGCAAGUGCAAAUACAUGUAAAGAAAAAAAUACAAAUAUCAAACCCAAUAAUUAAAAUUGAAAAAACAAGUUGGCAUCACUUAUUUAAUUACUCUUUAGUUUCCUCUUCUCCACCAACAUCUCCUUUUUUUUUUUUCAAAUAAUAAAUAUUAAGGCUAUGUUUGGUUCUCAGAAAAUUUGAGAGAAAAUGCAAGGGAAAGAAAAUACAAAGGAAAAAUAGAAGGAAAGAAAAAGUGAAGGAAAAUAAAAAAUGGAUUAAAAGUUGAUAAGUUAUUUUUAUUUUUUACUUUAAACUCAUUUUAUUUAUUUUAACUCAUUAAUAUAAAGAUUAAAUAAUUUUAAAAUACAUAGGUUUUUAAUUAGUUUUAAUUAUAUUUGAUUUUCUUUUAUAUUUUUCAUAGGACAACCAAAUAUGAAAAAAUCAUUUUCCUUUGCAUUUUUUUUCUUUCCUUAAUAUUUUUCGGGAACCAAACAUAACCUAAUGUUUCAUAGCUAGACACAAAAAUAACAAUACUCAAUUAUGUCAUCUACAGUAGGAAAAGUAAGGAAACAAUAAAGUAUUAUAACAACUUGAAAAGCCAAAUUAACAUAACCAAUAUUAGUUACCCAUGAAACACAAGUAGGUAUUGAGUUUCAUAUAUAAUAUAACAAGCUAAAAUUAUAGGAUAUCCAAGUUCAACAACACAAAUAGAUAGAUAAAGAUAUUGGCUUAUGCAUGUGAUCAUAUGAUCAUGUGGGGACCGUUAAAGGACGAAAUCCAUGUUGGAGACUAGCUUCCCAUAUUUUCUCAACGUUGAACAUUGUGUUACCACACUCGUGCACAUUCCAUCCUUCUAAUGCAUGAAUUACCCCAGCUACACGCGAUGCACUCAUUGCUCUUCUCGGCAACCAAUUCUGUCACAUGUUUGCAUUACAAAAAAUUCCAUAAGACAAAACGAAUAAUAUAAGUAAUCCAGUUUAUAGUGUAUGAUGAUUGGUAGGUGUUGGAAUUAAUGCCUUGAAAGUUUCUUUGAAAGAUGUUCUCUUCAUUUGGCCCAUUACCAAAAAUGUUCAUUACCCUUCACAUUUUUUGCUCAACUUCUUUUCAAUAAAGAAAUGAUUUUCAUGAAAUAUAAGAUGUAUGUAAAACAUUGAGGUCUGUGAAUGAGAACAAACAUUAAUUUACUAACCUCACAAGAGUCUAUGUUCUGAAAAGACUUGGGAGGCAUCAUUGCUGGUGUAGUGUGGUAGAGGCAGUCUUUGCGCAACCUCUUUGGAGGGAAUUGAGAAAAGGGAAUGAAUAAUGUUCCUGUCGAUGCUUUCAUUUGUUCUUCUUUGGUCAAUCCAUCUCCAACCACCCAUAUCUUCAAAAUAAAUAAAUAAAAUUAAGUUGACGAUGGAUAAAAAAGUAACAGAAAUAAGAGUAGUAGCAGAUGAAAAUGAAUCAAGUGUAGAAGGUUUAAAAUUGUACCUUUUCAGUAAAACUUUUAGAAAGUAGUAAUUUACUUUCACACUCAACAUUCUUGAGCUUUGUGUUGAGUUGCUCAUACUCAUCCUUACGUGAUGUGGCUACCUGAGAUUCAUUGUAUGAAAAAUCAAAACCAAGAUUGGACAAUGCUUGUUUCAGACCCCCGAUUUGUCAAUGCUAAGGCAUUACUUCACAAUUCUCGAAGUUAAUUUUUUAUUUUAUUUUGCUGCUAAUGUUCACCAAAAAUAAUUUCUUUUUCUUUCCCUUUAUAUAUAUAUAUAUAUAUAGUAGCCAUAAUAAUGCUUGUUAAUUAUACAUACCUGGAUAUCCAUUUGGCAUAAAGCAGAAGCAAUAAAAUAAGCAACCUUGGUGAGGUUGCCUCUGAAGAGUACUUGAGUUGUUCCUUUAGGAAUGCUAUUUAGAACAACAGCUACUGCUAAGCUACUCCCAUCCACCACCUUGAUUUUGAGCUUAGGAUUAUUAUGGAUAUAAAGCUCACCAUAACUAUUAAACUCAUCACCCUGCAAAGUUUAUAUUUAUUAUUGGACAGUUUUAUUUUAUUUUUUCUAAAAUUCGCAAAAUAAUUCAAAUUUUCAGAAUGUAAAAAUUUUUCAGAAGUCAACUGAAGGCCAUAAAAACUGUGUGUCCAUGCAAGCAUGAGGUAGAGAUAUGGAACAUGGAGGUAAACUCUUCCAAAUGAUCAAAAAGGAGGUAAAUUGCCUCUUUUUUUUUAACUUGCCUGGUUCAAGAGACCUAAACUCAAAACUUUAAUCCCUCUUUUGUCUGCUUUGAGUAUGGCUUCUUCUAUCAAACUAUCGAUGGAUUCAUUUCCCAAUUUCAGGAGAUACUACAAUAAGAAAAUAGAAAAGGAACAAAAAGUAAAUAAUAUACUGAAGUAUGAUUAAAUAAAAAACAAAAGAAUAACAAGUUAACAAUAAAAUGUUGCUUACUUGUAUCUUGAAUUUUGGUACGACCCACGUUUGGACAUUGACUUUGUUGAAUUGAUUCCUCUCAAGAAUAAACGUUCGACCAUAGGUCCAUGUUAGCAUUAUAGAACAACAUGUCACUGGCCACAUUGCCCAUACAUACCAUUUGUAUGUGUAAGGUUUGGAGGCUAAGGAGGCGAAUCCUAGCCUCAGAUGAUAGAUGGACUGUGGCGUUACAAGAUGUGUCAAAUGAACCACAUGGGGCAAUUGUUCAGGUCUUAUAAGUGAUUUUUCAUAUAACGCAUCUGAAGAUUUAUCCAUUGUACCAUAGAUGUAAUCAUAGAUGGGCAUAAAAAGUGAGUAAUUGGUCCUGAAUUGAGUGUGAUGCAGAGAGUGAUACCUGAGAUGUCAAGCAGUCAAUCAUUUCUUCAUGCACAUUUCAAAUUGGAAAGAAUACAUUUAUGGGAUGAGCCACAUAAAAAAGUAGAGAUACAAGAAUACAUUCUAAAAACCAUAAAAAAUAAAAUAAAGGAGAGAAUCAUGUUUUCAUACCUGGAUUAGGCUUUAUUUAAAAUUUGGUGGGCAACUUAUGGGAUUCCGACCUUAGAGCUUAAGUGGUAAAUAAUAAUAAUAAUAAUAAUAAUAAUAUAUUUUCAUUUCCAUCUUUUCUUAGCCAGUUAUAAUGUAAUGAGUCAUAUAAAAACAUUUACAAAUAAAUCGAUUAUGUGAAGUGAAUAAAUAGGAAUUAGAUACAAGGAUACAAAUUGUGGGCGUUUUAAUUUUUAGAGUACGUAAAAAAGAUCAUUGCAGUAUUCUCUCUCUCUCAACACAGAAAACUAUGUAAAAAGGAAUUGGGAGACUUACGAGGGGGUAUACAUGAGGUACUUAAGAGGUGGAAAAAUGGAGAAUAGCAUCUUAGGGAUCAGCUCGAAAUUGCAGUGUCCCAUGUUGUUCAUGAAAUCAAUAUAAGAAAUAUAACCAAAGACGGCUGCCAUGGAGCUCUUUCUCAUGAAAAAUCCUGCUAACAGUGGUAUUAAAAACAGUAGAAAAUAUGCUAGGUGUUCAGCAAAAGGAUGGAUGACAGCUGCCAUGGAAACAACGAUACGUCAUAUUCCAAUGUAGGUAGUGGUUAAUUAGUAACGGAUCAAAGAGUAAAUGAUCAAUUCAUACAGGUGAUGGGCUCUGUGACAAUCGAGGAAUGGUGAUGAGAAUGAUAGCGUGAGUAAAGAUAAUGAUGAUGCAAUGCUCUGUGUAACCAGUAGUAUAGGAAUUCAACAGGCCCCAUAUGAAGAAGAAUUGUAAGAAGUACACCAUCUGUUCUCCAUAAGGGCAUGUGAGCAACCCCAGGAAGUAUCAUGUAAACCACGUAGAAUAGGAUCCCAUUCAACAAUAUUUGGUCAUCCCUGCAAACAAAACACCACAAGAAAAUCUGAAUAUUCAUGCAUGAAGGUAAUCAGCCUGUGUGUGUGAGAGUGAGUUUCUGACAGACCAGUUGCUUUCCCUGUCAACUUGCUCGAAUUCAAUACUCUUAUCAACGAUCCUAUUGUUUCCCUUAGCUGUUCGGUAUCGAGCAAGAGAAAUCCAAAUCUGGUUGUGAAGUGCCCUCCAUAACAGAAAUGGGAAAAAUAGAACGUAAACAGGGUCCCUCUCCUUCCCAUCUUUGAUUAUUAAUGUGUAUAUGCUAUGAACUACCCAUGGAGCCAAUAUCACAUACUGAAACAAAGAAUAAAAGUAAAAUAAAUGAGUAAAACAAAAAUAAAAUAAACAUUGAAGAGAAGGCAAGAUUGUAGAGCAAUCAAAGUGUGGCAAAUCAGAUAAUAAUAGUGUACCUUGAAGCUUCCAAGAGACUUCCAAGGCCAGUCAGUGAGGAUACCUGGUUUGGAAGCCAUAUACACUUCUAUAAUGUUACUUGCUUAAUUUAGUUUGCCGUCUACAAAAUUGGAGGGCUAUAUAUACUGAUUCUCUCGGGUGAAUUUAAGCAGCCAUUAAUGCAGGCCUGAAACCCUUAGAAGGAUACGAUCAGCAAGUUGUUUGUGACCUUCACUUUCAAGGAUAAAAGGAGCUUGUACAAAAACUAUUUUUUACUUUUAAUAAAACUUGAAUUAAAUUUAACUAGUCUUGUAUAAAAUGAAUUAAUAAUUUUUUACAACAUCAAAAUAGGAAAAUAAUUUUUCAAAGCAUGCAACUGAUUCAAAUAAUUUUAUUUUAUUUUAUUUUUUUAUUUUAAAAAAACUGUUCUCACAAAACAAGUUUUCAAAGGGUCUUGUUCUUAAAAAAUAUUUAUUUAUUUAUUUUGGUUCUUCACCUCAAACAAUUUUCAAAAGCAAUCCUCUACAAAUCUGUAGAAAAUCUCGUCAAACAGGCCCUUAUCUUCCCUAUUUCUUAUCCUAGUUUGGUGAAAAAGGCAGAUUAAUAACGACCUUAUUUCUCAAAUCUCAACUCUUGUGUGAGAAUAAUAAAUGCAGAAUUUAAAACUUCCACUGUUCCAACCGUCCUAGGGCGAGGUGGGCACACUUAUAAUCAAUACUUAGUGCUAUGUUCUUUUUGCUGCCCACUUUUUCAGGUUUGCAUUUAGAUAGUGUUGACAACACCUUUCAAAUAUUAUCAGGCUGCUCUAGCUGGCGAUGCCAAUGUGAAAGACAUGGGAUGUUUGUGCAGAAAAGGCCAAAUAAAUAAAUAAAAGGGAAAGCUAUGGGAUCAUACACCAAUUAGAAAAACAGAUAAAUAGAUUUUUUUUGAGAAAUCAAAAUUUUCACUUUUAAAAAAGAGUUUAUUACCCUUUAUCCCCCAACCUAUAAUGUGUUUUGUACAUUACCCCCUUGAGUUCAAAAUCAAACAACUUCAUCAUUUAUGAUUGCAUACAAUGUUAUUUUUUUAGAGAAGGAACAAUUUUUUGGAUAGAAAGGCAUGUGCUCUUUGCAUGAUCAAGGGUAAAAGUGUCUUUUUUUUAUAAGUGAGGGCAAAAGGGUCAUUGUUAUUUUAAAACCCCAAAUUGCAACCCUCCUCUCCCGCAUCGACCAUUCCUCCUUUGUAGGUGCUAGUGAAGCCCUAAUUCAAAGCCCUAGAAUCCCAAAGAAGCUAAUAUAGAGUUGACAUUGAAGAAAAGAGAUGGAAUUCAACGGGGUUUUUUUUUUUUCUUUUGUCUUCCAAUUUAUUUAAGGUUAAGGUUUUGUUUUGAUCUUUUAGAAAAUUUAAGGAAAUUUUGGGGAAAUUAUAGAAGAAUAAAACUCGGGCCAAUUAAGGGUUAGGGUUUUUAUGUUAGGGUUUAAAUUUUUGUGUUCUGCUUCUAGUUUAAGGUUGGGGUUUCGUUUUCAUGUUUCAGAAAAACUAGGGGUAUUUUUGGUGAAAUUUUAGGGUAAUUUUUAGGGGCAAUUUGGGGAAAUUAUGGGAGAAUAAAACUUGGGCAAAUUGAGGGUUAGGGUUUAAAUUUUUAUGUUAUGCUUUUGGUUCAAGGUUAGGGUUUUGUUUUCAUGUUUUAGAAAACUGCGCAUAUUGUUGACAGCACCUUUCAAAUAUUAUCAAGCUGCUCUAGCUAGCUAUGACAAUGUGGAAGACAUGGGAUGUUUGUGUAGAAAAGGCUAAAUAAAUAAAUAAAAGGGAAAGUUAUGGGAUCAUACACCAAUUAGAAAAAACAGAUAAAUAGAUUUUUUGAGAAUUCAAAAUUUUCACUUUUAAAAAAGGGUUUAUUACUCUUUAUCCCCCAACCUAUAGCGUGUUUUGUACAUUGCCCCCUUGAGUUCAAUAUUGAACAACUUCAUCAUUUACAAUUGCAUGCAAUGUUCUUUUUAUAGAGAAGGUACAAUUUUUUGGAUAGAAAGGCAUGUGCUCUCUACGUGAUCGAGGGUAAAAGUGUCUUUUUUGCUAUAAGUGAGGGCAAAAGGGUCAUUUUUAUUUUAAAACCCCAAAUUGCUGCCCUCCUCUCCCGUGUCAAUUAUUCCUCCUCUAUAGGUGCUAGUGAAGCCCCAAAUCGAAGCCCUAGAAUCCCAAAGAAGCUAAUAUAGGGUUGACAUUGAAGAGAAGAGAUAGAGUUCAACGGUUUUUUUUUUUUUUUGUCUUCCAAUUUAUUUAAGGCUAAGGUUUUUUUUUGAUCUUUCAAAAAAUUUAGGGAAAUUUUGGGGAAAUUAUAGAAGAAUAAAACUCAGGCAAAUUGAGGGUUAGGGUUUAAAUUUUUAUAUUUUGCUUUUAGUUUAAGGUUGGGGUUUCGUUUUCAUGUUUCAAAAAAACUAGGGGCAUUUUUAGGGAAAUUUUAGGGUAAUUUUUGGGGGAAAUUAGGGGAAAUUAUGGGAGAAUAAAACUUGGGCAAAUUGAGGGUUAGGGCUUCGUUUUCAUGUUUUAGAAAACUGUGCAUACUGUUGACACCAUCUUUCAAAUAUUAUCAAUCUACUCUAGCUGGCUAUGACAAUGUGGAAGACAUGGGAUGUUUGUGCAAAAAAAGGCCAAAUAAAUAAAUAAAAGGGAAAGCUAUGGGAUCAUACACCAAUUAGAGAAAAUAGAGAAAUAGGUUUUUUGAGAAAUCAAAAUUUUCACUUUUAAAAAAGGGUUUGUUACCCUUUAUCCCCCCAACCUAUAGCGUGUUUUGUACAUUACCCCCUUGAGUUCAAAAUCGAACAACUCCAUCAUUUAUAAUUACAUGCAAUGUUCUUUUUUUAGAGAAGGUACAAUUUUUUAGAUAGAAAGGCAUGUGCUCUCUACGUGAUUGAGGGUAAAAGUGCUUUUUUUUGCUAUAAGUGAGGGCAAAAGGGUCAUUGUUACUUUAAAACCCUAAAUUGCAGCCCUCCUCUCCCACGUCGACCGUUCCUCCUCUGUAGGUGCUAGUGAGGCCCCAAGUCAAAGCCCUAGAAUCCCAAAGAAGCUAAUAUAGGGUUGACAUUGAAGAGAAGAGAUUGAGUUCAACGGUUUUUUUUGUCUUCCAAUUUAUUUAAGGUUAAGGUUUUGUUUUGAUCUUUUAGAAAAUUUAAGAAUUUUUUUUGGAAAUUAUAGAAGAAUAAAACUCGGGCAAAUUGAGGGUUAGAGUUUUUAUGUUAGGGUUUAAACUUUUAUGUUUUGCUUAUAGUUUAAGGUUGGGAUUUUGUUUUCAUGUUUCAGAAAAAUUGGGGGUAUCUUAUUGGAAAUUUUAAGGUAAUUUUUUGGGAAAAUUUGGGGAAAUUAUGGGAGAAUAAAACUUGUGCAAAUUGAGGGUUAGGGUUUAAAUUUUUAUGUUAUGCUUUUGGUUCAGGGUUAGGGUUUCAUUUUCAUGUUUUAGAAAACUGUGUUGUUUGUAUUGAAUGCUAAGAUAUGAACAUGUGCUCUCAAAUUAAUUCUCUGCACACAAUUAAUUUUUUUGUUAUCAAAUUAGCUGAACCAUAUUGAAUGCCAAGAUAUGAACAUGUGCUCUCAAAUUAAUGCUCUACACACAAUUCAUUUUUUUAUCAUCAAAUUAGUUGAAAAUUAAUAAUCUUUAAUUAAAUGCAAAAUCCAAUUCGGUAUGAUUAAUCAUUUUAUGAAUAUAAUUUAAGUAAAAGGGUGUUUGGGAAAUCAAUUUAAUAAUUUAAUAUGACUUAAUAACUUAGUUUAAAUCAUUAAAUAUAUCAAACAUAUCUAAUAAAAUAAAUUAUUAUUACAACUUAAAGUUAUUUUUAACUUUAAGUAUUAAGUUAAAAUAGUUAACUUAUUCUUAAUCUCAAUUCUUUUUACCUCAUUUGUCCACACCAGUGAAAAUAUAUUUUAAAAUUAUAAAGUUAUCUUGUAUAUGUAAAAUACUUUAAAUAUACAUGUUUUACAAAUAAAUUUAUAUGUCACUUAAAAUUAGUGAAAAUAAAUUGAGUUAAAAUAAAUGACAAUAAACACUUGUUAAAAUUAACGAGGGUAGAUAUGUCAAUUGGAUUAUUUAAAAUAAAUUUUAAAUUAACUUUCUCAAACAACCUCAAUACUUCGAAAUAAAAAUGUGUUUUAAGUUAAUAACUAAAAAAUAAUUGAAUUUAAAGUCAACUUAAAUUAUCAAUCGAUCAAUAUUAAGUUUUACCGAACACUCUUUUAUUAACAUUAUAUUAAACAUGAUAGUCAUUAAGUCAAAUUUAUCAAUUCUUGGUUUUUUUUGGUUUGUAAUAUAUGCUUCUUUGAAUGACUUGGAACCAUUAGGCGUGCCGAAAUAUUGCUUCCUAAAGCAUUAUAUAUAUAUAGACAUAUAGGAUACUAAAAUUAAAGUGUUAAAAUUUAAUAAUGGCAAUCAGAAUCAUAGUUUAAAAAGGUGCAAGGUGCACUUAAUGUGUAAAAGUCUCUUAUAGUUUAAGCACAAGAUGCGACACAAGGUACGUACAUACCUAAGUGAAGUGAAAUGCCAUUUAGGAUAUAUGUCAAUUUUGUAAAAUAUGAUUCAAAAUAUAAUCCAAUCAAUAAAAAAAUAAUGAUAUUAUAUCAUUUCAGUGUAUAAUUAGAAAUUUCAAGAAUAAAAGAGUUUAAAAAGGAAAAAUAAAAUCGAUAAGACGCGUCUUUUCAAUAAGGUGCAUAUCUUGGUAAGCAAGGCAGUAUAAAGAGUGGUAAGCACAUCUUUUAAGACUAUGAUCAAAUUUUAAUAAUAAAAAAAAACUAUUGCAAGUCCAUUUUUCUUCUAUACUUCCCAUCUUCAGCGGUCUCCAUCGCCACUACCAGUGGUGUGAUGUUGGCGCCAUUUCUAGUGCCCCUCCAUCCAUUUUUUCUCCCAUUUUCUUCCUCCCAUUUUUUUUUAUUGUCUUCAUUUUUAUUAUUAUUAUUAUUAUUAUUAUUAUUAUUAUUUAGUUUUUUUGUUUUUAAAAAAGCCAUCAACCCUCAUCGCCAUAGGUGAGACCACCGGCCAGUGGCCGUCGAUGAGCCACUCUCGGUCGACGACCCUUUCCUCACCCAUUUUCCAUUAUUAUUAUUCAUUUUUCUUGAUUUGAUUUUAAUAGUAAUUGUUGUUUGUGAGAUUUAAAUUAUUGAAUUAAUAUGAAAUUUGAGUUUUCUUAAUUAAUAUGAAAUUUGGGUUAAUUUGUUAUUGGAGAAUUAAUAUGAAAUUUGGGCUAAUUUAUUGUUGGUGAAUUAAUUUGGAAUUUUUUAAUUUGGGUUAGAUUAGUUGAUAAUUUAUAUGAUUGUGCUCAUUUGAAUUAUUUAAUUUGGAUAUGAUAUAAUAUUGUGAUAUAUUUUGGAUGUGGGUUUGCAUAUUAAAUUGGGUUGAUUUUAAUUGUGGAUUUAGGUUUUCAUAUUAAAUUAGGCUUGGAUUAUGGGAUAUUAAAUUUAGGCCUAAUGGGAUUUAUUUUAAUUUGUCAUGUUUUGGGUUUGAUUAAUUGAACUUAUAUUUUGGCUAUUAACUUGAAAAUUCUGGAUUAGGGCCUAUAACAUGUGAGAUAUUUUUGUUGGGUUAUAUUUGCUAAUUUGGGCCCAUCUUGAUUGACAAAAUUUGUUGGACUAAUUUGAAAUUUGGAUUCGGGCUUGAAUAUCUAUUGUGAAUUUUAUAUAUUUCUAGAUAUUUACAUUUGGGCUUUUUUUUUCUUUUGCACAGGUCCAUUCUGCAAUUUUUUUUGGUUGAGUACGAAUUUAUGACACGUGGAGUGUGGAAUUUCAUGGAAGAAAGUGAGAUUCGAAAAUUUGUAGGAAGAUAUUGAGCUUGUUGUAAGCUUGUUUGGGUACACGUUUUAUUAUCUACUUUUAUUUGGUUUUAAUUUUAUUAGUUUCUGUAAAUAUUUGUUUGUACAUGUUUAUUUGUUGUGUACAGAAUUGAAUAUCAAGCAAAUCAUAAAUUUUUUCUAAAUAAUGGGGACAAUUCAGUAAACAUGUUUUAAUAAAAUAAUAGUUCGGACUUUUUUUUUAAUAAAAGAAAAUUUUUUUAUUAAUAAAAAUUCAGAAAAAUGCUUUUUGAAAAAUCUAAAAAAAAUUAUUUUUAAUAGAAUUUGAAAAAUUGUUUAAUAAUAAUUGUACAAAAAUUUAUUUAUUUAAUAAAAAUUGUCCAAAAAUUAUUUUGUAAAUAAAGUUGUCCCAAAAAUUAAUUUUUAAUUAAAUUUUUUCAAAUAUAUUUUUUUUAAUUAGUUCAAUAAAUCAAUUUGCAUAAUUCUAUUGUCAUUUAUUUUGUACAUUCUUGUAAUUUUAUUUUGUCAUCAUCUUUGUGUAUAUUGUUUCGUUCCUUUAAUCUUGGUAUCUAUGAUUAAUUAAUUAAUUGUCACAAUUCCCUUAAUUCAUUUAGUAGAGACCGUAUCUCUACGAGCUUAGAAGGGUGCUACGGCUCACCAUUGUACCUUCCCAAUAGGUAACCUGACCCCCAGACCCAGACUUGGUUUUUCACAUACCUAUUUUUCCUUUAGGAGUCACACUUAGGGUUUUUAUUUCUUAUUUUGUUUUUCCCUUCAAAAAUAAACCAAAAAUAAGUGGCGACUCCAAGUCUUUUUCUGAAAAUCAAAUUGUCACAAAUAAAUAAAAAUCUAAUCUCAUCAUCGAGUGGAAACGCACGUGAAAAACUCGGGUUCGCAAAAUGGCGACUCCAUUGGGGAUGUUUAAAGGGUCAAACUUGAACUCGAGUUGAGGGAAAUGUGACGUGUGAUUGGUCGAUCAGUAGAUACCCUCUCUAUGUGUCUUUUUAUGAUUGGGUGUUGAUUACACAUUGAGAGCUUUGAUAUGUUUAUCUGUGAUGCAUGUUAGGCUUUUAUGUUCAUUUGUGAUAUUGACAUGUUGACUACAUCAAUUGAUUCUGUUGCUUGAUUUAGCAUAUGACUCUUCUUGUUGAAUGAUUAUCUUGCUUUCCUUGACAUGUACAUUCUCAUUUUUGUAUAUCUCAUUCAUAUUGGCAUGAUUGAUUCUCUUUAUUUUAUAUUAUCUUAUUUAUCUCAACAUAUUAUUUCUUCUUGUUAUAUACCUUUUUUUUAUCAUGUUUCUUGCUUAGCUUGUGUGUAGAUAUGGAUGGCAUACCUGUUCUUUGCUUGAUUGCUUGUUGCAUGACUACUCUUCUUUUGUGUGAUGCAUGUGUUGCUUGUCCAUGUGGGGCACACAUCUAUCCCCUUACCUCCAACUCCCUAAUCUCGGUCGACUUUGUUUCCCUUGAUCUCACAUUUGAUACGAGACUUGUUACUUUGCUUGUUUCUUCGACUGAGCUAGUGAUUAGGAGUAAGAUCUAGUGAUGGGCUAUAUCUAUGUUUGGGAGCAUUCUAGAGAAGGUGGACAUACUGAUGCUGAUUGGAGUCCGAUCUUUGAAGACCUAUAUAGCCCAAAGCUAGGUUUCAUGGAUAUUUGUGUGACCAGUGUGUUUCUUUUUCUACUUUAGCUUCAUAGGUUUGUCAAAUGCGCCCACACUAUUCACUGUGCACUUUAGUUGACUAUUGAGAGCUAAGAGUUGUGAGAGUUUUCACCAUAAGAAACCCCUUGAGAUGUUGAGGUAGUGCAUGUGUGGAUGUGAUGACCACCUUACAUGGAAGUGUCCCGUCUAUUUAGAGAAGUGCAGGAGGUUACAUACCGCCAAAGGGUACGAUCGCUUCUUCUAGAGAUCCUUUAAAGUCCUUAAUUUUUUUUCUUUUUAGAGCCACCUUGGCCUUGUAGGUUGAGCCUUAGAUAUUUUGAUUAGGAUUUCCCUUCUUACACGUGGGUGCAUUUGAGAGCCUUCAGGGUCACUUUAGUCAUGGUUUGGAUCCAAUACUCCCUCUUCUGGUCUCCAAUUGGGAGUGCUUAGAUAUCGAUAUGAUUUUGAGUAUCAGUUGGACCACCCCUUCCUAUAUGGUUCUUCUUGUCGCUCAUUGAGUCUAGCACACUUUCUCCUUAGGCUUUAGAUAGUCUUCUUUUCUUGAUUCGACACAUUCUUUCAGUUUGUUAUCACUUUCUGCUUGACGUUUUAGGAUAUGCUCAUUGAUCAUGCUCAUUUUUUUACAUUUUUCACUUGUCAUGGGCUUGGUACUUCAUUCUUUGGUCGAUUUGCCUAUUUCUAUUUUCAACCCAAUAUUUUUAUUACAAGAAGGUGAAAGGCAUGUUUUUACAUUCACACCGUUUUUGAGAGAUUUGCCUUGAUCACCUUAUCAUUUUUCUUUAUGAAGCUCAGGUUGAAAGUGAAUUAGGGAUAUUUUGUUAUAAAUGGGGUAUCGAUCUCAUGACAGUGUUAUUUUUCACACCUUAUUCAUUUUUUGGAUCACUGAUAGAAAUUUUUUAGUCACAUUUGUAGCCAUUUCAUAGUGGACACUUUUAUGACUUUAGAGUCUCUGUCAUACAUCCAAUUUUUUAUUAUCAUCACAGGACCAUAUAUCAUGUGAUGUGUUGUACUUUUGACUUGAGGCAUCUAUUCAUUUGCACAUUGUGGUCUUGAGGUCUGACCUAUCAUGGAGGAUAUUGAGCUUAUUAACCUUGGAUUAGAGACUUGACCUAGGGAGUUCGAGACUAUGACCCACUUUCUUAUGAUCGAAGUAGUACCUUACUCAUUCCCACACUUUGACUUUGCUUCGGCCUACAUCCACCUAUUUUGAGCUUUACAUAGUAUAAGCCUUGACACCAUUGUAUGACCUUUCCAUCCCUAGCUGUUCUAGCUUUGCAUAUUCUCUCUUUCAUCCAACCAAGUAUAGUGUGAGGAGUUUGAGCCCAGGGUUGAUCUUGCAUGACGAGGGAUGGCUUAUGAUCUUUGGGUGGCUUACGAUGUGAGGAUUGGUUGAUUACCUUAUGGGACUGUCACUUAUUCUUCCAUGAGUAUAGAGAUUGAUCUUGUAUGAUGAGAGUUGGCUUGUGAUGAGCAGUUAUGCUUGAUGAGAUCGUUGUUUACUUUGCUUUGAGAGGAUUAUCUUUGAGAUUAUUAUGGAGCAUUUGGAGUGCAAUUUGGGGCAUAAUUCCAUAGGGUUGACAUGGUUAUAUCAUAUGGGCAUUGAUUUUCAGUAUCGAUCAUUUAAGGGUUGAGAACAUAAUGCUUGAGAUUGUGGUUGUAGGAUGGGUGGCCUUCAUUUCAGUUAGUGACUCGUCCCUACUGCAAUCAUGCCAUUUGAUUCUAGCCCAGACGAGUGUUAUCAACAAAAUUUAUAAAACCUAAAUCACCUUACACUAGGGUAGCAUAGCUAACAUAGUAUAGUGGCUCUAGGAUUGUAUAUAAGGAUGGGUUUUCAUCAUACAGUUGACUUUAGUGAAGAAAAUAAAAUGGUGUUUUUCCUUAUGAAAAUUAGCUUUUAAAGAAAAUGGAAUUGUAGUUGCAAAGAUUGAUUUUAAGUUAAGCAAAAAUAAUGAGUGAAGUUAUCUACAAAGAAAAGGUCUCUUAGAGCUUUAGGUCACUAGGAUCAGGUUCCUUAGGCAAAAGCGGAGAUUUUGGAUCUUCUCCUCGUGUUGGAGACAAUAGCAUAAAGGAUGGUUAUCUCCCGAACCAGUUUUAUAUUUAGCAAUUAAGAUUUGAUACAAAGGGUUCAUGAAAAAUGAUAGUUGCUUCCCAUUAAUGGCUUCAAACACUAAAGACUCUCACCUUGAACCACCUUCCAAUGACUCGUAAAGGAUAACUAAUUGACAUCCAUGGAUCUAGCAAUAAGCAUCUAUAGAAUCCGAAAAGCUUACCAAGUAUUGGCCAUUCAAGGUGCUUUUAAGGGAUUUAAAGCUAAACCUUAAAAUAAAAACCAUUAAUGGUUAACAACUACUUUAAUUUAAAGCAAGGACAACUCCCAUCUUUGCAUUCGGGUCUUUCACCUAGCUUCCAUCACUCCAAGAAACGUAAAACCUAGACGCUCAUCCCUUGAGAAAUCAUCCUCAGAGGUUGUUUGGUUAGAAAGAAAAGUGAAAACAAAAUGAGAAGGAAAGGUAGAGCAAAAGCUCUGCAUAUUUCCCCCUACUGGAUUUUUUUAGUGCUCAAUGUUUUAUAUAUCCCAAAUUAUACAAGAGUAUCUUAUAUAGAGAGGUCUUUCCAACCCCCCUUUACAAAAGAUGUUACCCAACAGAUAUAUAUGAAAAUAUCUAGGUUGAUUACAAGGAGAAAAUAGGAAAUUACAUAAAAAUAUCUGGAGGUAAAAAUGUAACGAAGUCGGUGCACAGGAAGAUUUUGCAUACCAUGCAAAAUAUCUAGGUUGAUUUCGCAUACAGUGUGCGAAAUUGUCUUUCACUUAGUCUUGCUCUCAGUCUUGCAGCUCCUCCUCCUCUUGAUUUCGCAUGCUAUGCAAAAUCUUCGCAUAACCAUGCGAAAAUGCUAGUUGGAUUUUUUCCUCUAAUUUCCUUUCUUGUAUCUUUGAUUGGCUUAGCAACCUAUUGCCAAGCUUGGAAAAGGCUAUGAAGUGCUCCAAAGCUCGAAUUCUUCAUGUAUUUAAGCUUCAACUAGCAUUGCCAUGGAUUUCACAAAAUUCUCCCUCUUCUUGGCUUGUUUCAAUGAUCUAAAAGCUACCUAAAAACACCAAAACUUGCCAAAAACUAAUUAGUAAUCCUUGCUAGGUUCCUUAAUGUGCCAAUUGAGUUAAAAGGUAUUAACUACUAUUCAAAAGUGUUUAAAAUAGUUAGUUUCAAGCUAUAAAACAGUACUUUUUGAGUAGUAAUUAAUCAGUUAGCUCACACCCUAUUACCUUUAUUAACAUCUAGACCAUUGCUAGCCCUUUGAGCCUCAUAUGAGCAUCAUAGCCUUUUCUUUUUUAUAGCCUUGCUCAUCUUUUACAUCGGGAUAGGGGCCUUCCAGUGCAUAUAUGUUUUAUUUGGGAGUCUCAUGAGCCAUAAACUUAUUGACUCAUCUUCUUCAUUAUUUUUCAUCAUAACUCUUUGUUGUCCUAUCAUCAUUUUUCAUCAUACCUCUUUGUUUAUAUCCUUUGUUCUUUCCUUUGUCUUUGUCAUCGCGUUUCUUUCUAUGCCAUGAGUGAUGAUCUUUCACAUUUCAAUGCAUGGAGGACAGUCAUGUCCCCUUCCACUCCUAUCUCAUGGACAUUGGUUCGGAGAUCCUUAGUUGAGAAGGUCAUUUUGUCAGAGAAAGUUUGUAUAUGUCAUUGUUUGAGAGUAUAUCCAUUUCAUAAUGUAUUCUUAGUGGAGUUAAUUUGAUUGUUAUUCAAAAUAUGCGCAGAAAAAAAAAUGAAAAAAAAAUGAAAAAAAGAAGAAGUAAUAAGCGCAUGUAUUUAUGUAUGUAUACAGUGUUAUUCUCCAUUGAGUGUAUAUAUUGGACAUUGAAAGUUGCUUUUUUUUAGUCAGUUGCUUAUGAGAGUUUGUAUGUGAACUUUCAAGAGGCUCUCAUCUUCUUGUGUUAAUCUAGUUAUGUAUUUUACGUGUGAGAAACAAGUGACCUUUUCCUAAGGACUCCAGAUCAUUAUCCUCUCCAUCAUUACAUACAUUGGUGAUUUCACUAUUCUCCAUGGCUUGAUUUGAGUGGAUUAGAGCUCAUUCAUUUUCCUUCAAUCUAUUUGUUCCUCUCAUGGCAUUUCAUUCGCCUUGCCUACAUUGUUCUUUGUUCAUAUCGAUUUGCAUUAUGUGUUCGAUAUUUUCCACAUAUCAUUCUUAUACAUCCCAUCAGCAGUUCAAUAUUCUUCAUUUUUUCUCUUUCAUCAUUGAUAUAUUCAUCUUGAAUUCUUUCUUCCUCACCGAUAUAUUCAUAUUAAACAUCCUCAUACCUAUGGUUUAUGAGACUCUCUACACAUAUUGCAUUUUAUACACGAGGGUAUGAGGUUUUAUCAUUAGGUAUUUGAGCCUAGUUUCCUUUCAUUUCUUUCACACUAUUACCAUAGCCUAUGUUAUGUCCAGGGUCUUAAGACCACCCUGAGGCCAUGAUAUCAUGCAUUGUGUUUUAAUAGCUCUUAUGUGAGCGAUACUUGAGACUAGUUCAAGAGCAUUCUGAUUGUGAUGGACCAGGAGUUAUAGUAUGACCUCACACUGGGGCAUAGCCACCUUAGAGAGUUUUUAUCGGGUAUGUAGUUAUCCUGCUUGAUACAUUGCAUUAGGGCGCACACCUUUCUUAGUCGAGGGUUGAUUUUUUUAGAUGACUAUUACACAGCGGCAUACCCCUCUCAAUUGAUGAUGGUUUUUGCGGCAUAACCAUUCUUAGGAGGUGAUCAUUUUCUUCUUUACAUUGGAGUAUGAGAUAUGACUGGGUGAUUUGAUUGGAUGUGUUUACACGGGAACAUAGCCCUCUCAUUAGUAUUGACGGAUUUUUGAGUGAUUGGAUCAUGGCGCACUCUUGUGAGAGCUAUAUUCGUUCUUGAGCAUUUUAGAGAUCUCCUUACACUAGGGCAUAACCCUCUCAUUAGCGAUUGAUCUUAGAAACAUCGGCUUACAUGAUCACAUCAAAGAGCAUUUUUGUUCAUACAUACCACUUUGCUUGAUUUUCCACAUUGGGAUUUGCUCAUUCCUUGGAGGAAAUCAGAUACUCCUAUCGUGUAACAGUACGAGAGGACUUCAGAGAGUAGAGAUUUACUUUGACUCGAUGAUGUAUCAUGGAUUAUACUCCUCUCAUUGAUGUUUUCUUUGGAAAUGCUUACACUGGGGCAUAGCCCACUCAUCAGUGAUGGAUUUUGUGAGAUGACAGUUUAUGCAAACACUUACUUCCCAGAGAUUAUCUUGUUGAUUACUACUUAAAAAGUGCUAUUUCAUAGCUUGUAAUUAACUCUUUUAAACACUUUUGAGUAGUAGUUAUUGCCUUUUAACCCAAUUAACAUGUUAAGGACCAUUGCAAUCAAUUCUAAUCAAAUUGUGUUAAGUUUUGGUGUUUUGAUAGCUUUUUGAUCACCAAAGCAAUCCGGGAUUGAGGAGAGUUAUUUGGAAUCUAUGGCAAAGCAAUGGAAAGCUCAGAAACAUGAAGAACCGAAGCUUUGAAGUCCUUUUUCAUAAGCAAAUCCGGAAUGCAAGGAGGGGAAGCAAAGAGAAAUCUGCCAUGAAGCAUUCUUGAUGACAGUCAUGUCAGCCACUUUUGGAGCACUUCCUGGAAUUCAAUUUAUGCAUUCUAUAUGUCGUUUCGAAGCUCAGGAAGUCAAAAAUUCAAUGCUUCAAAUGGUGUGCGAUUCAGAGUUGAAAUGAAGGAGUUACAGCCAUUGGAAGCCAAUCACUUCAAGCUGAAGAAAGAAUUUUGUACGACUGCGAAAUCACCCUUUUGCUGCGAAAUGAUUUCGCAGUACCAAGUGUUAGCUUAGGUGACUCCAAGGUGUUUUAAGUUAGCUAAAAAUAUAGAAAUCACUAAAGGAUCACACUUUCUCUUCAUUCAUGGCUGAAACCACAAAGCUACUUAUUCUUGCACUUGGAACCUUUCCUAGAAACCUUAGCUCCAAGGAACUAAAGGUUUAAUUACUCAUUCUCUGGGGAAACUUCCUCAGAGAGUGCAUAACUAGUAAAUAAAAAAUACAAUCAAAGUGAGAAGGUAAGGCAGAGCAAAGGCUCUAUAUUUUUUUUCUUUCUUUCAAACUUUUACAAAGGGUUCAUCCUCUUCAAGAACAGGCUCCCGAGAGCUAUUUAUAUGAAAAUUACAAUAAUAAUUAUUACAUGGAUAUUUACCCUUUUUCCUAACUUAAUAGCUAAGGAAUCCUAUAAUUGGUAGCUUACAAGGAGAAUUUGGGGACUUAGACAACAAAAAUUUGAAGAAAAAUAUCCAAAAGUGUCGGUCGCAAAUAUCGGGAAGCACUAAGGACCAUUUCGCAGGUGAAAACGAGGUCUGCGAGAUUUCGCAGACGCACAAAAAGGGCUGCGAAAUCACUUCGCAGCAAAAGGCUGAUUUCGCAGUGUUGCGAAGUUGGCUUUUAGCUUGUGGUGUUCUGCUUCCAACGUGUCGGUCACAAAUAUCGGGAAACUUCAGGAGGAAUUCCACAUCACUGUGCAAAAUGGCUGCGAAAUCAUUUCGUAGCAAAAGGGUGAUUUCGCAACCGUGCAAAAUUCUUCCUUCAGCUUGGAGUGAUUGGCUUCCAAUGGCUGUAACUCCUUCAUUUCAACUCUGAAUCGUACACCGUUUGAAGCAUUGGAUUGUUGACUUCCUGAGCUUCGAAACGACAUAUAGAAUGCAUAAAUUGAAUUCCAGGAAGUGCUCCAAAAGUGGCUGACAUGACUAUCAUCAAGAAUGCUUCAUGGCAAAUUUCUCUUUGCUUCCCCUCCUUGCAUUCCGGAUUUGCUUAUGACAAAGGACUUCAAAGCUUUGGUUCUUCAUGUUUCUGAGCUUUCCAUUGCUUUUCCAUAGAUUCCAAAUAACUCUCCUCAAUCUCGGAUUGCUUUGGUGAUCAAAAAGCUAUCAAAACACCAAAACUUAACACAAUUUGAUUAGAAUUGAUUGCAAGGGUCCUUAACAUGUUAAUUGGGUUAAAAGGCAAUAACUACUACUCAAAAGUGUUUAAAAGAUUUAAUUACAAGCUAUGAAAUAUCACUUUUUGAGUAGUAAUCACUCCCCCCAACCGACAUAUUGCUAGUCCCUUAGCAAUGAAGGAGAGAAAAAUAAAAAUAAACAAUACUAUAAUUUACAACAUCAUGCUAAUUACUUCAAAAAAUUUUAAGUGGCAUGAUGAUCUAACUCUCACAUGGAACAUUAAAGAUAUAUAAACUCAAAUUUCAACAAUAUCAAAAACUUUGCUAAACACUAUUGAUCAAGGGAAUGCAUUAUGCAAAUUGAAGUUUGAACAUCAUUUUCACUUCCACAGAACCAAACUUUAUUCUUCCACAAAAAUCUAAGUGUAAGAUGAUAGUUUCCGAAUAUAGCAUGCUAAACUAAUCUCUCCCCCCAACCUUUCUCCUUUCAAUACUUAGCAAACUGACCAAAUUCAAUAGGCAGAGAACACACUUUUUUUUUUUAGAAGGUACAAGGCUUAAGGGGUAUUCUUUUCUAAAUUGUCCAUGUAACGGGGGUCCAUCAAUGACUCCCAACCAAUUAAGGUUUAGGGCAUCAAGCUUUAAGGAUUUUUCAACCACUAACUCCUAGGAUUUUACCCCGGACUUUUGAGAAUGAAUUUUUAAUACCCAAUCACCUACCAUAUGCUAACUCCACCUAUCCACCCUUGUAACGAGCAUUGAGGUCGGUGACUCCCAACCAAUUAAGGCUUAGGGCACCAGGUUUUAAAGAUUUUCACCAUAUACCCCUCAGACCUUGCUCGGGUUUCAAGGCAAGCAAACAUUUUGCUUUAUUUCUCUUUUUUUUUUUUUUUCAAAGGCUCAUUGGCCUUUCAUAAGGUGUCUCACAUUAUUAAAUGAGGUCAAAGGUACCAAGUCCCAAAAUUUUCCUAAGUCAAGAGGGAAAUAGUUUUUCAUCUUAUAAUCGGAAUCUAUUGUGCACAAUGUGUGGAUAGCUUAAAGCGGAAGAACUAAACUUGAUUUCAAUAGAAGCUUCAACAAUUGAACCACUUUAGUAAGCAUAAUCCAAACUCUAAGUCAAGUGGGAAAUAGAAGUUCAGUUUCUCCUGUUUUAAUUUGAAAAUUUUUCUCAUGAUCCAUGGAGAUUAGAGUAAAAAGUAAAAGACUACAACUAAUUUACCAACAUAACUGAAUUACCAAAAUAACUUAGCAUACUUCCUUCCUCAUUUCUUCCCCCCCCCCCCCCNNNNNNNNNNNNNNNNNNNNNNNNNNNNNNNNNNNNNNNNNNNNNNNNNNNNNNNNNNNNNNNNNNNNNNNNNNNNNNNNNNNNNNNNNNNNNNNNNNNNCCCGGGGGGAUUGGAAAAAAAAAAAAAAACUCCAAAAUUUUUUUCCCAAAAAAGGAAUUUCAAAAAAAAAUUUGGAAAUUUUUUUUCCUUUUUUUUUCCCCCCCCCCCCCCCCCCCCCCCCCCCUCCCAACCGAGCUGAGCAUUGUCCUCAAUGUGAUAUGGGUAAUUGAAAUUAUAGGGAGGAAGUGCUACCUCCUGAGUGAUAUCAAUUUCAAAUAUUGAUUGGAGAAACCACAUGUUUCAAAAAGAAUAAAAGAUGUGAGAAAAGGAAAUAAUAGUAAAUUAAUGCUAAGAGCUAACAAAAAAUGCUAGACUUGUAUUACUUUUAAUUCAUGUGAGUACAAUCGGAAAGAAAGCAAUACAAGCAAUCCCCAUAUAUGAUAUCAAAAUGAUGGGAUUUCAUAAAAGACUAACAAAAACGAAAUACAUAAAAGAAAUAUAUAGUAGAUAUAUAAAUGAUCAGAUGGGUGGAUGAUGUUGGAGAUGAUGGCCUAGGCAGAUGGCUCUGCCUCUUCAAUAGCUGAUUCAGGAGGGGCCUGAGGCUCUGUGGCCUAUGAGUGUGGCACUGCAGUGGUGGGGGUGAGAUGCUCAGCAGCCGAUGGAAGACUGAGAUGAUGCUGGAGCUGCCUCAAGAUGGUAGUGUGCUGAGCCUGGGUGGUCAACAUCUGCUCCUGGUAAGCUCGAAUAGUUGCCAUCUCCUGAGCAAGGCUGCUCUGAGACUCGGUCAGGGUCUGCAGUAUGCGACAUAAAUCUCUAUACUCUGAAAUGGGAAUGGCCAUCCUUGGCUCAGCUAAAGUAGAGGGCUCUGAUGAGGCUGGAGUAACUAGAGGGGCUCUGGAUAUGGUAGGAGAAGUAAUGGGUAUACCCUCAGGUAUAUGAUCUGGAGAUGCUCUCCUGGCAGCUGGUAUCGCAGUUGGCUGUGGGAGCUCUGGCUGCUCAAAUCUAUAUGUUGUCAUAUUGGUCCACUUUUCGAGAGUAAAUACCUCUCGGCAUAUAUGCUUGCGUUCCAGCUGAGGAUCUGAUGGAUACCCCAGAUGCUUCAGAAUCUGACACAGCAGCCGUGGAAAAAGAAGUGGAAUGGCAUCAGCUCGCUGCAGCUUCUUAUGCACCUUCUCUUCAAAAUAGAGAAAGGCAACCAUAAUUAGGUGGUGAGGGCCAAAGAAAUAUCCCUCUGAAAUCUUGAACAGGGCCUCUAAAAGAACUCCUCUCCUCCGAGUCCAAUGCUGUAGUGGAUAAAUGUUGUGACGCAAGAGUGCAUCAAUGAGAAACAUUCUCGGAGAAAGUUCCCCCCUCAUUAGAUGUGGAUUUGUGGAAGCUCUUCUGGACAAGAUAUGAACCAUUUCCAGCUGAGAGGGACUAGUCCAUACUCGGAAAUCCUCAAAAUGGCUUGGCUCGUAUGGUAUAUGUAGGGCCUCUGCUAUAUGGCAAGCUCCUAAAAUGCCAUGCCGACCGUCAAUAGUAAAAUGGAUUAGAGUAGGAUCUCUAACCUGAUUAGUAGUCAUGGACUGAUAAAAAUCCAUGGCUACUCUAGGAUAGAAGAAAUCUCUUGGGGUCAGCAGAUGCUCCAUGCGAUAUCUGCGCAAUAAGUGGAAUGAAUCUGCAAGCUCCGACCUCAAUUUGAAGGUGGUUGUGUCAAAGCACAGCUCAGAGUGAAAUGGUUGAGCUCGGUAGUCCAAAUUUCCUUCAAUUGGUGGUUGAGUCAGCAUCGGACGCCUGAUUAGCACUUCAGGAGCUAUCCCAGAUGGAAUUUGGGAUUCUGAAAGUGGCGGUUGGUGCUCCUGAGGCUCCGCCGAAGGCUCUGACGACGGCACCGAAGAUGGAGCCUGAGAGGACUCUGGUGAAGGAACCAGGGACUGCUCUGUUAAGUCUAUGGGCUUUGAGCUUUCGACCCUGGCUCUCUUUUGCAGGGGACGGCCCCCUGACCUAGUGAAAUAAUGCCUCACCGGAGGAUUCUGUGGUGCGGGCUUCGCUUGAGGCUUUCGUGGUACGGGCUUCGCCUGAGGUGAAGCAGCUUCUGGCCGCGAAGGUUCAGAGGUGGGGCCUUGAACAGGCGCCUCUCGCGGGACUCGUUUGCGGCUGGAAGGAGAGGAAGAUUUGGCUCCUCUGGUUCGCGCCAUAUCGGGUUGACGAAAUUUAGCCAAAAGUGAUGACCGGAAGAGAUGACCGAAGAUUCGCGCGUCGUCGGGCUCGGGCAAGGAAAUGAACGGACGGAUGCUAUGGCGUUUCCUCUUUCUGAAACCCUUUCGCAACUCAAAUGACCGGUAUUUAUAAAAAAUAACGGAAUAUUAAUGGUCAUUUUGAGUUUCGCAGAAGAAAGCUGAUUUCGCAGCAAAAGGGGGGUUUCGCAGAAAAAAGCCCAUUUCGCAGCCCAUUUCGCAGCUUCAAAAUUGGGGUCACUGUGCUGCGGAAUGGCACUCGUGUGCCAAAAUCGAUUUCACAGCUGCAAAAUACCCUACGGAAUGGAGCUUUGGAGCUUCGCAGCCAAUUCGCAGCUUCAAAAUGGGGGCUCCUGUGCUGCGAAGUGGCACUCAUGUGCCAAAAUCGGUUUCGCAGCUGCGAAAUACCCUACGGAAUGGAGCUUUGGUUGCGAAUUUGGGAAUUUUCACGCUUUGGAGCUUCGCAACCGAUUCGCAGCUUCGAAAUAGGGGCUCUUAUGUUGCGAAGUGGCACUCUUGUGCCAAAAUCGGUUUCGUAGCUGCGAAAAUUUUCACAGAGAAGUCAAUUGAGUUGCGAAAUGGUUUCACAGCGAAGUGCUAAUUUCGUAAAGGAUUCUCUUAGGCUGCGAAGUCUCGCAGAGCCCUGUUUUUGCUCUAUUUUUACUCUAUUUUUGCUCUGUUUUUGCUUCAUUUUUGCUCCAAAAGACUUCCUUUCAAUUUCUUUGCAUUUUCUCUUACCUGAGAUCAUUUAAAAAGACUAAAUUACAUAUAAAUACACAAUUUAAGAUCAAAAAUUAAAAUCAAAAGUAUGGAUAAAACUUUGAAAUUUACAAAAUUUACAAAAAUUUUGGACUUUGGUGAAACCAAGUCCAUCAAACCCUUAUUUGCUUAGGCUUUUUGUGGCUCAAGGAGGUUGAUUUCCUCCUUUUCUGGUUUGAAUGACUCCAUGAAUGGCUUGAGAUGAUAUCCAUUGACUCUAAAGGUGUCAUUGCCAUUGGAAUUCAAUAAUUCCACCACUCCAUUGAUAUGUACUUGGUGAAUAAUGAAAGGACCUAUCCACCUUGACUUGAGCUUUCCAGGAAAGAUAUGGAGUCUUGUGUCAUAGAGUAGAACUCUUUGUCCUUUCUGAAAUUCUUUGUUGGAGAUUAGUUGAUCAUGCCACUUCUUCAUCCUCUGUUUUGCAACUUUGGAAUUGAUAUAAGCAUCAUUUCUUAAUUCCUCCAUCUCAUUAAGGUUUAAACACCUCUUUGCUCCGGCUCGGAUCAAGUCCAUAUUCAACUUCUUGAUUGCCCACCAAGCUUUGUAUUCAACUUCCACAGGGAGAUGACACGCUUUUCCAUAGACAAGACGAUAGGGAGACAUGCCAAGAAUAGUCUUAUAAGUUGUUCUAUAUGCCCAUAAUGAAUCAUGAAGCUUAACAGACCAAUCUUUUCUGCUUGAAAUCACCACUUUCAUCAAUAUGUUCUUUAUUUCCCUGUUUGCUAGCUCAACUUGCUCGGAAGUCUGAGGAUGAUACGGUGUAGCUACCUUAUGCUUCAAUCCAUACUUGGCUAAUAAAGUUUCAAAAGGUUUGUUGCAAAAAUGAGUACCUCCAUCACUGAUUAUGGCUUUGGGCACCCCAAAUCUUGAAAAAAUGUUCUCUUUAAGAAACUUGAGAACCACUCUGUGAUCAUUUUGUUUACAGGGGAUUGCCUCAACCCAUUUAGAAACAUAAUCCACCCCCACCAAGAUAUAAGAAUUACCAAAAGACAUUGGGAAAGGUCCCAUGAAGUCAAUGCCCCAUACAUCAAAUAGCUCAACUAUUAGAAUGGGGUUCAUAGGCAUUUGAUUUCUUUUUGUUAGCCUUCCAAGCCUUUGGCAUCUAUCACAACUUCUACACAUGAUGUGGGCAUCUUUGAAAAGAGAUGGCCAAGUAAACCCUGAUUGCAACACCUUCAUAGUUGUUUUCUGAGAGGCAAAGUGGCCUCCACAUGCAUUCUCAUGACAAUGAUUUAGAAUCCCUUGUUGCUUUUCUUCAAGGACGCACUUCCUUAUGAUCUGAUCUGCACAAUACUUAAAAAGGAAGGGCUCUUCCCAAUAAUAAGCAUGAAUUUUUGCAAAGAAAUGCUUCCUGUCUUGUGCAUUCCACUCACUUGGAAUUUCACCAGUAACUAGAUAAUUAGCAAUAUGAGCAUACCAAGGAGUUUUCACUAAGAACAUGAGUGAUUCCUCAGGAAAGUCAUCAUUAAUAGGCAAGGCAUGGGAAUUAUGUGCUAUAACUAAUCUUGAAAGGUGGUCAGCUACCACAUUCUCCACUCCUUUCUUAUCUCUGAUUUGGAGAUCGAAUUCUUGUAACAAAAGAAUCCAUCUAAUCAACCUUGCUUUUGCAUCUUGCUUUGUCAAUAAAUACUUCAAGGCUGAAUGGUCAGUGAAAACAAUGAUGAAAGACCCUACCAAAUAAGCACAAAAUUUGUCCAAGGCAAAUACCACAGCUAACAAUUCUUUCUCUAUAGUUGUGUAGUUCCUUUGAGCUUUAUUCAAUGUUUUGCUUGCAUAGUAGAACACAUAGGGCUUCCCGUCUUCUCUUUGGCCAAACACAGCUCCUAUAGCAAAGUCACAGGCAUCACACAUCAGUUCAAAGGGUAGUUGCCAGUUAGGGGCCCUCACUAUUGGAGUUGUUAAAAAUUUCUUCAGUUGAUCAAAGCUAUUUUGACAUCUUUCAUCCCAUAUAAACUUAGCAUCCUUAGCUAAGAGCUCACAAAGAGGUUUUAAAAGACUUGAAAAACCUUUUAUAAACCUCCUAUAGAACCCUGCAUGGCCAAGGAAUUGCCUUACUCCUUUUACAGUUGUUGGGGAUGGUAAUUUGACAAUAAGCUCCACCUUUGCUUUAUCAACUUCAAUGCCUUUUUCGGAGAUGAUAUGGCCAAGGACAAUUCCUUGACGUACCAUAAAAUGACAUUUCUCCUAGUUGAGCACCAAGUCUUUUUCAAUGCAUCUGUGAAGAACCGCUUCUAAAUUGACUAAGCAUUCCUCAAAUGUACCUCCAUAUACGGUGAUGUCAUCCAUGAAAACCUCCAUAAUUCGCUCCACCAUAUCAUUGAAAAUACUCAACAUACAUCUUUGAAAUGUUGCAGGUGCAUUGCAUAAACCAAAAGGCAUUCUUCUGGAAGCAUAUGUUCCAAAUGGACAUGUAAAAGUGGUCUUUUCCUGAUCUUCCAUAUCAAUUUCAAUUUGAAAAUACCCUGAAUACCCGUCCAAGAAACAAUAGAACAGAUGGCUAGAGACUAUCUCCAACACUUGAUCGAUAAAUGGCAAUGGAAAAUGAUCUUUCCUGGUUACAGCAUUCAACUUUCUAUAAUCAAUACACACCCUCCAACCUGAAGUGAGGCGUGUAGUAAUUUCUUCUCCUUUUUCAUUCUGAACCACAGUAAUCCCUGACUUCUUUGGUACCACUUGAGUAGGACUCACCCAAGGGCUGUUAGAUAUAGGGUAAAUAAUACCUGCUUGAAGUAGCUUCAACACCUCAGCUCGCACCACCUCUUGUAAAUGAGGAUUCAAUUUUCUUUGAAGUUGACGAAUUGGCUUAGCUUCCUCCUCCAUAUAUAUAUGAUGCAUGCAAACUAAAGGACUAAUGCCUUUCAAAUCAGAUAUUUGACAUCCUAUUGCUUUCUUACACCUCUUGAAAACUUCCAGUAAACACUUCUCUUGAUGACUGGUCAGAGAUGAAGAUAUUACGACAGGACAUUGAUUAUUUUCUUCAAGGUAUGUAUAUUUCAGCUCCACGGGUAGAGGCUUCAAAUUGAGUUUUGGUGUCUCUUUCUCAGCAGCCGCUCCUUCUUCUUUAUUGAACAAAGGUAGAAUCUCUUCUAUCCUCCUCCAACUUUGUAGAGUAGCAAGCACAUUAGAGGGUUCAGACAAACCUUCCUUAAAAUCCACAAAACUUUCAUUCAACUUGUCUUGCAUAUUCUGAUUACAGUGCUCCUCUACUAGAGUGUCAAUAAUGCACACCUCUUCUGGACCCUCUUCUUCUUCUGGAGUGGUUUGCUUUUUAGACAUAUAAAAAAUGUUGAGAUCAAGUGUCAUGUUUCCAAAAGUGAGUUGCAUGAGCCCAUUCCUACAGUUGAUGAUUGCAUUUGAGGUAGCAAAGAAUGGCCUUCCAAGGAUGAUAGGAACUAAAUUAGCUUCCUUUACAGUAGGAUUUGUAUCAAGAACAAUAAAAUCCACCAGAUAGUAGAAAGUAUCAACUUGAACCAAGACAUCCUCAAUUACCCCCCUUGGAAUUUUUACUGAUCUAUCUGCUAGAGAUAGAGUAAUUGUUGUUGGCUUCAACUCACUAAGUCCCAAUUGCUUGUAGACAGAGUAUGGAAGCAAAUUCACACUUGCUCCCAAGUCUAACAAAUCUUUCUCCACUACCUUUCCUUCCAAUCAUGACUGAAAUGGUCGGACUUCCCGGAUCUUUGUACUUCAAAGGAGACUUACAUUGUAAGAUUGCACUUACUUGCUCAGUUAAGAAGGCUUUCUUAUUUACAGCCAACCCUCUUUUGAUAGUACAUAAAUCCUUUAGGAAUUUUGCAUAUGUUGGAACUUGUUUAAUCAUAUCCAACAGUGGGAUAUUGACUUUCACUUGUCUCAAUACUUCAAGAAUUUCAGAUGCAUUUCUAAUCCCCUUUUGCCCAUGCAAUGCUUGAGGAAAAGGUGGAGAAGUUGAUUUCUUCAGCAUUUCUUCCUUCAGAAGUUCCUUCUCUGGAUUUUCUUUCAUUGUUGACUCAUAGUCCUCUUUCUUUUCACUGAUCUCUCUCUUUUUGUCUUCCAUUUCCUCCCCUUUCUUUGUCUCUUCUUCUUCCUCAACAUGUGCCUUGGGUGUUGGCUUCUCAAUUUUUUGAUCACUCCUUAGAGUGAUCAAGGCUUUGACAUCUUUCAUCUGUGAUGAUUCUCCCUCAUGGCUUUCCACUUCAUGGACACCCUUGGGGUUUUGGUGAGGUUGAGAAGGAAAUCUUCCCUUUUCUUGCAAUGUGUUCAAAUUGGUGAGCCUUGAGAUUGAGUAUUGGAGAUUAUCUAUCUUUUGGGAUAUAUCAUUUUGCAUUCCAUCCAUCCUUUUGUUCAUAGUACUCUCUACUCUGUCAAUUCUUUGAUUAAGUUGAGCAUUGAUGGCUUUUUGGUCUCCAACAAAAUCUCCCAUUACCUUGUUGAGAUUCACUAUUGCUUGUUCAAGACUUGAAAAUUGUUGAGAUGGUUGAUCCGGCUGUUGGUACUAAGGUGCUCUGGCCUUCCAUGAAAAAUUUGGAUGAUUCCUCCAACUCGAGUUGUAAGUAUUUCCAUAGGGUGCAUUGUUAUUGGGCUUGAAUUGUCCAACAACAUUUUCUUGAUCUCCAAACAUUUCCCUUUCAGCUGAGAUUGUAGGGUAUUCCUCCACCAAGUGUUCAUAUGAUUGACAAUUAGGACAAAGUUUCACUUGCACCGGUGCUUCAGCAACAGCUUGCACUUCAUGCAUCUUUUUCAGCUCCAGCUCCUCCAAUCUUCUUGUCAUAGCUGCAAACUUUGCUUUCAUAUCAUCAUCUUCUUUCAAGGUAUACAUCCCAACCUUAGCAUUGAAAGCACUCAGUUGAGACUUCAUCUUUCCCACUUCUCCUUUGAUUGGUUCAUCCCAUCCCCUUGAAACUUCAGCUACAUAACUCAAGAAAUCCAUAGCUUCCUACGGAUUUUUGCUUAUGAAAUCUCCUCCACACAUUGUCUCGAGGAGUUGCUUCAUUGAGGAAGACAUCCCAUCAUAAAAAUAGCUCACCAAUAGCCAAGUAUCAAAACCAUGGUGAGGGCAAGCAUUUAUAGCUUCCAUAUAUCUUUCCCAACACUCAGAAUUUCUCAUUCUCUUUAGCUGAGAAGUUUGAAAUUUGCCUUUUCAAGCCAUUUGUUCUAUGUGUGGACCCGCAUUUUUCACGUGCGUCCCCACUCGAUCGGCGAGACUCGCUUUUUUAUUUGUGAAAAAUUAAUUUUUGGAAAAAGUUGGAGUCGCCACUUAUUUUAUUUUAUUUUAAAGGAAAAAUAAAACAAGAAAGAAAAACCCUAAAAUGUGACUCCAUAAUUUUUGGAAAAAACAUGUCUUUGAAAAACCCGAGUCUAAGUCCGGGGAUCAGGUUACCUAUUGGGAAGGUACCUUUAAAAGGUAGCACCCCUCUAAGCCCUUUAAAGGUCUCUACUAACUAAGUUAAGGGGAAUGUGGCAAUUAGUCGGUUUAAUUAUGGAUACCUAAGUAGGCUAGGUGGUUCCAAAAAAAAAGCAUGCCAAACAAGAUCAAAUCAUAAUAAAGGAAGGUUAGGAUGCGUACCCGGACCGCUUCUCAAACGCUAUCAUAAAACAUCGAUGGUUAAUUUAAACAAUAUAUCAUCCAACAUGCAUUUUAUUAGAAAUAAUCAAACAAUGAAACAUGUAUAUCAGAACACUCAAGCAUUAUUAGACAUAAGCAUUAUUUCACAAUGACAAGCAUAUUCACAGAAUUCAGAAAGUAGGUGAUAGAGGACAUACUUGGAUAGCAUAGAUAAUUUGUAACGUACUUCCUCAAGUUGUAAGGGGUAAGAUAAUAAAUAAUAAAAUAUAGAAAUCCUAGCAUGCUCGUUAUCUAAUUAGCAUAGCAAAAGUGAUCACAGUAUACAGAAUCAUCAAUUAUCUCAUACAUCUUGUAUAUAAUUCCUAAAAAAAUAGAUAGACAUGAUUUCAACAAGUGUCAAAUGUGGCAACAAAAAUAAAUUUUGAAAAGAUUUUCUUAUGUAGGGGUUUCACCAAUUCCCCAAAUUAGUAUACACGAAUUUAGCCUAGAAUUAUCCCAUUUAUUUGGGACCACAAGCUUUGAUUCGUGUUUUUGUUCAAAAUCAAAAUUUUUGUUGAAAACCGAGAAGGAUGCAAACCGAACAAGAUAUGGUUGCAUAUUAUUUUUUUAAAAUAAUAAAAAAAAAAGAUUUUGAUCCUGAGGACUCUAAAUGAGUUUUUGAAAUAGAUUUUUAAAAUGAUUUUUUUGAGAAAAGUAUUUUAUUUUAAAAUAAAAGGAAUUAAUUUGGGAAAAAAUAAAAUGAAAUAAAAUACUAAACAAAACAAAAAUGAAACCUCAAAGUAAAAAAAUUUUAGUGAUUAACAAAAAUGAUAAUGGUGAUGGUAGAGGCCAAUCUUCAUGGUUUUCCAAUGGCCUCAGAAAGAAAAUCAAAUUAAAUGAAGGAUCACUAACAGGCAAGACAUUCUAAAUUAGACAAACUAACAAAGUAUCAAUUCAUGAACUAAUCGCUAGAAUUUUAAAAGCAUAUAAGCUAAGAUAAGGGUGAUCAGGAACUAACAUUAAUGAUUUUGAAAUAAAAACUAAAAAGGGAUCAAUUCGGGUAAGGAACUAAAAUUAUAGAAGUACCUAAACUAAUUAUAAUGAGUUUGACUAAAUUAAACUAAAAACAUGAACUUUCAAACAUAGAAUUAAUUUUACUAAUGAACCAAAGCAAACUAAAAAUAUGUACUUUCAAGCAUGGAAUUAAUGUUAUUGAUGAACCAAAAAUUGUGAACGUGUCUAAACUAAAUAGAUGAAUUAAAUUAAAUCAAAGUACACUAAAAAAACAUGAACUUUUAAAUAAAGAAUCAAUUUUGUCAAUAAACUAAUAAAACUAUAAAAACACAUAAACUAAUUAAAAUGAACGAAAUUAAAUCAAAGAGUACUAAAAAUAUGAACUUUCAAACAUGGGAUCAAUUUUACUAAUGAAUUAAAACUAUAAAAAAACACCUAAAAAUAAUGAAUAUAAAUUAUUAAAUCAAAGCAAACUAAAAACUGAAACUUUCAAACAUAGGAUCAAUUUAAUUAAUGAACUAAAACUAUAAAAACACAUAAACUCAUUCAAGCUAAACUAACAAAUAAAUUAAUACCAAAUUAUAUUACGACUUAAAAAAAAUCCACUUCAUCUAAUAAAAUUGAUUAAGCUACCCCAUUAGAAUAAAAAAAUGCAUUUUUAAAAUAAAACAAAUUAAUAAUUUAUUGACUAAAACUAAAGUAAUCGAAAUUAGAAACAAGAUGCAAUUUUUCUAAAAGAUUUAAUCAAACAAUUGAAUUAAAAUUAUGAAUAUAAUAAAUUAAUAAACCAAAUCGAAACCUCAACCCUAUCUAAGAAAAUUAAUUAAUUCAACUAAUAGAUCAAAAGUAACAACGAAAUUAAACUAAGUAAAUUAAGACAAAGCCAAUUAAAUUAAAAUCACAAACACGUUUAAACUAUCAUAUGGAUUAAAACAAAUUAGCAUGGACUUAUGAAUUAUGAACCCGUAAAAAAAAGACAUCUAAUGAAAAGAAUGAAAACUCUUUCAAAAACUAACCUGUGUUAUGGGAGAAAAAUUCGUCUUUAAUGCGUUGAAGUGGCUACUCUAUUAAAAUUUGAAAGCCUCUGUUACUUCCCUUCCUCCAGAAAAUUCUCACUCCUUUACGUAUCCUCUGCUCCAGCAAAAUAAUAUCCCCCCAGAAAAAAAUCCCUCCUUUGCUCCAGAAAAAAAAUAUAUCUCCCCAUGUGGAUCCCCCUGCCCCUGUUUAUAUGGUAGCACUUUCCUUUUUUUUUUUUAAUAUUCUAUUUCUUUUUUGAAUGCAUGUGGAUCCCAGGAAAGUGCAUGCAUCAUGGCUUAUGAUAUACGGUGGAAUUUACAUGAUUGCCCAUGCCCAACUUGGAAAUUUUGAUCUGAUGGGCUCAGAUGAAUCUGCAUUUGAGACCCCAACCUGCAUAACACUCCUCCAUCAUCUGAUUUGAAUGCCUUUGUUCCCGCCAUCUCUCAAUAUAUUACAAUCCUUGAGAAUCAUUGAUGCUGUCGACGAAGAGGAAGUCAUCGAAUCUGCACCCUCUGAGUAGUUGGUUGAGUCUGCACACAAGUGAUCACGUGAUUCCCUGCCCGAGAGUUGCUCGCUCUUCACGAUUCGUUGCCAAUGACUGGGCCGACACCGGAGACUCCGUCCCAUUAGAUCGUGGUGGUCGAUCGCCAGCGUUCCAGUCAAGGAGGCGAAGUCUGAGGCGUUGACCACUGCCGCAGCUACGUUGAGAAUGCUAUGAAAUCUCCCGAAGGGACGUCGGAUCUGGACGGUGGUGAGGGAGGAGUGCAGCAGUGUUGCAGGUAGAGGAGAUCACAUCGUCGGAGAGGUGGCGUUGGUGAGGGCAUUCGCGAUUAUGUUCUUUGAUGGAUUCAAGCUUUUUUUGUCACUCGCGAUCAUGGUUCUUCCGCUCUGAAUCGCGAUCCUGGUCUCAGUUUCUGGAAGAGCAGUGGUGGCGGUUAUGGUGGUGAUGACGGCGGAAGCCAUUGGAGGCGUCUUCGUCCAUGUUAGAUUUGGUCGGCGAUGGUGAGAAGUGCAGCAGUGUUGUGACAUGGAGAUGGCGGAAAGAAAACCAGAAAAAGAAUCGUGAUGAAGGUGUGAUCUCCUGUUCUCUAAGAAAAUGGGUGUCCAAGGGAAAGAUGGUGAUUCCAUCCUUGAGUAUGAAGGUUAUGGAGCUCCGAAAAUGGGUGUUUGAUGACCCUUUCUCACUUUUUCAAUGAAGAAUUCAAGAAAACGCCCCCUAGUCUUAUUGUCGAUGUGGUGGUUUCUUUUUAUACCGGCAUCAAAAGUCACUGUAAUUCUCUCUGUCAUUCAUUCUCGGGUGUGAUGUGAAUGCUCCCUUGCUCGCGUGUCCUUCACGCCAGAUCAUCCUCUCUAGAGACUUCCAGAGAAACUCCAAAAAUGUCUGACCUCCCAUGCCCUCCUCAUGUGAUAGCUUCAUCAACUUCAUCCUUCUUUAAAAUUCCUCUCCCCAUGCAAAAUAGAAUAGAAUAAUAGUAUAAAAAAAAAAUUUCAGAAAACUAAUGAAAUUAGUAAUAAAAUAGAAUAUGAUGUCAAAGAAAAAGCAAGGGAAUAAGGAGAGAUUAGAUAACAUCAUUUUUCUCAUUCAAUAAUAGGGUCACAUGCGUAUUUAAAGUAUAAACAAUUCAAGCAAUUUUUUUUUUAUUAAGUAAAUAAAUAAAUAAAUAAAAAUAAAUAAAAUGAAAUAUAUAAAGACAAUUAAAUACAUGAAUAAAUAAAUAAUAAAAAGUAAAAGUAAAAAUGAAUAGACAAAAUAAAUGUAAUUAUCAAAUGCAUGCCAUAAUAAUAAUAAUAUUAUAUAAAAAAAAUAAAAAAUAAAAAUAAAAUAAAAAUAAAAAAUAAAAAAUAAAAGUUGAGCCUUAAUGAAAUGUCUAAAUGGACCUAUUCUAAAAAAGGUGUCUAAGUGACCUAAGUGACAUGUGUGUAAGUAAGGAGGUGUCUCGGUGCGAGUCAAGGUGAAUCUAGGUGGGCCUAGGGUGCCUAAAUGGACCUAGGGUGCCUAAAUGGGCCUAAGUACCUAAGUGGGCCCAGGGUGCCUAAGUGGACCUAAGAUGGUGCUUAAUGGGCCAAGUGUAUCUCAAAACUAUCCUAAAAAUGAAUGGAAAGCCUAAUUCUAAAUUAAGGCUGCCAAAGGUCACAAUAAGGGGUCAGAUAAUCCCUCAACCAAAGUCUUCGAGGUGGCUUAAAAAAGGUAAGUAGUAUGAGUGGCUAUGAGCCAUCGAAGAACUACUGUAAAGUAUCAAAUAAGUAUCUAAUAAGACAUGUGCUAGGAGGAUAAAAUUGAGGGUCUACACUAUGAGUGGGAAAAAAAUUCUUGAGGAAUUCAGCUUGUAAGUCAGUCCAAGUGCGGAUACUCCUUGGCCUUAAAGAAUUAAGCCAAAUUUUGGCCUUAUCCUUUAAAGUGAAAGGAAAUAACUUAAGCCUCAUCAAAUCAAUUGAAGCUCCUCCCUCUUGGAAUGUAUUACAAAUAUCUUCAAAUUCCUUGAUAUGUGCGUAGGGAUUCUCACUUUCCAUCCCAUGGAAAGUUGGUAGAAGUGGAACAAUAUACGGUCUAAUCAAUAGUUGCUCUGUAGGGGGCACUAUAUAUGAUGGUGCACUCAUACGAGGUGGAUGCAUGCGGUCCCUCAUUGAUCUAAAUUCAUUGAGAUUGUCUUGACGACCCUGGUGACUAUGCUAAUCUUCAAGUGUAGCUUCCAUGAUAUUCAAGCUCAAUUCCAAUUCCUUGUUAUGAGGUGUAUCACGUUUAACAAGCCUUCCUCCACUGUCUCGUAUCCAAUUUGGCAUACACAACUAGUAUCUAUCUGUAACUAAAAUGAAAAUAAAGGACAACAAAAGAAAACAUGGCUACAAAAACAAAAUAAAACUAAACUGAAUUUUAAAAGAUAAAUUUAGAUUAUGAAUAAGUAAAAAAAAUGAAAAUUAAUAAAGCAAAAGAAACGUUACCAAAUUUGUGAUGAAAAUCACAAGUACUCUAAAAUAGUAUCACUAUAAACUUGACACCUUCCCCGGCAAUGGCGCCAUUUGAUUCGUGCCCAAUUGGUGUCACAGUUGAUUCAUGUCCAACUGGUGCUCAUUGAUUAAGGGAGUAAUCAACAAAAUUUAUAACCUAUUACACCAUAUACUAGGGUAGCAAAGAAAAAGCUACUACAGCAUAGUGGUUCUAGGAUCGUUCACUGGGAAGGGUUUUCAAAUUACAAAUGAUACAAAUUCAAAGUGAAUUGGUGCUGUUUCAUUUCAAGGUUAGCUUAAGAAAUAAAACACAAACUUUGGUUGAAAAAUGUUUAGAUUUAAACUAAGGGCAAAGCAAGUAAUGGAAAUUACUUAUGAAGAAAAACAUUCCUUGGAGAUUUAGGUUCACAGGGGAGGUUCCUAAUGCAAAAACAUAGCUCCGGUCAGUUGGUUCAUUUCCUCGUAUUAGAGAAUUAACAUAUAGUCAAUUCUCUAACCGGUGUUGUACAGAUGCAUCCCUUAAUUGGAUUUCAACUCUAAUUCUCUCUCACUGAUGCAACUUGCAAUGGUUCGUGCCUCUCACUUAGCAUUUACCAUUCAAGGUGAUCUUUAACCUUGGACUUCCCUUCUCAAGCUCGCAAGAGAUAAUUAAUGGAUGCCUCCUUGGAGUCCAAAAGCUUACCAAGUGUUGGCAAUUCUAGAAAAUCCUACCUUCAAGUCACUUCCCAGAGGCUCGCAAGGGGUAAACUAGUGCAUCUCCAUGGACGGAGAUCACUUGCCUUACCAAGUGUUGGCCCAGGUGACUCCAAGGCUUUUUAAGUUAACUAAAAAUAUAGAAAUCACUAAAGGAUCACACUUUCUCUUCAUUCAUGGCUGAAACCACAAAGCUACUUAUUCUUGCACUUGGAACCUUUCCCGGCAACCUUAGCUCCAAGGAAUGUUUUUCUUCAUAAGUAAUUUCCAUUACUUGCUUUGCCCUUAGUUUAAAUCUAAACCUUUUUCAACCAAAGUUUGUGUUUUAUUUCUUAAGCUAACCUUGAAAUGAAACAGCACCAAUUCAGUUUGAAUUGGUAUCAUUUGUAAUUUGAAAACCCUUCCCAAUGAACGAUCCUAGAACCACUAUGCUAUAGUAGCUUUUUCUUUGCUACCCUAGUAUAUGGUGUAAUAGGUUAUAAAUUUUGUUGAUUACUCCCUCAAUCAAGGAGCACCAGCUGAACAUGAAUCAGCUGUGACACCAAUUGGGCACGAAUCACUUGCAUAUAGGGCUUAUUCAUUUUGAGAGGAUGUAUUCAUACUAGGGCGUAGCUACCUUGCUGAUUUUGACAUUAAGACUCGACCUUCUUUUAAUGAUUGCUAUUUUUGAUGGAUUAUAGAGUUGUUGACACCCUGGGUUCAGUCUUCUCAGCAUACUUGGUUCGACUUGGAUACCCACUUUUCUUCGUUAGACAUCCAGACAUCCUACAUUUGACACCAUUAUACCUACAUCCAUCUUUUCAGAGCCUAACAAAUAUUGAGCAUGCUUAUCUCACUAUUGAGCAUGACCUUAUCCCUUUCUCUUUAUCAAGGGAGGAUGCAGACCAAUCUUGAGUUUUCUGGUCAAGUUUUCAGAUGCCUCUAGACAUUAGGUUCAACAUCUUCCAUGAUGGCAUGACCUAUUAUAUUGUUUAUGUAUUUGUGAUGAUGUUUUCGUAUUGAUAGUUGAUAUAUUAUGUCUUGUUUUGCUUACAUUUCAGACUUGGAGUCUUGGUUAGCAUUUGUCUAGUCCAUUAUUUUAGUUUUGCUUUGUCAGUAUAAUUUCUAUGAUGUAUGGUCUUGUUUAAGCAUUUAUUCAUUGAUGUUAAACUUUUUCAUUGCAUCAUCGUUGAGCAUAUCCUAGAGUGUUUUAUAUGGUGACAUUCUGUGUCGUAUGUUAGUUACUAUUUUACAUUGGGGCAUACCCCCAUCCUUGAGUUCAUCAGAUCUUUUGCAGAUUUUCUCACUGCUCGAUCUAUUUCUUGAUCUUUGCAAGUCGUCAUACUGAGGCAUACCUCCUUUAGCACUCUUCUAUUGGGGCAUACCCCUCUCUUUGGGUUUAUCACAUCUCAUGCUGAUUUCAUGGUUGUUAGACCCAUUUUUCAAUCUUUACGAGUUAUCACCUAGGGCAUCCCCCUACCUUUAGUUUGUUUGGGACAUUCCAUUUCAUUUAGCUUGUUUAGGGCAUCAUCCUACCAUCAGUUUGUUUAUGGCACUCUUUUUUUUUUCUUCAGUUUUUCUGGGGCAUUCUCCUACUAUUAGUUUGUUUAGGGCGCUCCCUCCUCCCCCCCUCCCCCUUUUUUCUUCAGUUUGUUUAAGGUAUCCCCCUAUCGUCAGUUUGUUUAGGGCAUCCUAUUUUCUUCAGUUAUCUAACCACCGUGGAUUAGACGUCCAUAGGCAUUUCAAUUAUCUUACCACCAUGGAUUGGACAUUCAUGGGCAUUUUAGUGAUUCUCACCACCAUUGAUCAGACAUCUAUAGGCAUUUCAAAUUCACCACCAUAGAUUAUCAUUUAUGGGUUUUGAUCAGUUUUCACCACCAUAGAUCAGACAUCUAUGUGCAUUUCAGAUUCCCACCAUAGAUUUUCAUCUAUGGGCCUUGAUCAAUUUUCACCACCAUAAAUCAAACAUCUAUAGGCAUUUCAGAUUCACCACCAUAGAUUAUCAUUUAUAGGCCUCAAUCAGUUUUCACCACCAUAGGUUAGACAUCUAUGGGCAUUUUAGAUUCACCACCAUAAAUUUUUAUCUAUGGGCCUUGAUCAGUUUUUACCACCAUAGAUUAGACAUCUAUGGGAAUUUCAGAUUCACCACCAUAGAUUAUCAUCUAUGGGCCUCAAUCAAUUUUCACCACCAUAGAUUUUCAUCUAUGGGCUUUGAUCAAUUUUCACCACCAUAGAUCAGACAUUUAUGGACAUUUCAGUUUCACCACCAUAAAUUAUCAUCUAUGGGCCUCGAUCAAUUUUCACCACCAUAGAUCAGACAUCUAUAAGCAUUUCAGAUUCACCACCAUAGAUUUUCAUCUAUGGGCCUUGAUUAGUUUUCACCACCAUAGAUUGGAUAUCUAUGGGUAUUUUAGAUUCACCACCAUAGAUUUUCAUCUAUGGGCCUUGAUCAGUUUAUCACCACCAUGGAUCGAACAUCUAUGGUCAUUUUAGAUUCACCACCAUAGAUUGUAUAUUUAUGAGCAUUUGUUACAAUUAUCUCACCAUCAUAGAUUUUCAUCUAUGAGCAUUUGUUUUAGUUAUCUCACCACCAUAGAUUGGACAUCUAAGGGCAUUUCAGUCGAUUUACCACCAUAGAUUUUCAUCCUUGAGCCUUUGAGAUUAUCACCACCACAUAUUUUUAUCUAUGGGCCUUUGAGAGUUUCACCACCAUAGAUUGGCAUCUAUGGGCAUUUCAAUUGUAUCACCACCAUAGAACUUCACCUAUAGGCUUUCUAAUUUAGCGUUUAGAGUUAGCUUUUUAGUUUGGCUUCUAGAGCCAUUCUUUUCUCAAUUUAGUGUUUAGAGACAGUCUUGCCAUUCAAAGCCACAACUCUUGAUAUUCAUGAUCACUAACAUUACAUGAUUUGUUCUCACAGUUUCAUAUUCCACCUUACUUCUCUCUUCGUUGAAUAUGUGCUUCUCACUUCAUUAUGAUAUUCUAAAGUUUCUUCUCAUCUUUUGUGUAGGAUAUAGCUCUGUGAGCUCGUAGCAUGUCUUAUUUGUAUUGUUGGAUACCUUAUGCCUUGUGUCCUUGUAUGUUACAUGUAUGGUUUUUUCCUUUGUACACUUUCGUUCUUGUGCUCCUUGGUGGUUUGAUUGCUCCUCGACUUCGACAUCAAUUUUUGAGUCAUUUUUUGAGACUUUUAUGAGGGAGUAUGGAUCCAUAGUGUAUCUUUAGAGGCACCUUAGGAGUUUUCGUUAUUGCCAUUUAUGUAGAGUUUUAGAGCCUCUUUGUUCUUGUUUUGGUCUAAGAAAGCUUGUGUCAUACGAGGACAAAUUUGGUGGUCUUUCUUAUUCUUUGGUAGAGCUCACUUUGUUUUGCUUAUGUAUACACUCACUUUACUCAUGGACUCUACCGAAGAAGGGCAUAUUUGUAGACCCCAAAAUUUGUCCCAAUUUUAUUUUUACAUUAAUUUUUAGCCUAAUUUUACUCUUAAAAUUAAAUCCCGAUUACAUAUGAUAUUUUGGCCCACACACAAUUUAAUUAUUAAUUUUUAUUAUUUUGUAUAUUAUUUUAUUAUUAUUAUUAUUAUUAUUAUUAUUCAUUUGUUUGUGUGAUUUGAAUUAUUGAAUUAAUAUGAAAUUUAAGCUUUGUUAAUUAAUAUGGAAUUUGGGUUAAUUUGUUAUUGGAGAAUCAAUAUGAAAUUUGGGUUAAUUUAUUGUUGGUGAAUAAAUUUGGAAUUUCUUAAUUUGGGUUAGAUUAGUUGAUAAUUUAUAUAGUUGUACUCAUUUGAAUUAUUUAAUUUGGAUAUGAUAUAAUAUUUUGGUAUAUUUUGGAUGUGGGUUUGCAUAUUAAAUUGAUUGAUUUUGGUUGUGGAUUUAGGUUUGCAUAUUAAAUUAGACUUAUAUUAUGGGAUAUUAAAUUUAGGCCUAAUGGGAUUUAUUUUAAUUUGUCAUGUUUUUGGUUUGAUUAAUUGAGCUUAUAUUUUGGCUAUUAAUUUGGAAAUUUUGGAUUAGGGCCUAUGACAUGUGAGAUAUUUUGUUGGGUUCUAUUUGCUAAUUUGGGCCCAUCUUGAUUGACAAAAUUUGUUGGACUAAUUUGAAAUUUGAAUUUGAGCUUGAAUAUCUAUUGCUUAUUUUAUACAUCUAUAGAUAAUUUACAUUUGAGCUUUUUUUUUUUUUUUGCAUAAUCUCAUUCUGCAAUUCUAUUGGUUGAGUAUGAAUUUAUGACACGUGGAGUAUGGAAUUUCAUGGAAGAAAGUAAGAUUCGAAAAGCUGUAGGAAGAUAUUGAGCUUGUUGUAAGCUUGUUUGAGUACACGUUUUAUUACUUACUUUUAUUUGGUUUUAAUUUUAUUAGUUUCUGUAAAUAUUUGCUUGUAUAUGUUUAUUAGUUGUGUAUAGAAUUGAAUAUCGAACAAAUCAGAGAUUUUGUUUAAAUAAGAGGAACAAUUCAGUAAACAUGUUUUAAUAAAAUAAUUGUUCAGAAAAUAUUUUUUUUAAUAAAAGAAAGUUUUUUUAUUAAUAAAAAUUCAGAAAAAUGCUUUUAGAAAAAUCUAAAAAAAAUAUUGUUUUUAAUAGAAUUUGAAAAAUUGUUUUUAAUAAUAAUUGUACAAAAAUUUCUUUGUUUAACAAAAAUUGUCCAAAAAUUGUUUUGUAAAUAAAGGUUUCCCAAAAAUUAAUUUUUAAUUAAUUUUUUUUUGCAAAUAAAGUUAUCUAUAUAUAUAUAUAUAUAUAUAUAUAUAUAUAUAUAUAUAUAUAUAUAUAUAUAUAUAUAUAUAGAAAACAAUUGUUUUCACCAGAUUUUUUUUUUAUAAAAAUAAAUAGACUCAUUUAAUCAUGUUUUCUAAAACUUGGUUUUAUAAAUUAUUUUUUGUUGUUUAACUUAAAAAUAGUUUUUAAAAACAAAUUUUAGAAAACAUCAUCAAACGGAUCUUUAAUUUUCGUUCUUCUAUGGAGGCCUAUUCCUACCUAUUCUAAAAAAUAAAUUUUUAUUUUUAAAAAAUAAAAAAAUAAAAAAUAUGUUUAACAAACAAAAAAACAUAAAACAUUUCUUUUUGUUGAAAUGAAAUGUUUUGAAAAUUGACGUACGAAGGAACAGUGGGAGCCCCCCCUCUAAAUGGACCUUUGUUUCAAGAAUCACUAAAAACGCUUAAAAAUGGCCCUUCUUUUUCUUCUUUCUUCGCCUUUGAAUAAUAUAAUAUAAUCCAAAAGAAGAUUUAGAAGAUGCGUAGAUGAGGAGUAAUAACAUGCCCAUGAAACUCAUGCUACACAGUUUAUGAGGUAGGCAUUGGCUAAAUUCAAUGUUACAUCUCUAACAAAUAAGACAUUUCAAACAAAUGAAGAAUGGACUGAUGGCCUACAAUAUGUAUUUUAUAAAAAUUUUAAAAUCAUAUUUAGCAAAAACUUAAAAAGAGAAAAAAAAAAAAAAAGGGGGGAAACUUGUGUUUUAGGUCGUCCAUUUGGACAUAAUAGGUUUUUCUGAACCUAAAAGUUGGAAAUCCAAGAUUUCCCCAUUAAUAUGGAAAAAUAUAUGAUUUUUAUGCACUCUAUGCUAAGUGGUCUUUUUAUACCCACUUUACCCUUACCCAAUCUCCAUAUCAGCAUCCAUGUUGCAUUAUUGCAGUCUGAAAUUUCCCAAACAACAUUUCUCUCUUUCAUUGACUUCUUCAUCACCCGAACAGAGUGUCAUUUGAAAUUUCCCUAUUUCCGAAACAAGAUUUAUGUCUUCCUCUCAUUUUUGCCUAACUUGAACCUGAGACGGUUGAUUCAACGAAAGAAACACAAGCAUUCCCCUCAAAUCGUCUCUCUCCUACUCACUGACACACCUACCAUGGGCAACACCUCUUCCUCACUAUUGUCGCCGUAUUUUCUAUUUCCACCUCUAGAUCCAACGCUUCCACCUUUCUCUGUUACCUCUCUCAAUGUUCAAAGCCUGAACCUCUCUGGUGAAAUAUUUGCUAGUGAAACUUAAACUAAUAAUAUUUUCAUUUUGAGGUUAAAUUUAGAGAUUUUUUUUUUUUUUUACUUCGUUACUUUCUAAUGCCUCCCAUCUUCGUCAUUACUGAUAGGGUUGUUGAAGAUGGAAGACACUUUUGUAAUGUUUUGGAAGGUCAACUCAGAAACAAAGGCCCAAUUUGUUCUCGUAUCUGUACUUUUAGCAUGGAUAUCGGUUCAGUGAAAACCUCUUAUGUUCUUGAUCUCACAAUCUUGUAGUGCUUCUAUUCCUUAUGAAUUUUCCAUUCAUUUUUUUUCUUUUUUAUAUGAAUGACUUUACAUGUUAUAUUAUAGUCAUAACUUCUUACAAAUGCUAGCAUGGAUUGGAAGAGGUUACUAUGAUGUUGGUCAGUUAUAUUGGUUUGUAACUUUUAUUUAUUUCUUUCUCACAAAUAUUAGCACUGAUGUGGAACUAAUUCAUUAAUUGUUGUUCAUGUUGAUAGUACUAAUGCUAAUGUUGAAAGAAGGCAACAAGGAAAAAGUAAAAAAUUAUUAGUUUGGAGCCUAGUUGCAUGAAUCCCUUUGCCAUUGUUUAUAUAAAUAAGGUUAGUUUUUCAUCUUAAUACAAUGUUUAUAACAAUAUAUUGCUAUAGUUUCUAACUCAAGGUCUUCUUUUGGUUUUAACUAAAAAAUAUGCAGCGCACUACUUCUUAAUUGCAUCUCGAUAUGCUCUUCCUCCCUUCAACCAUCCAAAUCCUGCUCCUAUAAAGAGUGAAGAUAGAAAUGAGAGAUUAAGGAUUUGAUACCUAUUGAUGUUAUAUAUGAAUUAUUUUAUUUCAUUGUUUCUGUAUCUUAUAAUUGUUUUUCUACUUUUGUAGGUAUUUAAGCAGUGACUUUAGUAAUCACCCCCUAUCAUACCUCAUGGCCUCUGUAUUUGGCAUGCACCACAAAGAAAAUGUUAAGGUAUGUUGCUAGUGAACAAUUCGACAUUCCCAAUCUAAGAACCUGAUCUCACUUGCCAUAUGCAUUGCUAGUAUGCAUUAGAAUGUAAAAGCUUCCUUUUUUCCUGUCAUUUUUUAGUGUUAGGUGUUUUGUUAUGCCUUCAGUCUAAAUGGUUCAACUUAAUAGAGACAUCAUAUUCAAUCAAAAGCCGAGCACUUUUAGAUGGUUUUACCAUGUCAUUUGAUAUGAUUGACAAACUGAUUAAUGAAGACAAGAUAUAGCUCCUUAUAAACCUCAAUGGUUAUACCAAGGUAUAUAGUUUUAGUAUGAUGUAAUUGCUUUUUGUUAACAAUGUAAAUAAUUAGGUAUCAUCUUAGUUUACUCUUUAUUUAUUUUGUUGGGGCAUAUAGUUAUGGUAUCAGUUACCACACAUGUUUAAAGUUGAAUGCUCUUACUGAGUUUAGUUUGUGAAAUUUGUUUAUAAUGUUUACCAUUUAUUCCCUCCAGCUUUGCUAUGAGUUUGGUGAGUAUAUAGAGCCCAUUAGCUCAAAAACUGUUGUCAUUCUUAAAACAGUAAAAGGUUUCUCUGGAGAAGAACCCAAAACUCAAGUCCUGUGCAUGGCUAUUUUUUUUAUGGUUGGUUACUCUUCCCCCUACUCCUAAAUGGGUUAUUAAAGAUGACCAUUCUUCACACAGUGUAAAUACUAUAAUAUAGAAUUCACUAACCUUUUUUAAUGCUCUCAUGGCCUAAAAUUUUGUUGCUUUUGUUUAUGAGGUGAAUUCUUAACUCAUUUGUAAGUGUUAUGUAUUAUUAUUACUAUUUCACUUGUUUACUUUUGUUUAGAGGUUUAGAGUUUGACUGUAUAUUUAUUUAUUUGAUUAUGUGAUUUUAGGUCUCAAAAUAGGAACUGGUUUUUGCUCUAAAAAUAGAAAUCACAAAUAGAUAUAUUUAAAUGGAGUAAUCUUGCAAACUAUGGUUUAACCUUACUUUUCCUAUGAAAAUUGAACUUAUUUUUAGGAAAAAUAAAAGUCAAAUAUAAUUUUUUUUACAUUUUCAAAGAUGCCAACGUUCAAAUAUUGAUAAUUCUUAGAAAAAUGAGAUUUUUUUUAGAUUGUUUUUUUUUCUUUUUUGUUUUCAAAAUGCCUAUAUUUCUUCUAGGGACAAACUCCUCUACAAUAUAAUAGGUUUCAUAGAGGAGCAAGAAGCUCUGGUGGUGAAGUCCUAGAAUUCAAUGAAGAAGAAUGUUGGAGAGUUGGGUCUUAAAUUCUUCUUGAAGUAAAUCAAAUUUUCCUUAUUCUUCUCUACAUGUUGAUAAUUACCUUAUUUCUUAGAGAAGGGGUUCACCUUUGCUUUUUGAGGCCUAUACCUUAAGUACUACCUUAAUAGCCCCUAGGUACUACCUUAAGGGACCUUAGGUACUACCUUAGUUAAAGUUGGGUUCUACCUUUUCCAAGCCUCGGACCUUCCUUUGUGACCCUUAGACCAUGCCAUUAUAUGAUUCUCUUGUGUGAUCAAGUGGUUCACCUUUGGUUUUUUUUGCGGACUAUACCUUAGGUACUACCUUAAGGGACCUUAGGUACCACCGUAAUUAAAGUUGAGGUCUACCUUUCCCAAUCCUCGGACCUUCUUUUGUGACCUUUGGACCAUGCCAUUAUGUGAUUCUCUUGUGAGGGGAAGGGGUUCAUCUUUGCUUUUUUGAGGCCUGUACCUUAGGUACUACCUUAAUAUCCCUUAAGUACCACCUUAAUAUACCUUAGGUACCACCUUAAGGGACCUUAGGUACUACCUUAAGGGACCUUAGGUACUACUUUAGUUAAAGUUGGGUUCUACCUUUCCCAAGCCUCGGAUUUUUCUUUGUGACCCUUAUACCAUGCCAUUAUGUGAUUAUCUUAUGUGGGCAAGUGGUUCAAAGUACAAUUAUUCUAUCCUCUCCUGGGAUUGGUCUCCUAAAAGCUUAAGACCAAAGUACAGUGCCACUUAGACCAACCAACUCCAAAACCAGUAUUACACUACACACCACAUUCCCCAUCAAUCUCUCAAUCUCUUCACUGCACUACAAUACAAGCCAGUGGGUAAUUUGAAACCAUAUACAAAAUUGUUCUCCACACAAAUUCCAUCCCAGCCAACAUCUUUCCAAUUUUCUAUAUUCUUUUUUCUUUUCCACCUCUUAAUACAUGUUUCAAUUUCCAUGUUCAAAAUUGUGUCUUUGUGUUUCUGUUUGUGAGAGUCGAGUCCCAAUAUCAAUAUCCAUAUUUUUUUCCUGUGUGGGAGAAAGACAGAGUCUCAAUUUCAAUGCAACAAUGUUGUGUGUGAGAUAAAGAUAUCUAUCAAUAAAAUUGUACCCACAAACCACACAGGUCAAGUUUCAGAUAUGAACAGGAUUUAAAAAUACUGUUUCAAUUCACUUAAUUAGAAACUUUAAUCCAAAAUACCCGGUUCCACAUUCAAAUUAAUUGGUACCAGAAUGAGCCCUGCCCCACUACUGUGUGUGCCUGUUUUUUCCUUCCUCUUUUCAUAUUUUUUACUUGAGCAACUUCAGGGGAAAAACAAAAGAUAAAACAAAGAGACAGCCAAAAUGCUGGAUGCCUACAAAGCUGAGAAUUAAAAUGAAGACAGAAUAUCCCCACAGGCACCAGCAGCGUACAAGACUAGCAUUUAAACCCAGAUACUGAAGUAAGAAGUAAAAUGCCACUGCCACCAGAAGUGCAUAUCCAUAGAUUGAACAAAAGGGCAAAUUCAGAUAGCCGACAUUAAAGCUCCAAGUUGUACUAUUGUUACUCCGUUUCUUUGUCAGGUAGGUGGCAUAGUUUCCAAGGGCAACAAUCACAAAUAUUAGAAACAUUAGCAUCAGCAUAAACCAAACAGAUGUGGAAAUGAAGUUACAGUGGACCAAAUGAUGAAAUGCUUCAAAAUUCUUUCAGGGAUAACAGAGAAGAAAGGGAAAAUUGUUGGUUCCAGCCCAUUAAGGUGGAAAUACGGACAUACCCAGGAUUUAUUGCAUUAAGUAGCACCAUCAAGAACAUGUAUGAAAUGGCCUACAUACAAUAGUAGUAUUAUCAAUAGAAUAAACCAGAGUUUGAAGCAUUAAUUUGGACAAAGUUCCCUGCUCCAAAAUUUGAAGAUUUCAAUUGACAUAGUGCAAGCUUUCAGAAAAUCAAUACAGUUUAUAUUAUGGUUGCUAGAAUACACAAAAAAGUUACAAAAAUUAAGAUUUUGAGCCAUGUAAUUAAUUUUCUAAGCUUUAGCAUCAAAAACUAUUUUAGUGUCACUUUCAUUUGGUGGAGUAAAUUAACUUCUUUGAGUUUCACAUAGUAUUCACUUGUAGAAAUUGGUCAAAGCUGUGUAUAUUUAUUUCCAAAUGAUGAGAAGGCAAAGACAAGAUUCUAAACCAUUAAUAUAAUCUUUUCAUUUUAAUAUAACAAUAUCAUGCACAAGCAACAAUUUUCCCCUUUUCCUAAGAAGAAAAGGAGACCCUAGAAUUCCAGACAAAUAAUUAAAAAUUUAUUUUCAAAAGUCUAUAUCUUUAUUUCCAACUGAACAUAAGGCAAAGUCAAGAUUUUAAACUGUUACUACAACAACAAUUUUUCAUUUUAGAUCUUAGUUCUAUUAGCACAUCCAUAGAGAGACGACAUGGACCUGCAUUAUGAACACAUAAUGAAUAGGAUAUAGAAACCUUCUAUGAAACCGUAUGCAAAUGGUAGGAUAAAUGAGGAACACUUUUAAUCAAUAAUAUCCAUAAGACAACCAAAAUAUCACCAUAAUGUUUUUUUCCUCUUAUUGCCCUAGGGGCUGAUUCCCUGAUAGCUGAAAUGAACUUGUCAUGUAUAAAACAUUUCCACCUCUUCUUCCUCUGGACCUCUGACCAUCCCUUUACUACCCUGGGUGCAUUCUCAAAACCCUCCUCAUCUUCUUUAUUCUCUGCCAUGCCCCAUUCUAUGGCUGCACGACAACCUCUUCAACUCCUUUCAAUCCUCAGCAUUCCUAAUUCACUUGCCAUAAUCCUAAUGCUUAGAACCCAAUCAAAUACAACCAAAGACACUAUCUUCUCAAAUUCAAGCACUUUCCAAUGAUUUCAAGUCAAACCCUGAUUUGAAAUCCAAUAGGUCAUACACUGAUUUAUGCCUCAAAUGUGUGGAACCCUUAUAGGGGUUUUGCCAAAUUAUUGGCUAGCACAGGCUAUAGCCAUACUCUUUUGUUUAUAUGGACCAAAACUCGCACCAUCAUCAUUCCUUUUAUCACAGCCCUGGAUUUGCAAUUAUUCACAAAAAGUAUUCCCAACAAAUAAAUUUGCUCAUUUCUUGUUAACAUGCUCUACAUCAAAUAGAGCAGAUUGUUUAUUUGAUAAAACUGUGAAGGAGUUUGCUCUGUUCUUGUUUCUCUUCCUCUAUUUCUUCUUCAUGCAAUUUUUCAGCAUGGUAUUCAGCCACUUUAAGCUUGUGUAAACUUUUCAGCCACUUUAAGCUUGUGCCACUUUUCAGCUACUUUAAACUUAUGUAGACUUUGUCAAUUUAUUCUUAGUAAUUUUCUCUUCCUCUAUUUCUUCUUCAUGCUAUUUUUGGUAUUCGGCCACUUUAAGCUUGCUUUGGUAUUCAGCCACUUUAAUAUUAUUAUUAUUUAUUUUUCUAACUUCUUUUGUCCACGUCUCAAUUUUUAUCAGAAACUGAUUAUAGAAUAUCAACAUGAACCAUACUGAAAUAUUGGCCAAAAUAUUGAUAUUGAUUUGUCCAAAUGUAUGUUCAGUAAGAUUUCAGAAUUGACACUCAUUGAUAUUGAUGGUAAAUAGGCAUAUCAGCUUAUCCUACGACCAUGUAACAUAUGCUCCGACAAUCUAGCAAGUGGUGGCAUAAUUCAAUUUUUUUUACACAUGGAAGUUGUCAGUUACCUCUCAUUAAUAAGCCAAUCCAUGUAAUACCACAUCAAUGAUCCAUAAAACCAACGAGAAAAAAAGAAAGAAAGAAAUAAAGAAAGUUGAAGUACUCAACUGAUCAUAUUUUUUGAAGUAAUCCGAGGAGCUUUGAUGGCAGCACCAAUUAAACUACUUCCAGUUAUAUAAAUUCCCUUAAAAAUACAACAAUAACGCAACCAUCAAAACAAUGAUCCAACAAAAAAAGAAAAAGCAAAUAUAAUGUAUCAAUUUAACCUAAACCUCCGCUAGUUUGACAAGAAUGAAAAAAAUUUACAGCAUUACAACAUUUUUUUGGGAAAGUUAGGUUUUGGGUUAUUGAUGUUUAUCUACAAAAUGGGAGACGAGAAUGUUACAAAAAUGAAAGAGGUUAGGUUUUACAGCAUUUUGGGUUUCUGAGAUUGAGAAUGGGAGACAGAAGGGGAAAAACAAAAUAUGAGAGAGAUGUUGGCUUUGUGGCUUUUCAAAGGGUUUUUUCUCUUUUGAAUUUUCAAAUGUGGAACGCUUAGCUGGCAAGGUGAAGGGUAUUUUUGGCAUUGAAAUACACAUAAGCUAAAAGUGCAUGAUUCUCUAAAUAUUUUCUAAUUACAUUAUCAAUUUUGAAAUAUGUAAAAUUGGGUUUCUAAAACCAUAUAUUUUCCACAUCAACAGCCCAAAACCUAAUUUUCCCAAAAAGAAAAGAAACACAUGUGAACUAUUUAGCGCAUAAGACUAUCUUUGGUAAGUGUUUUUUAAAGUAAUUUUGAAAAAUUAUUUUUGAGAAUAGUUUUUAAAUUUUUUUUAAAUUUUUGUAUAACAAAAGUAUUUGAAGCAUAAAAUAUUUUUAACUUAUUUUUAAUAUUUUAAAAAUAAUUUUUAUAUCUAGUAUUUUAUUUUUAAUCAUUCCACAUGUUUGUAUUAUUAUUUCUUUAAACAAUCCUUAAAAAUCAAAUGUAACCACUAAAAAAUAAUUAAAAUAUGUUAUUUAAAAACAUUAUAGAUGUUUUUUGUUCCAUGUUUUUUGUUUUGGAAAACAAAAAAUUAUUACAAAAAAAAAAAAUUCCCAAACAAAUCCUAAUAUUUCUAUUGUUAAAUGAAAAAUGUUAUUUGUAAUCGAUCUCCUUAUUAAAUAGUAAAAGUUAUUCAUUCAUAGUUUGCUUAUGUAACGGAUCAAUCUUGAUUGAACUUUGAUAUCAGUAUAACAUCAUAAAAAUAUAAUUUAUAUUUUAUUAAAAUUAAAAAUAUAUAAAAUUUAUAUAUUCUAAUCAUUUGUGACAUUUGUAACUUCUCCCAUGGCACAUAAACCACUUUUGAAAGCAGUAAGUUUUUGUUGGCGUGAGUUGUAUAGUAAAAGGAAAUUAGAGUAAUUAUAGAAAAUGAGAUUUCUUUCCUUCACAGGUUAGCUUAAUUAUAGGAGCAAAAUCUGUAUAACUUAGAAUAGAAAAUAUAUUCUGAUAUAUACUCGUAGGGUUGUGGUAACAGAAUAAGAAUUAUAUCGAAUAGAAAAAGAACUUUUUGACAUGGUAUCAGAGCCUAACCCUAGUACCCACCUACCUUAAACAUUGCAUCUCUUACCUCGCCCACCAUGUCGUCCGAUGCAGAACCCCAGCUUGCUGUGUCUCAAUUCGAUUCCCUCUUCUUUGAAUUCACGACUAAGAUGACUGAAGCUCUUACCAAAGUCCAACCACCAACUCUGACCACCGAACCCUCUACUGCUCUGAUUGGCAUCAAACUAGAUGGAACCAACUAUGCUCUCUGGUCCCAAGUCGAGAUGUAUAUCUCUGGAAAAGACAAGUUGGGAUAUAUCAAUGGUGAUAUACUACAACCACCUUCGACGGAUCCAACAUUUCGAAAAUGGCGCACUGACAACGCCAUUGUCAAAAGUUGGUUGAUCAACUCCAUGGAUCCCUCUUUGAUAGGGAAUUUCAUUCGGUUUCCUACAGCUAAGUUGGUGUGGGAUUCCAUUGCUACCACUUACUUUGAUGGUAGUGACAAUUCUCAAGUCUAUGAUCUUCGACGUCGUGUGACGCAGCUUAAACAGGCUGGAGGCUCCCUUGAGAAAUACUACAAUGACCUCCAAGGGUUGUGGCGUGAGAUUGACUUCCGCUGCCCUAAUCCUAUGGAGUGUGCAAUUGAUAUUCACAACUAUAAUCUUCUUCUUCAAGAAGACAGAGUGUAUGUUUUCUUGAAUGGCCUGGAUGAUCAACUAGAUAAGAUUCGGGGUGACGUGUUGCAGCUUCGUCCAUUCCCUACUGUGGAGCAAGCGUAUGCCCACGUUCGCCGCGAAGCUCUCCAUCAAUCUGUUAUGAUCACUGGCAGUGCAGAUGAGGUUUCUGGCGCUGUUCUCGCAACCAAAGGACUCAAACUUGGUUCCUCUGUCCAACCUCCUACUGUGCACAAUGGCAGGCCUAAGUCUCGUACAUCUUCAGAGGGCUUGAAGUGCUCUCAUUGUGGCAAUUCGAAAAACACUUGUGACACCUGUUUUAAACUGCAUGGGUAUCCAGAUUGGUGGAAUGAUCUCCGGGCUAAGAAGGGUCGUGACGCGGGCACUAAGGAUGAAGGCUCCGCUACAGCAGUUGUGGCUAUUGCCGAACCUCAACUCUCAUUCAUACCAUAGAUGACAAUGCCGAACUCAGGUAACUGUGGUUAUGCUUGUUAUACUUCGACUAAUGAUGGUUACCGUGGUGCAUGGCUAUUGGAUUCUGGUGCAACUAACCAUAUGACGUUUACUGCUAUGGAUUUCACCAUGACUUCCCUACCAUGACGUACUAAUAUCACCAAUGCUAAUGGUGUUAUCUCCCCUGUCACUGGCACGGGCACUGUGACCUUAUCCCCUAAGUUGCAGCUGCAUAAUACUUUGCUUGUUCCAUCCUUAUCUCAUAAGCUUCUCUCCGUGAGCCAAGUGACCUCUGAUCUAAAUUGCAUUGUGCUAACAUAUCCUACUUUCUGUUUUCUCUAGGACAUUCUAACGAAAGAGAUUAUUGGGCGUGGUACUAAGAGGGGGGGACUCUACUAUAUGGAAGACCUGAGUGUGGGCCGAGCACAUCACACGCAACAUACUCUUGAUGUCAAAGAAAAGGAACUUUGGCUUUGGCACCGUCGGUUAGGACAUCCGUCCUUCACCUAUAUGAAACAUUUGUUUCCAGAUUUGUUUUCUCAGUUGAAAAAUUUUGAUUUUCAAUGUGAAACUUGCAUAUUGGCCAAAAGUCAUAGGGCUUCUUUUCCAUUAUAUUUGAAUAAAAAGGAUACUCCAUUUGCUUUGAUCCACUCGGAUGUGUGGGGACCUUCCCCAAUUACUACUGUCAACGACUUCAAAUGGUUUGUGUUGUUUGUUGAUGAUUGUACCCGCAUGACUUGGCUUUAUUUGCUCAAACAUAAAGAUGAAGUACUAGGAGUUUUUAAAUCAUGUCAUGCUAUGGUGCAAACACAAUUUUCUGCUAAGGUUCAAGUUCUUCGAUCGGAUAAUGGUGGUGAAUAUGUCAAUCACUAAUUUCGUGAAUACUUUCAACAACAUGGUAUUAUUCAUGAGACUUCAUGCCCCCAAACGCCUCAACAAAAUGGCAUUGUUGAGAGAAAAAAUAGACAUGUUCUUGAAACCGCUCGUGCUCUUUUAGUUGGUGCCCAUGCUCCUACUCGUUUUUGGGCUGACGCCGUUACCACUGCAGUUCAUUUGCUCAACCGAAUGCCCUCUAAGGUGUUGGACUUCCAAACCCCCUUACAAGCCCUCUCGGGCUAUACAGCUGUGCCUGCAAUCUUGAUGCUUCCCCCAUGUGUAUUUGGGUGUGUAGCAUAUGUCCAUCUCCAUAAAAACCAGCGGACUAAGUUAGACCCCUGUGCACGUCGCUGCUUAUUUUUGGGCUAUGCUUUUCACCAAAAAGGAUAUAGAUGCUAUGAUCUCACUUCUGGUUGCAUGUAUAUUACUAUGGAUGUCACCUUCGUGGAAACCGAAACAUUUUUUCCAUCUAAUUCUCCUUUUCAGGGGGAGACUAGAUAGGAAGAGCAGAAUUGGACAGAAUUAAAUUGGCCGAGCAUAUCUGAAAUACAUGUGGAACUGAGGCAACCAGAACACGUUUCUCUAGCUAUUGAACAUCAUGAAGAUGAUCACAAAGCACAUGUUACUUCCCCCUCUACAGUACCCGAAAACCCAACUCCUGAGAAUGAUCCUGAGGUAAGCUCUUUUAACACAAAUAUCUUGGCACCUCCUAUUGGUUAUGUGUUACCUAACAGGCACAAUCGUGGCAAGCCUCCAAGCCGCUACUCACCAGACAUUGAAGGAAGAAGAUCAAGAUAUCCUAUCGCCAAUUAUGUAUCCACAAAGAAGUUGAAUGAACCCCUCAAGACAUUUGUGCAUAACAUUUCCGGGUGUCACGUUCCAACAAGGGUGGAGGAAGCCUUGGGAGACCCGAAGUGGACUCAGGCAAUCAAAGAUGAAAUGGAGGCACUAAUGAAGAACAAGACAUGGAAUCUAGUGCCAUUACCGGAAGGAAAAAAAAUAGUGGGGUGCAAGUGGGUGUUUUCCAUUAAACACAAAGCUGACGGAUCUAUAGAAAGAUACAAGGCAAGACUUGUGGCAAAAGGGUAUACUCAAACAUAUGGUAUAAACUAUCAAGAUACUUUCUCACCAGUAGCUAAAUUAAAUACUGUUAGAGUGUUGAUAUCUCUUGUAGCAAAUUUAAAUUGGCCACUACAUCAGUUUGAUGUGAAAAAUGAUUUCCUUCAUGGCGGGCUUGAAGAAGAAGUUUAUAUGGACAUCCCUCCAGGCUACUUAGUGACCACGGGAACUAAUGAGGUGUGUAAGUUGCAACGAGCCUUGUAUGGGUUAAAACAAUCGCCACGAGCAUGGUUCGGGCGAUUCAGCCUGGCAAUGAAGAAAUAUGGUUUCCAACAGAGCAAUGCAGACCACACAUUGUUUCUAAAAAAACAGCAAGGAAAAGUCACAGCUCUUAUUGUCUAUGUCGAUGAUAUGGUCAUUACAGGAGAUGAUAUUGAAGAAAUCUCACGGCUCCAAGGGCAGUUGGCUAGUGAAUUCGAAAUGAAGAAUCUAGGUGGGCUCAAGUAUUUCCUUGGGAUAGAGGUUGCCAGAUCAACCCAAGGUAUAUUUUUAUCCUAAAGAAAAUAUGUUCUAGAUUUAUUAUCUGAAGUUGGAUUGUUGGAGUGCAAACUAGUGGAUACCCCAAUUGUCCAAAAUCAUAAACUUGGGAUAUAUCCAAAUUAGAAACCAACUAACAAAGGAAGAUAUCAACGGUUAGUUGGCAAACUCAUUUAUCUCUCUCAUACUCGUCCAAAUAUUGCGUAUGCUGUAAGUGUAGUAAGUCAAUUUAUGCAUUGUCCAAGUGAAGAACACAUGGAGGCUGUAAUUCGGAUACUAAGGUACUUGAAGUCUUCUCCAGGAAAAGGGCUCAUGUUUUCUAAGAAUGAUCAUGUGAGAGUUGAUGGCUAUACAGACACAGAUUGGGCUGGGAACAUCUCUGAUAGGAAGUCGACAUCAGGGUAUUUCACAUUUGUAGGUGGAAACCUUGUGACAUGGAGAAGUAAGAAACAAAAGGUGGUGGCACUCUCUAGUGCAGAGGCAGAAUUUCGUGGGAUGGCUAAGGGUUUGUGUGAGCUUCUUUGGCUGAAAAGACUACUAACCAAGAUCGGUUUUGCUCCCAAGUCUGAAAUGAAUCUCUUUUGUGACAAUAAAGCAGCUAUAGACAUUUCACACAAUCUGGUUCAACAUGAUCGAACAAAGCAUGUAGAGGUUGAUCGACACUUCAUCAAAUAUAACCUAGAGACUAAUACAAUCUGGUUUCUAUUUUUCAAAUCUGAGGACCAACUUGCAGAUAUACUCACCAAAGUCGUGUCAAGCAAGGAUUUCCACAACUCACUGAUCAAGUUGCGCAUGAAGGAUCCGUAUGCAUCAACUUGAGGGGGAGUGUUGGCGUGAGUUGUAUAGUAAAAGGAAAUUAGAGUAAUUAUAGAAAAUGGGAUUUCUUUCCUUCACAGGUUAGCUUAAUUAUAAGAGCAAAAUCUGUAUAGCUUAGAAUAGAAAAUAUAUUCUGAUAUAUACUCGUAGGGUUGUGGUAACUGAAUAAGAAUUAUAUUGAAUAGAAAAAGAACUUUUUGACAGUUUUAUCAUGUUGGUUAAUAAAUCAAUAAAGCAAUUUAUGCUCAAUACUAAAAAUCUAUUUUAUAAUGAUUUUAGGAAGUAUUUUUGAACAAAAAAAGUGUUUUUCUUUCACUACUACAAAAAUAGUUUAUGGUGUCACUAUUUACGGUGUCACUUUUAAAAUAAUGACACCAUAGGGUUUAUAAUUAAUAAAGGUGACACAUCAUAUAAAAAAUCUUCAAUUGAGGUAGUUAGAUGAUAUUAAUUUUAUAUUUAUAGUGUCAUUUUUUGGGAAGUGACAUCAUAUAAAAUAAAUUUUUUUAAGUAUUAUAACUUAAUGAGCCCACUUUUAGAAUUAAUAAUGAUGGAUACUAUAUAAAAAUCCCAUUGUUUCCAUAUCUCACUCACAAUCCAAAAAAUCUCAAUAUAUAAAUCCUAUAUAUAAAAUCAUGAUCUUCUUCAACCUUUUCUCUCACCCAUCCAUAGUCAACACGCUCAAAACCGACAUUCUUCACUUUGUGGACUCCCAGGUAACCCAAAAUCUCUUGGAUCUAUCAUUUUUUUUUCUUUUAUUAAUGCCAUUAUAUUAAUUGUUUCAACAUCUUUGUAUUAUGGUUUUUGUGAAUUGUGUUUUCUUGAGUUGUAGGGAAGAAAAAUUUAGGUUUAAUCUUCUAGCAUGGAAGAAAAAACUAUAGAUUAAUUGAUUUUUUUAAUCUAAACCAAACACAUGAUCAAGUCCUUAAAAAAAAAGUGAAAAACAGGAAAAAAUGAAUGAUUUUUAAUAUGUAUUUGUGUGAGAAUGACAGGUACAAAUUUUUUUUAAGAUAUACUAUCACAUAAUCUUCAUCCUUUCUAAAAAACGAGAGAGGAAAAAAAAAGAAUGAUUUUUCUGUUUGUAUCUAAGUGGGAAUGAGAUAUAGAAUUUCGUUGAGAGUAUCCAACCCCAAAAGGACCAAUCCGAGAAGGCAUGUGUGGUAUUGACGGGAGAUGAUAAGAUGGAAAUCAUAACCAUAGCCAUGUUCUCUCUGUGUCUUUCUAUCCUCUUCAAUUAAUUCAUGGGCAUAGAUAUUUUAUUUAGUUUUUAUAUUUAGUUUAUUUAUAGUUUAUUUAGUUUCUAAAAUCCAAUUAGUUAGAUAUUUUUUUUAUUUUGUUUUUAUAUUUAAGUAUUUGAGUUUUGGAAAGUUUUUAUAUUUUGUUAAUAGAAAUAGAAAUUUUUAUAUUUUUUAUUAUUAGGAAUUUCUAUUUUGUUAAAUUGUAAGUAUCUAUCUCAAUAAGAGAUUAUUAAUAUUCAAAUGAAAGUGAUGAAAGAGAGUAAACAUUUUAAUGCUCAAUUAUAUUUUAAUGUUAUUUUUUUUUUUUACAUAAGGGUUUAUUUAUGUUUUCAAUUUUGAAGUUCCCUUUCCAAGUCCAGCAACAAAAGUAGUGUCCAACCUUAAAAUGGGCAUGUGUGGUAUUGACGGGAGAUGAUAAGAUGGAAAUCAUAACCAUAGCCAUGUUCUCUCUGUGUCUUUCUAUCAUUUUCAAUUAAUUCAUGGGCAUAGAUAUUUUAUUUAGUUUUUAUAUUUAGUUUAUUUAUAGUUUAUCUAGUUUCUAAAAUCCAAUUAGCUAGAUAUUUUAUUUGAUUUGAUUUUUAUAUUUAAGUAGUUGAGUUUUGGAAAGUUUUUAUAUUUUGUUAAUAGAAAUAGAAAUUUUAUAUUUUUUAUUAUUAGGAAAUUUUAUUUUGGAAAAUUGUAAGUAUCUAUCUCAAUAAGAGAUUAUUAAUAUUCAAAUGAAAGUGAUGAAAGAGAGUAAAUAUUUUAAUGCUCAAUUAUAUUUUAAUGUUAUUUUUUUUUACAUAAGGGUUUAUUUAUGUUUUCAAUUUUGAAGUUCCCUUUCCAAGUCCAGCAACAAAAGUAGUGUCCAACCUUAAAAUGGGCAUGUGUGGUAUUAACAGGAAAUUAUAAGAUGGAAAUCAUAACCAUAGCCAUGUUCUCUCUGUGUCUUUCUAUCCUCUUCAAUUAAUUCAUGGGCCUAGAUAUUUUAUUUAGUUUUUAUAUUUAGUUUAUUUAUAGUUUAUUUAGUUUCUAAAAUCCAAUUAGCUAGAUAUUUUAUUUGAUUUUGUUUUUAUAUUUAAGUAGUUGAGUUUUGGAAAGUUUUUAUAUUUUGUUAAUAGAAAUAGAUAUGAGGACUUAAAGGGUUUAUAUUUAGGUAGUGCUUGAGCCAAGGAAAAUGAUAGUCCACUAUCUUGACCCUAUGCAUCACAAACCAUGUGAGGACUUAAAAGAUAUCAUAAAUAUGUAAGUUCUUCCUAUUAUUUUUCAUAGUAUUAUUUUUAAAUAAAAAAAAAUACAUUCACCUCAAACACAUUUUAUUUUAUUUUAUAUAUAUUAAAACAUAUAACAUUUACCUAUUUUAAAAAUGUACCCAUUGAACUUAUUUACAUAGGGCUCUUCGAAUAUCUGCAAAGAAAACAUCUAAGAGGGAGCCAUCUUAGCAACUAAUGCAGGUGACAUCCAAAAAUUUUUCUUUACACAUUAGCUUAUGCAUUUGCACCAUUUAUAUAUGUGAGUACUAAUGUUAUUUUAUAAUUGAUCGAUUAGUGUCCAAGACAAGAAGGAGGGUUCGAAUAUGGCUACUUUGUUAUGAGAUUCAUUAAAGAGAUAAUUUUUUAUCCUACAAUUAUUGCUUCAAAGGUAUUACUUUUUUAAUGAAUUGUACAUAGUUUUAGGCUUCCAAAUGUUAUGCGUUUUAAUGUUAUUUUCUUAUUUGAUUUCAGUUUGGUAAUAAAAAAAACAUAUUCUCAAGUAGAAUUCGAUGAAAUUAGAGGAGAAUGGGCUACUUUUGUGCUACAACUAAUCAUGAAUCAUGUUGAUGCAUCAUGAUCACCAUGCAUGGUGAGUCCCUUAGCUACUACAUGAAUUUUUCCAUAGGUAUUGUAUAGUAAUGCUUAUUCUUUGAAUAAUGUUUCUAUUUGAAAAAAAAAAUUAAUUCUUAGAUUUGUUCAUUUAUGAUAACAUAAAUCCAUGUUUAUUUUCUUCAAUAAAAAUCUCUAAAACUCAUUAAAUUUUGAAAUACAGGUAUACACUCUUGGGAGGGUGAAAUGGAGAAUAAAAAGAAAGAAGGCAACAAGAUUUUGGGUUUUUAAAUGCAACUCUUAUGUCAUACGUUGUAGGACAUAAACGUUACUUUAAUUGCAACUGAGAAAUUUAUAUUUUUAGAUGGGACUUCUAUGUCAUUUUAUGGUUAGCCGAUUUUAUGCUUAUGAAAUGGAGGUAUACAUGAAUCUUGGGAUCUUUAACAUUUCUAAAUCAUGUUUUGGUAUGCAUUCACUCUUCUUUUUUAGUUUUGAUGGGUUUGAUAUGUUGGACGUACUAUCCUUUUGUGAACCUUUGAUAUACAAAUAUUAUUAGAUGAUCAAUGUAUUAUGAGUUAUUCCAUAAACAUUACAGAAAAAUGAGUUAAAUAUAAUAUGAUUGUUAUAUUUAUGGACAAAAUAUAAACAGGUUAAUCUUAUUAAUUCAUAAGCAUUACAAAAAUCAACAACUAAAACCAAUCAUAUAUUCCACAAUAAUUUACAAUGAUGUGAUACCAUAACUCAAAGGUGAUGCAUUUAAUGUGACAUCAUAACUCAAAGAUGAUGUAUUUAAUGUGACACUCUAUCAUCACUAGAAAUAUAUGGUGUCACUUCUGAAUGGGUCACUAUUUAUCUACUUUGGUGUCACUUCCAAAUACGUCACCAAUUGGUACCCUCUAUGGUGUCAGUGGAGAAGGUGACGCUAUGUUGUAGUGACACCUUAUGUUUAUGGUGACUCGUUAUAAAUGUCACCAUAUACCUUUUUCCUUGUAGUGUUUUAAAAAAAUAUAUUUAAUAAAAUUUAGGAAACACUUUUUUUUUUUUUAAAUCACUUAUAAUAUUAAAAAGUCAUUUAUAAUGUAUUAUGAAAAACCACUUUAUAAGUAGUCCUCCUAUUUGAUAGGAAAGUACUUCAUCUAAUAACAGCAGGUUGCACCAAGAACACAAAUGAAUGCUAUUGCUCUUAGCAUAUUAGUCCGACAUAAAUGUCACAAGUGCAUUUAUUACAAAGUGGCAUAUUAACUUGGUCUUCUUUAAAGGCAACUCCCUUAAGAAAAAAUGACUUUUCUUUAUUUUCUUCAUGGUAAUAUAAUGUAAUAGGAGACGCUUGAGAUCUGUAGAUCAAAAGCAAGAUUUUUAAAUCAAAGAACAUGGUGACUCAUUAAUGCAACAUUUGACAACUGAGCAUGGAACAUUAAUUGUUUAUGUAUAAACAAACAAUGUGACAAUUCAUAAACUAAACUUCAAAUAUUUUAAAAAUAAUGCCCAAACAUAGUGUUGUUUACUUGUCGCAAAAGGGAUCAAUUAGUCCACUAGCAAAAAAUUAGAAAACAUAUUUCAUCUUCAAGAUAGAGUAUGAUUGAGAACCUGAAAAGGUGCAUGCCGCUUCAUGCACUCGUUGAGGGUAUGUAAAUCCUAAAAUUUGUCCAAAUUUUAUUUUUACAUUGAUAUUGAACUCAAUUUUAUCAUUAGAUUUAAAUCUCGAUUAUAUUUGAAUUGUUUAGCCCACUUACAUUCUUUAAUUCUUAGUUUUUAUUUUUUUAUAAAUUUUUUAUUUUUAUUUUUACUUAUUAUUAUUAUUAUUAUUAUUAAGUUUUUUUAUUUUUUUAUUUUUUCUUCAUUUUUUCUUUAUUUUCUCUCUCCUCUCUCUUCCUACCUUUCCCAACCACUACACCCACUCUCUCUCUCCUCCCAUACCCCCAUUCCUACGCCAUACUCAUAUCUCCUCUAUUUAUUUUAUUUUAUUAUAUUUUUCUUUUUCCUUUUUUUUUUUCUUUUUCAUCCCCAUUCUUCUUCAUCUUUUUCUCCCCCUAACACCCUUUCCUAACGGCCACACGCUCCCUCCCCUUCUCACUUCUUCCCCCAUUUUUUAUUUUUUUUCUUCUCCUCCCAUCCAUUUUUCUUCCAAUCUUUUUCCCUCCAUUUUUUUUCUUUCUCUUCCUCCACCAUACUCGACUUCUAGAGAGAUCCAAACCCGAGUUCCUUUCUUUCUCCCCUUUUAUCUCAUUUUCUUCCUCUCAUUCCCCAUUUUUUUCAAAUUUAUUUUCUUUUCUUUAUUUUAUUAUUAUUAUUGUUUUCCCAAAAACCCAUUGACCCUCACUAUCGCCGGUAAGAUCACCAGCUAGUCACCACUAACGAGCUACUGCCGAUCAUUGACCCUUUCCUCUUUUCUAUCAUUCCAUUGCUUUCCCAUCACACCCAUUUUCCAUCAUCAUCAUUAUUAUUAUUCUUUAUUUUUCGUGAUUUGAUUUUAAUAGUAAUUUUUGUUUGUGAGUUUUGAAUUAUUAAAUUAAAAUGAAAUUUGGACUAUUUUUGUUUUUGCAUGGGCCUAUUCUGCAAUUCUAUUGGCUGAGUAUGAAUUUAUGACACGUGGAGCAUGGAAUUUCAUGGAAGAAAGUGAGAAUAAAAAAGUUGUAUGAAGACAUUGAGCUUGUUUUAAACUUAUUUGGGUACACGUUUUAUUUCCCAUUACUAUUUGGUUUUAUUUUUGUUGGCUUUUGUAAAUAUUUAUUUAUAUAUAUUUACUUGUAUACAGAAUUGGAUAUCGAAUAAAUAAAAAAUUUUGUUUAAAUAAGAGGAAUAAUUUAGUAAAUAUGUUUUAAUAAAAUAAUAAUUUUAAAUAUUCUUCUUAAUAAAAUAAAGUCUUUUUAUUAAUAAAAAAUCAAAAAAAUCCAAAAAAUAAAUAACUAUUUUUUUGAAAAUUAAAUACAAAUGAAAUUGAAUCAAAUCAUUAAUUGAAAAUAAAUUGAAGUCACUAAUUCAAAAUUGGUUUUUAUAAAAUCAUUUGAAAUUUCUUGAAAACUAAUUAUUUUAAAUAUAUUUUUUCUAAUUAGUUCAAUAAAUCAAUUUGCAUAUUUCUAUUGUCAUUUGUUUUGUACAUUCUUAUAAUUUUAUUUUGUCAUUAUCUUUGUGUAUAUUGUUUCAUUCCUUAAAUUUUGGUGUCCAUGAUUAAUUAAUUAAUUGUCAUAAUUUCCUUAAUUCGUUUAGUAGAGACCGUAUGUAUAUGGGCUUAGAGGGGUGUUAUGGCUCACCACCAUACCUUCCCAAUUAAUAACUUGACCCUCGGAUCUAGAUUCAAUUUUUGUAGAUGUCUUUUCCAAAUAAGAAGUGACACAAGGUUUUCUUUCUUAUUUUGUUUUCUCUUUUAAAAAAAUAAUAAAACAAAAAUAAGUGGCGACUCCAAGUCUUUUUCAAAAAAUCAAAUUUUCACCAAAUUAAAAGCGAGUAUCAUCAUCAAGUGGGAACGCAUGUGAAAAACGUGGGUCCACAAGGUGUUAUAUGUUGAGGGUGUUAUACCUUAAGGAUUCCACAAGUCAUACUACUUGUAGAGAUGCAUUCAUUGGCAAAGCCAAGGUAAUUGCUUGCUUUCACCUCAGGUUUCUCCAUGAACUCAAGAAGAAUGGUAGAAGAUGAUACUAGUAGCCAUAGCACAAUCACUGAGUAUGAGUUGGAAGAUUAAUGAUUAAAAUAACUCAUGACACAAAAGGAGAAGAGAUUAGCGAAGCUCUAAGAUUGAUGAACAAAGAACUCCAAAGAACUCCUAAAUUUAUAGAAACUCAAUUAGAUAGGAAGGUGAGGGAAGGCAUGACCAAAGCAAUCAAUUUUCUAAUUGAUUAAAUUGAAAAUUUUCAAACAACUAGUUAAGUAAACUUGUUAAGGUAUUGAAUUCAAAUGUUUAAACUAAUUAGAGGAUUAAUCGAUUCUCAAAUAUUUUUAAUUAAACAUGUACAUAAAUGGGAGAAGAGGGUUCCUUAUGUUGUGAUAAAUGUUAAUUUAUGUAAUCUUAACUUGAUUUUUACUACUAUAAGUCUAGUAUGUGUCUUGUUAAUGUAGUUGAGGGGUUGUUAUGUCUCUUUUAGUUUUUUUAUAAAUAGGUUUAUUUAAAUUUGAUAUAAUUUUAAGUGUAUCCUUUAUUUCUUCUAUUCUCUCUCUCUCUUUCUCUCUCUAGCAACCAAAGAGGCUCCUCAAGAGCAAAUCUCCACUAAUGUAUAGUUCGUCUCAAUUGAUCUCUAGAGAUAAGGAGUAAGGAAGAUGGAGAAUUCACUUGAGGGAGUAUAGUUUAGUGGUAGAAUCCCAAACAAACACUAUGUUUUGAGUUUUAGAUGUGAUGAUUAAAUUCUUUACGUAGUUUUUCCCAAUUGAGAUACAAUCAAUGUUUAACUUGGUUUCACUGAUGACUAUUAAUAACUUGAUAAUUAGAGAACUCACUUUGAUUGAUGGUAUCAAAAUUGAGAAGACUUUCAAAGAUGAAUCCUGUGUUAAAAUGGUGGAGCAAAAAAAUAAAGGAUUAAGUUAAUUCAAAUAGACUUUUGAGAUCUAAAGUUUAAUUUCUAAAUUCAAUUUCCAUAUAUAUCCCAAUCAAUUUUUAGAUCUUAUUUAAUUUUGGAUUGACUUUUAAUCAUUAAAGAAAAGAAAAGAUCUACCUUCUAUUAGUGAAUUUAAAGUCCAAUUGUGAAUUGCUCUAGACCUUUCUCUUCUAGUUGUUAUUUUCAUUUGUGAAACUAUUUUUUUAAAAAAACCAAUAUGUGUUCAAAACCAUUUUGAUUUAAAAUCCCUAAUAAAAUAGAAUGAGCUUUUGUAGAAAAUUGGUAGAUAAUUAAUCACUUAAUCUAAUUAAACAACUUAACAUAUUAGUACUGCUCCGAUGAUAAUAUGUCUCACUAUGUAACAUAAUAUCUUUCUCUCUUAUUUUUCUUGACCAAUGAUGUUAUAAAUAACUACAAUUUCACUUUUAUUUUUAACCUAAAGAGUGUAAGUUUAUGCACCAUCUUCAUCUUUGAGAUGGACUUCUACAGAUAAAUAGCCUAUAGCAUGUAUGUCUCAUUGUUACCUAUAUGAAUCUACUUUUUGGGAUCUCUACUAAUGUAGGUUUGGUUACUUCGGACUUGACUUUUAUAAUAGGUGUAAGUCCCAUGCAUCCUCCUUGAUUUUUUUCAACUAGUUUCUUAUUUACUUAUUUAGUAAGAGGAUCAACCAUAGUUUAACUUUGACUUCACAAAACAAAAGAAUAUGACCUUUGUCUCAAGCAACUAUUGAAAAUGUUGUGCCUUAAGCAUAUAUGCAGUAAAUAUUUUACAUUUAGCCUUAAAUAUUGCAACUUAGAUAUUACAAUACAUACACAGUCUUAGCCUUGUCCAUAAUGAUAAAUGCCAAAUGGUUUCAAAGCUACAUAGACUCAAAACUUACCUUAUCUCGUCUAAAUUAUAGAUCUAGUUGACACCAUUUUAUCUUUCAAGUACAUUUGGAAAUCCAUUACAUAACACAAACUAUGGUCAAUGGUGCCCCUCUAGCUAGCAAUCAGAGUAUAACAUUGUUUUCACCAUAAUAUACAUGUAUAUUGAUUCAUGUAUUACAUGAUAUUAUUAAUUUUCGAACAAGCCUAGCAGGCUUUUGAAUUCAUGUAAUUUUUUAUACAACUGCUCUUGAUCAAGGGUUGCUUGAUCACUUCUAUCAUGGUGUGUUGUUUAGUUAUUGGAAAAAUGUGUGAGAUAAAAAAGAAACAGGAAGAAUAGCCCACAAAAUUUACAUGCUUUAGAUACCAAUAUGAAACCUACAUAAAUGAGACAACAUAUAGGAUUGAUUGUUAAUCAUUGUGAAGGGAAUAUUACAAUAGCCUAAUAUUAGUACAAAUGUCUUUGUAUGGCAUUUGUGGAUGUCAACUUCAAUGAUAGAAAAGUAAAGUUGACAAUCACUCCUCAAAUUACUUUCCAACUUCCUCUUCUGGAACCACCAACACUCUCUUCAAGUUGGUGCAAAAUAUCGAUGGAGCCCAACUGCAAGAGGAGACUUAAAUAGCCACUUGGAUAAUUGGGAAUCGUGUAUAUUACAACAAGUAAUCAAUUGAUUUUUGUAAACAAAUGGGUUUUCUUAACUCUAUUUACUGACUUUUAUUUCUUUUAUUUUAAUUAUUGUAAAUGAAUUUUUUUAAUCUAUUUAUAAAAAUACCAUUGUAGUUUUUUAAUAUCCUUUUAUUUUUUAUAAUGAUGUGGCAUUUUUAAUUGCUAAGUUAUGUAAAUUUUUUUUAAAAUUUUUUAAUACAAUAUGUUUAAUUUUUUAUAGGGUAUUAAGACAAUAAAUAAAUGAUAUUUAAUAAUUAAAAUACUAGUCAUAUUUAUUUUGACAUAUUAGAAUGUAUAUUGUCUUUCUUAUCAUGCAAUAUUGGAGCUAAAACCUCUAAUUUUACAAAUUUUUAAUUAAAUAAUAGUAAUAAUAAUUUAAAAAAACCAUUAAAGUAGGCCAUAAUACCAAUAUAUUAUAUUUUGAUGUAUUGAAAUAACAUCACUUAGAUAUUUUAUAGUUAAUUAAUAAAAGUAAUCAUUAAAUAUUUUAUGUUUAAAUUAUUAAAUAUUUAAUAAUACAAAAAUGUUAAUUUCUUUACCAAUAACAUAAAAAUACAAAAAUAACAAUACUCCAAUUGACAUCUACAAUACAAAAAAUGAGUAAUUAAUAAAGCACUAUAAAGACUUGAAAAUCUAAUUAAGAGUUGAUUUGACAAUGAUUUUAAAAGGAGUUUUUAGCUUAAAAAGUAUUUUUGAAAAAAAAUAUUAGGUGUUUAGCAAAAUUUUAAAAAUUUGUAAAAUUACUUAUAAUGUUGAAAAAUCACUUAUAAUGAUUUUUGGAAAAAUACUUUAUAAAUGAUUCUUCUAAAAGCACUUUUAGAUAACUCUCAACUUGAGGGAAGUCCAAUUUUGGUGAGAUUCCAAAUUUGGUAGUACGGCGUGACUCCAAUUUGAAGACCAAGGUAUAACACAAUUGGAGUUGGUCAUGAGGAGUAAAUAACUUGUAAUAUUUGAUACGACUGCACUUUGCAAUAAUUUUUUGUCAUAGUGAAAUUAUAUCCUAAUUGUGUUUUUUCACCUCACGAGAAAGUUUUUUUAUGUAAACUCGAUGUGUCAAUUCUUUAUGUGUGCUUAAUUCAUUUUUGUGCACAUCUCUAUAUAUGAUAAAUUAUAUAUAAAUUAAUCAAUCUUAGUAAACUGAGUUCAACCUCAAAGAAACAAAUUAAUUUUGUGUACAACACUUGAACAAGAUCCUGAAAUAUUUAAAAGGUAUAUCCCACACUACUCACUCUAACAAAUGUAUGUGAUAAGGUUUUGUUAGAGUAAACCGUCGAAAGCAUGACAUGAUGUAAUAUAAUAAGAUCCUUAACUGCAUUAUUUAUCAUCUGAGCAUUCACUAUUGUAUCACUUUUGUUGUUCAUGAUUUGGGUGCAUUGGGAGUUACAUAAAAGAUCCUUGUCAUAGGUUCCUUGAAAGAUGAUAAGUUGUUCCUAGUUGAUUCAUGGAAUUAAGUAAUCCAUUAAAGAUUGUGGUGUACUACCUCUUAAUUUGAGAGAACUUUCUUGGUUAUUUUUUUAGCUUUUUAUGAGGUAGAGUAUGUUAGUUCAUAAAAAAUAGGAGGAUUGGAGACUCAAGGAUUACAGAGGUAAUCUUGAGAGGGUAAAUAUGAGUUAAAUCCCAUAUGGGGCUGCUUUGCAUGAAAGAUCUCAUGGUGCGUGAGUGACAACCCUUUUUUAAUGGUGGAGAUGACGAUUGUUUCUCAGUGAAAUUAUACAACUCCAAAAAUUGUUGUGUUGUCUUGCAUCUCAACCUCGAAAGUGUCAGAGAUCAAAUGGAAAUUAGAAUGUGAACACCCACCCCUUUCUCUCCCAACCCCCCCAAAAGUUGCAAUCGUGGGGAUGCUCUCCAAACUGAUGGUGAAUCCCUCUCAAAGAAACGUAGAAUGACCCUCUCAAAACCUACAAAAUUUCCUCCAAAAUCGUGCUAUCUAAAAUCUCUAAAUCCCAGCCUGAACGUCUCAAAAAAAAAAAAAAAAACAAAACUAUAGACCCCUUAAAAAUCAAUAAACACGUUCUCCAUAACACAGACUAAUUUGUUUUUUUUUUUUUUUUUUUUUUAAAAAUGGUCUGACAACUCCCAAAAUGCAACUACGUCUUCUCUCAAAAACCUCCCAAAAGCUCCCUGUUGAUUCUUUCUCAAUUCUCCCCCCAAAAGCUCCCUGUUGGAAAUUCUUUCAAAUCCACACUUAAAACCCCUCUUUUGGACGCUGCUAAAUUUUUUUUAAAAGAACCUCCUAAUCCUUUAUUCGAAUGCUGCUCAAAAUCCUUCAUUUCCUAUAAAGAAACACUACUUAAAAUCCUUCGUUUCCUAUCUCUCAAAAUCCUUCCUUUCAUAUAAAAAAUGCUACUCAAAAUCCUUCAUUUCCAAUAAAAAAAAUGCUGCUAACACUUUCCUUCCUUUCCUUUCAAAUCUAAAUAUGUUUUUCUCUAGGUUAAAGGUUCCUCUCUUCUUCCCAAAAUACAACCUCUUUCUUUUCCAAAACACGUUGAAUCCUCAAACCAACCUGAUUCCUAUCCAAAAAUGUAUUGAAAAAUAUCCCCAAACUGUGUUCUGAAUAUCACCAAAAAACGUGGCCUAAAUCAUUCUAAAAAAAAAACCUCUAAUUUUUUUCUCCCCUAAAAGUGUCCAUAUACACUCCCUUAACUAGCCUAAUUCCUUUCCAUGAUCAUUCCAUUUCCAAAACAAAAAAUAAGUAGAUAAAGAAAUUUAAAAAAAAAAACAAACAAACAAAGGCAUUUUAGACAAAGAGGUAAAAAGCAUGCACAUGUCAUGCAAUUACGACAUGUCAUGCACAUGACAUGCAAUGCCAUUGAUCGAUCUUCUCUGUUUUCCAAAAUACUAAGCCUUUUUAUGUAGCAACUCUAAUCAAGAAAAACUAGAGAAAGAGUCACUACGACUUUUGUUGUACUUUGGGUAUCAUUCUUAAGGAUUAGUUUAUGGAAUUUGUCAAUACUAUGAUAAAUGAAUCACUUUUAUUUGAAUCCUAAAGUGAAAAAUAAUAUCUGAAUGAAAUGAAACUAAGCAAGAGAACUAAAUUAACAAAAAAAUGAAUAUUUGAUUUUUAAUUCAAUUGAUUCAAAUAUGGGGCUUUCCACAAUCCAACUUAAGGUAUAAAAAUAGAGAGAAUAAGGGUUUCUUAAGUAGAGUGAUCUUAAGGUUUUGGUAUCUUUGGUCGCUUGUAAUCAACUUGAGCUCUAUAACUCAAAAUUGCAUCUCAAACCUAAAUUUUUCCUUUUAAAAAAAUUUCCUAAAACCAUCAAAUUAAUGAGAUUGAUUAUUGGUUUAAGGAUUAGUUUUUUUAACCCUUCUUAUUCCUUAUAACUUUGUUUUGGAGCAAAUAACGAUAAGAAAGACCAGGAUAAUUAAUGAUCAAGAGUUACCAAGAAUUACUAGUAUUGGGUGAUAACCUACCAUAUCAUUCCCUAAACUAAAUCACAAUGAUAUGAUAAAAAAUUGAUAAAUUGUAACCCAACCAAUAAUUGAUCUCAUUGUUAUAACAAUUUACCCAUUGUUAUAACAAUUUACCCAUUGUUACUAUGAGUUUCUAACUCUUAGGUUUUCAUUCUUAAAGCCCCAAAGAUGGCUUUUUAGCCUCUUAUGAGGGUAAUGUCACAUUCACAAUCCAUUAUAAGAUAAAAAUUCAUAAUUAAAAUCAUGAAAUUAAAAACAAUAUAUUCAAUAAACAAGAAAAGAAACAAACUGAAGUUCUCGUCUUCUUCCCCACAAAAAUGACAAACUCCCUGGAAGAUGGUCCAAGAUGACUAAACCCUAGAACUAAGAGAGUUUAUAUAGUAUCAUUAAUGACCUAACACAUGACACACUCUCAUUAGCCACUUAUUACAAGGAAAAGUCAUAAACAAUCUAAAAAGCAUCAAAAUUUAGGAGUUCUAAAUGAGUAUAAGGCAUUUCGAAUUGGGUGAAGGCAUUUGGAACUCAUUUCGACAUAUCUUGGGGCUCAAACUUGAUUACCAAUGACUGCGUUCGAAAUUGGGGUGAGUCUUAAGUCAAUUUUGAACACAUAAGUGGAAGGAGGUCCAAUUCGAAAUGUAGGGCUAAGUUCAAAAUGCAUAGUGAAUUUCAAACUCAACAUCCUUCUCUGACCAAUUUGGUUCAAACAUGCAUAACUUCCUCGUUUUAGCUCUGAUUUGCACACCAUUUGAUGCAUUGGAUUCCUAACUUUUAGAUAUUCGAAAUGAUAUUGUUGAUAAUAGACUUUAAGAAGUACUUUAAAUUUUUCAAAGUUAGAGAAUAUGUUGCCACCAGUUUUGAGUUCUAAAUUUCCAUGCAACUUGAUGAAUUUGCUUUAUACCUCAUUUUCCAUGUUUGUCUGCCUUCUUUCUUACUUUAUAAUGGUCAUUACUCAAAUCCCAAACUCAUGACAUCCUCGUCUUACAUUUCCCCAAAUGCCAUGGAUCUUGACUCGCUCAAUUCCUCAUUUAACCUUUUGAUAUUUCAAAAUCUAAGAUGUUUUCAACUUGUGCCCUUUUAUUCCCUUAAACCUGAGACAUAUCUCCAAAAUAAAAUUUAAACUCAAGGCUAGGGCCUUAGCAUCAAUUUGGGUUAAUUCAAAUGAUUUGAGUGUCUUAUAGUGCAUAAAUCAUAUCAAAUAUAUGCUAUUAUAGCACAUAUUUGGGCUCCAAUCAAUCAUGCAAAAACCAUGGAAACCAUGCAAAUGCAAAUGCCAUGGAAGUUCCAUGCAAGUCAUGUAAACUAUGCAAAUACCAAACAAGAAAAAAACCUAAAGAAGACUUAGGUGGGCUCAGGCAAGCCUAGGUGGGCCAGGGUGUGCCUAGAUCGACUAAGGCAUGCCUAAGAGGUCCAAGACAUACCUAAGAGGGUCAAGGCAUGCCUAGGUGAGCUAGGGUUUGCCUAGGUGGGCUAGAGUAUGUCUAGGUGGGCCAAGGUAUGCCUAUAUGGACCAAGGUGCACCUAAUAGGGCCAAGGUAUGACUAAAUGGAUCAGUGUGUGCCUAAAUGGGCUAAAUGUGCCUAGAUGGGACAAAGUGUGCCUAAGAGAGCCAAGGUAUGCCUAAAUGGACUAGGGUGUGCCUAAAUGGGCUAAAUGUGUCUAGAUGGGCCAAAGUAUGUCUAAAUGGACCAUGGUGUGCCUAAAUAGGCCAGAUGUGUCUAAAUGGGCUAGAUGUGCCUAGAUGGGUCAAAUGUGCCUAAAUGAGCCAAAUAUGCCUAGAUGAGCCAAAGUUAGAUAUAAUUGUCUCAUUGCUAUCCUUUUGGUGUAUUGACAUUGAUUUGAGCAUUCGGCCCAUGUCUCUUACAUUGUACAUGACUUGGGUGUAUUAAAAGUUGUAUAGAAAAUACAAGUCAUGGGUUCCUUAUAAGUAAAUAAGUUGUCCACAGUUGGUUCAUGGAUUUGGGCAAUCCAGUAGACUCUAGUGCAUUAUCUCUUAAUUGGAGGGAUGACUUGUCUUGGUUGUUAGGAUGCAUUUCUCAUGGUGAGUGCAUUAGUGUAUGUGAUGCACAUUGAAUAAGACCUACGAUGAAUCAUGACAUAAGUUUAUUAAUAGUCAUGAUUCACCAAGCUACUAUAUUGUGUGCACUCUUAAUCUUGAGAGGAUAUUAAGUUUAUGCCAAAAUCAAUAGGAGACUUUGACUUAUUGGUGAGACCCUAAAAUGGUCAUAUAUCUUUAUGGAUUGGGUCCCUAUUGAUGAAGGUUGUUCACUACAUGUAUUCUCAAUAAACACACCAUGAUAUCUCAUGGGAUUGAGAUAGUGUGCGUCCUUGGAUGAUCUAAAGGACAUGUGAUCAUGAAAUUUGUGGCCAUAAUAAUUCCUUUAAUAGAAUUUGACAUAUGCUCUUUUGAAUUAGGAUAUGUCAGUUGAUCACAUAAUAAAUGAAAUCUAUAACUCAAGGAUUUGAGAAGUGAUCUUGAUAGGUGAUAGCCCUAGCUUGUUAGAUUACAAACACUAGUUCAUGAGGAGUUUGCAUGCAAUGGAUAGUGGGUCACAGACUAAAGCUUCGUCUCGUUGUUAUUUACAUAAGGUACUGGAGUGCAAUUGAUUUUCUUUAGUGGAAUGUUGAAUCAACUUUAGAAUUGAAUUAUGAGAGAGCCAAUACUCCCAUGGAUCCAAAUGGUCCCUACUUUGAGCUCAUAAACCAUGAUAACACAGUUUAUGAGGGUUAGAUUGGCUCUAGGUUCAUUCUUAUGCAUAAGAGUGUUUUGGUAAUUAUGCAAAGUUGCAUAGGGGAUAAUGAACAAGGUCUCUAGAUUGAGAUAAUUGAUUAUUUAGAUGACCCUAUGUGGUUAAUUGAUCAAUUAAGACCCAUUUUAGGCUAGAUUAAGUGACCCAAGUGUUGAUGGGCUUAAGUCACUUAAGUCUAAUGGGCAACCUUAUAAAUACCCCUUAUGGGUUAGGGUUUCUUAAUUACUUUAGUUGGUCGUCUUCUACUUCCAAAAAGAGAAAGAGAGAGUCAAGGUUUUCACCCUUCCAAAGCCUACACUUUGGAGUGUCAAGAUUGUGGUUCAAGUCAUCGGGAGGAAGAUCUUGGGUAUACGAGACCUCCAGACUAUUUAGACAUGUUCUUCACAACAAUGAAUUGAUUUUGGAACAUUCAUAUCUAGGUAUGUGGUUCAUAUCUCUAGAUCUAUAGUUAAUAAUAGUUUUUAUUGUCAUUUUAUUUCAUUGUGACAUAUUUAGAGAUGCUUAGAGAUAGAUGCAUGCACCUUAUGAGAUCCAGGGUAUGGGAUUGGAGUAAUUUAGGGUUCCCAACAACUAGGGUGUGCCUAGAUAGGCUAGGGCAUGCCUAGAUGGGCCAAGGCAUGCCUAGAUGGGCUAAGUCAUGCCUAGAUGGGCUAGAGUUGCCAAGAUGGAUCAAGGUAUAUCUAAAUGGGCUAGGUAUGCCUAAAUGGGUCAGGGUGUGCCUAGAUGGGUUAGGGUGUGUCUAAAGGGGUCAAAGGAUGCCUAGAUGGGCCAAGAUGUGCCUAAGAAGGUCAAGGUAUUCCUAAAUGGACUAAGGUGUGUCUAAAUGGGCCAAAUGUGUCUAGAUGGGCCAAAGUGUGCCUAAGAGGGCUAAGGUAUGCCUAAAUGGACUAGGGUGUGCCUAAAUGGGCCAAAUGUGCCUAGAUGGGCCAAAGCAUAUCUAAAUGGACCAAGGUGUGCCUAUAUGGGCUUGAUGGCCUUAAAUGAGUCAGGGUGUGCCUAGAUGGGUUAGAGUGUGUCCAAAUGGGUCAGAUAUGCCUAAAUGAGUCAAAGCGCGCCUAGAUGAGGUAGGGUGUGUCUAAAUGGGUCAGGGCUUGCUUAGAUGGGCCAAGGUGUGAUUAAAAGCGCUAAGGUAUGCCUAAAUGGACCUGUGCCUAAAUGGGUCAAAUGUGCUUAGAUGGGCCAAAUGUGCCUAGAUGGGCCAAGGUGUGCCUAAGGGAUCUAGGGUGAUAAAAAAUACGCCUAAGUGAUCUAGGGUGGUUAGAAAAGUGCAUAAGUGACUUAGGGUGAUUAGAAAAGUGUCUAAGUGACCUAGGGUGAUUAGAAAAGUGUUUUAGUAACCUAGGGUGAUAAAAAAAAAAGUGCUUAAGUGACUUAGGGUGAUUAGAAUAGUGUUUCAGUGUGUUGUUCUAAAGGUUUAAAGGAGCUAUCCUAAAAAGAAAAAAAAAUGAAAAUCCUAAAUCUAACCUAGGGUGACAAAAAAAAAAAAAGUGCUUAAGUGACUUAAGGUGAUCAGAAUAGUGUUUAAGUGUGUUGUCCUAAAUGUUUAAAGAAGCUAUCUUAAAAAUAAAAUAAAAUAAUGAAAAUCCUAAAUCUAACUCGAGGUUGCCAAGAGUCAUAAUGAGAGGCCAGAUAAAUCCCUCAACCAAAGUCUCCAAGGUGGUUAAAAAAGGUAAGUUGUAUGAGUAGCAAUGGCCCACCAAGGAACUAUUGUGGAGUAUUGAAAGAAUACUUAGUAUGACAUGUGCUAAGGGAUAAAAUGGAGGGUCUACACACUCUCUCCUUUGCUUGAUUGUUGUGCUUUGAGUUUGGUUUUUGGUUUUUCGAUGCACAUGGCAUAUAUAUUCAUUAUCGAUUUAUUAAUUUUAUUAAUAUGUCUUGUUUUUUUUUGUUUUUUGCUUUUUGUUUUUUUUUUGUUAUGAUCUCUUAGUAUACAUAAUCUGUUAGUCAAUUACCUUAGUUCCCUCCACUUGUUUAGUAGAUACUUUUUUAGAACUUAGAGGGGUGCUACCCUAUGAUACCUUCCUAAUAAGUAACCUAAUUCCCAAAUCUAGACUCGAUUUUCACACUUUACUUUUCCUUAAAUGUAAUAUGAUUGUUAUAUUUUUAGAUGAAAUGUACUAUAGGUUAGUCCUAGAUGUUAAUUAAUAAGCAUUAUAAAAAUACUUAAAUUAAACACUCAUAAGCAAUCAUAUUUUCUAUAAUCAUUUGGAAUAAUGUGAUAUCAUAACUCAGAAGUGAUGCAUUUUAUGCUACUUCUAAUUAUAUCUAUCCCUUAUAGCUCAUCAGCCAAAUGAGUGUCAACAAAAUGACAAUAUUGUCUCUAUCCCUUAUAUCUCCUUUUUUUUUUCUCAAAUAAUAAAUAUUUAUAUUUCAUAACUAGACACAAAAAUAACAAUAGUCAAUUAUGUCAUCUACAAUAUGAAAAGUAAGGAAACAAUAAAGUAUUAAAACAACUAGAAAAGCCAAAUUAACAUUACCAAUAUUAGUUACCCAUGAAACACAAGUAGGUAUUGAGUUUCAUAUAAUAUAACAAGCUAAAAUUAUAGGAUAUCCAAGUUCAACAACACACAAAUGGAUAGAUGAAGAUAUUGGUUUAUGCAUCUGAUGAUGUGAUCAUGUGGGGAUCGUUAAAGGACGAAAUCCAUGAUGGAGACUAGCUUCCCAUAUUUUCUCAAUGUUGAACAUUGUGUUACCACACUCGUGCACAUUCCAUCCUUCUAAUGCAUGAAUCACCCCAGCUACACGCGAUGCACUCAUUGCCCUUCUCGGCAACCAAUUCUAUCACAUAUUUACAUUAUAAAAAAAUCCAUAACCCAGAUGAAUAAUAUAAGUAAUCCAGUUUAUAGUGUAUGAUGAUUGGUAGGUGGUGGAGUUAAUGCCUUGAAAGUUUCUUUGAAAGAUGUUCUCUUCAUUGAUUCGUGCCUAAUUGGUGUCUCAGUUGAUUCGUGUCCAGCUGGUGCUCCUUGAUUGAGGGAGUAAUCAACAAAAUUUAUUACCUAUAACACCAUACACUAGGGUAGCAAAGAAAAAGCUACUAUAGUAUAGUGGCUCUAGGGUCGUUCACUGGGAAUGACUAACAAGCAAUCAAUGAUACCAAUUCCAAGUGAAUUGGUCUUGUUUCAUUUCAAGGUUAGCUUAAGAAGUAAAACACAAACUUUGAUUGGUAAAGGUUUAGACUUAAACUAACUAACAUAACAGAAGUUUGGAAUAAUUUAGGAAGAAAAGCAUUCCUUAGAGAAUUAGGUUCACUGGGGUGGUUCCUCAUGCAAAUGACAUAGCUCCGGUCAGAUGGUUCAUUUCCUCGCAUUAGAGAUUCAACAUAUAGUCAAUUCUCUAACCGGUGUUAUACAGAGACUCCUUCAAUUAGAUUUCACUUUAAUUCUCUCACUGAUGCACUUUGCAAUGGUUUAAGCCUCUCACUAAGCCUUAACCAUUCAAGGUGAUCUUUAACCUUGGAUUACCCGUCAAAAGCUCGCAAGAUAUAACUAAUGGAUGCCUCCUAGGAGUCCAAAAGCUUACCAAGUGUUGGCUAUUCUAGAAAAUCCUACCCUGAAGUCACCUACCAGAGGCUCGCAAGGGGUAAACUGGUGCAUUUCCAUGGUUGGAAAUCACUUGCCUUACCAAGUGUUGGCCCAGGUGACUCCAAGGUGUUUUAAGUUAACUAAAAACAUAGAAAUCACUAAAGGAUUUCACUUCCUCUUCAUUACUAGCUAAAACCACAGAGCUUUGCAUUCUUGCACUUGGAACCUUCCCCGACAACCUUAGCUCCGAGGAAUUAGAGGUUUAGUUACUCAUUCUCUGGGGAAAACUCCUCAGAGAAUUCAUAACUUAGAAAUAAAAUGAAAAUACAAAGUGAGAAGGUAAGGUAGUAGAAAGAAAAUAGACUUUACUUGCUUACCUAAACGUUUACAAAAGGAACUCCUCUCUGAGAACAGGCUCCCGAGAGGUAUAUAUAUCAACAUAAUAUAAAACUAAUUGUUACAAAAAUAUUUAGUCUUUUUACUAACUUAAAAACUAAGGAAUCAUGUAAUUGGUGGUUUACAAGGAGUAUUUUGGGAUUUAGACAACAAAAAUCUAAUGGAAAAUAUCUCCUAAUGUCGAUAGCAAAUAUCGGAGGCUUCAGGAGCCAUUUCGCAGGAGAAAAAUGGUGUCUGCGAGAUUUCGCAGACACUCAAGAGGGCUGCGAAAUUAUUUCGCAACACCAAACUAUCUUCAUAGGGCUGCGAAGUUGGCUUCGACCUUGAGGUUCCCAACUUCCUUCUCGCGGCAUAAAUCGUGCAUCGUCAGAAGGAGAAACACCUUACUGUACAAAAAUGCUGCGAAAUCACUUCGCAACAAAAGGGUGAUUUCGCAACACUUUGCAAAAUGCUUCCUUCAGCUCGGAGUGAUUGGCUUGUAAUGGCUGCAGCUUCUUCGUUUCAACUCCGAAUUGCACACCGUUUGAAGCAUUGGAUUUUUGACUUCCUGAGCUUUGAAAUGGUAUAUAGCAUGCAUCAUUUGGACUUCAUAAAGUACUCCAAAAGUGGCUGCUACGACUGUCAUCAAGAAUAGGCUUUAUGGCAGAUUCUCUUUGCUUUUUCUCCUUGCAAUCCGGAUUCACUCUUGGCACAUGACUUCUAAGCUUUGCCCAAGAUUCCUCAUAGCUCUCCUCAGUCUUGACUUGCUUUGGUGAUCAAAAUACUAACAAAAACACCAAAACUUACACAAAGUGAUUAAAAUUGCUUUAAAGGAUCCUUAACAUGUCAAUUGAGUUAAAAGGCCUAAACUACUACUCAAAAGUGUUUAAAAGGAUUAAUUAUAGGCUAUCAAAUAGCACUUUUUGAGUAGUAAUCACUCCCCCCAACCGACAUAUUGCUAGUCCCUUAGCAAUAUAGGAGAGAAAAAAAUGAAAAUAAAUAACAAACUAAUCUAAAAUUUACAACAUCAUGCUAAAGGAAAAUAAUUCUCAAGUGGCAUGAUGAUCUAUUUCUCACAUGAAUCAUUAAAGAAAUACAAACCCAAAUCUCAACAAGAGUCAUAACAAACUAUGUUAAACACUGUCAAUCAAGGGAGUGCAUUAUGCAAACUGAAGUUUUAAAAUCAUUUCCACUUUCUAAGAAUCAAACUUUAAUCUUCCACAAAAAAUCUAUGUGUAUUGGUUCCUUAGGUUCCGAGAAUAAUAUGCUAAACUAAUCUCUCCCCCCAACCUAUCUCUUUUCAAUACUUUAGCAAUCUGACCAAAAUCAAUAAGAAAAGAACACACUGUCAUUUUUUAUUUUUUUUUUAUUUUUUUUUCAAGGUAGCUUUAUGGGGUACUCUUUCUGAUUUGUCCAUGUAAUGGGGGUCCAUCGAUGACUCCCAACCAAUUAAGGUUUAGGGCACCAAGUUUUAAGGAUCUUUCAACCACUAACUCCUCGGAUUUUUCCCCGGACUUUUAAGAAUGAAUUUCUAAUACCCAAGCAUCUACCAUAUGCUAACUCUACCUAUUCACCCUUGUAACGAGCAUUGAGGUCGGUGUCUCCCAACCAAUUAAGGCUUAGGGCAUUAGGCUUUAAAGGCUUUCACCAUAUGCCCCUUAGACCUUGCUCGGGUUUCAAGGCAAGCAAACAACUUUCUUUAUUUCAAAGGCUCAUUGGCCUUUUGCAGGGUGUUUCAAUUUUUAUCAAAUGAGGUCAAAUAUACCAAGUCCCAAAAUUAUCCUAAGUCAAGAGGGAAAUAGCUUUUCAUCUUAUAAUCGGAAUCUAAUGUGCACAGUGUGUGGAUAGCUUAAAGUGGAAGAACUUAAUUCAAUUUCAAUAGAAGUUUCAACAAUUGAACCACUUUAGUAAGCAUAAUCCAUACUCUAAGUCAAGUGAAAAAACAACAGUUCAAUUUCUCUUGGUUUAAUUUGAAAAUUUUUCCUCAAAAUUCAUGGAGAAUAGAGUAACAAGAGUAAAAAGUAAAAACUACAACUAAUUAACCAAUAUAAUUGCAAUACCAAAAAGGUUUAGAAUACUUCCUUCCUCAUACCCCCCAACCGAACUGAGCAUUGUCCUCAAUGUGAUAUGAGUGACUGUGAGUAAAGGGAGGAAGUGGUACCUCCUGACUGCUAUCAAAUUCGAAUAUUGAUUGAGGAAAACCACAUGUUUCAAAAAGAAUAGAAUAUGUGAGAAAAGGAAAUAAGAAUAACUUAAUGCUAACUGUUAACAAGAACUAUUCAACUUGUAUUACUUUCAAUUCAUUCGAGUACAAUGUAAAAGACAAGUAACACAAGGAAUCCCAUAUAUAGUACCAAAAUACUGGGAUUUCUUUUCAACUAAAAAACGAAAUACAUAAAAAUAUUAGAUAUAUAUAAUAGUCUGAUGAGUGGUGCUGGGGCUAGAACUAGGCAGAUGGAUCUGCUGCCUUUUCAGUAGGUGCAUCAGCUGGGGCUUCGGGCUCUGGAGGAUGAGACUCUGAAGGAUGAGGGUGUGGCUCUGUUGGAGUAGAAGUGGAGGGCUCUACAGCUUGUGGCAGAUCGAAAUGGACUUGGAGCUGCCUUAAGAUGGCAGCUUGUUGAGCCUGAGUGGCUAACAUCUGCUCUUGGCAUGCUGUGAUGGCUGCCAUCUCUUGAGCAAGAUUGCUCUGAGAAGCUGUAAGAGUCUCCAAUGCACGGCACAACUCUCAAUAUUCAGAUAUAGGAAUGGCCAUCCUCGGCUCAGCUGAUGUGGAUGGCUAAGAUGAAGCAGGUGUAGCUGGUGGAGCUCUAGGAAUGGCAGGAGUAGCAACUGUUAUACCUUCAGGUAUAUAUCUUAGGGAGGCUCUCCUUGCAGCUGGUUGAGGCUGCCCAGGCUGAUCAACUUUGUAGGCCGUCAUAUUAUUCCAUUUAUCAAGAGUGAAUGGGUCACGGCAUAUUCGCUUUCUCUCCAGCUGAGGCUCAGCCGGGUAUCCUAGAUGCUCCAAAAUUUGGCAUAGCAGCCUUGGGAAGAGGAGGGGAAUGCAAUCUGCUCUCUGAAGCUUCUUCUUGUGAACCUUCUCUUCAAAAUAGAGAAGGGCUGCCAUGAUCAGAUGAUGAGGCCCAAAGAAGAAUCCUUCUGACAUCUUGUAUAGAGCUUCCAGGAGAACUCCCCUUCUUUGGGUCCAAUGCUGCAAUGGAUAGAUAUUAUGGCGCAAAAAGGCAUCAAUCAAAAACAUAACUGGGGGAAGCUCCCCCCUCAGCAGAUGUGAUCGAUUUGCAGCUCCUCUGGAAACGGUGCGAACCAUUUCUAGCUCAGUAGGAUUUGCCCAAGCUCUAAAAUUAUCGAAUUGGGUUGGCUCAAAAGGAAUUUGCAGGGCUUCAGCAAUAUGUCGUGCUCCCAAUAUACCAUGUCUCCCAUCGAUAGUGAAAUGAAUCAAGGUUGGAUUCCUGACCUCUUUAGUUGUCAUGGAUUGGUAGAAAUCCGUGGCUAUCCGGGGAUAGAAAAAGUCUCUUGGAGCUAGCAGAUGCUCCAUAUGAUACCUCCUCAGCAGCUGGAAUGAUUGGGCAAGCUCUGGCCUCACUCUGAAUGCUGCUAAGUUGAAGCAAAGCUCGGAAUGGAAUGUCCGAGUUCGACAAUCCAAGUUUCCCUCAAUUGGGGGCUGAGGUAGCAUUGGCCUCCUAAUCACUUCUUCCAGAGGUGUUUCUGCUUGAAUUUGGGGCUCGGGAAGUGGCACUUGAGGCUCCUGAGAUUUUUCUUGCAGAGCCGGAGAUGGUACCGGCGAUGGAACUGGCAAGGGACUUGGCGAGAGAACCGGCGAUGGCACUGGAGUUUGAACCGGUGAUGGAAUUGGAGAAGGCUCUGGAUAUUGCUCAGUCAAAUCGAUGGGUUCUGAGCUCUCCACCCUGGGUUUCUUUUGCAAUGGCCGACCACCUGACCUGGUAAGGUAUCGUCUUGUCGGCGGCUUUGGUGGCACGGGCUUCACCGGAGGUGGAAUUGGCCUUGACGGCGAAGCCUCUAGAGCAGAACCUGGACUUGGCUCCUUUCGCAGACUCUUCUUGCGGUUCGAAGGAGAUGAAGACUUAGCCCCUCGUGUUCACGCCAUUUUGGGCUAUCGAACUUUGGCCGGCGUUGCUGAUCGGAGAAGGUGACCGGAGGCUCGGACGGUGUGGCUCAUUGAAGAAGACGAACAGGCUGCGAGAAUGGUGCUCUGAUUUUUGAAACCCUUUUCGCAGCUCAAAUGACCGGUAUAAAUAGGAAAAACGGAAGCCUAAGGGUCAGUUUAAGUUCACAGCAAAAUGCCAUUUUCGCAGCAACUUCGCAGUGAGUUUCGCAGCUGCGAAAUUGAUGUUACUGUGCUGCGAAAUGGCACUCGUGUGCCAAAACCAUUUUCGCAAUUGCGAAAUACCCUGCGGAAUGGGACUUUUGGUGCGAAAUCACGCUUUGGCUAUCGAAAUGGAUGCUAUUGUACUGCGAAGUGGCACUCGUGUGCCAAAACCACUUUCGCAGCUGCGAAAUACCCUCGCAGAGACUUCUACAGUGUUGUGGAAUGGUUUGGCAACAAAAUGCUCAGUUCGCAGAAGUUUUCUUCAGCCUGCGAAAUUUCGCAGAGCUCUGUUUUUCCCCUGUUUUUGCUCUGUUUUGGCUCCGAUUUCGACCCGAUUUUUUUUCUUUCAAUCUCCUUGAAAUUUCUUCCACCUGGGAUCAUUUAAAAGGAUUAAAACACACCUAAAAACAUGAUUUAAGAUCAAAAACUAAGAUCAAAAGUAUGGAAACAACUUGAAAAUUUACAAAAUUUACAAAAAUUUUGAACUGUGGUAAACCACGUCCAGCAAACCCUUUUUCACUUAGGCUUUUUGAGGCUCAAGGAGGUUGAUUGCCUCCUUUUCUGAUUUGAAUGGCUCCAUGAAUGGCUUGAGACGAUAUCCAUUGACUUUAAAGCUAUCCUUGCCAUUGGAAUUCAAUAAUUCCACCACUCCAUUGGACCAUACUCGGUGAAUAAUGAACGGGCCUAUCCACCUUGACUUGAGCUUCCCAGGAAAGAUAUGGAGUCUUGUGUCAUACAGUAAAACUCUUUGCCCUUCCUGAAAUUCCUUGUUGGAGAUGAGUUGAUCAUGCCACUUCUUCAUCCUCUGUUUUGCAACUUUGGAAUUGAUAUAAGCAUUAUUUCUUAAUUCCUCCAUCUCAUUAAGGUUUAGAAAUCUCUUUUCUCCGGCCUUGAUCAAGUCCAUGUUCAGCUUCUUUAUCGCCCACCAAGCCUUGUAUUCAACUUCCACAGGGAGAUGGCAUGCUUUGCCAUAGACAAGACGAUAGGGAGACAUCCCAAGAAUAGUCUUAUAAGCUGUUCUAUAUGCCCACAAUGAAUCAUAAAGCCUAAUAGACCAAUCUUUUCUGUUGGAAUUCACCACUUUCAUCAGGAUGUUCUUUAUUUCCCUGUUAGCUAGCUCAACUUGCCCGGAAGUUUGAGGAUGAUAAGGUGUGACCACCUUAUGCUUCACUCCAUACUUGGAUAGCAGAGCUUCAAAAGGUUUGUUGCAAAAAUGAGCUCUUCCAUCACUGAUUAUGGCCUUGGGCACCCCAAAUCUUGAGAAAAUGUUCUCUUUAAGAAACUUGAGAACCACCCUGUGAUCAUUUUGUUUACAGGGGAUUGCCUCAACCCAUUUAGAAACAUAAUCUACCCCCACCAAGAUGUAAGAAUUACCAAAAGACAUUGGGAAAGGUCCCAUGAAGUCAAUGCCCCAUACAUCAAAUAACUCAACUAUCAGAAUGGGGUUCAUAGGCAUUUGAUUUCUUUUUGUUAGCUUUCCAAGCCUUUGGCAUCUAUCACAAUUCCUACACAUGAUGUGGGCAUCCUUAAAAAGAGAUGGCCAAGUAAACCCUGAUUGCAAUACCUUCAUGGCUGUUUUCUGAGAGGCAAAGUGGCCUCCACAUGCAUUCUCAUGACAAUGAGAUAGAAUCCCUUGCUGCUCAUCUUCAGGGACACACUUCCUAAUAAUCUGAUCUGCACAAUACUUAAAGAGAAAGGGCUCUUCCCAAUAAUAAGAAUGAAUUUUGGCAAAGAAGUGUUUCCUGUCCUGUGCAUUCCACUCACUUGGAAUUUCUCCAGUUACUAAAUAAUUGGCAAUAUGAGCAUACCAAGGAGUUUUCACUAGGAACAUGAGUGAUUCUUCAGGAAAAUCAUCAUUGAUAGGCAAGGGAUGGGAAUUAUGUGCUAUAACUAACCUUGACAAGUGGUCAGCUACUACAUUCUCCACUCCUUUCUUAUCUUUGAUUUGAAGAUCGAAUUCUUGUAACAAAAGAAUCCAUCUAAUCAACCUUGCUUUUGCAUCUUGCUUUGUCAAUAAAUACUUCAAGGCUGAAUGGUCAGUAAAGACAAUGAUGAAAGACCCCACUAAAUAAGCACGAAAUUUGUCCAAAGCAAAUACCACAACUAACAAUUCUUUCUCUGUAGUUGUGUAGUUCCUUUGAGCUUCAUUUAGUGUUUUACUUGCAUAGUAAAUCACAUAGGGCUUCCCAUCUUCUCUUUGGCCAAGCACAGCUCCUAUAGCAAAGUCACUGGCAUCACACAUCAAUUCAAAAGGUAAUUGCCAGUUAGGGGCUCUCACUAUUGGAGUUGUUGUUAAAAAUUUCUUCAGUUGAUCAAAGCUACUUUGACACCUUUCAUCCCAUAUAAACUUAGCAUCCUUAGCUAACAGCUCACAAAGAGGUUUUGAAAGACUUGAAAAACCUUUUAUAAACCUCCUAUAAAACCCUGCAUGGCCAAGGAACUGCCUUACUCCUUUCACAGUUGUUGGAGAUGGUAAUUUGGCAAUAAGCUCCACCUUUGCUUUAUCAACUUCAAUGCCUUUUUCAGAGAUGAUAUGACCAAGGACAAUUCCUUGACGUACCAUAAAAUGGCAUUUCUCCUAGUUCAGCACCAAAUCUUUUUCAAUGCAUCUAUGAAGAACUGCUUCCAAAUUAACCAAGCAUUCCUCAAAUGUACCUCCAUAUACGGUGAUGUCAUCCAUGAAAACCUCCAUAAUUCUCUCCACCAUAUCACUGAAAAUACUCAACAUACAUCUUUGAAAUGUAGCAGGUGCAUUGCAUAAACCAAAAGGCAUUCUUCUAUAAGCAUAUGUUCCAAAUGGACAUGUAAAAGUGGUAUUUUCUUGAUCUGCCAAAUCAAUUUCAAUCUGAAAAUACCCUGAAUACCCAUCCAAGAAACAAUAGAAUGGAUGUCCAGAGACUCUCUCCAGCACUUGAUCAAUAAAUGGCAAUGGAAAAUGAUCCUUCCUAGUGACAGCAUUCAGCUUUCUAUAAUCAAUACACACCCUCCAACCUGAAGUGAAGCGUGUAGUAAUUUCUUCCCCUUUUUCAUUCUGAACCACUGUGAUCCCUGACUUCUUUGGUACCACUUGAGUAGGACUCACCCAAGGGCUAUCAAAUAUAGGGUAAAUGAUUCCUGCUUGAAGUAGCUUCAGCACCUCAGCUCGCACCACCUCUUGUAGAUGAGGAUUCAACCUUCUUUGAAAUUGUCGAAUUGGCUUUGCUUCCUCCUCCAUAUAUAUAUGAUGAGUACAAACUAAAGGACUAAUGCCUUUCAAGUCAGAAAUUUGCCAUCCUAUUGCCUUCUUACACUUCCUGAGAACUUUCAUUAAACAAUUCUCUUGAUGAUUGGUCAGAGAUGAAGAUAUCACAACAGGACAUUGAUUAUUUUCUUCAAGGUAUGUAUAUUUCAGCUCCACAGGUAAAGGCUUCAGAUUGAGUUUUGGAAUUUCUUUUUCAACAGCUGUCUCCUCUUCUUUUUUGAACAAAGUUAGAAUAUCUUCUAUCUUUCUCCAACUUUGUAGAGUAGCAAGCCUAAUAGGAGAUUCAGAAAAACCUUCCUCAAUAUCCUCAAGACUUGCAUUCAACUUGUCUUGCAUAUUUUGAUUACAGUGCUCCUCUACCAAAGUAUCAAUAAUACAUAACUCUUCUGGACCUUCUUCUUCUUCUGGAGUGAUUUGCUUUUUAGACAUAUAGAAAAUAUUGAGAUCCAGUGUCAUGUUACCAAAAGUGAGUUGCAUAAGCCCAUUCCUGCAGUUGAUGAUUGCAUUUGAAGUUGCAAGAAAUGGCCUUCCAAGGAUGAUAGGAACUAAAUUAGCUUCCUUUACAGUAGGAUCUGUAUCAAGAACAAUAAAAUCUACUGGAUAGUAGAAAUUAUCCACUUGAACCAAUACAUCCUCAAUUACCGCUCUUGGAAUUUUCACUGAUCUAUCUGCCAGAGAUAGAGUGAUUGCUGUUGGCUUCAACUCUCCAAGGCCUAAUUGCUUGUAAACAGAAUAAGGAAGCAAAUUCACACUUGCUCCCAAAUCUAGCAAGGCUUUCUCCACUACCUUUCCUCCAAAAAUGACUGAAAUGGUAGGACUUCCAGGGUCUUUGUACUUCAAAGGAGACUUACAUUGUAAGAUUGCACUUACUUGCUCAGUCAAGAAGGCUUUCUUGUUUACAGUCAACCCUCUUUUGAUAGUACACAAGUCCUUUAGGAAUUUUGCAUACGUUGGAACUUAAUUGAUCAUAUCCAGCAGUGGAAUAUUGACUUUCACUUGUCUCAAUACUUCAAGGAUUUCAGCUGCAUUUCUAAUCCCCUUUUUCCCAUGUAAUGCUUGAGGAAAAGGUGGAGAAGUUGAUUUCUUCAGCAUUUCUUCCUUCAAAAGCUCCUUCUCUGGAAUUACUUUCAUUGUUGCAUCAGAGUCCUUCUUUUCUUCACUGAUCUCACUCUCUUUAUCUUCCAUUUCCUUCCCUUUCUUUAUCUCUUCUUCUUUCUCAACAUGUGGCUUGGGUGUUGGCUGCUCAAUUUUCUUACCACUCCUUAGAGUGAUCAAAGCUUUGACAUCCUUCACCUGUGAUGAUUCUCCCUCCUGGUUUUCCACUUCAUGGACACCUUUGGGAUUUUGGUGAGGUUGAGAAGGAAAUCUUCCCUUUUCUUGCAGUGUAUUCAAAUUUGUAAGCCUUGAAAUUGAAUAUUGGAUGUUGUCAAACUUUUGGUUCAUAUCAUUUUGCAUUCCAUCCAUCCUUUUAUUCAACAUACUCUCCACUCUAUCAAUUUUUUGAUCGACUCGAGCAUUAGUGGCUUCUUGCUUUUCAAUAAAAUCUCCCAUUACCUUAGUGAGAUUGGCUACUGCUUGUUCAAUACUUGAAGAUUGUUGAGAUGGUGGAUCCGGCUAUUGGUAUUGAGUUGCUCUGGCCUUCCAUGAGAAAUUUGGAUGAUUCCUCCAACUUGAGUUGUAGGUAUUUCCAUAAGGAGCAUUGUUAUUAGGCCUGAAUUGUCCAACAACAUUUGCUUGAUCUCUAAACAUUUCCCUUUCAACUGAAAUUACAGGGCAUUCCUCCAUCAAAUGUUCAAAUGAUUGACAAUUGGGACACAGCUUCACUUGCACUGGUGCUUUAGCAAAAGCUUGCACUUCAUGUAUUCUUUUCAGCUCCAGCUCCUCCAAUCUUCUUGUCAUAGCUGCCAACUUUGCUUUCAUAUCAUCAUCUUCUUUCAAGGUAUACAUCCCAGCCUUUGCAUUGUAAGCAUUCAACUGAGACUUCAUCUUUCCCACUUCUCCUUUAGUUCGUUCAUCCCAUCCCCUUGAAACAUCAGCUACAUAACUCAAGAAAUCCAUAGCUUCCUCUGGAUUUUUGCUCAUGAAAUCUCCUCCACACAUUGUCUCGAGGAGUUGCUUCAUUGAGGAGGACAUACCAUCAUAAAAAUAGCUCACCAAUAGCCAAGUAUCAAAGCCAUGGUGAGGACAAGCAUUUAUAGCUUCCAUGUAUCUUUCCCAACAAUCAUAGAAUUUCUCAUUCUCUUUAGCUGAGAAGUUUGAAAUUUGCCUUUUCAAGCCAUUUGUUCUAUGAGUAGGAAAAAAUUUCUUGAGGAAUUCAGCUUGUAAAUCAGUCCAAGAGCAGAUACUCUAAUUCGUGCCCAAUUAGUGUCUCAGCUAAUUUGUGUUUAGCUGGUGCUCCUUGAUUGAGGGAGUAAUCAACAAAAUUUAUUACCUAUAACACCAUACACUAGGGUAGCAAAGAAAAAGCUACUAUAGUAUAGUGGCUCUAGGGUCGUUCACUGGGAAUGACUAACAAGCAAUCAAUGAUACCAAUUCCAAGUGAAUUGGUCUUGUUUCAUUUCAAGGUUAGCUUAAGAAAUAAAACACAAAUUUUGAUUGGUAAAGGUUGAGACUUAAACUAACUAACAUAACAGAAGUUUGGAAUAAUUUAAGAAGAAAAGCAUUCCUUGGAGAUUUAGGUUCACUGGGGUGGUUCCUCAUGCAAAAGACAUAGCUCCGGUCAGUUGGUUCAUUUCCUCGCAUUAGAGAUUCAACUUAUAGUCAAUUCUCUAACCGGUGAUGUACAGAGACUCCUUCAAUUAGAUUUCACUUUAAUUCUCUCACUGAUGCAACUUGCAAUGGUUUAAGCCUCUCACUAAGCCUUAACCAUUCAAGGUGAUCUUUAACCUUGGAUUACCCGUCAAAAGCUCGCAAGAGAUAACUAAUGGAUGCCUCCUAGGAGUCCAAAAGCUUACCAAGUGUUGGCUAUUCUAGAAAAUCCUACCUUGAAGUCACCUACCAGAGGCUCGCAAGGGGUAAACUAGUGCAUUUCCAUGGUUGGAAAUCACUUGCCUUACCAAGUGUUGGCCCAGGUUACUCUAAGGUGUUUUAAGUUAACUAAAAACAUAGAAAUCACUAAAGGAUUUCACUUCCUCUUCAUUAAUAGCUAAAACCACAGAGCUUUGCAUUCUUGCACUUGGAACCUUCCCCGACAACCUUAGCUCCAAGGAAUUAGAGGUUUAGUUACUCAUUCUCUGGGGAAAACUCCUCAGAGAAUUCAUAACUUAGAAAUAAAAUGAAAAUACAAAGUGAGAAGGUAAGGCAGUAGAAAGAAAAUAGACUUUACUUGCUUACCCAAACGGUUACAGAAGGAACUCCUCCCUGAGAACAGGCUCCCGAGAGGUAUAUAUAUCAACAUAAUAUAAAACUAAUUGUUUCAAAGAUAUUUAGUCUUUUUACUAACUUAAAACUAAGGAAUCAUGUAAUUGGUGGUUUACAAGGAGUAUUUUGGGAUUUAGACAACAAAAAUCUAAUGGAAAAUAUCUCCCAAUGUCGGUAGCAAGCUUCGGGAGGCUUCAGGAGACAUUUCGCAGGAGAAAAAUGGUGUCUGCGAGAUUUCGCAGACACCCAAGAGGGCUGCGAAAUUAUUUCGCAACACCAAACUAUCUUCACAGGGCUGCGAAGUUGGCUUCGACCUUGAGGUUCCCAACUUCCUUCUCGCGGCAUAAAUCGUGCAUCGUCAGAAGGAGAAACACCUUACUGUACAAAAAUGCUGCGAAAUCACUUCGCAACAAAAGGGUGAUUUCGCAACACUUUGCAAAAUGCUUCCUUCAGCUCCGAGUGAUUGGCUUGUAAUGGCUGCAAAUUCUUCGUUUCAACUCCGAAUUGCACACCGUUUGAAGCAUUGGAUUGUUGACUUCCUGAGAUUUGAAAUGGUAUAUAGCAUGCAUCAUUUGGACUUCAGAAAGUGCUCCAAAAGUGGCUGCUACGACUGUCAUCAAGAAUAUGCUUUAUGGCAGAUUCUCUUUGCUUUUUCUCCUUGCAAUCCGGAUUCACUCUUGGCAAAUGACUUCUAAGCUUUGCCCAAGAUUCCUCAUAGCUCUCCUCAGUCUUGACUUGCUUUGGUGAUCAAAAUACUAACAAAAACACCAAAACUUACACAAAGUGAACAAAAUUGCUUUAAAGGAUCCUUAACAUGCCAAUUGAGUUAAAAGGCCUAAACUACUACUCAAAAGUGUUUAAAAGGAUUAAUUAUAGGCUAUCAAAUAGCACUUUUUGAGUAGUAAUCACUCCCCCCAACCGACAUAUUGCUAGUCCCUUAGCAAUAUAGGAGAGAAAAAUGAAAAUAAAUAACAAACUAAUCUAAAAUUUACAACAUCAUGCUAAAGGAAAAUAAUUCUCAAGUGGCAUGAUGAUCUAUUUCUCACAUGAAUCAUUAAAGAAAUACAAACCCAAAUCUCAACAAGAGUCAUAACACCUAUGCUAAACACUGUCAAUCAAGGGAGUGCAUUAUGCAAACUGAAGUUUUAAAAUCAUUUCCACUUUCUAAGAAUCAAACUUUAAUCUUCCACAAAAAUCUAUGUGUAUUAGUUCCUUAGCUUCCAAGAAUAAUAUGCUAAACUAGUCUCACCCCCCAACCUAUCUCUUUUUAACACUUUAGCAAUCUGACCAUAAUCAAUAAGAAAAGAACACACUUUUUUUUUUUUUUCAAGGUAGCUUUAUGGGAUACUCUUUCUGACUUGUCCAUGUAAUGGGGGUCCAUCGAUGGCUCCCAACCAAUUAAGGUUUAGGGCACCAAGCUUUAAGGAUCUUUCAACCACUAACUCCUCGGAUUUUUCCCCGGACUUUUAAGAAAGAAAUUCUACUACCCAAGCAUCUACCAUAUGCUAACUCUACCUAUUCACCCUUGUAACGAGCAUUGAGGUCGGUGACUCCCAACCAAUUAAGGCUUAGGGCACCAGGCUUUAAAGGCUUUCACCAUAUGCCCCUCAGACCUUGCUCGGGUUUCAAGGCAAGCAAACAACUUUCUUUAUUUCAAAGGCUCAUUGGCCUUUUGCAGGGUGUUUCAAUUUUAUCAAAUGAGGUCAAAUAUACCAAGUCCCAAAAUUAUCUUAAGUCAAGAGGGAAAUAGUUUUUCAUCUUAUAAUCGGAAACUAAUGUGCACAGUGUGUGAAUAGCUUAAAGUGGAAGAACUAAAUUCAAUUUCAAUAGAAGUUUCAACAAUUGAACCACUUUAGUAAGCAUAAUCCAUACUCUAAGUCAAGUGAAAAACAACAGUUCAAUUUCUCUUGGUUUAAUUUGAAAAUUUUUCCUCAAAAUUCAUGGAGAAAAUAGUAACACUAGUAAAAAGUAAAAUCUACAACUAAUUAACCAAUAUAAUUGCAAUACCAAAAAGAUUUAGCAUACUUCCUUCCUCAUACCCCCCAACCGAACUGAGCAUUGUCCUCAAUGUGAUUUGAGUGACUGUAAUAAAAGGGAGGAAGUGGUACCUCCUUGCUAAUAUCAAAUUCGAAUAUUGAUUGGGAAAAACCACAUGUUUCAAAAAGAAUAGAAUAUGUGAGAAAAGGAAAUAAGGAGAACUUAAUGCUAACUUUUAACAAGAAAUAUUCAACUUGUAUUACUUUGAGUUCAUUCAAGUAUAGUGCAAAAGACAAGUAAUCACAAGGAAUCCCAUAUAUAGUACCAAAAUACUGGGAUUUCUUUUCAACAAAAAACAAAAAUGCAUAAAAACAUAAACAGAAAAUAUAUAUAAUGUCUGAUGAGUGGGGUGAUGGUGCUAGGCAGAAGGAUUUGCCUCCACAGUAGGUGGAUCAGCUGGUGGUUCGGGCUCUGGAGGAUGAGACUCUGAAGGCUGAGAGUGUGGCUCUGGUGGAGUAGAAAUGGAGGGCUCUACAGCUUGUGGCAAAUCGAAAUGGACUUGGAGCUGCCUUAGGAUGGCAGCUUGUUGAGCCUGAGAGGCUAACAUCUGCUCUUGGCAAGCUCUGAUGGCUGCCAUCUCCUGAGCAAGAUUGCUCUGAGAAGCUGUAAGAGUCUCCAAUGCACGGCACAACUCUCGAUAUUCAGAUAUAGGAAUGGCCAUCCUCGGCUCAGCUGAUGUGGAUGGCUAAUAUGAAGCAGGUGCAGCUGGUGGAGCUCUAGGAAUGGCAGGAGCAGCAACUGUUAUACCCUCAGGUAUACGUUGGGGAGGCUCUCCUUGCAGCUGGCUGAGGCUGUCCAGGCUAAUCAACUUUGUAGGCCGUCAUAUUGUUCCAUUUAUCAAGAGUGAAUGGCUCACGGCAUAUUCGCUUUCUCUCCAGCUGAGGCUCAGAGGGGUAUCCCAGAUGCUCCAAAAUUUGGCAUAGCAGCCUUAGGAAGAGGAGGGGAAUACAAUCUGCUCUCUGAAGCUUCUUUCUGUGAACCUUCUCUUCAAAAUAGAGAAGGGCUGCCAUGAUCAGAUGAUGAGACCCAAAGAAGAAUCCUUCUGACAUCUUGUACAGAGCUUCCAGGAGAACUCCCCUUCUUUGGGUCCAAUGCUGCAAUGGAUAUAUAUUAUGGCGCAAAAAGGCAUCAAUCAAAAACAUAACUGGAGAAAGCUCCCCCCUCAGCAGAUGUGAUCGAUUUGCAGCUCCUCUGGAAAGGGUGCGCACCAUCUCUAGCUCAGUAGGAUUUGCCCAAGCUCUAAAAUUAUCGAAUUGGGUUGGCUCAAAAGGAAUUUGCAGGGCUUCAGCAAUAUGUCUUGCUCCCAAUAUACCAUGUCUCCCAUCAAUUGUGAAAUGAAUCAAGGUUGGAUUUCUGACCUCUUUGGUUGUCAUGGACUGGUAGAAAUCUGUGGCUAUCCGGGGAUAGAAAAAGUCUCUUGGAGCUAGCAGUUGCUCCAUAUGAUACCUCCUCAGCAGCUGGAAUGAUUGGGCAAGCUCUGGCCUCACUCUGAAUGCUGCUAAGUCGAAGCAAAGCUCGGAAUGAAAUGCCCGUGUUCUACAAUCCAAGUUUCCUUCGAUUGGGGGCUGAGGUAGCAUUGGCCUCCUAAUUACUUCUUCCAGAGCUGUUUCAGUUUGCAUUUGGGGCUCGGGAAGAGGCACUUGAGGCUCCUGGGAUUUUUCUUGCGGCGCCGGAGAUGGUACCGGCGAUGGUACUGGCAGGGGGCUCGGCGAGGGAACCGGAGACGGCACUGGAGUUUGAACCGGUGAUGGAAUUGGAGAAGGCUCUGGAGAUUGCUCAGUCAAAUCGAUGGGUUCUAAGCUCUCCACCCUGGUUUUCUUCUGCAAUGGCCGACCGCCUGACCUAGUAAGGUAUCGUUUUGCCGGCGGCUUUGGCGGCGCUGGUUUCACCGGAGGAGGAUUUGGCCUUGACAGCGUAGGCUCUGGAGCAGAACCUGGACUUGGCUCCUUUCGCAGACUCCUUUUGCGGUUCGAAUGAGAUGAAGACUUAGCCCCUCGUGUUCGCGCCAUUUUGGGCUAUCGAACUUUGGCCGGCAUUGCUGAUCGGAGAAGAUGACCGGAGGCUCGAACGGCGUGGCUUGGCGAAGAAGACGAAGCGGCUGCGAGAAUGGUGCUCUGGUUUUUGAAACCCUUUUCGCAGCACAAAUGACCGGUAUAAAUAGGAAAAACGGAAGCCUAAGGGUCAGUUUAAGUUUCGCAACAAAACGCCAAUUUCGCAGCAACUUGCCAUUUUCGCAGCAACUUCGCAGUGAGUUUCGCAGCUGCGAAAUUGAUGUUACUGUGCUGCGAAGUGGCACUCGUGUGCCAAAACCACUUUCGCAAUUGCGAAAUACCCUGCGGAAUGGGACUUUUGGUGCGAAAUCACGCUUUUCCACUUCGCAAUGCGUUUCGCAGCUGCCAAAUGGAUGCUACUGUACUGCGAAGUGGCACUCGUGUGCCAAAUUCACUUUCGCAGUUGCGAAAUACCUUCGCAGAGACUUCUACAGUGUUGCGGAAUGGUUUGGCAACAAAAUGCCCAUUUCGCAGAAGUUUCCUUCUUUCUACGAAAUUUCACAGAGCUCUGUUUUUCCCCUGUUUCUGCUUUGUUUUGACUCCGAUUUCGACCCGAUUUUUUUUCUUUCAAUCUCCUUGAAAUUUCUUCCACCUGGGAUCAUUCAAAACGAUUAAAACACACCUAAAAACAUGAUUUAAGAUCAAAAACUAAGAUCAAAAGUAUGGAAACAACUUAAAAAUUUACAAAAUUUACAAAAAUUUUGGACUGUGGUAAACCACGUCCAGCAAACCCUUUUUCACUUAGGCUUUUUGAGGCUCAAGGAGGUUGAUUGCCUCUUUUUCUGAUUUGAAUGGCUCCAUGAAUGGCUUGAGACGAUAUCCAUUGACUUUGAAGCUAUCCUUGCCAUUGGAAUUCAAUAAUUCCACCACUCCAUUGGACCAUACUCGGUGAAUAAUGAACGGGCCUAUCCACCUUGACUUGAGCUUCCCAGGAAAGAUAUGGAGUCUUGUGUCAUACAUCAAAACUCUUUGCCCUUCCUGAAAUUCCUUGUUGGAGAUGAGUUGAUCAUGCCACUUCUUCAUCCUCUGUUUUGCAACUUUGGAAUUGAUAUAAGCAUUAUUUCUUAAUUCCUCCAUCUCAUUAAGGUCUAGAAAUCUCUUUUCUCCGGCCUUGAUCAAAUCCAUAUUCAGCUUCUUUAUUGCCCACCAAGCCUUGUAUUCAACUUCCACAGGGAGAUGGCAUGCUUUACCAUAGACAAGACGAUAGGGAGACAUCCCAAGAAUAGUCUUAUAAGCUGUUCUAUAUGCCCACAAUGAAUCAUGAAGCCUAAUAGACCAAUCUUUUCUGUUGGAAUUCACCACUUUCAUCAAGAUGUUCUUUAUUUCCCUGUUAGCUAGCUCAACUUGCCCGGAAGUCUGAGGAUGAUAAGGUGUAGCCACAUUAUGCUUCACUCCAUACUUGGAUAACAGAGCUUCAAAAGGUUUGUUGCAAAAAUGAGCACCUCCAUCACUGAUUAUGGCUUUGGGUACCCCAAAUCUUGAGAAAAUGUUCUCUUUAAGAAACUUGAGAACCACCCUGUGAUCAUUUUGUUUACAAGGGAUUGCCUCAACCCACUUAGAAACAUAAUCCACCCCCACCAAAAUGUAAGAAUUACCAAAAGACAUUAGGAAAGGUCCCAUGAAGUCAAUGCCCCAUACAUCAAAUAACUCAACUAUCAGAAUGGGGUUCAUAGGCAUUUGAUUUCUUUUUGUUAGCUUUCCAAGCCUUUGGCAUCUAUCACAAUUUCUACACAUGAUGUGGGCAUCUUUGAAAAGAGAUGGCCAAGUAAACCCUGAUUGCAAUACCUUCAUGGCGGUUUUCUGAGAGGCAAAGUGGCCUCCACAUGCAUUCUCAUGACAAUGAGAUAGAAUCCCUUGCUGCUCAUCUUCAGGGACACACUUCCUAAUAAUCUGAUCUGCACAAUACUUAAAGAGAAAGGGCUCUUCCCAAUAAUAACCAUGAAUUUUGGCGAAUAAGUGUUUCCUGUCCUGUGCAUUCCACUCACUUGGAAUUUCACCAGUUACUAAAUAAUUAGCAAUAUGAGCAUACCAAGGAGUUUUCACUAGGAACAUGAGUGAUUCUUCAGGAAAAUCAUCAUUGAUAGGCAAGGGGUGGGAAUUAUGUGCUAUAACUAACCUUGACAAGUAGUCAGCUACCACAUUCUCCACUUCUUUCUUAUCUUUGAUUUGAAGAUCGAAUUCUUGUAACAAAAGAAUCCAUCUAAUCAACCUUGCUUUUGCAUCUUGCUUUGUCAAUAAAUACUUCAAGGCUGAAUGGUCAGUAAAAACAAUAAUGAAAGACCCCACUAAAUAAGCUCGAAAUUUGUCCAAAGCAAAUACCACAGCUAACAAUUCUUUCUCUGUAGUUGUGUAGUUCCUUUGAGCUUCAUUUAGUGUUUUACUUGCAUAGUAAAUCACAUAGGGCUUCCCAUCUUCUCUUUGGCCAAGCACAGCUCCUAUAGCAAAGUCACUGGCAUCACACAUCAAUUCAAAAGGCAAUUGCCAGUUAGGUGCUCUCACUAUUGGAGUUGUUGUUAAAAAUUUCUUCAGUUGAUCAAAGCUAUUCUGACAUCUUUCAUCCCAUAUAAACUUAGCAUCCUUAGCUAACAGCUCACAAAGAGGUUUUGAAAGACUUGAAAAACCUUUUAUAAACCUCCUAUAGAACCCUGCAUGGCCAAGGAACUGCCUUACUCCUUUCACAGUUGUUGGAGAUGGUAAUUUGGCAAUAAGCUCCACCUUUGCUUUAUCAACUUCAAUGCCUUUUUCAGAGAUGAUAUGGCCAAGGACAAUUCCUUGACGUACCAUAAAAUGGCAUUUCUCCCAGUUGAGCACCAUGUCUUUUUCAAUGCAUCUAUGAAGAACUGCUUCCAAAUUAACCAAGCAUUCCUCAAAUGUACCUCCAUAUACGGUGAUGUCAUCCAUGAAAACCUCCAUAAUUCGCUCCACCAUAUCACUGAAAAUACUCAACAUACAUCUUUGAAAUGUAGCAGGUGCAUUGCAUAAACCAAAGGGCAUUCUUCUAUAAGCAAAUGUUCCAAAUGGACAUGUAAAAGUGGUCUUUUCCUGAUCUGCCAAAUCAAUUUCAAUCUGAAAAUACCCUGAAUACCCAUCCAAGAAACAAUAGAAUGGAUGUCCAGAGACUCUCUCCAGCACUUGAUCAAUAAAUGGCAAUGGAAAAUGAUCCUUUCUGGUGACAGCAUUCAACUUCCUAUAAUCAAUACACACCCUCCAACCUGAAGUGAGGCGUGUAGUAAUUUCUUCCCCUUUUUCAUUUUGAAUCACUGUGAUCCCUGACUUCUUUGGUACCACUUGAGUAGGACUCACCCAAGGGCUAUCAGAUAUAGGGUAAAUGAUUCCUGCUUGAAGUAGCUUCAGCACUUCAGCUCGUACCACAUCUUGUAGAUGAGGAUUCAACCUUAUUUGAAAUUGUCGAAUUGGCUUUGCUUCCUCCUCCAUAUAUAUAUGAUGAGUACAAACUAAAGGACUAAUGUCUUUCAAAUCAAAUAUUUGUCAUCCUAUUGCCUUCUUACACCUCCUAAGAACUUCUAUUAAACAAUUCUCUUGAUGACUAGUCAGAGAUGAAGAUAUCACAACAGGACAUUGAUUAUUUUCUUCAAGAUAUGUAUAUUUCAACUCCACAGGUAAAGGCUUCAGAUUGAGUUUUGGAAUUUCUUUUUCAACAGCUGCCUCCUCUUCUUCAUUGAACAAAGGUAGAAUUCCUUCUAUCUUUCUCCAACUUUGUAGAGUAGCAAGCCCAAUAGGAGAUUCAGAAAAACCUUCCUCAAUAUCCUCAAGACUUUCAUUCAACUUUUCUUGCAUAUGUUGAUUGCACUGCUCCUCCACCAAAGUAUCAAUUAUACAUAACUCUUCUGGACCUUCUUCUUCUUCCGGAGUGAUUUGCUUUUUAGACAUAUAGAAAAUAUUGAGAUCCAGUGUCAUGUUACCAAAAGUGAGUUGCAUAAGCCCAUUCCUGCAGUUGAUGAUUGCAUUUUAAGUAGCAAGAAAUGGCCUUCCAAGGAUGAUAGGAACUAAAUUAGCUUCCUUUACAGUAGGAUCUGUAUCAAGAACAAUAAAAUCUACUGGAUAGUAGAAAUUAUCGACUUGAACCAAUACAUCCUCAAUUACCCCUCUUGGAAUUUUCACUGAUCUAUCUGCUAGAGAUAGAGUGAUUGUUGUUGGCUUCAACUCUCCAAGUCCCAAUUGCUUGUAGACAGAGUAUGGAAGCAAAUUCACACUUGCUCCCAAGUCUAGCAAGGCUUUCUCAACUACCUUUCCUCCAAUCAUGACUGAAAUGGUAGGACUUCCAAGGUCUUUGUACUUCAAACGGGACUUACACUGUAAGAUUGCACUUACUUGCUCAGUCAAGAAGGCUUUCUUGUUUACAGUCAACCCUCUUUUGAUAGUACACAAGUCCUUUAGGAAUUUUGCAUACGUUGGAACUUGUUUGAUCAUAUCCAGCAGUGGAAUAUUAACUUUCACUUGCCUCAAGACUUCAAGGAUUUCAGCUGCAUUUCUAAUCCCCUUUUUCCCAUGUAAUGCUUAAGGAAAAGGUGGAGAAGUUGAUUUCUUCAGCAUUUCUUCCUUCAGAAGCUCCUUCUCUGGAAUUGCUUUCCUUGUUGAAUCAGAGUCCUUCUUUUCUUCACUAAUCUCACUCUCUUUAUCUUCCAUUUCCUUCCCUUUCUUUAUCUCUUCUUCUUUCUCAACAUGUGGCUUGGGUGUUGGCUGCUCAAUUUUUUUACCACUCCUUAGAGUGAUCAAGGCUUUGACAUCUUUGACCUGUGAUGAUUCUCCCUCAUGGCUUUCCACUUCAUGGACACCUUUGGGAUUUUGGUGAGGUUGAGAAGGAAAUCUUCCCUUUUCUUGCAGUGUAUUCAAAUUUGUAAGCCUUGAAAUUGAAUAUUGGAUGUUAUCAAACUUUUGGUUCAUAUCAUUUUGCAUUCCAUCCAUCCUUUUAUUCAACAUACUCUCCACUCGAUCAAUUUUUUGAUCCACUCGAGCAUUGGUGGCUUCUUGCUUUUCAAUAAAAUCUCCCAUUACCUUGCUGAGAUUGGCAAUUGCUUGUUCAAUACUUGAAGAUUGCUGAGAUGGUGGAUCCGGCUGUUGGUAUUGAGUUGCUCUGGCCUUCCAUGAGAAAUUUGGAUGAUUCCUCCAACUUGAGUUGUAGGUAUUUCCAUAUGGAGCAUUGUUAUUGGGCCUAAAUUGUCCAACAACAUUUGCUUGAUCUCUAAACAUUUCCCUUUCAGUUGGAAUUGCAGGGCACUCCUCCACCAAAUGUUCAAAUGAUUGACAAUUGGGACACAGCUUCACUUGCACUGGUGCUUCAGCUACAACUUGCACUUCAUGUAUUUUUUUCAACUCCAGCUCCUCCAAUAUUCUUGUCAUAGCUGCCAACUUUGCUUUCAUGUCAUCAUCCUCUUUUAAGGUAUACAUCCCAGCCUUUGCAUUGUAAGCAUUCAACUGAGACUUCAUCUUUCCCACUUCUCCUUUAGUUGGUUCAUCCCAUCCCCUUGAAACAUCAGCUACAUAGCUCAAGAAAUCCAUAGCUUCCUCUGGAUUUUUGCUCAUGAAAUCUCCUCCACACAUUGUCUCGAGGAGUUGCUUCAUUGAGGAGGACAUACCAUCAUAAAAAUAACUCACCAAUAGCCAAGUAUCAAAGCCAUGGUGAGGGCAAGCAUUGAUAGCUUCCAUGUAUCUUUCCCAACACUCAUAAAAUUUCUCAUUCUCUUUAGCUGAGAAGUUUGAAAUUUGCCUUUUCAAGCCAUUUGUUCUAUGAGUAGGAAAAAAUUUCUUGAGGAAUUCAGCUUGUAAAUCAGUCCAAGAGCGGAUACUCCUUGGCCUUAAAGAAUUAAGCCAUAUUUUGGCCUUAUCCUUUAAAGUAAAAGGAAAUAACUUAAGCCUCAUCAAAUCAAUUGAAGCUCCUCCCUCUUGGAAUGUAUUACAAACAUCCUCAAAUUCCUUGAUGUGUGCAUACGGAUUCUCACUUUCCAUCCCAUGGAAAGUUGGUAGAAGUGGAACAAGGUAUGGUCUGAUCACUAGCUGCUCUGUAGGGGGCACUAUACAUGAUGGUGCACUCAUACGAGGUGGAUGCAUACGGUCCCUCAUUCAUCUGAAUUCAUUGAGAUUAUCUUGACGACCUUGGUGACUAUGCUGAUCUUCAGGUGUAGUUUCCAUGAUAUUCAAGAUCACUUCCAAUUCUUUUCUCUGAGGUGUAUCACACUUAACAAGCCUACCUCCAAUGUCUCGUAUCCACUUGGGCAUACACAACUAGUAUCUAUCUGCAACUUAAAUAAAAACAGAGGACAACAAGAAAAACAGAGCUACAACAACAAAAUUAAACUAGACUAAAUUUUAAAAGAUAAACUUAGAUUGUAAAUAAACAAAGAAAGAAUGAAAAUUAGUAAAGUGAAAGAAACUUUACCAACUUGUGAUGAAAAUCACAAGUGCUCAAAAAUGGUAUCACAAUGAACUUGACACUCAUUCCCCAGCAACGACGCCAUUUGAUUCGUGCCCAAUUGGUGUCUCAACUGAUUUGUGUUCAGCUAGUGCUCCUUGAUUGAAGGAGUAAUCAACAAAAUUUAUUACCUAUAACACCAUACACUGGGGUAGCAAAGAAAAAGCUACUAUAGUAUAGUGGCUCUAGGGUCGUUCACUGGGAAUGACUAACAAGCAAUCAAUGAUACCAAUUCCAAGUGAAUUGGUCUUGUUUCAUUUCAAGGUUAGCUUAAGAAAUAAAACACAAAUUUUGAUUGGUAAAGGUUGAGACUUAAACUAACUAACAUAACAGAAGUUUGGAAUAAUUUAGGAAGAAAAGCAUUCCUUGGAGAUUUAGGUUCACUGGGGUGGUUCCUCAUGCAAAAGACAUAGCUCCGGUCAGUUGGUUCAUUUCCUCGCAUUAGAGAUUCAACUUAUAGUCAAUUCUCUAACCGGUGAUGUACAGAGACUCCUUCUAUUAGAUUUCACUUUAAUUCUCUCUCUGAUGCAACUUGCAAUGGUUUAAGCCUCUCACUAAGCCUUAACCAUUCAAGGUGAUCUUUAACCUUGGAUUACCCGUCAAAAGCUCGCAAGAGAUAACUAAUGGAUACCUCCUAGGAGUCCAAAAGCUUACCAAGUGUUGGCUAUUCUAGAAAAUCCUACCUUGAAGUCACCUACCAGAGGCUCGCAAGGGGUAAACUAGUGCAUUUCCAUGGUUGGAAAUCACUUGCCUUACCAAGUGUUGGCCCAGGUGACUCUAAGGUGUUUUAAGUUAACUAAAAACAUAGAAAUCACUAAAGGAUUUCACUUCCUCUUCAUUAAUAGCUAAAACCACAGAGCUUUGCAUUCUUGCACUUGGAACCUUCCCCGGCAACCUUAGCUCCAAGGAAUUAGAGGUUUAGUUACUCAUUCUCUGGGGAAAACUCCUCAGAGAAUUCAUAACUUAGAAAUAAAAUGAAAAUACAAAGUGAGAAGGUAAGGCAGUAGAAAGAAAAUAGACUUUACUUGCUUACCCAAACGGUUACAGAAGGAACUCCUCCCUGAGAACAGGCUCCCGAGAGGUAUAUAUAUCAACAUAAUAUAAAACUAAUUGUUACAAAGAUAUUUAGUCUUUUUACUAACUUAAAAACUAAGGAAUCAUGUAAUUGAUGGUUUACAAGGAGUAUUUUGGGAUUUAGACAACAAAAAUCUAAUGGAAAAUAUCUCCCAAUGUCGGUAGCAAGCUUCGGGAGGCUUCAGGAGCCAUUUCGCAGGAGAAAAAUGGUGUCUGCGAGAUUUCGCAGACACCCAAGAGGGCUGCGAAAUUAUUUCGCAACACCAAGCUAUCUUCACAGGGCUGCGAAGUUGGCUUCCACCUUGAGGUUCCAAGCUUCCUUCUCGCGGCAUAAAUCGUGCAUCGUCAGAAGGAGAAACACCUUACUGUACAAAAAUGCUGCGAAAUCACUUCGCAACAAAAGGGUGAUUUCGCAACACUUUGCAAAAUGCUUCCUUCAGCUCGGAGUGAUUGGCUUGUAAUGGCUGCAACUUCUUCGUUUCAACUCCGAAUUGCACACCGUUUAAAGCAUUGGAUUGUUGACUUCCUGAGAUUUGAAAUGGUAUAUAGCAUGCAUCAUUUGGACUUCAGAAAGUGCUCCAAAAGUGGCUGCUAUGACUGUCAUCAAGAAUAUGCUUUAUGGCAGAUUCUCUUUGCUUUUUCUCCUUGCAAUCCGGAUUCACUCUUGGAAAAUGACUUCUAAGCUUUGCCCAAGAUUCCUCAUAGCUCUCCUCAGUCUUGACUUGCUUUGGUGAUCAAAAUACUAACAAAAACACCAAAACUUACACAAAGUUAACAAAAUUGCUUUAAAGGAUCCUUAACAUGCCAAUUGAGUUAAAAGGCCUAAACUACUACUCAAAAGUGUUUAAAAGGAUUAAUUAUAGGCUAUCAAAUAGCACUUUUUGAGUAUUAAUCAUACUCCUUGGCCUUAAAGAAUUAAGCCAAAUUUUGGCCUUAUCCUUUAAAGUUAAAGGAAAUAACUUAAGCCUCAUCAAAUCAAUUGAAGCUCCUCCCUCUUGAAAUGUAUUACAAACAUCUUCAAAUUCCUUGAUGUGUGCAUACGGAUUCUCACUUUUCAUCCCAUGGAAAGUUGGUAGAAGUGGAACAAGAUACGGUUUGAUCACUAGCUGCUCUGUAGGGGGCACUAUACAUGAUGGUGCACUCAUACGAGGUGGAUGCAUACGGUCCCUCAUUCAUCUGAAUUCAUUGAGAUUAUCUUGACGACCUUGGUGACUAUGCUGAUCUUCAGGUGUAGCUUCCAUGAUAUUCAAGAUUACUUCCAAUUCUCUUCUUUGAGGUGUAUCACACUUACCAAGCCUACCUCCAAUGUCUCGUAUCCACUUGGGCAUACACAACUAGUAUCUAUCUGCAACUUAAAUAAAAAACAGAGGACAACAAGAGAAACAGGGCUACAACAGCAAAAUUAAACUAGACUAAAUUUUAAAAGAUAAACUUAGAUUAUGAACAAAUAAAGAAAGAAUGAAAAUUAGUAAAGUGAAAGAAACUUUACCAACUUGUGAUGAAAAUCACAAGUGCUGAACAAUGGUAUCACAAUGAACUUGACACUCAUUCCCCGGCAACGGCGCCAUUUGAUUCAUGCCCAAUUGGUGUCUCAGCUGAUUCGUGUCCAGCUGGUGCUCCUUGAUUGAGGGAGUAAUCAACAAAAUUUAUUACCUAUAACACCAUACACUAGGGUAGCAAAGAAAAAGCUACUAUAGUAUAGUGGCUCUAGGGUCGUUCACUGGGAAUGACUAACAAGCAAUCAAUGAUACCAAUUCCAAGUGAAUUGGUCUUGUUUCAUUUCAAGGUUAGCUUAAGAAGUAAAACACAAACUUUGAUUGGUAAAGGUUUAGACUUAAACUAACUAACAUAACAGAAGUUUGGAAUAAUUUAGGAAGAAAAGCAUUCCUUGGAGAUUUAGGUUCACUGGGGUGGUUCCUCAUGCAAAAGACAUAGCUCCGGUCAGAUGGUUCAUUUCCUCGCAUUNNNNNNNNNNNNNNNNNNNNNNNNNNNNNNNNNNNNNNNNNNNNNNNNNNNNNNNNNNNNNNNNNNNNNNNNNNNNNNNNNNNNNNNNNNNNNNNNNNNNCCAGAGGCUCGCAAGGGGUAAACUAGUUCAUUUCCAUGGUUGGAAAUCACUUGCCUUACCAAGUGUUGGCCCAAGUGACUCCAAGGUGUUUUAAGUUAACUAAAAACAUAGAAAUCACUAAAGGAUUUCACUUCCUCUUCAUUAAUAGCUAAAACCACAGAGCUUUGCAUUCUUGCACUUGGAACCUUCCCCGGCAACCUUAGCUCCAAGGAAUUAGAGGUUUAGUUACUCAUUCUCUGGGGAAAACUCCUCAGAGAAUUCAUAACUUAGAAAUAAAAUGAAAAUACAAAGUGAGAAGGUAAGGUAGUAGAAAGAAAAUAGACUUUACUUGCUUACCCAAACGGUUACAGAAGGAACUCCUCUCUGAGAACAGGCUCCCGAGAGGUAUAUAUAUCAACAUAAUAUAAAACUAAUUGUUACAAAAAUAUUUAGUCUUUUUACUAACUUAAAAACUAAGGAAUCAUGUAAUUGGUCGUUUACAAGGAGUAUUUUGGGAUUUAGACAACAAAAAUCUAAUGGAAAAUAUCUCCCAAUGUCGGUAGCAAAUAUCGGGAGGCUUCAGGAGCCAUUUCGCAAGAGAAAAAUGGUGUCUGCGAGAUUUCGCAGACACUCAAGAGGGCUGCGAAAUUAUUUCGCAACACCAAGCUAUCUUCACAGGGCUACGAAGUUGGUUUCCACCUUGAGGUUCCCAGCUUCCUUCUCGCGGCAUAAAUCGUGCAUCGUCAGAAGGAGAAACACCUUACUGUACAAAAAUGCUGCGAAAUCACUUCGCAACAAAAGGGUGAUUUCGCAACACUUUGCAAAAUGCUUCCUUCAGCUCGGAGUGAUUGGCUUGUAAUGGCUGCAACUUCUUCGUUUCAACUCCGAAUUGCACACCGUUUGAAGCAUUGGAUUGUUGACUUCCUAAGCUUUGAAAUGGUAUAUAGCAUGCAUCAUUUGGACUUUAGAAAAUGCUCCAAAAGUGGCUGCUACGACUGUCAUCAAGAAUAGGCUUUAUGGCAGAUUCUCUUUGCUUUUUCUCCUUGCAAUCCGGAUUCACUCUUGGCACAUGACUUCUAAGCUUUGCCCAAGAUUCCUCAUAGCUCUCCUCAGUCUUGACUUGCUUUGGUGAUCAAAAUACUAAUAAAAACACCAAAACUUACACAAAGUGAUUAAAAUUGCUUUAAAGGAUCCUUAACAUGCCAAUUGAGUUAAAAGGCCUAAACUACUACUCAAAAGUGUUUAAAAGGAUUAAUUAUAGGCUAUCAAAUAGCACUUUUUGAGUAGUAAUCAUUCAUGUGACCCAUUGCAAGAGGGAAAAAGAAAUGAAGUUUAGAAGAAAACAUUGGUAGAGAGAUGUUUAAAAUUUCUUAUGCAAGAAAAAGAAAUAUAGUUGAUAAUAAUUUUCAUGAUUAUAGAAAAAAGAAGUUUUCUUAUUGAGAGAAAAAUGUUCAUUACCCUUCAAAUCUUUUCCUCAACUUCUUUUCAAUAAAUAAAUGAUUUUCAUGAAAUAUAAGGUGUAUCUACACCAUUGAGGUCUCUAAAUGAGAACAAACAAACAUUAAGGGUCUAUUUCAUAAUUAUUUUCGAGAACAAGUUUUUAUUCUCCAAAACAAAAAACCCUAAAAAUACAUUCGAUAACAAAAAAAAUAGUGUUUUUCAGAUAAUAUAUUUUAGUUGGUUUUUAUUGUUUUCACUUGUUUUCUUAGAAUAGUUUUAAAAAAUAAUUAUAUAAAUAUGUAAAAUACUUAAAAAUAAAACACUAAGCAUAAAAAUUAUUUUAAAACAUAUUAAAAAAUACUAAAAAUAGGUUAAAAACAUUUUAAGUUUUCAAACAUAUUUUUGUUUUACAAAACAUUAGAGAAUGGUUUUCAAAAACUAUUAUAAAAAAACAGUUUUCAAAAUUGUUUUUGAAAACAGUUAUGAAAUAGAGCCUAAUUACUAACCUCACAAGAGUCUAUGUUCUGAAAAGACUUGGGAGACAUCAUUGCUGGUGUAGUGAGGUAGAGGCAGUCUUUGCGCAACCUCUUUGGAGGGAAUUGAGAAAAGGGAAUGAAUAACGUUCCUUUCGAUGCUUUAAUUUGUUCUUCUUUGGUCAAUCCAUCUCCAACCAGCCAUAUCUUCAAAAUAAAUAAAUAAAAUUAAGUUCACGAUGGAUGAAAAAGUGUAGAGGGUUUAAAAUAGUUGCUAAAUGAUAAAUUGUACCUUUUCAGUAAAACUUUUAGAAAGUAGUAAUUUACUUUCACACUCAACAUUCUUGAGCUUUGUGUUGAGUUGCUCAUACUCAUCCCCAUGUGAUGUGGCUACCUGAGAUUCAUUGUAUGAAAAAUCAAAACCAAGAUUGGGCAUUGUUUCACAAUUCUCAAAGUACCUUUAUAUAAUGCUUGUUAAUUAUACAUACCUGGAUAUCCAUUUGGCAUAAAGCAGAAGCAAUAAAAUAAGCAACCUUGGUGAGGUUGCCUCUGAAGAGUACUUGAGUUGUUCCUUUAGGAAUGCUAUUUAGAACAACAGCAACUGCUAAGCUACUCCCAUCCACCACCUUGAUUUUGAGCUUAGGAUUUCUAUGGAUAUAAAGCUCACCAUAACUAUUAAGCUCAUCACCCUGCAAAGUUUAUAUUUAUUAUUGGACAGUUUUAUUUUAUUUUUUCUAAAAUUCGCAAAAUAAUUCAAAUUUUCAGAAUGUAAAUUUUUUUCAGAAGUCAACUGAAGGCCAUAAAAGCUGUGUGUCCAUGCAAGCAUGAGGUAGAGAUAUGGAACAUGGAGGUAAACUCUUCCAAAUGAUCAAAAAGGAGGUAAAUUGCCUUUUUUUUUUUUUAACUUGCCUGGUUCAAGAGACUUAAACUCAAAACUUUAAUCCCUCUUUUGUCUGCUUUGAGUAUGGCUUCUUCUAUCAAACUAUCGAUGGAUUCAUUUCCCAAUUUCAGGAGAUACUACAAUAAGAAAAUAGAAAAGGAACAAAAAGUAAAUAAUAUACUGAAGUACGAUUAAAUAAAAACAAAAGAAUAACAAGUUAACAAUAAAAUGUUGCUUACUUGUAUCUUGAAUUUUGGUACGACCCACGUUUGGACAUUGACUUUGUUGAAUUGAUUCCUCUCAAGAAUAAACGUACGACCAUAGGUCCAUGUUAACAUUAUAGAACCACAUGUCACUGGCCACAUUGCCCAUACAUACCAUCUGUAUGUGUAAGGUUUGGAGGCUAAGGAGGCGAAUCCUAGCCUCAGAUGAUAGAUGGACUGUGGCGUUACAAGAUGUGUCAAAUGAACUACAUGGAGCAAUUCUUCAGGUCUUAUAAGUGAUUUUUCAUAUAACGCAUCUGAAGAUUUAUCCAUCGUACCAUAGAUGUAAUCAUAGAUGGGCAUGAAAAGUGAGUAAUUGGUCCUG
rnacentral:lncRNA from 1 species